rnacentral:lncRNA from 1 species
CCUUGUCUGUGGAGAUCUUGGAUGAUAGAGUUGAAGAAGGAAAUUUGACACAAUUUCUGCAGGCUUGUCACAAUGACUUUUAUAGAUUGUCUAUAGAUGGUGCACUAAGCAAGUUACCAGAUCCCAGCAAAUUCAAGCCAAACCUAUCCAAGUUAAGAUUGUCCAAAUCUAAACUUUUGAAUGAUCCAAUGACAACAUUGGGGAAGCUACCUCACCUAAAAGUUCUUGAACUAGGGGAUGCAUAUGAUGGAAAGAAAAUGGUUUGCAGCUGUGAAGACUUUCCUCAACUUAAUUCUCUUUUUAUUUCUGACUUUCCCAAGUUAGAGGAGUGGACGAUAAAUGCAGGAUCCUUGCCCAAUCUCUUCAAUUUAAAGAUUAGACAGUGUGAACAAAUGGAAAGAAUUCCAAAUGGAUUGAAUUUGAUCGCCACCCUCCAAAAACUGGAGAUUAUAUGGAUGCCAGAGGCAUUUGUGAACAUGAUUAAAGUUGAAGUCCAACAUGUGCAUUCCAUCUCUCUCUCUAUUGUUGAAUGAGACUUUUGGGAUCGAUUGUUCAUUUGAUAGCUAAUGAACUGCAAUAAGGUAAUUUAUUUUUUCAAGAGUUCCAUGCAUUGAUUUUUGUAGAGCAAUUUUUCUCUCAUCCCUCCCAUGCUUCCCAUUUCCUUUCCAUCCGUUCAGAAACUUUUCCCUUUUCAUAUCUUUUGGCCCUGGUCUUUUGUUAUUUUUGUAGGGAAACCUUUUUCAUCCAAUGGUUAAAUUAAAAAAAUUAUAAUUUGAAAACCAUAAUUUAUGGAAGGGAUUAGUCUGUUUUCAUUUCUAGUUCCAAUGUGAGGACCUCAGGUCCCGCAUAUGUUUCCUUGUAUAGAAGCUUUGAAGAUAGCAGGUACACAAAAGUAGGCUCUGCUUAUUUUUUUCUUAAAGCAAGAUUGCAGCCAGUGACCUUUUUGAUGUAUUGUUUUUAUUAUUAUUCACUCUAUUUUUAAUAUUUCUGACAGAUCUUUUGUGAUCAUUUACAGGAUAGGAGCAAUAUUGGAAGGUAGGGGUGUUUACUGUGCUUGGGCUCUUGUGGGGUUAUUUUUUUCCAGUUGGGGUUUUAGGCCAGAAUGCCCAUAAGCUGAGCCAUCAGAUAUAUCUCUUUCUUCUAAUGCAAAAACUAAGGUUAGAAAUUUCCACAACCAAUGAACAUACUCUUCAGAGAGAAGCAAUUAUUUAGAGUGACUACUAUGGAAAGGUGAUUGCUCCUAUUUAUGUGAUCAAACACGGUUUUUUUUUUAGGAGAAAUAAUCAUUUGGCUGUACAUGACAUUGAACUUCUAGUAUUGGGAUUUAAGAAAAUCUGAAACUGUGCUAGUUUCAACUUUUAAGAGGCAGUGUCUACUUCUCAAUGAUCUGCUUGAACAGGUUGUUUUAAAUCAACUCCAAUUGAUACUCUUGAUUUAUAAUGUCUAGGUGGCUAAAGUACCGAUUCUUGCUGGAGUAUGUGGAACUGAUCCUUUCCACUGAAUGGAUUACUUUUGAACCUGUUGGAGGCAAUUGGAUUUGUUGGUAUGCAAAACUUUCCAAAUGAUGGGCUUAUUGAUGGUAAUGUCAGACAAAAUCAGGAAGAGACAGGGAUUGGAUAUAGGUAGCAGCCUAGAAGGUUAAUUAUAAUUUACUCGUUUUCUCAUCAUAAUUAUUUACAUGUGCUUUCACAAAUUGUAUUUUAUACUUUUCUCAUUAUAAUAUAUGUCCGACUGUCAUAACAAAAAGGUGAAAUCCAUGAAGAUGAAAAUUAGAAACAUAUAGGGGCCGUAUAAGAAGCUGGAUUUUAGUUGAAUAACAUAUUCUACCAUCCCAUUCAAGGGGAAUAAGGUAAUUAAACGAAGUGGCCUUGCUUUCUAGAAAAGGAAAAUUGCACUUACUGUCACUUCCCAUGUUAACUUGACGUUGUUUCCAUUGGUUGAAGUGGACAAAUGAGCUUUCAUUUGGAGUGCACGCACUACACGCCUCAAUAUUGAUUUUCAUAAAUUGAAUUCCUAAAUAUUUCUCUAUUCAUAACUUCCAUCUUUUUUUGUUGGUAAUAGGUUUCUUUUUGUUUUUCAUUUAUUUUUUAUAUGUUGAUAAGAUUUUUGAAUUUGUUCAUAGAUAUGGUUUCAAAGGAAGAAAAUUGAAGAAGUAACGAAGAAGAGCUGAAAAAUAACUAGCUGCAAUUUUGAAUGUUCUAGCAAAAUGUGUGAAUUGGACCAGGGAAGGGGAAUUUGUAGUAGCUUAAAAAGAGGAUUUCCCAUCACCAUGCGAAAUUUUGCAUGAAGUUGCGAAAUGGUCCAAAAGCAUUUACAUUUGUUGCUAUUCACUUUGAAAUUUUGCAUGACAUUAGCAUGAUUGUGCGAAAAUGCCGGUGCUUGUGCAAAAUGACCAAAGCUCGUGUGAAAAUGUGUUUUUGGUGCCAAAUUCCAGAUUUUUGAAUUUGGAAGUUUUUAGAAGACCAAUGAGAUGUUGCGAGUGUCCACUUAACUUUGGCUUAUAAAUAAAAACUUGAAUUUCUUAGUGAGGACUUUUGACACUUGAUUUUGAAAUUUUCUAGAAACUCUUUCUUUUUCAAUUGAAUUCCCUAUUUUCUUUCAUUUUUCCUCAUUUCCUUGGUAUCCAAACAUGUCUCGUGAGACCAAAUCUCGUUUUUCUUGAAGGAAGGAAGAUUUAGAGGUAAGAUUUAUAGUGAAUUAGAGAAAUGAAGUUUAAUUGCUAAGAUAAUUUGAUUUAAUUGAUUGAUUAAUUGAAUUUUUAGGAUUUUUUUCAUCAAUUUGUCUUGAAUGAUUACUAAAAUGCAAAUUGGGUAGAUUUAUUAAAUUUUUAAAGCUAAAUUUAAUGAUAUUGAGUAAUUACAUUGUACGAAUCAUUGAAAGAUAAUUUAAGAUGGAUUAAAUAGAUGGUUGAUCUUUUGGAUUAAAUUAUCUCAUUUGAUAAAAAAAUUCUAAAUUUAAAACAAAAUAAAAAAUUAAUUUUGAUGAACAUUUAGAUUUUCAGUAUAAUUUGAUGAAUAAUAAAUCUUAAUAUAUCUUAACAUUUAUUCAUAGGGAUUGUUUUCUAAAAAAUCUUAACUUCAAGAGUUUCUUUUUAUUAAUCUUCUCUCAAAGUUUGAUUAUUUGACAUGGAAUUGAUUUUACCAAUUUAAAAUUUUUAUUAUUUUCAUUGUCAUUAUGAAUUGUGAAUCUAUUUUUGUUUGAUCACAUUUAUUUCUUUUCCUUUUAUUCAAACCUUAAUUACCAAAAAUAAUCUAUACCAGUGGAUGACAUCUAAAAUAGUAAUACUACCAGAAUUUUUGUUAAAAAUCAUUUUUGAUAAAAUAAAAGUUUCCUUAGCAUAGUUGGAUUAGGUUAUAAAUUUUAUUUUGAAAUAAUGAACAACACAAAAAUCCAUCAAUCAUGAGUUAGCAUAUAUACCCACUAAAAGUAUUCAUCUUUUUCCAACGUGGAUUGACAAUUUUGCUCUUUUUUUUCUUCUUUAAAACACAUUUACACACUCUUCUUCUACAUAUUUCAAAGGAAUUUGGUCGGAGACUGAGUAUGUUAGGAGUAUAUAUUGGCCACCAAACUUUUUUCUUCCAAUCAACCAAUGUCUCCCAAAAAUCCUUUACAUUCUAAAGUGAUGUAGGAAUUAUAGUAGAAUACACAAAAUCAUUCCCAGACUAUGCUGUAAAACUAGAUUUUUCAGUACUUUGUCUUCAAAAUUACUUUAAGUGAUACAACUGUAUGGGGGAUUUGUUCAAAUUGAUGGUGCUUCUGUAAUUAUUUUCCUUGGAUUAGCCCUUUUCCUCCUCCCAAUCCAACAAUAAUCAUAGCCUUCCUCUGGAUUCACCAAAAAAUAAGGUUUCCAACUCCGUUUCGGGGGUAUGCUGACAGGUUUGUCAGUAGUUUCUACAAGAAGCUUCUUAGUAGAAUGUUGAUCUAAUCUAUUCAAAGGAUUCCCGUCUAUAAAAGUGUCAUUCUUCGUCUGAGAAGCAUCAUUGCUGAUCAUUGACUUCAAAGAUUCUUCCCCAGAUGGACCAACUUCUCUAGGACAGACGAUAUCUUCCGAGUACAUUUUAGCCUCCUGUUCAACGAAAAAUUGUUUUCCUAUCAAAGAUGUUAAACUUAAGUUAUUUCAGAAAAUGUAAUUGAGAAUGAGUAAAUGCACAUUGUUAAAAUCUGUUGUCUUCUGUGGUAGUACUGUGCAGCCUCAGGUAGCUGGAUGCAUGCCAAUUAAAAGAUCUAGUCUAAAAACAUGACUGAAUUUGCACCCACUAAAACUUUUUUAUAUAGUAGUCGAUAAACUAACAGUAGUCAAAAGCAUGUACAAGUCGUUGAACAUGACUUCUUCACAUAAGAUAGAAUUAAUAUAGAUGUACAAGAUUAUGGGAAACAUAAAUCUAUUAGUGAUGGAGCUAAUAGAUGCAACCUAGUCCAAAUUCGUGCACUGGAAGUGAAACAAAAAACUAUGAAAAACUCACCAAAUGUUCCCGUGAACCACUGUCAUUGAGAUUAUUUUGUCGGGUAUUAGAUUCAUUUUGGUAAAUGGUAGCAACCGCUGGAGCAUAAUCACUUAAACGAGUUCCCAGGCAUUUUACCACUUCAAUGAGAUAGGGCCUAAGCUUGUCUGCACAGUUGGUUAUAACUUUCUCUCCCAACCUCCAACAAAUAGGUGAAACAUUCUGAACAAACAACAAAACAUGUCAAUAAAUAUUAUGAAGUUAAAAAUGAACUAAAUAAAAUCAUGCAAAAGAUGAUUAUUGCCUUAUUAUCCUUUCUCACAGUAGCUAGAAUGGGACUAACAAGCUCAACCAGAACAUAUUCACUUUCAUCCAUGACCAGAGUCAUAAUAGUCUCCAUGGCUGAAAAUACUUCUUCUGGGUGGUCAGACCUUAAAGUCAAAUAAGAGAGAGCAUCAAUUGAAUAUUCUAUCAUGAUCAAGUAAGAAUGCUUCCGCUCUUUGAUUUAAAGCUAUAGAAAUUUGUUUGUUGCUAGUUUGAUUUAAAAAAUUAUUUUUCUAAUUAUAAAGCCAGCAUUCACAUGAACAUAUAUAGACAGGUAAGUACAGUCUUUGCAUUCACUAAAUCAAGGGAAGAACAACAUAUAUAAUUAAAUCUCUCACCUAAUGACAUUUAGAAAAAGUUGGAACAUAUCAAUAAUUAUUUGGUCACAUUCAAGGUCCAGCAUCACCAGGCACCAUCUGUAGGUUGCAACACUCUUAAGAAUCAAAAUGGCCUUGGAAUAACAAGGACUCGUCGUAUCAGACAAGUUCUCAAAUGAUGCUACAGUCAACUGGAAAAUUUCCUGUGUGCCAAUGAAAUGAAAAGUUAUGAGCAUGUAGUUGAGUGUUGAUGAAACAAAAAAAAAAAAGCUUCUUGUCUGGCAUAUUAAGUACCGUCAUUUGAUUAUCAUUGUAAGGAGCAUCUGGUGCCGUUAUCCUUGUGAUCUCACUUAUGCAGGCAACAGCUGACACUUUGACAACACAAUUUCCAUGCUUCAAGAUUUGAUCUGUGACCAAUGCUUCCAUGAGAGGUGAAAGUGCAAUCUUUGUUGACAUACAUGGUUGUUGUUCCACCUUUGCCAAAUAAGACUCAGCCUUCUGAAAGACAUUGAAAGAAGAGGAUGAAUCAAUUCACAAAAACUUAUUGUUACACUCAACACAACUAAUAAGCAGAAAACAGUCAAGUCAUUGGAAAAGGAUUACCCAUAAAGAUAGAAUCAUUAUCCCACAGAUAGCAUACCCAUAUGAAACGAUCUAAUAGGCAAUUAAUUCAACAGAAGAAAAGAAAAAAAUAUCAACGAAUUCAGUAGGAUAAAAACAGGAUCCACUUAAUAGGCAUUUGAUGGAAAAUGAAAACGCAUAUGAAACGAUCACUUUAUAGAUCAACAAAGAAAGAUUAAAAACACCAUGCCACACACAAAAGUUGAUUGUACCACCCACAUAUAUAUAUGGAUAUAUAAAGCAAGAGAGUUACUUCAAGAAGAGGCAAGAGUUUAUCAGCAGAAGAUGGAGGGUGCAGAAGCCUAUUCCCAACAUCUCUUAGCUUUGCUUCAAACCCAUUACUUGCAGAAGCCAUCUCUAUACAAAUCUAAAGCCUAGAAGAUAUCGAAGAUAAUGCAAACAAAAUCUCUUAUAGAGAGAACCCUAGCUUUCGGAUUCUGCCCAAUUUAUAAAUUUCUCUUUAAUUCAGAAAUUUGAAGUUCGGCAUUGCUGUUCUCACUUGCCAGUGUGCCUCUACGUGGCUUUACUCUGCCAGUGCUGUUAUGAAUAGACUGUGGGCUGGCCUUUUAUGGUUUCCUGAAUUUACAUGCCUACCCUUUUUGUUUUCGCAUUCUUGUUUCUUUUACAUCCAAUGUCCGCAGAAACUUCUUUUUCUUAAUACAAUUUAAUAUUUUUUUUAACUGAAGAAUUUGAAGAAAAAUAUGAAGAAUUUGAAAACAAAAUAUGGAGGAACACCUCAAUUCAUUCUGUGAUCCCUUACUUUACAAUGAAUGAAAGCAUAAAUAAAUAGCCUACGGAUAUGAGACAAUUCCGGAAUGGAAUUUCCCUUACAUGGAAAGUGAAUAAACUCUUACAUGGGAAGUGAAUAAACUACUCUUACAUGGAAAGUGAAUAAACUACCUUGCUAGAAUUACUCCUAAAUCAAUUAUAAUAAAGGCUGUACAUUACACUAAUUAGGGAAGUAAACAGAGGAUGCUGGCUUGAUUUCCAACACUCCCCCUCAAGCCGCGUUGUAGAUGUUGAUCAUUCCAAGUUUUUCUGUCAGAUCUUCGAAGUUAACUCGAGCAAGAGCUUUUGUGAGAAUGUCAGCCAUUUGACAGUUUGUCGGAGUGUAGCUGACUUUGAAAACUCCUUCUUCAAUCUUUUCCUUGAUAAAGUGUCGAUCUAUCUCCACGUGCUUAGUUCGAUCAUGAUGAACCGGAUUCUUAGCGAUACUGAUGGCAACUUGAUUGUCGCAGUAUAACACCAUGGGAUGCUUCAAUGGAACCCGUAAUUCUUCUAACAGCCUGUUCAACCAGAUUCCCUCGCAGAUACCUUGUGCCAUAGCACGAAAUUCUGCCUCAGCACUGCUACGGGCUACCACUGACUGUUUCUUGCUUCGCCAUGUAACCAAGUUCCCCCAGACAAAUGAACAAUAGCCUGAAGUUGAUCUCCGAUCAGUCACUGAACUUGCCCAAUCUGCAUCUGAAAAAAUCUCAAUCUCUUUAUUUGUUGUUCUUUGAAAGAAGAGACCCUUUCCCGGUGUCAUCUUGAGGUAUCUCAAUAUUCUGAUCACAGCAGUCAUGUGUUUUUCGAUUGGAUUAUUCAUGAAUUGACUUACCACACUAACGGAGAAGCCGAUGUCUGGCCUUGUAUGAGAAAGAUAGAUGAGUUUCCCCACAAGACGUUGAUAUCUUCCUUUAUCAACUGGCGCACUUCCAUCACUUUCUUCCAGUUUGACAGUUGUAUCCAUAGGUGUUUCUGCCGGCUUGCAUCCUAGCAUUCCUGUUUCAUUCAAUAAGUCCAGAACGUAUUUGCGUUGUGAGACUGCUAUACCUUUCUUUGACCUAGCAAUCUCCAUUCCGAGAAAGUACUUGAGGUUUCCAAGAUCCUUGAUCUCAAAUUCCUUUGUCAAUAAUUUUUUAAGUAAGUCAAUUUUCUCUUCAUGAUCACCUGUCAAAAUUAUGUCGUCCACAUAUACAAUGAUAAUUGCCAGUUUCCCUUCUGGGAAGUGUUUCACAAAUAAUGUGUGAUCGGAUUGACAUUGAACGAAUCCGUACCCUUUCACUACCUUAGUGAACCGUUCAAACCAGGCCCUGGGAGAUUGUUUGAGACCAUACAAGGAUUUUCGGAGUCUGCAAACCUUGUUGAAAUUUGAUGUCGUCUCAAGUCCAGCAGGAAUGUCCAUGUAAACUUCUUCCUCUAAGUCACCAUUGAGGAAGGCAUUCUUCACAUCAAGUUGGUGAAGCGACCAAUCGAGAUUAGCUGCCAAGGAUAAAAGUACACGAACAGUAUUGAGCUUGGCAACUGGAGCAAAAGUUUCUUGACAGUCAAUGCCAUAAGAUUGGGUGAAUCCUUUGGCAACCAACCGAGCCUUAUACCUGUCCACAUUACCAUCUGCCUUGUACUUUACUGUGAAAAUCCACUUACACCCAAUUGGUUUCUUACCUCUUGGGAGGUCAGUAAUUUCCCACGUACCAUUCUUUUCCAGCGCCCGAACUUCCUCAUCGACUGCCGCCUUCCACUUAGGAUACUUGAAAGCUUCCUGAAUAUUCUGAGGAACUUGUAUCUCUAUGAUGCUAGAAGUGAAUGCACGAAACGUAUGUGAUAGCUUAUCAUAAGAAAUAAAAUUUCCAAUGGGAUGCUGAGUGCAUGAUCUAACUCCUUUCCUCCAAGCUAUGGGCAUAUUAAGAAUAUCAUUUUCUAACUCAGAAUCAACAGUACCAUCAGGAGCGUUGUUACCUGGAAGUUUGCUUGGAUUAGGACCCGGUUCUGCCUCAUGGGUUUGUUGAGAAAGUGCUCUUUCCUCCGUUUCCUCUUGGAUGUGCUCCUUAUCCCACAAGUCAACAAUGGACUCGGGUUGAUUAAAUGACUCUGGAGGAAUGUGAUUUUCAGUGGUGAUGGGUGACUCACUGAAUGACUCAAGAUCCCAAAAUUGAUAUUCCUGAGUUGAAUUCUCCCCCUGAAUAUCGUUUUUGGGAUAGUAAGGCUGGGUUUCAAAAAAGGUGACAUCCAUUGAAUUGUAGAAUUUUCUUGUGACCGGAGAGUAACACUUAUACCCUUUUUGAUUUGAAGAAUACCCAAGAAAGAUGCACUUGAGUGACCUAGGAUCAAGUUUACUUCUAUGUUGUUGAUUGAUAUGAACAAAGACAGAGCACCCGAAAAUUUUGGGUGGGACGGUGGAGAUGAGACGAGUAGUCGGAAAGGAUUUUAGGAGUGUUUGACAAGGUGUUUGGAAUUUUAGUACCCUAGACGGCAUCCUAUUGAUGAGGUAGGCUGUCGUAAGGACAGCUUGCCCCCAGAAUAAUUUUGGAACAUUCAUGGAGAACAUUAGUGAUCUAGCCACCUCUAACAAAUGCCUAUUUUUCCUUUCAGCGAUUCCGUUUUGUUGUGGGGUAUUAACACAUGAACUUAAGUGAACUAUCCCUUCUUGUGCUAGAAAUUCUCCUAGAAUGGAGUUGAAAUAAUCCUUAGCAUUAUCAGACUUUAGAAUUUGUAUUUUUGACUAGAAUUGGGUCUAAAUCAUAUUUUUAAAAUUUUUGAAAAUUUGACUCGUUUCAGAUUUUUCUUUCAUGAGGAAUACCCAAGUUAAUCUAGUGUGAUCAUCUAUGAAUGAGACAAACCACCUAGUACCAGUUACAUUUUUUAUUCUUGACGGACCCCAGAUAUCGCUAUGAAUCAUUGAGAAUGGACUAGACUCUUUAUAAGGUUGAAUGGGAAAAUGAGACCGGACUUGCUUUGAUAAUUGACAGAUUUCACACUCAAAGGAUUUUGGAUUUUUAUUAAAUAAUGAAGGAAAUAAAUGCUUGAGAUACAUAACAUUUGGAUGACCUAAGCGAUAGUGCCACAACCUAAUUGCACUAUCGUUAUUUUGACAUGAAACCGAAAAAGAAUUACUACCAACUGUCAUUUGAGGUUGUUCUUGUGGAUCGUGGCACUCCUUAAGGAUGUAGAGUCCAGAGCAUUCCUCAGCAUUGCCAAUCGUCUUCCCCGAAUCCAAAUCCUGAAAUUCACAGUGAGUGGAGGAAAAAUUAGUAAUACACCUCUUUUCCUUAGUGAGUUUACUAAUUGACAAUAGAUUACAGUCCAAGUUAGGAACAAGGAGAACAGAGUUGAGAGUAAGAUCCCUUGAUAGCACAACUGAACCUGUUCCGGCAACCUUUGAUAGUGAACCAUCUGCUAUUCGGACUGUUAAAUUAUUUGGACAUGAGCUAUAUGUAUCAAAAAUUGUCGCAUCUCCCGUCAUAUGAUCAGAUGCUCCUGAGUCCACUAUCCAAGGUUUUUUACGUUUCUUACCAGCAGUGAAGGCACUCAAAAAAUUACCUUUGUGAGCCAAGGUUCCGGAACCAAUGACCUGGUUGGAAGAUGAGCCAGUUUGUGACUGUACUGACAAAAGAGGAGACAGUAGUUUCUGAAGCAUCUCCAUCUGAUGAGAGGAUGAAGACGAUGAGAUGAUGAUAUCAGAAGUAGAGGAUGAUGAGUUGGUAGCCAUUCCAAAGGCUGGACCGUAUUUAGGCAUAAAUUAGAAGAAUAGAAUUGAGUAAAAAAACUGACUAAAGAUGAAGACGAUGAGACAGGAUUAAACCUGCUCUGAUACCAUGAAGAAUUUGAAGAAAAAUAUGAAGAAUUUGAAAACAAAAUAUGGAGGAACACCUCAAUUCAUUCUGUGAUCCCUUACUUUACAAUGAAUGAAAGCAUAAAUAAAUAGCCUACGGAUAUGAGACAAUUCCGGAAUGGAAUUUCCCUUACAUGGAAAGUGAAUAAACUCUUACAUGGGAAGUGAAUAAACUACUCUUACAUGGAAAGUGAAUAAACUACCUUGCUAGAAUUACUCCUAAAUCAAUUAUAAUAAAGGCUGUACAUUACACUAAUUAGGGAAGUAAACAGAGGAUGCUGGCUUGAUUUCCAACAUUAACCUUUUAAAAUUUUUAAUAAUAGAGUUAAAUAUAGAAGAGGUAGAGAGUUAGGUACAAAAUAUAUAUGAUUAAACAAGUCACAAGUAUGUUUAAAGUGGUUUGACUUGUAGCAGAUUAGACUAUGUAAUUGAGGUAUUAAAAGGAUUAGUUUUUUUUUUUUUUUUUUUUUUAACUUAAAACAAUUUAAAUUUGGUUUUUGAAAGAGAGUAGGACCGCUCAAGCAGCCUAGAGUGCUUAAGCAGCCUGGAUCGCUCAAGCACUGAUGAUCACUCAAGUGCUCGAGGCGCACAAGCAGUCCAUGAGUUGGCUCAAGCAGUCAUGCAAUUUCUACAGAGAUUUUCACACAAUUUCAAUCGAGAAACCAUCCAAAAUCAAGACUCUUCGGGCUUUUGUCUAUAAAGACCUCCCUAAUAACCCCUAAAGGGCAAAGAGAUUGGAGAAAUUGUGUAGAGAUCACAUUGAGAUUGUUUUUAGAAACAUUUUAUUCCUUGGAAAGGAUCUCCUUGAGAAAAAGCCUAAAGUGUUACACUAUUCUCGAUCUCUCAUUCAAGGAUUGUUCUUUGAAUCUUGGGUUCAAGACCUUUAUCCCUUCAUGGUGGUUGAAGGAUCUACCGGGAAGUAAUAAAAGGUUACUGCAUCAUGGACGUGAAUCAAGUUGUAGGUACUAGAGAGCAAGUCUUUAAGGAAAAGUGGUCAGGUAAAUCUGGGUAACUUGAUUUCAAAUAGUAGAUUUAGAUUAGUGGAUCUUAGAUCUCGUGGUUUUUUUUUUUAUCUCCAUAAUUAGUGUGAGGUUUUCCACAUAAACAUCUUGUGUCUCAUUUUCUAUAUCUUUUAUAUUUGAUAUUCUAUUUGAAUUGCCUGCAAUUGAUUGAAUAGAUUAUCCUUAAAAUCUUGUAAGGUAAAAGAAUUGGGUAUAACAUAUAAAUUUUUAUUGAAAAUUUUUAAAUCACCCAUUAACCCCUAUUGGACUUUCGGUUUUUCAAAUUUAUAUAGAAUAUUGGGUUUCAUCUACUAUUGAGUACUUACACAUGUAUUCCUUAUAAAUCAAUUGAUAGAACAAGCCUCAUGAACUCACAAAAAAAAAAAAAACAAAAAAUAAAAUAAAAAUGAUACAGUUAAUAAUUGUAGAGAUAGAAAGAUUCCUAAAAGAAAAAAUGUGUCAAAACUUAAUAUCGUAAAAGAUAGAGAGGUUUCAUGUAUGUGAUGAUUUUGAUGAAUGGCUGAAUUAUGAAAAAUAAAAGUUACAAAAAGCUACUUAAUAUAAUAUUAUGAAUUUUGAAACUAAAAAGAAAAUGAUUAUUUGUAAAAAUAAAAGAAAUUAUAAAAAAAAAUUAUGAAAAUCCAAUUAAAUUUUGGAUAAAAAAUUUUCAAUGAUACAAUUCAAACUAGUUCAUUUUAAUAAAAUAAUGUAUGAAUGUUUACAAUUUUGAAUUAUGUAACUAAAACAAUUACUAACAAUAUGUUAUUUUAUUUAUGAUAAAAAUAAAAUUUCAAAGUACAAUUUUAAAAUAUUUUGUGAAGUAAGAAGAGUAACCUUUGGCAUUGUCUAUUUUAGUAUUACCAAACAUCUUGCCAUUACUCAGCUUUCAACAAUAAAUAAAUGAAUAAUAAAAAUAAAUAUCUAAUAUUUGUACCUUUUCCCCACUAGCUUCAUGUUGUUGCAUUUUCAAUUCAAUAAAAGCAAACCUAUAUUAGAAAACAUAACAUUAUGAAAACCCAACUUCUAUAAAUCAAUAAACAAAAACUAAUAAAAUAUUAAAUAAAUAUGUAAGAUAUAUACCUUUUUCCGACUCCACUCAUACCAUUGCACUUGCAUUUCAUAAAAAACCAAACCUAAAUUAUAAGCAGAAAUAUGAAAAUUUAGCUUAACUAGAAUCAUAAAGAUUUCUAAUUUAAUAUAUUAAUAGAAUUAAGAUAAAUGACUGCCACAAAAAUUAUUGAAAGGAAGAACAUUUAAACUUAACCAAUGAUACUAAAAUAUCUUGUUAUGAAUUUAUACAUAUAUUAAUAUGAUAUGUGGUUCCUCUUUAAACAUUUCAAAAAUUGGAAUAACUCAACUUCUUCUAACUACGAUCAUUAGUUUUAUCUCAAAAACACUAAGAAUCUAUAUAUGAUUCUUUUUUAUAUUCAUCUUAUCAUGCAAUCUAUUCAUAUAUAUAUAUAUAUAGAUAGAUAGAUAGAUAGAUAGAUGAUGACAAAAAAUACUUUAAAUAAUUAAGGAGUUUUAAAAAUAAUUAUAAUAAGAAAAAUAGACUUUUCCCAUUAAAAUUUUAAUUUUUCAAAAGAUAAAAGAUAAAAAUUAAUUAUUAUUAAAUGAGAUUGGAAAAAAAAUGUUAAAUCUUAAGAUAAAUAAGCCAUGCUAAGGUGUGGCUUGCAGUUUAGUGUGUCUAAUCAUCUCUAAGAUCCAAUGGUCACUUUCUUAUGAUAGUAACACUUCAAAUCACAAAAAAAAAAAAAAAAAAAAAAAAAAAAAAAAAAAAAUUGUGAAUCAAACAAUGUUUUGUACUCUAUACAAAAGUUUAGAUACUUUGAAACUACACACUUGCAACUCACAUUUCAAAUAAAAUGGAAUAUCACACUUAGGAAUAACUUGAAAUGGAACAACACUACACUUGGUUGGAAUGGAAUACCACACAUGGGAAUGACUUGGAAAAGAAGGAGAGAUAGAUGAUUGUUAGAAUGGCGCAAUAUCAUGGAGGGGUUCCCUUUUUAUAGAUGUAGAUGUGUCUGGCAUGUGCCUUACAGAAAAGAUAACACUUCAUGUUGAUGGGCAUUUCAAUUAAACCUAUAGGCAUGUGGGUCUAAGUCAAGCAUAAAUCCAUAACCAUAUAGUUAGGCCCACGUGUAUUUGAGCCCAAGUUCAAGUCCAUGUUUCUUUUAAGCUUACAAAAUGCUUAUAAUCCUCUUCUAGCUAGUGACCUUCAUAUGUGGGAUACUUUCUUCCACAACAUUUUCCAUGAAUAUAUAAGUCAUUUUGAGCUCAUUUCUCAAGCACCCAUAAAUGGUUUUAGCAUAUCAAUAUAUUACAUUCAGCUACUUAUGGAGAUGAAUGCAUUCCAAUUUGGUCCCAUCUUAAAAUUUUCAAGGAAAUUUUAGUUCAAAGUUAUCCUUUUAUCAUUAUUUAAAAAACCAUUUUUUCCAACAAUCCCUCACAUAAAAGGAAAUUUACUUAUCAUAUGCAAAUGACAUGUAAACACUUGAGAAAGUAUUCUUUAGAUAGAAGUUGCAUUAGGAUAUAGGUAGCUUGUGGCUUUGGAAUUUCUUUAGUGAAAUAUUAUUGGAUUUACUAGAAAAUCAUCAAAUAGUGUGAUGUCUUGAACUUUUAAACUUUUAUAUUUAAACCAUGAUAAUAGUAUUCACAUAGCUACUUCUCAGACAUCAUUUAUUAUGAUAAUUAUGUAUAUUUUAGCCUUGAACAACUCCAAGUUUUAACGAGCGUUUUAGAGAAUCUCAACCCCAAAACAAUAUCAUUUAAAAGCAAGCAUAUCAUACUCCACAUGGUUUUUCAAAUAGAACUCUUUAUCAUCAAAUCUUAGCCUAACUCAUAGUGUAGAUAAAGCUAUUUCAUCAUAGGAAUAUGUAUGAGAGAUAAUAUCUCUAGUGCUUUAAUUUAUUCAUACCUAAGUUGUCCCUUUAUGCCUAAAUCUUGCUAUCUCUAGUAAGCUAGUUGGUUUAGUAUUAUGAAAAAUUUUCAGUCAUAGGCUUUAUCUCAUCCCCUUGAUGAGUAGUUAACUUGAUCUCUUAAUAAACCUAAGUGGAUCCACAAGCGUUUCAUUUGAAAGUAACUAUCUCAUAGUAUUGUGUUUUUAACAAAUGUUGAGAUUUACCAUUGUUCAUGUGAUAUUGUGCUCUUUCAAGAACAGAUUGAUUAUCACAAUAUAUGUUGAUGUUGAGCAUAGGUUUUAGCUAGCAUUAUAUGCCCUCUUGGAAAUUACAAAGUCAUUGUGCAUCUUCUAGACCUAGUUUGUCUAAUGUUAAAAAUUUAGAUCUCAUGGAGGAUCUAGUAAUUUACCUUUGUUUUAAGAACUUCUAGGAUAUCACCUCUCUUUUCAUAUCAAUGCAUAAUCACUAAUAGAUUCAAAGUCCUUUCUAUUGGAUAUCUAAUUUUCAUCAUUAACCCCCAUAGGGUUAGAGACAACUAUUCUAACUAAAUACCCCACUAAAUUAUAAAAAGGUCUUUAUCCUUUCCAUAACUCAUAUAUAUGGAGUUGUAUCUCUGUUCAAGCUAUAAUUUUGAAAAAAAAAAAAAAAAGUCACUCAAUACUUCUUUUCUACAUGUAUUCCUUGCAUAAUGCUUUGUUACUCUUGGACUUCACUCAUGACUAUCUUAGAGCCAAUCAUUUUGUAAUCCUAAACUUUUUUUACUAUGAAAUUCUUAAACCAACAUCCUUUGUCUUAUGCUUUUUCCUCAAGAAACUCUCAUAGUUCCUUUGUAGUAUUUACAUGACCAUACACAUUAUGUACUAUGUUGUCCAAACCAUUGAGGAUGUUGCUCUUGCAUAGGAAAUGAGAAUGAUUCCAAGCUUCCAUAAUUGAAUGUGCUUGCACAUUUCUUUCACCUCCCUUGAAACGAGGGCAUCCUUUUGUAACACUCUAGCAAGCUUUAGAGUUGUUAAGUAGAACAACCUUUUUUAUCGUCACCUCUUGAAUUAUAUUCUAAGGAAAUUCUCUAGCUUCAAUAAGAAUUGUUGUGCGAAUUAUUGAAAAAUAUAUAUGCACUAAUAACCAUGUAAACAAAAUAAAUAAAGCAAAAAGAAAUUAAAAAUAAAAAAUAAGAUUAAAUGAGGCUAGAGUUUGACUGUGUUCUUAAACUGAAUUUCUAUCAUUUAAGUGCUUCUAGUUUAGUUACAAUAAUGUCCUAGAAUACAAUUAUCACAUUCUUGUGAUAGUGGUACUUCAAAUUAUAAGAAAUUGUGAAUCAAAUAAUAUUUUGUACUCUCUACAUGAGCAUAAAUUAUUAAAAUGGGCAUAAGAUUAGAGAAAUUUUGUUAUGAACCUCUAAUCACUACUAUAAUCCAUAAUUAUCUCAUGUUGGUAGUCUACAUAUUGAAGGGUUUUGACCACAAAGAAAAAAAAACACUUUAAAAAAUAUGAUAGCCAUUAAAAAUAUUGAAAUUAAAUAUGCAUGGAGUUCCUAAGUGAAUAGAUUUUUUAUAUAAAAAACAAAAUGGAACUUAAUUUUCACCAUUUGAGCUAAUGUGGUGUCAAUUUCUCCAAAUGUACCUGCAAGAUUAGGAAGUAGACUUAAUCGAACAUUUGUUAGCUGUGUUUUAUGAGUUCCAAUGGGUUUCAAAUGUUAUGAAAAUUAUCUUUUCUUUCUUUUAUUAAUUUUUGGCUUCUUAUUCAUCCAAAAUAUCAUAUAUCGAAAACCAUAAUGAAACUGAAGAAUUUACAUCCACUAGUCAAAAUGUAAAAGCAAUGAAUUCACCAAUAAAGACUUAAACUCUUACAAUUUUUCAAAGCUCGUAAAUAUUAUAUUGUAUGAUCAAGAGUAAUUUAUCAAAUACUAAAAAAAAAUCACAACUUAAGCUAAAAAAAAAAUUGAAAACUCAAGAAAAAUUGGAUAGUACCUUAGUAAGAGACGCAUCCAAGUAGAGGAUAUGUGCAACUUCACCAAAGAGCCUACACAUUGCUCAUAAAGGUUGAAGAAAAAGAAAAAGAAGAAGAGGGAUUCACAAGCAUGAGGGAUAAUUUAGAGAUAGCGAAAUUGAGAGAUUGAGAAGAAUAUAUAGCGAUAGGGCGAUUGAGAUGGUUUAAUGGCCAAACAAUUAAGAAAGAAGGUGAUACUCAUAUUGAUUGAGAUUGUGAAAAUUUAUCUUUCGUUUAUUUGAUUUUCAUAGGAACCAAAUAGAAAAUUAGGGUUUUUGAUUUUAAGAGAUUUUGAGACUAGGUUGGUUGAAACAAUAGCCAAAAGUUUCAUUAUUUGGAGGCACAUUAUAAAGAUUCAUUCCUUAUAAAGCAAAACAUAAAAGGUAAAAUAAAAUUAAAGCUCUAAUUAUAUUUGAUUCUUAAGAGAUAUUUUGUGUUUUUCUAAGAAAAUUUAAAAAAUAAUAAUAACUUGAUUUUAUUUCUUUCAUUUUAUCCCAUCACAUUUACCUUUGUCAAUAUAGAAAUUUUGUUCAAGUGUUUCUUAAAAUAUUUCUACCAUAAACGAAAUUAGUGUCUCCAUUUUCUUGAUAAUUGAUGUUAUUGAACAAUUAAAGUUAAGAUAAUUUUACAUAUUUUAAACAUUUUGAUUAAUUUUAAGUUUUUUGGCAAAAUAUGAAAAAAAAAUUAAAAUAUAUUUUGAAAAACCAAAUUGAAUUUUAUAAAUAUUAAAAAAAAAAUCAUUAGAUUUGAAAAAAUUCAUAUUCAAAUAUUUUAAAGAUAAAAUAUUAUAAUGUUGAUUAUUUAUUACAAUAAUUAGAGGUAGAAAAAAUUUUAUUAUUUCUAUUAUUUUGCUACCAUGUCCAUUAAAAGAACAGGGCAUUAGGCUAAGAAAGGUAUUAACAUACCAUAAAACUAUUAUCAUUUUGCAUUGGUUGGUUUGCAAAUGAAAUAUGUCAAAUGAAGUAUGUUUGUAAACUUGCUUAGUUGUAUAAUCUUUAAAUGCUUAUUAUUAUGGUUUCAAGCUGACUUAGUUGUCUAAUCUUCAAAUGUUUUUUAUUAUUAUUAUCAUCAUUCAUGUUUGGCUCCAGUUAAAUCCCAAACUUAAAGUAUACUUUCCAACACUUAUAAAACUAGCAUAUAUAUAUAUAUAUGCAUAAAUGUGCAAAAAGUUCAAGUUUGUUAUAUAGAUAUGUUUUUUGUAUUUGUUAAACUGGAGCAUCUUUGACCAGCAUCCACCAUAAAUUCAUUCAUAAUUCAAUUAAGUCAAAACUAAGGGGGACCUCAAUACUAUAACUUCCAUUAGCAUCAUGUUAUUUUCUAAUGAACAUAAUCUAUCUAUUUGUUGUCAAAAAAUAUCAUUUUGAUUCAUCACCAGACAAAUCUACUAUGUGCUUUCAUGUGAUUGUUUUUAAUAUCUAUUUGUCAUCACCUAGUUGUAGUACAAUCAACUUAAUUUUUCGUUUUAAUUAAAAUCAUACAAAAAAAAGCUCUCAAUCAAAAUAAACCAACAUUUGCAAAAUGGAACAUAUAAGUUCAAUUUUGUAGGCCCAAUAUUAUCUCCCAUAUCAUGUUCGUGACAUACACAAGGAAAUAAGAAAAUCAUAAUUAAAGCCCUCACCCUAAUGAUAUUUACGAAAUGUUGGAGUAUAUAAAAGAUCAUUUGGUCUCACUAAAAGUCUAGCAUCACCUAGCUUAGAAUGAUAGUGACUCUUAUAUCAACUGGGAUCUUAAAUGAUGUAACACUCAGCUAGAAAAAUUCUAGUAUACUAAUGAAUGAUGAAGACAAGUUAUGAGCAUAUGAAUAUGUAAUUUUCUCAUAUCAACAUAAGAGAAUUUUUUAACUAAAAAACAUAAUUGCUUGAUUUGGAUUUUUUUUUUUAAUUAUAAGAAUGUGUUUAAGAGGUUGUAGGUACCUUCGAUUUGAUUAUCAUUGUAACAAGCAUCUAAUGUUGUUAUCCUUAUGAUCUCACUCAUGAAGGAGCACCUGAAUUAUACUAGUGAAAAUGAUUGAUGACAAGUGACGUGAUGUCGUUUGGAGGUUUAUAAAAGUUCAAGGCAUUCACACAUUAUUAUUAGCUAGGUUCUGACCUCUCUUCUUUUUGUUGUCUGUGGUUUAUAGCUCCAAGCAAAGACCAUACUUGUUCUUCAAUAUGGGCUUUGAGGACUUAUGGUUUGUUUCCCAUUCAUAGGCUUUGAGUAGGUCGAAGUACUUGGUUUUAGUUGUCACACCAUUGAAAAUAGCCACCAAUUUUUUUCCUGAGUGUGCAAUGCUAAGACACCGAUCUUAGCCAACCUUUCUGAAGGCCCAAAACAAAAGUAAUGCAAAUGUAACCAAGGCAACAUAGCAGAUACAUGAACCUUCCCAACUUCUAUUUGACUUUAAAACUAAAAGAUUACAAAACUUUUUAAGUAUACCAACACUUGUACAAUUUUGUCUAAUUAGAGAAACCAAAGACAAUGACAUAGUUUGCUUUCUUUCUAGAUUACUCACUCUUAGUCUCUCUCUACAAUGCAAAGGCUUUUAUAGAGGAGCCUUCUCAAUUGAAUUUUGAAUUCAAACCUUUGAAUUCAAAAUAGGAGCUUAACUAAUGGUUAUGCAACUUGUCACAACCACCCAACUAAGGAUACUCCUUCCUAAUAAAAGUGUCUUUUCAUGCAUCCAAUAAUGUUCCCUUUCAUGCUAAGCCCUGUCUUAUCCUUACAAAGUACCUUUUGCCAACAAGUGCCUUUGUAACCAUCUCAUGUCACUCAGCCACACAUAUCCUUCUUUGAUCCAAUUAGCCUAAGGUCAUGUCUGGUUCUCUUCUUCCGAGCCAAGCUCUUGCCAAUCUAGUCUUCAACCCUUUUUCAUGUGAGUUAGCCCACAUUAAACACCUUGUGUGCAUGCCACCAACCUACGUCAAUCAUCUUGCCUUGACCAUGCCCAUGUGUUCAGCCAUCUCUCUAAUGCAUCAGUGCACAUCGACACACUGAUAUCCACAGAGCACCCUUAUACCAUGUCUAAGUGCCCAUGAUACCAAGGUGGUGGUGUUCUUGCUUAAUGAACUAGAUUUUUGCAUGGCCCUUCCAUGCCUUAGCUGUGUCAGCCAUGCACCAACAUCUCUACAUUGGUCUGAUUGUUUUUCUGGCUUCUCGUAUGCCAUGCCUAAGUCUCUCUUGGUUGCAACUAUGUGUUAUAGCAUUGCAACCAUGGCUAAUCAUCCAUGUGCACAGGGCACUGCACCCUUAUGCCUUACUUUUAUAAUGCAUUUGAUACCUUCCUCAUUGUUGUAACAGCACCAUGCUCGUGUCCAAGACCCUUCUUGGUGUAACAACAUGCCAUGGCAUUGCAUGCCCAUGGCUUGUCUAUCCCAUGCACAGGGCAUUACGCACCUGUGUAACACAUUAGGAACCCAUCUAAGGCAUCCAUAUUACUACAGUAGCACCAUGCCAUGUUGAGGCCUUCCUUAGUUACAAUAGCAUGCUAUAACUUUGCACUCAUGGCCCAUUGACUCACCUCCAUGAACAAGGUUGACCAGCCUCGUGCCAACAUUGGUAAAGGAUAGGUUGCACCAUGCCUCAUGCCAUUGCGACCACGGGUUGCAUGCCACAUAUGUCGUGCAACCUGUGUGUGCGCUAACAUGUCAUUUAUAUGCCAUAUAGUUAUAUAAGUUUGGUUUUCUAUUAAUAUUAAACAACUUUGAAACAAGAAAACAUCUAUUUUUCUCCAUAUAACAUACAUGUUCAUUUCCUUCUUAAAUCUCUGCAACUUAGUUUGAAAGUAAUUUUAAAGAGAAGAAUGAGAUAUAGCUUAGUAGAAAAGGAAUCAACUUUAACAAUAAAAUUUAUAAAACAUCUUGUACACCAUAAGGCAACAAUUCAAUGUAACAUCAACUUUAACUCAAUAAUAGCAGGUAUAAUCAUACAAACCAACAAUUUUCAAAUCAUAUACUUCCCUUGAUAAGUUCAUUUCUAUGACCUAUAAAAAUUAUUAACUUAAAAGUAUUUGAGGCUCUCAGCAAGGUACAUGCAUCCAUACUCCCCCAUUAAUCCAUGCAUAGAUAUUCCUAGGGGAUGUUUUUAGGUCUUUCACUGUAGGAUACUCUACCCUUCUUCCUCUAAGGACUCUCACUCACAAACCAUUCCCUCUAUUUCUUUUUACCUUUCAUUUCAAACCACCCUUACUAAUGCCUUUGUUUUUUUUUUUCCAGAAGUUGUGUUAGUGCAUUCAGCAUGUGUCUAUGUAGCUUAGCUACAUCAAGAAGUUACUUCUAGUAAGAACAGAGCAUAUCUCAAUAAAAUAAAUUAUACUUCAAACAAGAGCAAUAAAUUUCAUAGAAUAAUUAUAGUAUUUGCACCAUUAGAAUUUCUACAUAUGCAUGCACCAUACCACUUAUUAAAUCAUUUUUAAAACUAGAUUUAACCAAACUUUUGAUCCAAGUUUUUUUAUAAAUAAUCACGUAUAAAAUAUAGUUUUCAAAAAAAUAAAAAAAUUCCCUACCUAUCCAACAACUUGAGUAACCUCAACCUUUAACUUUUCUCUUCACUUUCCUUUUAAAUUGCCUUUCAAAUUCUAUCCCAAAAACUUCCCUCACCACCUUCACAUUUCAACUUUUAUACACAAAAUAGAGGCUGAACUUCAAGGUGUUUUCAGAUUUUCCCCUUGAAAUCUCUCUUAGUGUCCUUCCCAUCUCUGGUUUCUCACACUUAGACCAACCCCUUUUCACUUGUACCACAAAACAAUAGCUAGAUCCCGUCACGACUAAGUAAAAUAAUUACCUCCUGUUGAAAUCUCUAUCACUUAGCUCAACUAGCUAGUUACUAAGCAACCAACCUACUUUUGACCAAUAAAAGCUUAGAAACAACACUUACUCUUUAACCGUCUUUCUCUUAACUUAACAAACUAACCAACUUCUUUAAUUAACCAACCAAAUGCUUUAGUUAACCAAGACACUAAACCUCAUUAUGGAAUUAAGCACUCUUAAAUUAUCCUUUAACAAAAUCAGGGUCAUUACAAUAAAAUCUAUAAUAUAUUUUUUAUAGUUUUUAUUAAGACUAAAUUCUAUAAUGUUCUACAAUAAAAUCUAGGUCAUUGUAGUUAUUUGGCCAAUAUCCAAACAUAAUUGAUUUUUUGCAAAAGAAAAAAAUGAAAAACUAAUCUAAGUACUAUUGGCAUAAGCGUUAUAAACUAAAAAUGCUAUAAACAAGAACAAUGUUUACCAUAAUUUUCUUGAAAAUGGUGCUAAAUGUGACCCCUUUGACACAAAUAAUAGAGUGAAGGGAAAAAAACAGAACAAUAAUAGAAGGAAAGUGGUAAGAAAAUAGAAAGCAAUAACGUUAUAAUAGCAGGAGUCCUAAAGUGCUCACACCUUGUCUAUUGGCUACCAAACUUUCUUCUUCCAAUCAACCAAUGUCUCACAAAAAUCUUUUACAUUCUAAAGUGAUGUAAUUAUUUUACACAAUCAUACUUAUGUUGUAAUAAAUACUUAUGUUGUAAGAAUUAUAAUAGAAUACACAAUCAUUCUCAAACUAUACCAUAGUACUAGAUUUUUCAGUAUCUUUGUCCUCAAAAUUACUUUAAGUGAUACAACUGUUUUGGGGAUAUGUUCAAAUUGAUGAUGCUUCUGUAAUUAUUUUCCUUGGAUUAGCCCUUUUCCUCCUCCCAAUCCAACAAUAAUCAUAGCCUUCCUCUGGAUUCACCAAAAAAUAAGGUUUCCAACUCCGUUUCUGGGUUAUUUUGACAGGUUUGUCAGCAGUUUCUACAAGAAGUUUCUUCCUAGUAGAACGUUGAUUUAAUCUAUCAAAAGAAUUGUAGUCUAUAAAAGUGUCCUUCGUCUGAGAAGCAUCAUUACAGAUCAUUGACUUCAAAGAUUCUUCCCCAGAUGGACCAACUUCUCUAGGACAGACAACGUCUUCUGAGAACACUUUAGCCACCUGUUCAAAAAAAAAUUUAUUUCCUAUCAAAGAUGUUAAAUUUAAGUUAUUUCAGAAAAUGUAAUUGAGAAUGAGUAAAUACACAUUGUUAAAAUCUGUUGUCUUCUGCGGUAGUACUUUACACCCACUAAACCUUUUAUAUAGCAGUCAAUAAACUAACAGUAGUCAAAAGCCAUCUCGUUGAACAUGGCUUCUUCACAGAAGAUAGAAUUAAUAUAGAUGUACAAGUCUAUGGGAAGCAUAAAUCUAUUAGUGAUGGAGCUAGGGUAUGCAACCUAGGCCAAAUUCGUGCACUGGAAGUGAAACAAAAAACUAUGAGAAACUCACCAAAUGUGCCCUUGAACCACUGACAUUGAGAUUAUAUUGUCGGGUGUUAGAUUCAUUUUGGCAAAUGGUAGCAACAGCUGGAGCAUAAUCACUCAAACGAGUUCCCAGGCAUUUUACCACUUCCAUGAGAUAUGGCCUAAGCUUGGCUGCACAGUUGGUUAUAGCUUUCUCUCCCAACCUCCAACAAAUAGGUGACACAUUCUGGAACAAACAAUAAACCAUGUCAAUAAAUAUUAUAAAAUUAAAAUGAAAACCAAGGAAUUAAAUAAAAUCAAGCAAAAGAUGAUUAUUGCCUUAUUAUCCUUUCUCACAGUAGCUAGAAUGGGACUAAGAAGCUCAACCGAAACAUAUUCACUUUCAUCCAUGACCAGAGUCAUAAUAGUCUCCAUGGCUGAAAAUACUUCUUCUGGGUGGUCAGACCUUAAAAUCAAGAGAGAGCAUCAAUUGAAGGAUCCAAUUUUGCAUUCACUAAAUCCAUUUUAUGCAUAAAUCAAUUUAAAUCUGAAACUGGGAAAAACAACAUAUAUAUAUAUAUAUAAUUAAAGCUCUCACCUAAUGACAUUUAGAAAAAGUUGGAACAUAUCAAUAAUUGUUCGGUCACAUUCAAGGUCCAGCAUCACCAGGCACCAUCUGUAGGUUGCAACACUCUUAAGAAUUGAAACGGCCUUGGAAUAACAAGGACUCCUCAUAUCAGACAAGUUCUCAAAUGAUGCUACAGUCAGCUGGAAAAUUUCCUGUGUGCCAACGAAAUGAAGACAAGGAGUUAUGAGCACGUAGUUGAGUGUUUCUGAAACAAAAGAAAACUUCUUGAUUUGGCAUAUUAAGUACCGUCAUUUGAUUAUCAUCAUAAGGAGCAUCUGGUGCCGUUAUCCUUGUGAUCUCACUUAUGCAGGCAACAGCUGACACUUUGACAUCACCAUUUCCAUGCUUCAAGAUUUGAUCUGCGACCAAUGCUUCCAUGAGACUUGAAAGUGCAAUCUUUGUUGACAUACAUGGUUGUUGUUCCACCUUUGCCAAAUAAGACUCGGCCUUCUGAAAGACAGAAUGAAAGAAGAGGAUGAAUCAAUUCACAAAAACUUAUUGUUACACUCAACACAAGUGAUAAGCAGAAAACAUUCAAGUCAUCGGAAAAGGAUAACCCAUAAAGCUAUAAUCAUAAUCCCACGGAUAACAUACCGGUAUGAAACGAUCUAAUAAGCAAUUAAUUCAACAGAAGAAAAGAAAAAAAUAUCAACGAAUUCAAUAGGAUUAAAACAGGAUCCACUUAAUAGGCAUUUGAUGGAAAAUGAAAACGCAUAUGAAACGAUCACUUCUAUAUCAACAAAGAAAAAUAAAAAACACCAUGCCGCACACAAAAGUUGAUUUUACCACCCACAUAUAUGGAUAUAUAAAGCAUGAGAGUUACUUCAAGAAGAGGUAAGAGUUCCUCAGCAGAAGAUGGAGGGUGCAGAAGCCUAUUCCCAACAUCUCUUAGCUUUGCUUCAAACCCAUUACUUGCAGAAGCCAUCUCUAUACAAAUCUAAAGCCUAGAAGAUAUCGAAGAUAAUGCAAACAAAGUCUCUUAUAGAGAGAACCCUAGCUUUCGGAUUCUGCCCAAUUUAUAAAUUUUUCUUUAGUUCAGAAAUUUGAAGUUCGGAAUCGCUGUUCCCACUUGCCAGUGUGCCUCUACGUGGCUUUGCCCUGCCAGUGCUGUUAUGAAUAGAUUGUGGACUGGCCUUUUAUGGUUUCCUGAAUUUACAUGCAUACCCUUCCUGUUUUCACAUUCCUCUUUGUUUUACAUCCGACGUCCGUAGAAACUUCUUUUUCUUAAUACAAUUUAAUAUUUUUUAUUUUAUUUUUUAAACCUUUUAAAGAUUUAAACAAUAGAGUUAAAUAUAAAAGAGGUAGAGAGUUCGAUACAAAAUCAGAGGCAGAGCCAGGCAUUCUGGUUAGAGGGGAGCCAGGUUGUCAAGGUUCAAAUAUGGACAUUGAGUAUGAUUCGGUUUGGAAAGUGUCGUCACAAACAGUUUUUAAAAAUUAUUCUUUGAAAUUUAAUAAAACAAAAGUUUAUUUAGGAUUCUAAAAUAUUUUUAAUCAUUUAUAAAUACGUUUUAAAAAUAAUUUUUACAUAUAAUGUUUUAUUUUUAAUCAUUUUGUAUAUUAAUUUGUAUGGUUAUUUUUUUAAACAAACCUAAAAAAUCAAAUGAAAAUAACCCAAAACCACUAAAAUUGGUCUUUGAAAUACAUGUUUUUUUUAAUGUUAAAUAUAUUUUCCUAUAUCUUUGUUUAUUUUUAAGAAUAAAAAACUAUUUUAAAAAAUUGUAACUAAAUAAAAUCUAGUGUAAAAAUCAACUAAAAGUAAUGAGAUUUUUUUCCUUAAAAUUUUCUAUGAUGUGAUAAGAUUAGAAUAUAACACUAUUAGUAAAGUAAAAUUUUAAAGCUAAAUAUAAAUUCUCAUAAUGUGAAUAAUUAAAUAACACACAAUCUAGUAUAAUUAUUUGAUUUAUUUCUAAAUUAGAUAUUAUUUAAUUAAUUCUCAAAAUAAAUAAAAAAUCAAACUCAAAAUUGAAAAGCACAUACAAUUUAAAAUAAUUAUUUAAUAAAUACCAAAUACAAAAUUAUCAAAAAUUUAAUAUUAUUAGAAAAGUUAUAAUAAAGUUUAAAAUUUAUGAAAGAAUGAGAAAUAAAUAAGAUGUUGUACGCAUGACAAAAAUUAAAUUAAAUUUUAAAAACUCAAAAUUAAAUUUAUCUUUUUGGAGUAAAAAGUUUAUAUUUCAUUUUUUUACUAUUUGAAAAUCUUUAAUUAUAUAUAUGAGAUUUUUUUGGCAAAAAAAAAAAAAAACCAAUUAAGGGGAGCAUGUUCCCGGCUCCCAUUGGCUCCGCAAUGUACAAAAUGUAUAUGAUUAAACAAAAGAGAAAGAAAUUAAUUUGUAGCAACAAUUAAUAUUUUAUUCUUACAUGUUUUGUUUUAAUUAAUUAUAUUUUUAAUAUUUUUUAUUAUUAAAACGAAGUUUUUAUUCAUUUUUCAUGGAAAUAGAUAAGAAGAUGAAUGCUUUGAAAAACAACUACAGAUUGGUGUAAUGAUAUGCAGGUGUAAAAUUAUUGUUAACCAUUUCAGCAUGGGAAGAUUUUUCUACGGGAAGUGAUAUGUGCCCUACAUUUCAAUUAUUUGUUAUUUAAUUUUUAAAUUUUUAAUAAAAUUUUGCUAUAUUUAAUUUUUCAUAUUAAGAGUUUGUGUUUGAUUUUAACCAUGGGAAAUAGUAUGCCUAAAUAAUACUAUAAUAAAUAAUAAAACUAAUCAAGUUCUCAUUGAUCACUUAAAUAAUAAAAUCCCUAUAAAAUAAUACUCGUGAAACCAAGAGAAAUCAUUAUAUUAACGAGGAUAUUGAUUUAUUAACAAGUGAAUAGUUUAUUAAUUUAUUAAUAAAUGAAUAUUUAUUAAUUUAUAUAGAAUAUUAUGUUUAAUCAACUAUUUGCUACUUAUACAUGUAUUCCUUAUAAAUCAAUGGAUAAAACAAGCGUCAUAAACUCAAGAAAAAAAAGAUAUAAUUAUUAAUUGUAGAAGACAAAAAGGUUCUUAAAAGAAAAAAUGUGUCAAAACAAACAUGUGAUGGUUCUAAUGAAUGAUUGAAUUAAGAAAAAUGGAAGUAGUAAAAACUUAAUAUAAUAUUAUGAAGUUGGUAACUAAAAAAAUAUUGAUUAUUUGUAAAAAUAAAAUAAAUUAUAAAAAAUUAUGAAAAUCACAUUAAAUUUUGGAUAAAAAAUUUCAAUAAUACAAUUCAAACUAGUGUAUUUUUAAUAAAAUAAGGUAUACAUGUUUACAAUUUUGAAUUAUGUAACCAAUUAAAUACUAAGAAAAUAGUUAUUUUAUUUAUAAUUAUAAUAAAAUUUUAAAAUAUAAUUGCAAAAUAUUUUCUAAAGUAGGAAGACUAAGGUUUGGCAUUGUUGUUUUAGUAUUACCAAAUAUAUCGCCAAUACCCAACUUUAAACUAUAAAUAAAUAAUAAAAAUAAAUAUCUAAUAUUUGUACCUUUUUCACACUAGCUUCAUGUCGUUGCAUUUGUCAUUCAUUAAAAGCAAACCUAUAUUAGAAAACAUAAAAUCAUGAAAAUCUAACUUCAUACUAUAAAUCAACAAGCAAAUACUAAUAAAAUAUUAAAUAAAUAAGUAAGGAAUAUACCUUUUUCCGACUCCGCUCAUUCCAUUGCAUUUGCAUCUCAUAAAAAACCAAACCUAAAUUAUAAACAAAAACAUGAAAAUAUUAGCUUAACUAGAAUCAUAAAGAUUUCCUACUUGAUAUAUAAUUAAAAUAUAUUAAUAUAGAUGAUGGUCACUAAAAUUAUUGAAAGGAAAACAUUCAAGCUUAACCAAUGACACUAAAAUAUCUUUUUAUGAAUUUAUACAUAUAUUAAUCUAACAUAUGGUUCCCUCUUCAAACAUUUCAAAAAUUGAAAUAACUCAACUUCUUCUAACUAAGACCUUAGUUUUGUCUCACAAAUACUAAGAGUCUAGAUAUGAUUCUUUUUUAUAUUCAUCUUAUCAUGCAAUCUAUUCAUAAAUGCAUAUAGUGAUGAAAAAUAAAUAAAUAAGGAAUUUGAAAAAUAAUCAUACUAAGAAAAAAAGACAUUGUCCAUUAAAAUUUUAAUUUUUCAAAAGAUAAAAGGAUAAAAAAUUAAUUAUUAUUAAAUGCAAUUGAGAAAAAAAAAAAUGAAUGUGUCAUGCUUAAGUGCUUGCAGUUUAGUGUGUCCAAUCAUCUACAAGAUCCAAUAAUCACUUUCUUGUGAUAGUAGCACUUCAAAUCACAAAAGAUGGUUAAUAAAACAAUGUUUUGUACUCUAUACGAAAAUUUAGAUGCUUUGGAACGACACAUUUGCAACUCACAUUUGAAUUGGAAUGGAAUGCCACACUUGGGAAUAACUUAAAAUGGAACAUCACACUUGGUUGGAAUGGAAUACCACACUUGAAAAUGACUUAGAAAAAAAUGAGACAUAGAUGAUUGAUGUAAUGACGAAAUAUCAUGGAGGGGCACCCUUUUUAUAGAUGUGGAUGUACCCCCUAAAGGUGUGCCUUAAGGAAAAGAUAACACUUCAUGUUGAUGAGCAUUUCAAUUAAGCCUAUAAGCAUGUGGGUUUAAGUCAAGCCCAAAUCCACACCCAUAUAGUUAUGCCCACUUGUAUAUGAGCUCAUUGAAGCUCAUGUGUCUUUUAAACAAAUGCUUAUAAAGUCCUCUUCUAGCUAUUGACCUUCAUAUGUGUGACUACUUUCUUCCACUACAUUUUCCAUGAAUAUAUAAGUCACUUUGAGCUCAUUUCUUAUGCACCCCAUAACUAGUUUUAGAUGUCAAUAUAUUACGUUCAUCUACUUAUGGAGAUGAAUUAAUGCAUUCCAAUUUGGUCCCACCUUAAACUUUUCAUGGGGCUCGCUCAAAUUUUAGUUCAAACUUAUCCUUUUAUCAGUAUUUAAAAAGCAUUUUUCCAACAAUCCCUUACAUGAAAGGAAAUUUACUUGUUAUAUGUAAAUGAUAUGUUGACGCUUGAGAAAGUAUUUUUUAGACAUAAGUUGCAUUGGGAUAUAAGUAGCUUGUGGCUUUGGAAUUUCUUUAGUAAAAUACUAUUGGAUUUACUAGCUAAUCAUCGAAUAACGUGAUGUCUUGAGCAUUUUAACUUUUAUAUAAACCAAGAUAAUAGUAUUCACACAACUCCUUCUCAAACAUCAUAGAUUCUAACAGUUAUAUGUAUUUUAGCCUCGAACAACUCCUAUUUCUUAUGAGUGUUCUAGAGAAUUUCAACCUCAAAAUAGUAUCAAUUAAUAGCAAGACUAUCAUACUCCACAUGAUUUUUUAAAUAGGAUUCCUUAUAAUCAAAGCUUAGUCUAAUUUACAACACAGGCAAAACUAUUUCAUCAUAGGAAUAGGUAUGAGAGAUAAUCUCUCUAAUGCUUUGAUUUAUUCAUAACUAAGUUGUCCCUUUAAGCCUAAAUCCUGGUACAUUUAGUAAGUUAGUUUGGUUUACUAUUAUGAAUAAAUUUUAGUCAUAGGCUUUAAUUUCAUUCCUCUUGAUGAGCAAUUAACUUAUUCCCUUGAUAAAAUUAAGUGGAUCCACAAGAUUUCCAUUUGAAAGUAGUUAUCCCAUAGUAUUGUGUUUUCGACAUAUAUAACGAGAUUUACCAUUAUACAUGUCAUUGUGUGCCCUUUCAAUUGAUUAUCACAACAUAUGCUUAUGUUGAGCAUAGGUUUUUAGCUUGCAUUGUAUGCCCUCUUGGAAAUUACAAAGUCAUUAUGCUUCUUUUAAACCUAGUUUGUCUAAUGUUAAAAAUUCAGAUCCCAUGGUGGAUCUAAUGAUAUACCUUUGUUUUAAGAACUUCCAUAAUAUCCAUUUUCUUUUCAUUAUGAAUACAUAACCUCUAAUAGAUUCAAAGUCCUUUCUACUAGAUAUCUCAUUGUCAUGAUUAAACCCCUUUAGGGUUAGAGACAACUAUUUUAACUAAAUACCCCAACACUUUCAAGAACUUAAAGAAAUAUCUUUAUCCUUUCCAUAACUUAUAUUAUAUAUAUCUCUAUCCAAGCUAUAAUUUUGAGAGAAAAAAAAAAUCACUCAACACUAUCUUUUCUACAUGUAUUCCUUACAUAAUGUAUUGUAACUCUUGGACUUCACUCAUGACUAUCUUGGUGUCUAUAAUUUUGUAAUCAUAAACUUUGUUGACUAUGAAAUUCUUCAAGCUAGCAUAGAGAAGGAGAACGAUUCCAAGCUUCCAUAGUGCAUAUACUUGCAUAUUACUUUCUCCUCCCUUGAAACAGGGACAUCCUUUUGUAAGACCCAAGCAAGCUUUAAAGUUGUGAAGUAGAAUAACAUUUUUUGUUGUCACCUCUUGAAUUGUAUUAUAAGGAAAUUCUCUAGCUUAAAUAAGAUUUUUUGUGUGAAUUAUUGAAAAAUAUAUGCACUAACAAUUGUGGAAACUAAAUAAAUAAAGCAAAUAGAAAUGAAAAAUAGAAAAAUGAGAUUAUGAGACUAGAGUUUGACUGUAUCCUUAAGGUGAAUUUACCUCAUUCAAGUGCUUAUGGUUUAGUGACAAUCAUGUCCGAGGAUACAAUGAUCACAUUCUUGUGAUAGUAGUACAUUAAAUCAUAAGAUCGAAAUGAUGAAUCAAAUAACAUUUUGUACUCUCUACAUAAGCAUAGAUUAUUAAAGUGCAUGGGCAUAAGAUUAGAGAAACUUUGUCACGAACUUCUAAUCAAUGCUAUAAUAAUCCAUAAUUAUUUGGUGGUGUUAGCCUACAUAUAGAAGGGUUUUGACCACAAGGAGAAAAACACUUCAAAAUAUAUAUAUAUAUAUGAUAGGCACUAAAAAAAAUUGAAAUUGCAUAUGUAUUGAGUUCCUAAGUAAAUAGAAUUUUUAUAUAAAAACCAAAAUGGAAACUUAAUUUUCACCCUUUGAGCAAAUGUGGUAUCGAUUUUUCCAAAUGUAUCUACAAGAUUAGGAAGUAGGCUCAAUAGAGUAGUUAUUAUCUAGUUUUAUGAGAAUGGGUUUCAAAAGUUUUGAAAAUUAUAUCUUUCCUUUCUUUUAAUAAUUAUUGGCUUAUUAUUCAUCCAAAUAUCAUAUAUUGAAAAAUUGAAGAAUUUACAUCCAUUGCUCAAAACGCAAAGGCAAUUGAUUCACCAAUAAGGACUUAAAAUCUUACAAUUUUCAAAGCUCAUAAAUGUUAUAUUAUAUGAUCAUGAGUAAUUUAUCAAAUACUAAAAAAAACAAAACAAAACUUAAUCUAAAAAAAAAAUUGAAAAUUCAAAAAAAAAUGAGGAAUACCUUAGUAAGAGACACAUCAAAGCAGAGCUUGUUGGAGAGGACAUGCGCAACUUUGCCAAAGAGUCUACACAUUGCUUGUAGAGGACAAAGAAAAAGAAAAAGAUGAGGGAUUCACAUACAUCAAUUUAGACAUAGAGAAAUUGAGAGAUUGAGGAGAAUGCGUAGUGAUAGAUGAAUCGAGAGGGUUUAAUUGCUAAGCAAUUAAGAAAGAAGGUGAAUAAUUGGAUUGAUUGAGAUUGUGAAAAAAAAAAACUAUUUCUUUGAUUUUCUUAAGACCCAAAUAGAGAAUUAGGGUUUUUGAUUCUCAAAGAUUCUGAGGCUAAGUUGGUUUAAACAAUAGCCAAAAGUUUCAUUAUUUGUAGACACAUUAUAAAGAGUCAUUCUUUAUAAAGCAAAACAUAAAAAGUAUAUAAUUAUAUUCGAUUGUUAAGAAAUCUUUUUGUGUUUUUCUAAAAAAAAUUGAAAAAAUUACUUAAUUGUAUUUCUUUCAUUUUAUCUCAUCACAUUUACUUUUGUCAAGUGUUUCUUAAAAUAUUUAUACUAUAAAUGGAAUUAGUGUCUCUAUUUUCUUGAUAAUAGAUGUUAUUGAACAAUUAGAGUUAAAAAAAUUUACAUAUUUUAAACAUGUUGAUUAAUUUUAAGUCUUUUGGAAAAAUAUGAAAGAAAAAGAAAAAAAUAAGAUAUAUUUUCAAAAACCAAAUUUAAUUUUAUUAAUAUUAAAAAUAUUUUAUUAGAUUUGAAAAAAUUCAUAUUCAAAUAUUUCAAAGAUAAAAUAUUCUAAUGUUGAUUAUGUAUUACUAUAUUUAGAGGAAGAAGAAAAAAAUUAUUACUUUUAUUAUUUUAUUACCAUGCCCAAUGAAAGAACACGACUUUAGGCUAAGCAAGGUUAAUAAAAUACCAUAAAACUAUUAUCAAUUUGCAUUAGUUGGUUUGCCAAAUUUUGAAUCUAAGUCUAUCAAAUGAAGUAUGAUUGUUGUUUGGGUACUCAUUCAAAAAUUUGAUUAUGUAAUAUUUCAAAUAUAAUGUAACUAAUAAUUUAAUUAUUACAUAUAUCCCUUAUUUAUAGAUAAUCAUAUUUACCUAAAUUGAAACUACUAACAACAAACCUAUGGAAACCUUUAGAAGUUAAUUAAUUUUUCAAAUUUAGAAACUAAAAUCUUCAUCCCAAAUUAAUAGAUAUUCUAAUUGACUUAUAGCAACCAAAUCUUUUUUAUUUUUUAUUUUUAAGUUCUUAAUCUUAAAGUAUACUUUCCAACACUUAUAAAAACUAGCACAUAUAUAUGCAUAAAUGUGCAAAAAUUUCAAUGUUUGUCAUAUAGAUAUGUUUUUUGUAUUUGCUAAAACUGAGAGUGGGGGUAUAACUUCCAUCAGCAUCAUGUUAUGUUCUAAUUAACAUAAUCCAUCUAUUUGUUGUCAAAAAUUAUCAUUUUGAUUCAUCACAAGACAAAUCUACUAUUUGCAUUCAUGUGAUUGCUUUUAGUAUGUAUUUGCCAUUACCUAGUAACAAUGUAAUCAACUGAAUUUUUGGAUUUAGCUGAAAUUAUACCAAGUGAAUAAAAGCCCUCAAUCAAAACGAACCAACAUUUGCAAAAUGGAACAUAUAAGUUCAAUUUUAUAGGCUCAUUAUUAUCUCCCAUAGCAUGCUCAUUACAUACAUAGGGAAAGAAGAAAUCCAUAAUUAAAGCCCUCACCCUAAUGAUACUCAUGAAAUGUUGGAACAUAUCAAUAACCAUUUUGUCAUCACCAAGCUUGGAAUGAUAGUGAUUCAUAUCAAUUGAGAUCUCAAAUGGCGUAAUACUCGAUUGAAAAUUUUCAAUGUACUAAUGAGUGAAGACAACAAGUUAUGAGCAUAUGAAUAUGUAAUUUUCGCAUAUCAACAUAAGAGUUUUAAACUAAAAAUAAUAUCUGCUUGAUUUGGCUUAUUUUUUCAAUUAUAGGAAUGCAUUCAAGAGGUUCUAGGUACCUUCAAUCUGAUUAUCAUUGUAAGGAGCAUCUGAUAUUGUUAUCCUUGUGAUCGCACUCCUGGAGGAGUGCAUGAAUUACAAAUUGUUGAGUUCCUUGUUGGUGAAAAUGAUUGAUGACAGAGUCAAUAUUGUCUAGAGAGCCAUAAAAGUUCCACGCAUUCACACAUUAUACUAACUAGGUUGUGACCUCUCUCUUUUCAGUUGUCAAUGGUUUGUAGCUCCAAGCAAGGACCAUACUUGUUCUUCAGUAUGGGAAGUUAUGGUUCAUUUCCUAUUUAUAGGCUUUGAGGAAGUUGGAAUGUUGGUUCUAGUCCUCUGCCACAACAAAAUGGACUCCAACAAUUCUCUCUCUUAAAUCAUUACGUUUUAGCCAUCAAGUGAGUUAUUUAAUUUCAGCAUCAGAAUGGAAUAUUCAAUCCCCUUGAACUUAAAAUCUUCUCACCACUACAUGGAAACGAAUCCCUUGGAGUGAAAUUGUUAGCCAAUUAAGUCUCCAUGCUCUUUUGCUUCUCUUCUAGCCCAUCAUCAUACUCCCAUCAAUAACUGCUUAUGUAGAUAUACCUAGGCUCGAGGAAAACCAAUCUUAGAAUCAUUUUCCAAAAAAUUCUUCCAACUUCACAAUUGAAUCCUAUGAGACAAAAAUCCUAUUCUUUAAGGAACCUGCCUUCAUGUUGUAGGCUAGUGAUUCAUUUAGAAGUGGUUGUUCCACCCAUCAAGUUUUUUUCCCAAACAAAAUCCUUCUAGCUUCAAAAGUUGUGACUCUAAACUAUCAAUUGAAUCCUACAAAAUAGAAAUCCCUUUCUUUAGGGAACCUACCUUUAGAUUGUAGGUUAGUGAUUCAUUCAGAAUAGGUUAAACAAUGUCAUUAUCUUGAUGAGAUGUCGUGCUUUCAGAGUUCACAUGCAUAUAAAUCUUAGCAACUAUAUAAUUUAUCUAAAAUCACACUAUGUAAGCCUUCAAAAUUUCUAGAAGAAAAAGCAUAAGACAAUAGAUCAUUGAUAUGUAGGUCCUCUUCCUAAAUAUGGAGGUCCUCUCUCAUCACAAUGAUCAUACACUAACAUAUAAUCUUCAUCCUCCGAAAAUACUUAAGUAUACACUUGAUUGUCAUCCAAUGCUCCAUAUCUAGAUUGGACUAAUAUCUACUCACCAUCCCUACAGCAAAGUAAAUAUUUAGUCUAGUACAUAGAUUUGCAUACAUAAGGCUACCCACAAUUGAAGUAUAAGGUACUAUCUUUAUGUGAUCUUUCUCCUCAGUUGUCUUAGGACAUUGAUCUUAAGAAAGAGGAACUCCAUGUAUAAAGGAUAGCAUACCCUUCUUAGAGUCAUGCAUCACAUACUUGACUAAAAGCUUGUCAAUGUAGGUUGCUUGAGACAAUGUAAUCUUCAUAUUCUUUCGAUGUCGAAGGGCUUUAAUCCCAAGAAUAUAUUGCACCCCACCUAAAUCUUUCAUUUGGAAUUGAGUAGAUAACUGGAUCUCAAUUGAUAACAAUAACCCUACAUCAUCCCAAUGAGUUGAAUGUCAUCAACAUACAAGACCAAAAACACUACCAGGCUUCCUUACGUUUUUUUGUACACAUACACAAGGCUCGUCCUUGUUUUGAUCAAAAUCAAAAGUCUUGAUAACCUGAUCAUAACUCUUGUUCCAUGAGCAAGAUGUUUGUUUUAAUCCAUAUAUAAAUGGAUUUAUGCAACUUGCACACAAGGUGAUCUUGGCUCUUUGCUAAGAAUUCAUCCAAUUGCAUCAUAUAGAUGUUUUUUUAAGAUCACCAUUCAAGAGCAUUGUCUUGACAUCCAUUUACCAUAUCUCAUAAUCGAGACACAUCACAAUGGAUAAGAGUAUUCUGAUAGAUUUGAGCAUGGCUACUAGUGAGACGAUCUCCUCAUAGUCGAAAUUAGGUUUAUAACCCUUCACUACUAGCCUAGCUUUAUAUAUUCCAACCUUUCCAUCUACCCCUCUUUUCCUCUUGUAGACCCACUUGCACCUAAGAGUUUUAUCCCUUUAGGUGCUUGUACAAGAUUCCAGACUUUGAUAGAAUACAUAGAUUCUAAUUUUGCCUCUAUAGCUCCUAUAGCAUCAUCAUUGCUCAUUACUUCAUCAUAAUCAAUGGGAUUGAUUUCAUGUUCUUCUAGAAUUACCUCAAAAGACUCUCCCAAGUACAUAAAACCUAUUUGGUUGUAUAACAACUCUCCCACUACAAUGAGGCACUGAUGUACUAGAACUAUAAUGGUAGGUGUAGUAACCUCUAGACCCAUUGUCCCAUGUGCUAAUGUGAGAGUGUCUUCAAGUACCCUCCAAUCUAUAUCACAUUUUGCCCUGUCACUCAUCAUAUAGUCCUUUUCCAAAAAUCUUGACAUUUGUACUAACAAAUACUUUUGGGUUGACCUGACUAUAAAAGUAAGGCCCUCUCGUUCCUUCAGAUAACCUACAAACCAACAUACCCUAAACCUUAUGCAACCACAAACCGAAAUACCUUUUGUGAAUAAUUUGUGUUAUUCACAAAAUAACCAUCAAAAUAAAAGCAAUGAUAUAAGAAAAUAUAAGAAAAUUUUUGAAAUCCAAAAAGCUCUAAAAUUAAGUUCAACCAUAUGCAACCACUGUUUUUAUCUCAUAGCCCAUUCAAUUUCCAAAGAAAAUAAAAAUAAUAAAUUUUCAUAAAGUUUAUAUUCGAAAACGAAAUCAGUAACACCAAAAUCAUAAAAAUUGAUCACAGAUGAAUUUAAUAUAACUUUUCAAAGUUGAGCACAUCAAAUGCAAUAAACUAAAAGAAUUCAACUAUCAUUUAUUUAAACAAAAUUUCUUCAAUUACAACUCUAAAGCAUAAUCCAAAAUCACCUAUGCAUUUACUAAAAUAAAAUUUCAACGGAUUUGGCAAAUCAACAAGUUAGAAUUUGGUGUUAGUUCCCAAAUUAUUAUAUUUGAAAAUUAGGGAGUUAAUCUCAAAUUUUCCAUGUAUUUACCUUCAUUACUAUAGGUAUCUAAUAAUGUAAUACAUGGAAUCAUAACUAAUAUUAAGAAAAAUAAUCUUAAAUAAAUAUUUCCUUUUUAUCAUUUUCUUACAAACUGAACAUUCUUAAAAAAACUUAAUUCCCAUCCUAUUUACUAAUUAAUUAUUUCAUUUACUCUAUUAAUUAAUAUAAUUGUAGACUUUUAAAGUUUACUAACUUUAUCUAAAGAUGCACUAACCUUAAUUCUUGACUGUCCCUCACUUUCUAAUCUUCCAAACACCUUUCUCUCUAAAACUAUAAAAGAAACACAACAAUUAGUGAAGCCAAAGCAUAUAUAUAUUUGAAAACAAAUUAUUUGAAACCCCCAUGAUUAGUUCCAAUUUAAUUAUUUCUAAUUAUUGUCUCUUGAUUUUAGUUAUGAAGUUAAAAACUUCCUAUGUAUUGUAAAUAAUAUCAAUAUACAUAUACAUAUAUCAAUGACAAUGUAUACUGCAAUGAUAUAACAAUGCACAUAUAUUUUUUCAAUUUUUUUAUAAGUAAAGCCAAAUUCAACUUCCUAUUAAAAAUUAUUAUACUAUUAUUUAAAUUGUAAAAGAGGUUAAAAAUGAUCACAAAAUGGGGAGAGAAGUGAAAUACUCCUAUAUGAAAAGUUACAUUACUGUAUCAAAAGUCAUAAUGAAAGGUAAAUAUAAUUUUUUUCUCACAAUGAAUAUUGAAGAAUUAUCAUUUAAAUAUUUUGAAUAGUCAUUGAAAUUAAUAGUGAUAAUUGGUGAAUAAAAAUUUUAUUUAAUAUAUUAGUUUUUUUUUUCAUGGGAAAACAAUGACACAUAAAAAGUUAGAACUAGAGAAAUGACUUAUAUAAAUAUAUAUAUAUAUAUAUAUAUAUAUCAACAUCAUAUGUAAGUACAUAUGCCUUGUUAGAAUUUAAAACUAAAAAUUUUAAAAUUUUAAAAUUUAUAUUUAUGGAUUUUAUGUUAAAUCUUUAUAUUAAACUCAUAUUUUGUUAAAUCAAACCUUUUAAAACUCAAGUAUUCAAGGUUUUAUAUGGAAUGAUAUAUUUUAAUUGUUUAAAUACUACCAUCCUCAAUGAAAUUGGUUAUAUAUUAUCUCAUACUCCAUGCUUCUAAUAUUUAUCCACAUAUAGACAUUUUUUAAUCUAUUUUGUACUAUAUAUAUAUAUAUAUAACCUUACAAUAUACUAUAUGGGAAAAUAGGAAAAUAAUACAUGAAAUAUUUUAUGAGUUAAAAACUAUGUUAUUAAUAUUCAUAUACAUAUCUUUACCUAUAAAAUUCCCAAAGUAAUAAAAUUUGAAAACUUAAUAUUUUUUUGAAAAAUAAAAAAUCCAAAAUAAUGAUUGUAAAGUACUAAAGACCAAGUAGUUUACCCUCAUAGCUCACUUAUAUUAUUAUUUAUAAAAUUAUAUUUUGGAUUUUUAUUUUUUUUGAAAUUUUAUUUAUGUGAAAAUUUUGUUUAUGUAUUAACAUAAAAAUUUUAAAAAUGACUACAUAAGUGUAGAAAUGAAAAUUUCCUAUGAGCAAAGUAUGUUUGGCUUUCGAGGAUAAAAUUAUUUUGAAAGAGGCUCCUAUACCAAAGGCUCCAUCAUUCGUAUGUGUGCCUUGCUUAUCUCCUACUUAGGUGCCUGUCAGGAAUUGCUGCAAGUUAUAGAUUAAUCACCAAUCAAAUAAGUGAGAAUUUUCAUAGAUUAUCACUUAUUCUCGUCCAUCUUAAAGUUAUAGGAUUGUUUAAUUUGAAGGACACAAAAUUGAUAUGUUGUAAUCCGUAGAAGCUAGUGGUGUGUUGCUGCUUGCAAGUGUUGAGGGACGAACCAACAAAAGGUACCAAUCACUACCCCAAUGCUCCUUACCAAGGAUUAAAAUAUCACUAUAUUUCAGCGAUAUAUAGCUGAAAUAUCGAGUAUCGGUGGACCUCAACAUAAUAUAUGGGGGAGAUAUAUCAGUCUCUUGAUUUUUUGACAAUUUAGCAUCCCUCACCAAAAGGUUUGUAAUGCGUUGUGCCAACCACUAGGCCAAGUUUACCACUUAUAUAUAAGUUGCAUCAAAUAUAUAUAUAUAUAUAUAUAUAUAUAUAUAUAUACUCAAAUUCAACAUAUAAACAUAAUAAAAAAAUGUUUCAAAGAACAAAUUAAUUAUAAUUAAAUGAAAAAAUUUCAUCUAUUUGAAUACCAAAAAUAUAAAAAUUAUCGUGAUAAUUUUCUUUAUAGUGUUUUUAAUAUCAAUAAUACAUUAAUUAAGUAUUAAAAAUUAUACAUAUAUUAUCAUUUAUUUUAUAUCAUUUAAUACAAUUGAACUAAAUGAAUUAUAAUUUUAAUAUUAAAUAUAUUUUUAAAUUUGACAUAUUAUAAUCAAAUAUCAUAAUAUUAUUAUUGAAUAAUAUUUGAUAUAAUUUAAUAAUAAAUAUAUACUUAUGAAAUUCAUAUUUUUUUAAUUAGCAUAUACAAUAUUAUUAUCAAAUAUAAUAAAUUAUAUUAUAUAUAUAUCAAUUACAAUUCUAUUAUACUUUUAAUUUUAUUUUUAAGAGUUUUUUCUUACAUUUUUAUAAUUUCUGAUUAAUUUUAGGUUCACAAAUGUUUUGUGUCAAAAUAUCGGUCGAUAUAUCUCCGAUAUAUCCAUAAUUAUCGAUAUUUUCAUCAUUGCUCUUGACAUGUGUUUGUUUCAAGAAUCACUUUUUGUCCCAUAAUUCGACUCUUUUUGGCAGUGCAUUUAAAAAGCAUUUCUAGUAUAAAAAAAUAUUUUAAAUCAUCUCUAGUAUAAAAGAUAUUUUAAAAAAUAAAAAAGAAUUUUUUGACAAAAUUUAGAAAGCAUUUUCAAAUAUUUGAAAAUAGUGUUUUCCAAAGAAAUACUCAAUAGGUAAUUCUCUAAAAACACUUUUAAAGAAAAUGUUUCCAUUAAAAUUACCUCGAAUAAAAAUACUUUCAAAUACAGUGUACAUUUCACUAGUAAGAACAUAUUUGAUAAUGAUUUUAAGAAACUUUUUUAAUAUUUCUAAUUAACAUUUGAACAAUAAAAAAUUUAAAGUAUUAAAAAUAUUAAAAGCGCUUCCUAUAAUCACCAUCAAACGGGCUCUACAUCUAAUAGUGUUUUUAUUUGAAGUGUUUUUAAUGAAAAUGUUUUCUCUAAAAAUGUUUAUUUGAAGAAUCACUUAUCAAAUACUUUUUAGAAAAUCCUAUAAGUGAUCUUCUAACUUUUUAAAAAUACUUUUUAAAUUUUGUUAUGCCUUUUUGACAAAAAAAAAAAAUCAUUUCCAAACAUAACAUUUAAAACCCAUUUGAUAGUAAUUUUAGGAAGAGUUUCUAAUAUUUUUAAUACUUUAAAAUUUUUAUUAUUCAAGUAUUAAAAUGAUUAAAAACAUUUUUUAGAAUUAUUAUCGAACACAUUCUUAAUUACCCUUUUAUUUUAGACCAGAGAGAAACAAAAACAUAUAUGGCUGUGUGCUACUUGAAUAUAACAUAUUCUGGAUCCACUUGCAACCUGUUAAGGAUCGAUACUUAUGAAAGGAAGAACAAUUUCAGCAGUACAAACUGACUCACGCUUGUUCCUCCAACCAGAAACACUGAAGUUCUUACACAGGCAUCUACUAGUUUAACAUGAACAACAUUCAAAGCGGAGAUUUACACAGGCCCCUUCACUGAAAAGCAAACAAGAAGGGAAAAAGAAAGAGAUAAUUACUUGUAAAGUCCCAUUUAGAAGGUCCUCAUCAACCACUGGUGCCUGAGACAACUUUGUCAGCUUCACCUAGAGGCUGAUCAAUUUUCAAAUCGUCAAAUCCUUAAAUAUUAAUCAGCCUUCCAUGAAACCCUUCCAAGCAGCUUGAAUCUGAGUCCUGAGAUCUACAAAACCAUUUCGAAGAGCAAGAAGGGCUUUCUCCUCUUUGACCUGACUGUUGAGCAAGCGUCGGCCCUCUGAGGCCUCAUCAGCUUCACGCUCCUCCAGCUGUUGGGCAAGCACAUGCUGUACUGCAUCCAUCUUGACCUGAUCCGCAGAAUGAGAUUUCUGCUUAGGGAGGUUUGCCUGAUCGAAAGCCUUGGGGGUGUCUCCUUGGAAUUCUGCUGCGGUGAAAGUAGCCUCUUCUGCAGAUGCAUCGUUAUGUGAACGGCCUUGAUGGUCCCUGAACCUCCCGAGUUCAAUCUCCAUUAGGCUAUUGCGGUGGGAAAUCUCCAUCAAACAUUCAGAAAUCUACUGAGCAAAUAAAAGUUAGGGCCAGAAUAAGCACACAUGCGGAAACAGAAUGGAUUUUAGAUUCAGGCAAGAGGGGAAACGCUCUAGUCCCAAAUCCAUUUGAAUUCCCAAAGAUGCUUUUUAGAUAGAAAUGCAAAAGAAAAGCCUUCAUAUUCCCAAUCCAUUGUUUCAUAUCCCUUAAAUCAGGUAGCCUGACAAGUAGAUCCAAGAAGAGACCGCUUACAGAUUGCAAGACCUCAGAGGUUAAAGUCAGAAGAACAUAAAUCACGAAUCUUACGUACACAUUGUAAUAGCUCAGUUGUCUCUGGUGGGUCAAGGGGUACUGUGGCCUGAAUCUUUUGAGAGGAUGUCUUCUGCUCCUGUAAUAGAGCCUGCCUCAAUAUUCUCUGAUGAAUAGAGUGAACUGAGAGGAUUUUCUGAUAAGAUUUCUGGGUAGGUUGAACAGGCUUCGACUUGAACUGGGCCUUGGGCGGAGCCAUCUCGGCUGCAGUUUGAGCUAGACGCCUCUUUCUUUGCAUUAGAACAGUGGGAACAGGUGCUUGAAAUUGAAAAACCUUCCUACAAAACUAUAUACAGAGGUCAAGACAGGCACAAGCUUUAUUCCUUCGUAAGGAGAAGAAAUUAAAUAGCGUUUGCUCAGGUUUAAUGCAAAAAAAAUAGAAUUCAAAGAUUGAGACACAGAGUGAGAGAGAAAGGAUGAAGCCACAAUGAAGAAGGGAUGAGGAAAGGAAGAGGAAAAGACUCAUUCAAGGAAUAAUCAUUCAUCAAAUGGUCUGUUGCCAUGUUUAGGAUUUACUUCAUGUAUAAAUAUUAGACGUCUCACUUUUCCAAGAAUCAAGUUCCUAAAAUUUUAGUUUUUCAAAAGCUGAUUUUUCCCCAUUAAUACUAUUAUUAUUAAUAUUAAUAUUAAUUAAUUAAUUAAAUUAAUUCAUAUAUAUGUUGAAAAGGGUGAAUAUAUAUGUAAAUAUAAAAUGAACAACUUGAUCAUCAAGGCAUAACAUAUAACAAAAAAGCUUGAAUUGGAUAAAAUAAUUGCACUUGUUUUCCUCUUUGGGUGAAAUAUGUAAAGAUAUGGUGUCUAAAAAACAUAGAGUUUUUAAGAACCUUUAUAAAAUAAUUCAAUAUGAUGCACUUAAAUAGUAACAUCGUUAAAAAUUCCAAAAUUGCCCUUCAAUUCUUUUCUCCCCUGUAAGCCAAUUAACCCAUUUGUUUUGUUUUUUUUUUUUUUUUUUAACCUUGAAAUGACGAGUGAAAAGAACUCUAUAUAUGCUUGUCAAUUAUUUUUAAGGUUAACAUAUGGCUAACAAACAUGUCACAAUAUUUUUCAUUUUUUUCUUUUUUUCUUCGUUUUAGCUAGAAAAUAAUACACCUUUUUUAAAAUUUCAUUUUUGUUUACUCUUUCACUUUUUCAUAUUUAUUGAUUUUAAUUAUUUAGAGACAUUUAAAACAUAAAAUAAUAAUAACAAUAACAAUAAUAACAAUAAUAUAUUAUAAAUAAUUAAUAAGAAAAAAUUAAUAUAAAAAUAAAUACAUAAUGCACAAAUUUUGAGGUUUAGAAUAUAAGAUUUUAUACAUUCAUGUCAAAUGAAAUAUUUACUUAUUUGAUAAAUCUUAUCAUAUAUAGAUUAAAUAAAAAUACUUUUAUCAUAUUUUUUAUUAUUUAUAUUUUUUAAAAUUUUUUAAUUUUCAUGUGAAAAUUAAAAUUAAUUAUCAUGAUUUUUAACUUUUUGCUUUUGAUUCUUACUUGAAUGUAGUUUUAACUUUUUUUUUAGUUAAAAUGUUUAACAUUUGUAAUUAAAAAAGAUAGAAACUUGGUUGUGGUUCUAGCAUUUUGCUUUAUUAAAGUUUUUAUUUUUUAUUUAUAUAAAUAAAAAUAAAAUAUAUUUUUCAUAAAAAUUGUAUUUAAUUAUUUAUGUUAAUUUUCUUUUAAUUUUAUUAAAAAUUAAAAAUUUUGCAUAGUGAAAUUGGGUAUUGAUAAACAUAACCCUUGAAAAAAAGGGUACCACUAUUUUAUUAAAAUAAAAAAAAGUAAUACUAAAGUGUGUUAUAAGUAUCACAAAAGUAUUUAACAUACUUUAAUGUUACUUUUUUCAUAAAAAAAAAUGUGGUACUGUUUUUUCUUAUGAUUGUGUUGAUAGCACAAUUUUCGUAUACAAUUAAAAAAAAAAUCAAGAAAAAUUAAUAUAAAUGGUUAAAUAUAAUUUUUUAUAAAAAAAAAUAUUUUUUAUCUUUUAUUUUAUAUAAAUAAAAAUUAAAAAAAUUAAUAAAGUAAAAUGUUAGAACCACAACUAAGUUUUUUUUUUGUCUUCUUUAAUUAAAAAUAUUUAAAAAAAAAAUAGUCAAAUAAAAUAAAAUAAAAUCAUGGUCAAGUUAGAUUCAAAAGCAAAAAACUAAAAUUAUAAUCAUCAACCUGAUUUUCACAUAAAAAAAUUAAAAUUAAAAAAUAUACAUAAACAAUAAAAUAAUAUUAAAAUAUAAUCAGAUUUAUAAAAUAAAUAAAUGUUUUAUUUAGCAUAAAUAUAAAAAAUCUUAUGCCCUAACUCUCUAAAUUUGUUCACCAUGUAUUUAUUUUUAUAUUAAAUUUAUUUUCAUUAAUUAUUUAUUAUAUAUUAUUAUUUUGUGUUUAAAAUUUCAUAAAUAAUUAAUGAAAAUAAAUAUAAAAAGAUGAAAUAUUAAAAAAAUUGAGAUUAAAAAAAUUUCAUCAAGCUAACUGUGGACCCCGCAUUUCGGCUCAAUGCGUUUCCCACUCGAAUGGCGAGCUCGAUUUUUAUUUGAAAAAAAUUGAUUUUUGUUGAUUAUUUGAAAAUGACUUGGAGUCGCCACUUAUUUUUGUUUUAUUUUUAAAGGGUAAACAAAAUAAGAAAGAAAAACCCUAAGUGCGACUUCUUGUUUUGGAAAAAGCUGGUCUGUGAAAAAUCGGAUCGGGUUCGGGGGUUAGGUUACUUAUCGGGAAGGUACGGUAAAGACCGUAGCACCCCUCUAAGUCCCUAAAUGGGUCUCUACUAAUAAAAUGAAGCAAUCAUGGCAAUUAAUUAAGAGAUCAAUGAAUACCCAGAGUGAUCAUGCACAUGUGGGAAUCUAAACAUGCAUACAGAAAAAUGACCCGAGCGGGUGUGGAUGCGUACCUAGACAGUGAUCCAUAAAGCGCUAUCAAGAAGUGAGGCUAGCGCACAAUUAAUGAAUAAUUUCGAGCAUGUCAUAGAGCAAAAUAAAAUCGAUCAUGCAUGGCAAUUUAAUCAAACAAACAAUCAAUCAUUCACGAGGAAAGCACGUAUGUUGGGCUCCACCAAAGCCCAUUCAUUUUUGCAGGAAUUAAUAUCACAAAUCCCAUUAUUCUUGAAUUAUGAAAAUAGCAUUCAUGUUUAUAUAAAAUCAAGAGAAAUCGAAGAUUAUUUGAAACCCGAAGAGAAUUAAAACUGUUAGAGAGGAAAUUGAAUUUUUGAAAUUUAUUUGGAAAUUGGAGUCUCGAAAAUUAUUUGAAGAUUGGAGUCUUGAGAAUUAAAUUUAAGAGUUGGAAUUUUAGGAUGUCAAACUUGAAGGAAAUUAGAAUUUUAGAAAUCAGAAAUUAAGUGCGAAAGUUGGGAUUCAAAAAAAAAUGUUUAAAAAUGGAAUUUUGAAAUAAAUAAAGGAACUAAUAAUAAUAAGGACGAAAAUAAUGAUUAAAUAAACGAAUGGGGAUGCUGGAAUUUUUGAAAUUGGAAAUUAGAUUUAGAAGUCAGAAAGUUUAAAGAAUUGUUUAAAAUAGAAUUUUAAGAUAAAUAGACAAACUAUUAGUGAUUAAAUUAAUGUGAAUAUGAGAAUUUUCAAGAUUAGGAAUUUGAUUUGUAAAUCUGAAGUUUUAAAGAAUUGAUUUAAAAUGGAGAUAAAAUACUAAUGAUUAAAUAAAUUAAUGAGAACAUGAGAAUUUUCGGGAUCGGGAGUUUAAUUCGGAAAUCAACGAUUUUAAAGAAUUUGAUUUAAAACGGAGUUUUGAAAUAAAUAAAUAAAUAAAAUACCAAUGAUCAAAUAAUUUAGUGGGAACAUGAGGAUUUUUGGGAUUAGGAAUUUGAUUCGGAAAAUCAGAAGUUUUAGAGAAUUUGAUUUAAAAUGGAGUUUUGAAAUAAAUAAUCAAAAUAAUAAUAAUUAAAUAGAUUAAAGUGAGUAUGAGAAUUUUCGGAAAUCGAAAUUGAGUUUUAAAGAUCGGAAUUUUGAAGUAUUAUUUGAAGGUUGAAUUUUUAUAAAUUGGGCUUGGAAAUUGGAAGUUAGGAAGUUUGAAUUAAUAAUAAUAUUAAGGCCUUGAAAGUUUGAAUUAAUAAUAAUAAUAAUAAUAAUAAGGUUUUGAAAGUUUUAAUCAAUGAUAAUAAUAAUAAUAAUAAUAAGACUUUGAAAGUUGAGGUAAUAAUAACAAUAAUGAUGAGGUUUUUGAAAGCUUGGAUUAAUGAUGAUAAUAAUAAUAAAUAGAUUUUUGAAAGUUGAGUUAAUAAUAAUGAUAAUAAUAAUUAAUGAUAAUAAUAAUAAUAAUAAUAAUAACAAUGAUAAUAAUGAUUAAUAAUAACAAUAAUAAAUAUAAUGAUAACCAUGAUUAAUAAUAAUAGUAACAAUCAUAAUGCCGAUAAUAAUAAUAAUAAUAAUGAUAGCAAUGACAAUAAUAAUUAAUGAUAAUGAUAAUAAUGAUUAACAAUAAUAGUAAUAAAUAUAAUGAUAACCAUGAUUAAUAAUAAUAGUAACAAUCAUAAUGACAAUAAUAAUAAUAAUAAUAAUGAUAGCAAUGACAAUAGUAAUUAAUGAUAAUAAUAAUAAUAAUUAUAAUGAUAAUAAUGAUUAAUAAUAAUAGUAAUAAAUAUAAUGAUAACAAUGAUUAAUAAUAAUAGUAAUAAUAAUAGCAAUGACAAUAAUAAUUAAUAAUAAUAAUAAUAAUAAUAAUUAUGGUAAUAAUAGAAAUGGGCUCAAGACAAAGGCCCCAUCUUCAGCAUAGGCUUAGGCCUGGGCUCCAAAUUCAAACCCAAGCCCGAAGCCUUCAUAAUCCAAACCCAAAACCAAACUCAAAACUGGGCCUAGCCUUAGCCCAAGCCCAAAAACCAAGCCUUCGUCUUCUCCACAGCUUCUUCUCACUUCAGGCGACGGCGACGGAGGAACUGGAGGCGAAAGGCUUCGCCGGAGCCCUUGAAGCUGGUCCGAGCUACCUGCUUUCCGCGCCGCGCCGCCGCGUCGCGCUGCUCCCUCCAGCGUCGAAAGCGUCUAGCUGCAGCGGCCUGGAGGCGGUGCGGAGCUCGCUACUGCAGCUUUUACAGGCGCGCGAGGGGCUUCCUCUUCCGGCAGCGACACCGCCUGAGUCGGGUACGAUGUAGGCGGGAUCAAAGGUACGUCUUGCGCGCGCGGGUCGCAUGCCUUCCCGUGCCUACGUCAAGCGGCUCUCCAUGCUUCCCCAGUUGGACUUGGGACCUCUCGCGGUGGGGGGCAAUGACUGCGGCGACGUGGUCCUGGAGCGAUGACAGCGGCGGCGCGGUCCCGGAGCAAGAGCAGAUGUGAGCGUAACCGGAGCGGGUGAAGGCGGCGGGUGAGGAGCAGGGGCCUUGUUGGAAUGUGGGGUGGCGACGAAAGGGAGAUGGUAUAUUGGUGCGUGAUAGUGUGGGUAUUGGGGGUGGAUGAUGAGCAUGGUAAUUGGUGUUGGAUGAUAAGGGAGUGGCAUGCAUGAAUGAUACGUGAAGGUUAGUGAGAGAAAGGUGGUGAGUAUAAAAAUGGGUGUGGUGAGUAUGAUAGAAUGGCUAUGGAAGGAUGGCCGGGUUUGUAUGGAUUCCAUGCGCGUGGGUGAGUAGAUUUGGAACCUCAGUGAAGCCUAUGGAUGAGUUCUGGAGGUUAUGCAAAGUGUAGGAAACGGGCUGUGGAAUUUCUGAUGUAGGAUCUCUGUCAUGCAUGCAAUGCCAGGGAGGAUGGGCUUCGGGUGGAACCAAAAGAAAGACACAGAAAUGGUCUCCAAAAAUCAGGUGCUAUGAUGAAUCCAAACUCAGAGCCUUCCCAAAACAGAAAAUAAAUUACACAAAUGGUCUUCAGAUGUCAAAGGAAGCUCCACACUGACUAGGAACAGAGGAGAACAGUUCCAAAUGGGAGAAGCAAAAUAGGUUAGAAUCAUACCUGAACCAAGAGAAAAUCCCUGGUGAGUAGGUCCAGUCCGGCCCCUCUCUCGAUCUCGGGCUCCUCUGCGGACGUCCUCUGCUCCAGAAAAGUCCCCCCUCCCUCUUUGCAGAUCUCCCCCUUUUUUCCUUUUCUCUUCCUCUUUUUCUCCGUUUUCAGUCUUCCUCAGCAAGCCAGCCGUAUCCUGUCCCCUCUGCCGCCUAAAAACUCUGCCUCCCCUGCAGCCUCAGAGCCCCCAAACACAGCUCUCCCAUCAUGUCGAGCCCCCGGGAAAAUAAAAAUUAAAAUUCAAAAAAAAAGUCCCUGCUUCCGGGGGUCUACAAAUAUGCCCCUCUUUGAUAGAGUUCACGAGUGUAAGGAAUGUGAACACUAGAGUGAAAAAGAAGUGUGAAAAGUGAGUGAAAUGAAGUGAACUCUAUCAAAGAACAAAGAAAGACCCCCGAACCCGAAAGGUACAAGUAGAACACAAAUUCACUCGAGGCUCUAAAAUUCUAAGAGAGGCUCAAGGCGCCUCGAAAGUUGCAUCGAGGACCCAGACUCCCUCUAAGACAUCUCUACAGGUGACUCAAGAGAUCAAUGUCAAAGAUGAGUAACGGUCGAACCACCCUGGAGUACGAGAUGAAUAUGGGAUAAGCACCGGGUAACGAAGUGAGGAAAACCGAGGACGAAUGCAAAACCCUGAAGGUAAGAUGUGCAAUGCCAGUGGACAUGAACGCCAGGAGUUGUGACUCUGGAUGACAAGACCGACUCUAGGCACUAAAUUGAGAAAAUAAAAGCUUUGGAAGCCAAACCGAAAAGCUAACUCUAAUCACUAAACCAAGAAAGUAAAAGCUCUGGAAGCCAAACCAAAAACUGACUCUAAAAGCUAAACUAGAAAAUAACAGCUCUGGAAGCCUAAACAAGACGACAAUGAUGGCUCUAGAAGCCUAAACGAGACGAUAGUGAUGGCUCUGGAAGCCUAAAUGAGAUGAUAGUGAUGGCUCUGGAAGCCUGAAUGAGACGACAGUGAUGGCUCGGGAAGCUUGAAUGAGACGAUAAUGAUGGCUCUGGAAGCCUAAAUGAGAAGACAGUGAUGGAUUUGGAAGCCCAAACGAGACGAUAGUGAUGGCUCUGGAAGCCCGAACGAGACGAUAGUGAUGGCUCUGGAAGCCUGAAUGAGACGACAGUGAUGGCUCUAGAAGCCUGAACGAGACGAUAGUGAUGGCUCUGGAAGCCUGAAUGAGACGACAGGGAUGGCUCGGGAAGCCUGAAUGAGACGAUAGUGAUGGCUCUGGAAGCCUAAAUGAGAAGACAGUGAUGGCUCUGGAAGCCCGAACGAGACGAUAGUGAUGGCUCUGGAAGCCUGAAUGAGACGACAGUGAUGGCUCUGGAAGCCCAAACGAGACGAUAGUGAUGGCUCUGGAAGCCUAAAUGAGACGACAGUGAUGGCUCUGGAAGCCCAAGGAUGAAAAUCCAUGGUGGUGAAAACUGAAACAAAUGCUCAUAGAUGAAAAUCUAUGAUGGUGAUAAAUCUGAAACAAAGGGGGAUGCCCUAAACGAACUAAAAACGGGGGAACGCCCUAAACAAGAUGAUGGUAGGGGGAUGCCCUAAACGAAAUGACAGUGGGGGAUGCCUCAAACGAAAAUGAUAGUGGGGGGAUGCCCCAAACGAAAAUGACAGUGGGGGGAUGCCCCAAAUGAAAAUGACAGCGGGGGGAUGCCCCGAACGUAAAUGACAGAGGGGGGAUGCCCCAAACGUAAAUGACAGCGGGGGGAUGCCCCAAACGUAAAUGACAGUGGGAGGAUGCCCCAAACGUAAAUGACAGUGGGGGGAUGCCCCAAACGUAAAUGACGGCGGGGGGAUGCCCCAAACGUAAAUGACAACGGGGGGAUGCCCCAAACGUAAAUGACAGUGGGGGGAUGCCCCAAACGUAAAUGACAGUGGGGGGAUGCCCCAAACGAAAAUGACAGUGGGGGGAUGCCCCAAAUGAAAAUGACAGCGGGGGGGAUGCCCCAAACGUAAAUGACAGUGGGGAGAUGCCCCAAACGUAAAUGACAGUGGGGGGAUGCCUCAAACGUAAAUGACAGUGGGGGGAUGCCCCAAAUGUAAAUGACAGUGGGAGAUGCCCCAAACGUAAAUGACUGUGGGGGGAUGCCCCAAACGUAAAUGACAGUGGGGGGAUGCCCCAAAUGAAAAUGACAGUGGGGGGAUGCCCCAAACGAAAAAGACAGUAGGGGAUGCCCCAAACGUAAAUGACAGCGGGGGAUGCCCCAAACGUAAAUGACAGUGGGGGGAUGCCCCAAAUGAAAAUGACAGUGGGGGGGAUGCCCCAAACGUAAAUGACUAUGGGGGGAUGCCCCAAAUGAAAAUGACAGUGGGGGGAUGCCCCAAAUGAAAAUGACAGUGGGGGGAUGCCCCAAACGAAAAUGACUGUGGGGAGAUGCCCCAAACGUAAAUGACUAUGGGGGGAUGCCCCAAAUGAAAAUGACAGUGGGGGGGAUGCCCCAAACGUAAAUGACUGUGGGAGGAUGCCCCAAAUGAAAAUGACAGUGGGGGGAUACCCCAAACGAAAAAGACAGUGGGGGAUGCCCCAAACGUAAAUGACAGAGGGGGAUGCCCCGAUAUGACAUCGGAUGUGUGAUAGGUCAGAAGAACCAAAUGAGCUCAGAUCACUCGUCAUCUAAUGCGCGAUCCAAAUCCCACGUGUACAACUGAAUCAGACCCAUAGAUCAAAAGGGCGUCCCCUGGAAGGAAAGCAUGAUGACAUCGAGGCGUCGCGAAGUGCAGCCCUAACUGGGUAACUCCUGAGAGGCUCCACGGAGGAAACAUCGUGUCCAUGUGUAUCUCGUGAGUGGGGAUGAGCAUGCAACUCCAUGAAGAUCCGUAAGUCUCAUCUAGAAUGGUAAUAUGCCCCAGUAUGGCAUCGAACGUAUGACAAGUCAGAAAUUGGCCGACAUGAAAUCAUCUAUCAUCGAGCAUGUGACCUCCACGAAGAUCCGUAAAUCUCACCCAAAACGGAAAUAUGCCCCAGUAUGACACCCGAUGUACCCGAUCUGUCCUGAUGACCCGAGAAUAACGCCAAUGGGACGCGUAACAGAUCGUAUCCCUCUGAAAUGAUGACGCGGGAAAUCCAGGCACCAGAGACAACUCCAUACGACUAUAUCAAAGGGUAUGAAUCUGGCUGAAUGACUCAAAAGAGGCUCAUCGGAGUAGCCGGACAAAAUGAGAUCAAACAUCGACCUGGCAUGUAUCUCAUAACCGUGGAUGAUCAUGUAAACCAAUGUGGAUCUACAAAUCUCGAUCAAGAUGGGGAAUGCGCCCCAAUGUGGCAUCGAGAAUGCAAUACGUCGAAAAAUCAGAUGAGCUCGGGUCAUCCAUGCCUGGCUAGACGGCUCUCGAUAGGCUCCACUAAGGAAUCAUCGUGAGGAUAGCAAAUAUAUCAUCAUCUCUGCAUACAUCUCGCCAAAUAAGGAUAAGCAUGCGACUCCCUCAUGAUCUGUAAAUCUCAUUCGAAUCGAAAUAUGCCCCUGUAUGACAUCGAAAUGUAUGAUAGGUCGGAGAUCAGAUAGCAUGGAAUCAUUUAUCCUCGAACCUAUGACCUCUGCAAAGAUCCAUAAAGAUCCUCCGAAACGGAAUAUGCCCCAGUAUGGCAUCAGGUGCGCGACAGGUCCGAAGAACAAAUGACAUGAAAUCAUCAAUCGUCGAGCAUGUGACCUCUGCGAAGAUCGGUAAAUCUCACCCAAAACGGAAAUAUGCCCCAGUAUGGCAUCGGAUGUGUGACAGGUUAGAAGAACAACAUGACAUGAAGUCAUCUAUCGUCGAACAUGUAAUACUGGUCAUCCGAAUCCAUAACUGAAUCAUGCACAUAUAUCCAAGAUGUACCUCCCAGAUGGAGAGGCAUGAUGGCAUCCAAGUGUCGAGAAGUGCGGACCCGGCUGGGUGGAUCUCAGAGGCUCCGUAAAGUAACGAUCAUGUCCACGUCUCGAUGAGCAUCCAGUAAGUGAUGAUCGCGCAAGUCCGUGAGGAUCCAUGAAACCUCCAAAUGAAAUGGGAUAUGCCCCAGUGUGGCACCAGAGGUAUGAUAGGUCAAAAAAACAGGUGAUACCAAAUCAAUCAUCAUCAAACUCACGAUCCUGGUAAUCCGAACACAACUGAAUCAGACCUACACAUCGAAGAGGCGACUCCCAGAAGAAGAAGCAUAACAAUAUCUAAAUAUCAACCAGAUCUCAAUCACCUAUCCAAGUAGAGGCUGCUGAAGACGACAUGUGAUCCCAUGGCCUCAGGGUGGUCUUAAGACGCGGGACGUAAUGUAGGCCAAGGUGAUAGGGUGAUAGAAAUGAAAGGAAACUAGGCUCAAAUACCCAAUGAUCAAAACUCAUGCCCUCAUAUAUGAAACGCAACAUGUAUAGUGAACCCUAUGAGCCAUGGACCUGAGAAUGCCUAACGUGAAUAUGAUAUCGAUAAGGAGACAAAUGAAGCAAAAUGAACUGGUAGUGAUAUGUGUAAUGAUGAUGCGAAGUAUCGAACCCGAGAUGGGUCGUUGUAAGGGGAGAAUAAGAUGUGAAGGGAAUGAGAUGAAUCACGAGCAACGAUAAAAACGACAGCGAAACAAUGGAUAUGUGAAGAAAGGUAGUGAUCGACUCAGAUCAAACAUGAAGUGAAGUCACAUCAAUAAUGAAUGUAAUGAUGGGAAGGACAAUGACUUGGAGUCCUAAGGAGAAGGUCACUCAUCUCUCUCACAAAUAGAUAUGACGAAGCAAUACAAAUAACAUGGGAUCCCAGAGAGCUCACAUACGAACUCCCAAUAACGAACAUACUCGAUAAAAAUGACCCCCAGACAUCAAUAUACAUACCCAAUGAUCGAGAACACUAUGCACAUACACACAUGUGCUAAUAAUAAUAAUAAUGAUUUUUUUUUUUUUUUUUUUUACAUAUAUACAAAUAGGCGUACCCUGAACGUGAACAAAUGAACCCCAAAGAUGAUAUCGAUAACAAAUGAACACACCCCCAAGUGAUAAGGUAACCCAAAACUCUCUCUAACGAGAUGACCUUCUCAAACUAAGGAUCUCUAAACCAAUGUCCAUGAGAUAGAUGGUGGAAAUGAUGUGACUAUCCUCCAUGUGAUGAACUGAGGAGGCUCACCACUCAAGGUGGAGAGAAUAUGAGACAAACAAAUAGUAGAUAGGAUAAAGAAGAAGAGAUGAAUAACACAACCAAUAAGAUGAGAUGAAAAUGCAGAGGUGUAGUGAUAGGAAAAGAUGAUGAGAAAAACAUGCCCCUAGGUCCAAGGCUCAUGAAACUACCAAACAAUGCAUGCAUACAUUAAAGGGCCCCUAUCUCGGUGUGAAAAUGUGAGCAAGGCGAUAAGAAAGAAAGGCUAUAAUGCGCAUGCGAGGCUCAAUGGGCUAGCAACGGACUAUGUAUCAAAAGGGAAUAACAAGGUAAUGGCUAACCGAAAUGAUGGCCACCCAUCCUGCGACCAUGGUCUCAAACAUAGUACCUCUUUAGCCGAUCCACAUUGGUUGGCUCUGAGAAUCGGUUUCCAUCUAAAUCCAUCAACCAUGCAGCGCCCUCUGGGGUCAACUCCCUGAUGAAAUAAGGUCCGCUCCAGUUGGGUCUGAACUUCCCUCUAGGAUCUCUGAUCAAUCCCCUGAUGACUUUUAGAACUAAGUCACCUAUCCGUAAUGGUCUAGGCUUGACCCGCUUUUUGAAAGCGCGGGCCAUCUUCCUCUGAUACGCACGAACAUGGUCUGCUGCUCUCAAUCUCCUCUCAUCUAGGAGAUUGAGCUGAUCAAAUCGAGCCUGAGCCCAAUCUGCCUCGGGAAUCUGCUGCUCUAGUGCUACUCUCAACGAACCUAUCUCAAUCUCAACGGGUAGCAUCGCCUCCAUGCCAUAUACCAAGGAGUAGGGUGUGGCGCCUGUAGAGGUGCGAAAAGAAGUCCGAUAAGCCCACAAUGCAAAUGGGAGCUUCUCUGACCAAUCCCGAGAAGUCUCGACCAUCCUCCGUAAUAUCCUCUUGAUAUUCUUAUUCGCGGCCUCUACUGCCCCAUUCAUCUGCGGCCUGUACGCAGACGAUCUAUGAUGCCGGAUGCUGUAUCUCUGUACUAAGGUGUCAACCUCUGCUCUGAAAUGUACCCCUCUAUCCGAAAUCAACUCAUGGGGGACUCCAUAGCGACAGAUAAUGUGUGAUCUGAUAAAACUAGCAAUUCCAGCUGAUGUCAAUCUCGCAUAUGAGCCGGCCUCCACCCACUUAGUGAAGUAAUCGAUGGCGACCAGGAUAAACUCGUGACCACUGGAAGAUUUCGGUGAAAUCUUCCCGAUGAUAUCAAGACCCCAGACGGAAAAUGGCCAUGGUGAAGUCAGUGCGUGCAACUCUGAAGGUGGUACGUGAAUGAGGUCCCCAUGUAUCUGACACUCGGGACAUCUCUGAACAAACUGGCAGCAAUCCGUCUCCAUGGUCAACUAGAAGUAACCGGUUCUCAUGAUCUUACGGGCCAACAUAUGUCCUCCCAUAUGUGGUCCGCAGACUCCCGCAUGAACCUCUCUCAUCACUCGAUCGGCAGAGGUGCGGUCUAAACAUAAUAGUAGCAUCCCAUCAGGCGAUCGUCUAUACAAUGUCUCGCCACAGAUGACGAAUCGGGUAGCCAACUGUCUCAAUGCUCUCUUAUCCUUGACCGUGGCAGCCUCAGGAUAUACGCCAAGUCUCAAAAAGUGAUAUAUGUCAUGAUACCAUGGCAAACCAUCAUCUGGCUCUGCAUCAUCGAUCAAGCAACAGUAAGCAGGAGCAGAUCUCGACUCGAUCAACAAAGGUCGAACAGUGGCAUCAACGGGAAUAUCGAUCAUGGAAGCUAGAGUAGCUAAAGCAUCAGCAAACUGGUUCUGCGCUCUAGGCAGAUGGGUAUAUCUCAAAUCAUCAAAUCUCCCAACCAGUAGCUCCAAAUAUGCAUGAUAAGGCUUAAGCUUCACAUCUCUAGUCUUCCACUCGCCCUGAAUCUGUCUCAAUACCAGAUUGGAGUCACCAAACACCUCCAUCUGUAUAAUCCCGAGCUCGAGGGCCGUCUCUAAUCCCAAGAUACAAGCCUCAUACUCAACAAUGUUGUUCGUGGCAGGAUGUCGAUCCGAGAAUGCCAAAUGUACAGAUCUGGGAAUGUGAUCACCGUGAGGGGAUAUCAACAAGACGCCUAUCCCAUAUCCAGAAUGGUUGGCCGCACCAUCAAAGUACAUGCGCCACCCCGACAGACUAGUCACAGCAGCGACAUCCUCGUCUGGAAAAUCAUCAUCAAUAGCUCUGGCAUCAGAAACUGGUAAUGAAGCUAGAUGAUCUGCUACAAUGCUCCCCCUGAUGGACUUCUGAGUGACAUAAUGGAUGUCAAACUCAGUCAGAAGUACCAACCAUCUCAUGAGGCGACCGACUAGGGCGGGUCUAUCAAACAAAUAUCUCAGAGGAUCUAGACGGGAUAUCAAAUGCACGGAAUACUCGGUCAUGUAAUGUCUCAAUCAACGAGUGGCCCAAACCAAUGCCAAGUAAUAGCGCUCAAUCAUGACAUAUCUCGUCUCAUAGUCUAGCAUCCUCUUACUCAGAUAAUAGAUGGCUCGAUCCUUGCCCGAAUCAUCGAGCUGAGCUAACAUGCAUCCUAACGCUACGUCUGAGACUGAUAGGUAUAGGAGUAGAGGACGGCUUGGUGUAGGAGGCGCUAGAACUGGAGGCGACAACAAGUACUCCCUGAUCCUCUCAAAUGCGCGCUCACACUGAUCAUCCCAAACAGUAGGUUGACUCUUCCUCAAGAGUCAGAAAAUGGGCUCACAAAUGUCUAUCAAUCUGGCAAUGAAUCUGCUAAUGUACUGAAGUCUGCCCAGGAAGCCUCUGACCUCUCUCUCUGUCCUCGGUGCAGGCAUGUCAAGAAUGGCUCUAAUCUUGUCCGGAUCUACCUCUAUGCCUCGCUCACUAACCAUGUAUCCCAAGAGUUUCCCAGAAGUCACUCCGAAAGUGCACUUCUUGGAAUUCAGUCUCAAUCUGAACUGUUUGAUCCUCUCAAAGAACCUCCCAAGAGCUGCCAAGUGAUCUGAUCUAUCUCGAGAUUUCACUAUCAUGUCGUCUACAUAAACCUCGACAUCCCGAUGCAUCAUGUCAUGGAAGAGUGUGGUCGCCGCUCUCUGAUAUGUGGCUCCUGCGUUCUUCAAUCCGAAUGGCAUGACUCUAUAGCAAUAAGUACCCCACUCGGUAAUGAAGGACGUCUUCUCCAUGUCCUCUGGAGCCAUCAAGAUCUGACUGUAUCCGGAAAAUCCGUCCAUAAAGGACAACAUCGAAUGACCUGCCGUACUGUCAACUAGCAUGUCGAUGUGUGGAAGAGGAAAAUCAUCCUUAGGGCUGGCCUUGUUGAGAUCUCGGAAAUCAACGCAGACUCUCACCUUGCCGUCCUUCUUAGGAACAGGGACGACAUUGGCCAGCCACUCUGGGUACUCAACCACUGAUAAGAAUCCUACACUGAGCUGCUUCUGGAUCUCCUCUUUCACCUGCAAGCUCCAACGAUGGUGCAAUCGUCUCAACUUCUGCUUAACCGGUCUGGCCUAGGGCAGAAGUGGCAAACGAUGCUGGACGAUAGAUGGAUCAAGGCCUGGCAUGUCCUCAUAGGACCAUGCGAAAACGUCCAAGUAGGAUCUGAGUAGCUGGAUGAGGCUAUCUCUCUCAUCUGUAGACAAACCCGAUCCGAUCCUCAACUCCCUAGGCUGAUCUGCCGUGCCAAAGUCAACAAUCUCGGUGUCCCCUACAGCAGGUGAAACUCUUUGAUCAACGGGGUCUGAAUCGGAAGCAGAAGACGAGUCAUCGUCUGAGUCGUGCUGCGCAAUCUCAUCAUCAAUGUCAAAAAUCUGUGAUGUGGGUGAAGAUGGUGCAGAUAAAUCAAUAACAUGAGAGACAGACAAAUACUCAAAGGUGCUCAAAUCCAUAGAUGAAAAGUCAGAAACAUAGUCAUGACGGGAGACAAAUCCCGAUAAAACAUCAAAGGUGAGAGGUGGGUCCACAAGGUCGGACGCUCCCUCAACUAGGCCAACAGGGCCAUCAAACAAAUCAACAUCAACUAUAACAUCCUCGACGACCUCUGGAGUGGGGGCACCCUGGAUCUCCUCGGCGAUCUCGAGGACGGACACCCCAAAGAGAUCAAAAGGUGAAGCGAGCUCCGGCGGGUCCAUCUCCUCGGUCUGGCUCAAGCUCAUCGCUAGCAUCUCAUCAACGUACUCGUCACGCGGCACGGCUCCAUCCACUACGUCUCCAAUCUCGGCAAAAGUCCCGUGAUCAUCGAUCUCAUCCGGGAAGCAAAGCGUCAUAAGGCUCGUGCGAUCUGGGGAGGGAGGAGCAAUCAACACAGAAGUCGAAGGGCCAGGGGCUCCGUCACUCAACUGUAACUGCUGGACGAGGCGCUGAAGCUCGGCCUCCUAAGUGGUGCUGAGUCCUCCGAUGAUCCCAUCAGAUGGUGCAUGUGGCUCUGAUGCCCUCACAAAGUAAUCGGCUAGGCUCAUGGUGUAUGGGCGGACAGGAUAAUAAAAGGGGGUAUGAGUCAAGCGAGCCCUCACCCUCUCCCUGCGCAGCCGCGCCAUAUGACGAUAGUCGGCCUCAGUGGGAACGAACCCGAGCCCAAAUGGUACGUCAUGAUCAGGAAUGGUGAUGAACUCGCUCGGUCCAUGCUGACGUCGGCCCAAUCCCAUGCCGUGUAGAUAGGACAUGCCUCUCAUGAUAUCAAGCACCACUGUGCUCCCAUGCUGGUCAAAGGACAUAGCGAUGAAGUCCCGACAAAAGUCUCCCAGCUCAAGAGUCUGCACCUCAUCAAAAGUGAACCCGGUCAGUAGUAAAUCAUCGUCACUGUGGCUGAUCUGGAGCACGGGCUCAGCGGAAAUGAACAUGUCCCCUGCCGACUGUACGACGACUACCUGGCCCUCAUGGAUGAACUUCACUUUCUGAUGAAGUGAAGAAGGAAUGGCUCCAGCUCGAUGAAUCCACGGUCGGCCCAAAAGCAGGUUAAAGGAUGUAGGAAUCCUCAAAACCUGAAAGAUAGUGAUGAAUGUGGUCGGACCUAUCAGGAGCUCAAUCUCCAAUGUACCCAUGACCUCUCUACGGGUGCUGUCAUAAGCUCGAACGGUCUGAGUGGAUGGACCGAAAUCGGAUGGUGCGUACCCAAGAGCGAUGGCGGUGGCCAGAGAACAUACGUUCAGGGCCGAGCCAUUGUCCAAAAGGACAGAUGGAAAUCGGCGACCUGAACAGCCAACAGAUAUGUAGAGAGGACGCGUGUGGCCAGAACCCUCUGAUGGCAAGUCGUCAUCGGAAAAGACGAUACAAGUGGCUCUGCCAGCCGUCAUCAUAUGAAUGAGUCCCUCAGGAGUGGUCGUGGUAUCAACUCUGAUCUGGCUCAGAGCUCGAGUCAGUGCAUCCCGAUGAGUACUGGAAGACGCUAAAAGGCUCCAGAUAGAAAUACGAGCCUGAGUGCUCUGCAACUGCCUCAAAAUCUUGUCAUCCUCUACUCUGACCUCCUCCUGGGAUGACGUACCCCCUAAGGGUCUAGCGGCAGCAGCUGGAGGUGGCUGUCUCAUCACUCUACCUCCUCGAAGAACAUACUGAAUGUCCAGAGUCUGAGAAUCAUCAACGUACGGAGCCUGAACCCCCUCAACAUCUGGGACUAAGACGAAUGGCGUCUGAAUGCUAUAGCGCGACAAGAUCAAUGGCUCAACGGUGGCAGCCUACACUGACGCCGCCUCGGGAACUAAUCGGAAUGGAGCAGGCGUCCGAGGACCCAGAGUCACCCCACUCAUCUCAUAAAUCACAUCUGGCAUGAUGGGCUCCGGGUCUGGAUCAUCAUCACUCAGCAUGUGGAUGUGGUCAUCGAUCUCAUCAAACUCCAAUAAAUGAAUGCCAUCGGCUGGUGGAGGGACUGCAUGCGUGGUGUGAGCAGGCAACGGGUUCGUGGUCACACUCGGCUGACCCAAGUGUACCAAACCCUGGUCGAUCAAAUCCUGAACGGCGUGCCUCAAAGCGGUGCAUCGAUCGGUCUCGUGUCCAGGCCCCUGAUGGUAUGCACAGUGUAGAUCCAUCCUGAACUGGGGUGGAAUCGGCUGAGGCGGUGGACGAGGGGUGAGAGUAGUCAAUAACCCAGCCUCUGUAAGCUUCCGAAGAGCCUGGCUCAACGGCAUGCCUAUCUGUGAGAACUGCCUCUGCGUCCUCAAAGCAAAAGGAGCAGAAGUCUGCUGAGCUCUGGGUCGGGGAUAAGGAGAUGCGGGUCUCGCAGUGAACUAAGCAGCAUAGCAUGGCUGUCCUGUAGCCGUGUAAGAAACCGGGGGUCUCUCAAUGCCCUGGGAAGCAUAAUAAGGCAAAGCCAAAGUCUGCGGAGUAUAUGUCUGAUCAUAAGCUGGACGAGGUGCCCGUGGCCUGUACUGAUGAGAUGCAUAGGACGAAUAAGGCUCGAAAAACUAUGGAAUCGACUGAUGGCGCCUGAGAGGCCUCAGACUGGAAGAACUGAUAGCACUCACAUCUGCUGGCCUCGGUCCUACGAAGGGCUUCUUCCCCUUGAUAUCACUAGGGGAAGAAUCUGUCCAUAAACCUCUCGAGAUACCGUCCUCGACAUCAUACAAAGCCAUAACUAGAGACCCAAAAUCCGUGAACGGGGCCCCUACCACAUGUUUGGCGAUCCGCGGCUGUAGGCUCCUCAAAACCAUCUGAAUCUGGUCCCUCUCUGAUGGUCUAUCGAUAAUCUCAGCUAUCUUCCCACGCCAGCGGGAAAUGAAAGAAGAAACAGACUCCUCCACCCUCUGUCUCAAAGCCUCGAGCUCCCUCCUCGAUACAUCUACGAUAGUGUUAAACGAAAACUGUCGUAGGAACUCCUGGGCCAAGUCAUCCCAUGUGCGGCGCCUCGAGGCCUCCAGAGAUGCAAACCAACGCUGGGCCGCCCCACUCAAAGAUAGUGGGAAAAGAGUAAUCAUCUGAGGCUCGUCCAGUCCAUGAGCCCUCAUCACGGUGCUGUAUAAUCGGAGAUGGAGGCGUGGACAACCAAUGCCAGUAUACCUCUCAAUGUCAGGCAUCCUGAACUUAGCCGGCAAGCUGGCUACCGGCACUCCAUCAAAACCCUCCCAAGUAAUGGCUCUGUCGGAAGUCCUCAACUGCCUCAACCCCUGCUCAAGCCUAUCCAUGCGAGCAUGUGGGUCCUCUGAGGUCGGGGUAGGCGCGGUGACGGGAGGCGGAGCAACCUCAGUCUGGCUAUGUAGGGUGAACGGCAUGGCCUGUGGUGCUGACUGACUGGGUGGAGGGGGUGGUGGCACUGUAUGGUCAUACUGGGCACCAACCAGGGGCGGGACCUGUUGGGCCUGCUGCCCAUCUAUCCUCCGGCCAAGGCUAGUUAUAGCCUCCUGAAUCGAAGCCAUGGCCUCAGCGAACUAAUCGACGGUAACUAUCUGUGAAUCCAUAUCCCUCUGAUCUGAUCUCUGGUCUGACUGAUCCGAUACCCUGAUCAAUCUACCCCCAACUCUAAUCCAAGAAGUCGAACCCAGACUGAACGUAUCGGUACUCCUACAAUAGUGGAAAUACUAGAUAAGGUGCGGGAUAAAGGAAACUUCACAAAGAAUGUCUAUCACAUGUGUCAAAAGGUAGCCUGGAAGCAAACAAACUGAUAUCUAAUCCUGAGCAGAUAUAUAAGAGACUACUGCGAAGGUAACCAAACCCGUUACUACUAAACCGGCUCUGAAGGCUCACAGAUGCACCCACGUGUAGGGAGGGAGUCCUAAUCGGAGGAUCUACGGCUCAACCUACAAGGUGAAGGUGGCUCUAAAUGGAUAUGGGUGGACUUUAAAAGAUCCCUAGCAGAAGCGAUCGUACCCUCCGAAGGUACGCAACCAUCUGUACGCCUCAAAAAGAGACGGGGUGCUUCCAUGCAAGGUGGUCAUCACCUCCACACAUGCACUACCUCGACAACCCAGGGGGUUUCCUAUGGUGAAACCUCUCAAACUCUCAACGCUCAAUGGUCAACUAAAGUGCACAGUGAAUGGUGUGGGUGCAUCCGAAAACCCUAAGAAUCUAGAGCAGAAGAGGAAACACACUGGUCGCACGACUAUCCAUGAAACCUAGCUCGGGGCUAUACAGGUCUUCAAUGAUCGGACUCCAAUCGACACCAAAGUGUCGCUCUCCUUUAGAAUGCUCCCGUGCAUCGAUAUAGCCCGUCGCUAGACCCUACUUCUAAUCUCUGGCUCGGUCAGAGAGCAAGCACACAGAAGGUCUCACACUUGCAAUAGUGAGAACCGAGAUGAAAAGAAUGACCGAGACCAAGAGAUUUGGAGGUAGGGGGAUAGAAGUGAGACCCACAUAGACAGACGACAUGCAAUCAUGCAGAGGGAGGGCAGUCAUGCAUCAUAUAGUCAGGCAGAGCAGGAUAUAUCACUCAUAUACACACAAGAUAAGCGAGAAUACGACAAUCAAGACGAAUAGUGAUACAAACAUCAUGCUCAAAGACGGUCAAAACAAUAUUACAAGUCAGAGAAUCAACAUGUCAAGUCGAGUGAUAUACAGUGGUGAGUGUAUGCAUGUGAAGUAAUCAGAACAAGCAUGGCAAAAUCAGAAUCAAUGUGCUAAUCAAUGCAAUAAGAUCAAUCAUCAAUAAUCCAGCAUGUCAAAAUCUCAAAUGAAUACGACAUCUAAGCAUGCAACAAGAAAUCCUCAAUGUACAAUCAAGAGAUGAGCAUCCACUGAUCGUCCAAUCAAAUGCCACGUUUGUUUCACUCUAACUUCAAGCUUGACCCUCUGAAAAAAAAUCCCCAGCGGAGUCGCCAUUUUGUGGACCCCGCAUUUCGGCUCAAUGCGUUUCCCACUCGAAUGGCGAGCUCGAUUUUUAUUUGAAAAAAAUUGAUUUUUGUUGAUUAUUUGAAAAUGACUUGGAGUCGCCACUUAUUUUUGUUUUAUUUUUAAAGGGUAAACAAAAUAAGAAAGAACUGGGCACUAGGUCCAAUGUGAGUAGGAUCGCUUAGCCAUGCUUCAUAAUUGGAAAAACGAGCACCGUGGAAAUACAUGCCACUCAGCCAAAGAAAGAUGAUGGACGGGCUAUUAGCUCAGUGGUAGAGCGCGCCCCUGAUAAUUGCGUCGUUGACUGGAGUGAAGUCGUAACAAGGUAGCCGUACUGGAAGGUGCGGCUGGAUCACCUCCUUUUCAGGGAGAGCUUCCAGUGGCGGACGGGUGAGUAACGCAAACCCUAAGUGCAACUCCUUGUUUUGGAAAAAGCUGGUCUGUGAAAAAUCGGAUCGGGUUCGGGGGUCAAGUUACUUAUCGGGAAGGUACGGUAAAGACCGUAGCACCCCUCUAAGUCCCUAAAUGGGUCUCUACUAAUAAAAUGAAGCAAUCAUGGCAAUUAAUUAAGAGAUCAAUGAAUACCCAGAGUGAUCAUGCACAUGUGGGAAUCUAAACAUGCAUACAGAAAAAUGACCCGAGCGGGUGUGGAUGCGUACCUGGACAGUGAUCCAUAAAGCGCUAUCAAGAAGUGAGGCUAGCGCACAAUUAAGGAAUAAUUUCGAGCAUGUCAUAGAGCAAAAUAAAAUCGAUCAUGCAUGGCAAUUUAAUCAAACAAACAAUCAAUCAUUCACGAGGAAAGCACGUAUGUUGGGCUCCACCAAAGCCCAUUCAUUUUUGCAGGAAUUAAUAUCACAAAUCCCAUUAUUCUUGAAUUAUGAAAAUAGCAUUCAUGUUUAUAUAAAAUCAAGAGAAAUCGAAGAUUAUUUGAAACCCGAAGAGAAUUAAAACUGUUAGAGAGGAAAUUGAAUUUUUGAAAUUUAUUUGGAAAUUGGAGUCUCGAAAAUUAUUUGAAGAUUGGAGUCUUGAGAAUUAAAUUUAAGAGUUGGAAUUUUAGGAUGUCAAACUUGAAGGAAAUUAGAAUUUUAGAAAUCAGAAAUUAAGUGCGAAAGUUGGGAUUAAAAAAAAAAUGUUUAAAAAUGGAAUUUUGAAAUAAAUAAAGGAACUAAUAAUAAUAAGGACGAAAAUAAUGAUUAAAUAAACGAAUGGGAAUGCUGGAAUUUUUGAAAUUGGAAAUUAGAUUUAGAAGUCAGAAAGUUUAAAGAAUUGUUUAAAAUAGAGUUUUAAGAUAAAUAGACAAACUAUUAGUGAUUAAAUUAAUGUGAAUAUGAGAAUUUUCAAGAUUAGGAAUUUGAUUUGUAAAUCUGAAGUUUUAAAGAAUUGAUUUAAAAUGGAGAUAAAAUACUAAUGAUUAAAUAAAUUAAUGAGAACAUGAGAAUUUUCGGGAUCGGGAGUUUAAUUCGGAAAUCAACGAUUUUAAAGAAUUUGAUUUAAAACGGAGUUUUGAAAUAAAUAAAUAAAUAAAAUACCAAUGAUCAAAUAAUUUAGUGGGAACAUGAGGAUUUUUGGGAUUAGGAAUUUGAUUCGGAAAAUCAGAAGUUUUAGAGAAUUUGAUUUAAAAUGGAGUUUUGAAAUAAAUAAUCAAAAUAAUAAUAAUUAAAUAGAUUAAAGUGAGUAUGAGAAUUUUCGGAAAUCGAAAUUGAGUUUUAAAGAUCGGAAUUUUGAAGUAUUAUUUGAAGGUUGAAUUUUUAUAAAUUGGGCUUGGAAAUUGGAAGUUAGGAAGUUUGAAUUAAUAAUAAUAAUAAGGCCUUGAAAGUUUGAAUUAAUAAUAAUAAUAAUAAUAAUAAGGUUUUGAAAGUUUUAAUCAAUGAUAAUAAUAAUAAUAAUAAUAAUAAUGAGAUUUUGAAAGUUGAGGUAAUAAUAACAAUAAUGAUGAGGUUUUUGAAAGCUUGGAUUAAUGAUGAUAAUAAUAAUAAAUAGAUUUUUGAAAGUUGAGUUAAUAAUAAUGAUAAUAAUAAUUAAUGAUAAUAAUAAUAAUAAUAAUAAUAACAAUGAUAAUAAUGAUUAAUAAUAACAAUAAUAAAUAUAAUGAUAACCAUGAUUAAUAAUAAUAGUAACAAUCAUAAUGCCGAUAAUAAUAAUAAUAAUAAUGAUAGCAAUGACAAUAAUAAUUAAUGAUAAUGAUAAUAAUGAUUAACAAUAAUAGUAAUAAAUAUAAUGAUAACCAUGAUUAAUAAUAAUAGUAACAAUCAUAAUGACAAUAAUAAUAAUAAUAAUAAUGAUAGCAAUGACAAUAGUAAUUAAUGAUAAUAAUAAUAAUAAUUAUAAUGAUAAUAAUGAUUAAUAAUAAUAGUAAUAAAUAUAAUGAUAACAAUGAUUAAUAAUAAUAGUAAUAAUAAUAGCAAUGACAAUAAUAAUUAAAAAUAAUAAUAAUAAUAAUAAUAAUGGUAAUAAUAGAAAUGGGCUCAAGACAAAGGCCCCAUCUUCAGCAUAGGCUUGGGCCUGGGCUCCAAAUUCAAACCCAAGCCCGAAGCCUUCAUAAUCCAAACCCAAAACCAAACUCAAAACUGGGCCUAGCCUUAGCCCAAGCCCAAAAACCAAGCCUUCGUCUUCUCCACAGCUUCUUCUCACUUCAGGCGACGGCGAAGGAGGAACUGGAGGCGAAAGGCUUCGCCGGAGCCCUCGAAGCUGGUCCGAGCUACCUGCUUUCCGCGCCGCGCCGCCGCGUCGCGCUGCUCCCUUCGGCGUCGAAAGCGUCUAGCUGCAACAGCCUGGAGGCGGUGCGAAGCUCGCUGCUGCAGCUUUUACAGGCGCGCGAGGGGCUUCCUCUUCCGGCAGCGACACCGCCUGAGUCGGGUACGACGUAGGCGGGAUCAAAGGUACGUCUUGCGCGCGCGGGUCGCAUGCCUUCCCGUGCCUACGUCAAGCGGCUCUCCAUGCUUCCCCAGUUGGACUUGGGACCUCUCGCGGUGGGGGGCAAUGGCUGCGGCGACGUGGUCCUGGAGCGAUGGCAGCGGCGGCGCGGUCCCGGAGCAAGAGCAGAUGUGAGCGUAACCGGAGCGGGUGAAGGCCGCGUGUGAGGAGCAGGGGCCUUGUUGGAAUGUGGGGUGGCGACGAAAGGGAGAUGGUAUAUUGGUGCGUGAUAGUGUGGGUAUUGGGGGUGGAUGAUGAGCAUGGUAAUUGGUGUUGGAUGAUAAGGGAGUGGCAUGCAUGAAUGAUACGUGAAGGUUAGUGAGAGAAAGGUGGUGAGUAUAAAAAUGGGUGUGGUGAGUAUGAUAGAAUGGCUAUGGAAGGAUGGUCGGGUUUGUAUGGAUUCCAUGCGCGUGGGUGAGUAGAUUUGGAACCUCAGUGAAGCCUAUGGAUGAGUUCUGGAGGUUAUGCAAAGUGUAGGAAACGGGCUGUGGAAUUUCUGAUGUAGGAUCUCUGUCAUGCAUGCAAUGCCAGGGAGGAUGGGCUUCGGGUGGAACCAAAAGAAAGACACAGAAAUGGUCUCCAAAAAUCAGGUGCUAUGAUGAAUCCAAACUCAGAGCCUUCCCAAAACAGAAAAUAAAUUACACAAAUGGUCUUCAGAUGUCAAAGGAAGCUCCACACUGACUAGGAACAGAGGAGAACAGUUCCAAAUGGGAGAAGCAAAAUAGGUUAGAAUCAUACCUGAACCAAGAGAAAAUCCCUGGUGAGUAGGUCCAGUCCGGCCCCUCUCUCGAUCUCGGGCUCCUCUACGGACGUCCUCUGCUCCAGAAAAGUCCCCCCUCCCUCUUUGCAGAUCUCCCCCUUUUUUCCUUUUCUCUUCCUCUUUUUCUCCGUUUUUAGUCUUCCUCAGCAAGCCAACCGUAUCCUGUCCCCUCUGCCGCCUAAAAACUCUGCCUCCCCUGCAGCCUCAGAGCCCCCAAACACAGCUCUCCCAUCAUGUCGAGCCCCCGGGAAAAUAAAAAUUAAAAUUAAAAAAAAAAGUCCCUGCUUCCGGGGGUCUACACUAACAUAUUUAUUAAAAUAAAAAAAGUAAAAAGAAAGUGGAUAUAUUAUAGGGGAGGGGAAAAAGAAAAAAGAAAUAUCAGCGGUAUAGUAAUUGCCAAGUGUCAAAGUUUAAAAAAAAAAAAAAGAAUGCGAUAGUUAGCAGCAGAUGAGAGGAGGGUUUAAGGGUAAGUUUGGAAUGUUAAUUAUUUUCAUUGUUUGAGUACAUGUUUUGAGGAUAAUCCCAAAAGUCAAAGUUCUAAAAAAAUUGUAAAUUUUUUUUAGAUGAUGGAUGAUUACAUGAUUCUCCCUUCUUUUAAAUCACAUUCAAAAUUAAAAUAAAAAGAAUAUUUUUUCCCCUGUAUUAAAGCCUCCACUUUUCAAAAUUAAUAUUCUUAAAAGGUUAUGUCUAGUUCCCAAAAAGUAUUAAGAAAAGAAAAAAAAAUGUUAAAGCUAUAUUUUCUUCUCAAAUAAUUUAAGAAAAAUACACGAAAAAGAAAAUAAAGAGGAAAAUUAUAAGAAAAAAAAAAGUAAAAAAAAAAAAAUUUAAACUCAAUGAAUUAUUUUUAUAUGUUUUUUUGAACUCAUUUCAUUUAUUUUCUUUCAUUAUAUAAGAAUUAAAUAAUUGUAAAAUGUAUACAUUUUAAAUUAAUUUUAAUUAUCUUUGAUUUCCUUUUUUUUUUUUUCUUAGUACUUUUGGUAACUAAUCAUAGUUUAAGGAAAAAAAUUAUAAUGUUUGGUUAUUUUAUGGAAAAUAGGAAAGAAAAUCAAAUAUAAUUAAAACUAGUUAAAAACCUAAGCAUUUUCAAAUUAUUUAAUUUUUAUAAUGAUGAAUAAAAAUAAGUGAAAUAAGUUUGAAAUAGUAUAUAAAAAUAAUUUAUUUUUAUAAGGGUCUUUGGCUCCUAAUCGGUGACUUUUGUAAGGGCUUCUGUAUUUGCACAAAAAUAUGCCUUUGCUUUAUUUUCAUUGAAAUAUUAUUUCUCUUUUAUACAAUUUUUAAGAGUAAUUUAAACUACUUUUUCCAUUUUAUGUUCACUCAAAGGUUUUUAGGAUUUGUAUAUCUUUUAGUAAUUCAAUACAAUGUGAAAAAGAUAAAUGAAAAUGUCAAAGAAAUACUGUAACGUGGAUGUAUUUUUCAUUUCUAAUCAAAAUUCUUAAGAAUUUGAUUGGAUCAUGAAAAUGGAGGGAAAAAAAAGUGAAUAAAUAUAUGAAGUGAAGUUUAAAAGUCAAUAAAAUUAAAUUUUUCUCCUUUACUUUUGAAAAUUUAUGAUGUUUUUUAUGUAAAUAACAUGAAAAUUUUGAUUCCAUUUUCAUAUGUAUUUUUCAAUUUGAAGCUGAUUCAGGCCAUGAAUUCACAAUGAAAGAUAGAGGUCAAGUUAAGGGGAUCCAUGUCAACAUGGCUCAUACUACGCUCAAGUUUACUUGACUUUCAACCCUCGCAACUCGUGCUGCAAUACAUACCUCUUUUAGGAUUCCUUCAACUUUAGAUAAGCAAUUUAGGCCAUUGGAGGACUAUUGCAGCUUCACUCACCACUUGGUGCAUUAAAAGAUUUAGCCACUCAUGCUAAAAUUAAAAAGAAAGCAACGAACAAGAAGGCUAAGCGUGAAAAUUAAAGAAAAUAAUGAACUGGAACAAGAAUUGAAACUGCUAAUCCGACUCCUAAAAUCCUAAAAUCCUGAGGUAGCUUCAUUAACCUUACUCCUACCCCUAAAAUUCUCCUUUUUGGAUCUUAGAAUUUUCUUUUUCAUCCCCAAAGCUGCCUAAAAAUUUCCCACCAAUGCAUUGCUGCCCUUCCAACCAAAUCACUCCUCUCUAUUUCAUAUUAGGCCAUGUCACUAUCCUCCAUACCAAACUCCAACAAGUGGAUCCUUGGAAAGCUGAAAUAAUGAGAAGGAUGGUGUGGACCCCACAUUUCGGCUCAUGCGUUUUCCACUCGAUGAUGAGUUCGAUUUUUAUUUAAUUUGAAAAAUGAUCUUUAUUGAUUAAGAAAAUGACUUGGAGUCACCACUUAUUUUUGUUUUAUUUUUAAAGGGUAAACAAAACAAGAAAGAAAAACCCUAAGUGUGACUCCUUAUUUUGGAAAAGGCGGUCUAUGAAAAAUCGGAUCGGGUUCAGGGGUCAGGUUACUUAUCAAGAAGGUACGGUAAAGACCGUAACACCCCUCUAAGUCCCUAAAAAUGGGUCUCUACUAAUAAAAUGAAACUAACGUGGCAAUUGAUGUGUAAAUCAGAGAAUACCUAGAAUGAUUAUGCACGUAUGAAAAUUAGAACACUCAAUGAAGAAUGAUCAAAGUGAGAGCGGUGCGUACCUUAGCAUCAAACGAUCAAUGUGCUAUCAUAAAAAAUUGGGUCAAUGUACAAUAAAGAGCAUAAACAUAGCUCACAUAUCACUAAAUCGAGCACAAAAGUCAUCACAUGUCACAAUUCAUUUAAAUUGAUUUUUAUUUUAAAGAAAAUUCUUUGAUGUAGGGCCCCCACCAAAGCCCGUUUGUUUUUGCAUGAAUUAAUUCCAUAAAUUCCAUUAUUUGGAAUUACAGAAUUUAAAUUCAUGUUUAUUUUAAAACGUUUUAAAAUCAUGAAAAAUUCGAAAGCGGCUCGCCGAAAAGAAAAUGGCGGCCAAAUUUUAUUGAAAAACAUAUUUUUGGAACCUAAAAGAAAAAAACUAAGGAUGAAAAAUUAAAGAGAUGAAAUUAUUUGAAAAAAAAAGGAAUUUGAAAAAUUAUUUGCAAACUAGAGUUCAGGAAUCUAUUUUAAAAAAAAUAAAAGAUGAAGAAAUAAAAAUAAAUAAAUAAAUAAAUAAAUAAACAAAAGAAAGGAACGUGGCUUAAUGGUGGGCAUACAAAGCUUUUGCCAAUGAGGUUUAACUGGGUGCUCCCUCAGAAUCUGCCAUCCUCUUCCAAUCAAUCCCAUCAAACCACUUAUGGCUUUGAUUAUGAACAUUCACAUUAGCCCCAGAAACUAAAGUUGGUGUGGUGGAAACAGCAGCUGGAUUUCCUGAAACUGGAGUGACUAGCAAUUCAAUCAGCGCGACUGCAGCAUCAACCUUCUCAAAUGUCUCGGCUGAUAUAUGAAGAUAUAAUUCUUCAUGAGCAGCCUGGAUUCCAUCAGAUGGAGUAAUUUCAGCGCCUGUAGAGGCUCCAAUUCCCUGACGGUCUCUGAAUUUUCACACGGGGGAGCAAAAGCUUGUCCAAGAAUAUUAAUUCCGAACUUCCAUGAAUCAUCACCCGUAAUUUAGCUAAUACUCUGCUUCAUGAUUAUCUCUCUUUGACAACCAAGCCAAAGUUGAUCACAUUGUUCUGUGAGUGAGAUAAUUCCUUGGGUGAUUGUGCCUUUGGCUUCGUGACUCUCCUACUGGAACAAAACUCAGAUUAAGAGCAACUUUAACUUGCUCAUAGGUGGCAAAAUAUGGGAAGGAAAACCAUAGAGGACAUAGGUUAAAUGGGAAGGAAGGCAGUAGCAUUAACCACUACUAAAAGUCUCUCCUCUGGCAGGGUAACAAGCCUUGAACCAAUUUCUAUGAGUAGGACCUCAAAUUCACUAGCCAAAUGGGCGUGCUUGUUUCUAAGAGCCUCUAGGAUAUCCUUGCCAACGUCAAAAGCACUGGCAGCAGAAGAUACCAAACAAAAAAAAACACCAUUGCGCCUUAAUGCAUUUUGACCACCUUCAUUAAUGGUUGAAGAAUUCUGUUGCAUAGGUUGGUCAUUCCCAACAUGUGCACUGCCAUCCACAGAUGAUGUUCUUUCAGGUUCCUAUGCAUGAGAGUUUCCGUCAUCAUGAGAUCCAAUUCCACCAGCAGAUUGACUCCCUUGAUUAACUUGACCAUCUGAGGUUAAAGCACCCCCUCUAUGAUUCUGCACUCUUGCGCUUCCAUACGAGAUCAAUGUCGGGCAUCUAUGGCACCUUGAUGAACACUGGAGUUAGAACAUAUAUCUCUUCUAUAAUCAUCAGACCGCGUCUCUAUAUUUGAAGGUAAAUUUGAUGACUGACUAGAACUCAUGUGGGAGCCUUGAUCUUCAAUAUACUGGGGUUUAACAAGACACUCAUGUUUAGGUAUUCUGGGCUGAACAUAAACACCUGAGCUAUCCUCAAAUACAGAAGAUUCCCAUUGCUGAUCAUUCAAGACAGCUGAAACCUUGGCUAAAGCAAGGUCAGGAAUACUCUCUCCCAGCUGAGAAUCUGUCUUCUGUAAUUCCUUGCUUCCAUAGGCAGAGAUGGGAAGAGAAAUGCACCCCAAGUACGGGUACCAGAAACAGGGUAGACAACAAGAACAGAGUGCAAAUAAUGGAAAUAAAAAAUGAACUCAUACAAGCCUCAUUUCAUAUAUCAAUCAAUGAACUCAUACGAGGGUGGGUGAAGUCAAAUGAAUACCAGAUAAAAAUCAGAGCAUAGUAGCAGAUAUAUCAAUGGGGAAACCAAAAUAAGGGCGAAAUAACCUUCAACAAGAACCAUAAAAGAGAUAUAUGGACAUACUUGCCCUCAAUCCACAAACAUCACCCAAGAAUGAGCAGAAGAAGAAAAGAAAAGCAUACCUGAAAAUGAUUGCCUCCAACAAGAUCGACCAGAACUCAGCAAACACCUUUCUUCUUCCUUGCCUCUCUCUAUAGAAAAUGCUCUGUUUUCUUUAGCUUGCUUCUCAAGAAUAUCUCCCCCAAGCUCUCAAAGAUUCACCUCUCUGCAACUCCUCACCCCUUUCCUCCCCUCUCACGUCUCUAUUCCUAUCCUCACUCUCCGUAGUAGCUUCCCAGCCUCCCAAAAUGCUUUUCUUUCCCAGCUCCAAAAAUAUCUUCCAACGGCAGCCUAAGCACCUCACCCAGCUGCCAGCCAAAAGUAUCCUCUAGCAGUCCAGGCAUCUCACCCCGCUGCCAGCCUCCACUACCCCACUCAAAAAGCAUCCCCCUUAACAGAAAAAGAUCCCCUCAAAAUAUCUCUCAGCCGGCAGAAAAAGCACCCCUCUCCUACGCUCCUCUCAACUGCCAAAUAUUCUUCUGAUUCCCCUUUUCCAGGUGUCGACCCUUGAUUGGCCUUCAAAAGCACUACUCUGAUUUCAUGAUGGCCAAUCAGGGAUUGACACGUGGAUGCUUAGGAGCGUGACACUUGGCCAAACAAGCUGCAGCAAAACAAGCCCCACAUGGGGGUCUACAAAUAUGUCCCUCUUCGGUAGAGUUCACAAGUGUAAGGAACAUGAACACUGGAAUGAAAAGCAAGUGUGAAUAGUGAGUGGAAUGAAGUGAAAUUUACCGAAGAACAAAGGAGACCCCCACAAGGACACAAGCAAAACACGAAUUUGCUCAUGCUGACAGACUAACACAAAGGCUCUGAUCCUAAAACAAAAUGUUGUCUCAAAAUGCCUCUGCAGCCACAUUAAGGAUCCAAGCUCCCUCUAAGACGUCUCCAAAAGUGACUCAAAGAACUAUGUCAUGUGCAGUGGAAGAGGAAGUCUAGAAGAGCAAUGAUGAAUGGGCGAUAAGCACCAAGUAACCAGGUGAGGAGAACGACUCUGAACGCUUAAAAUGAAGGGAAACAAGGUGACUCAAAAAAUGUCUGGAUGAGUAUGCACAAUGGCUCUAAAUGCCAAAUCUGGAAAUGUGACUCUGAAUGUCAUACUGAAACAAAGACCUGGACGUCGAACUGACCUGAUAGGAAGAAUGAAUGACCAAUCUAUAUGGGUGCGGUCCCGACUCAAACUAAACACAAACUAAUAGGAAAAUGGUCGAUCGAUAUGAGUGCGGCCUCGACUCAAACAAACAUGACAAGAUAAAUGAUAAGAAGAUGGCCAAUCGAUAUAGGUGCGGCCCUAAAAACGCAAACUAACAAGACGAAAGAAUAACCGAUCGAUAAAGGUGCAGUCUCGAAAACACAAACUGACAAGAAGAUGACCGAUCGAUAUAGGUGCAGUCUCGAAGACACAAACUGACAUGACAAGGAGAUGGUCGAUCGAUAUAGGUACGACCUCGACUCAAACUGACAGGAUAAUGAUCUAUAGAUAUAGGUGCGGUCCCAGAAACUGAACUGACAUGGCAAAGGGAUGGCCGAUCGAUAUAGGUGCGGCCCCGACUCAAACUCAAACUGAUAAGAUGAUGACCAAUCGAUAUAGGUGCGGUCCCGACUCAAACUGAACUAAUAUGACAAGGAGAUGGCCGAUCGAUAUAGGUGCGGCCCCGACUCAAACUCAAAUCGAUAAGAUAAUGAUGACCGAUUGAUAUAGGUGCGGUCCCGACUCGAACUGAACUAACAAGAUAGGAACAUGGCCUAUCGAUAUAGGUGCGGCCCCGACUCAAACUCAAACUGAUAAGAUGAUGACCGAUCGAUAUAGGUAUGGUCCCAGAAACUGAACUGACAUGAUAAUGACCGAUCGAUAUAGGUGCGGCCCCGACUCAAACUAACACGAUAAUGACCGAUCGAUAUAGGUGCGGUCCCAGAAACUGAACUGACAUGGCAAGGGGAUGGCCGAUCGAUAUAGGUGCGGUCCCGACUCGAACUGAACUAACAUGAUAGGAACAUGGCCGAUCGAUAUAGGUGCGGUCCCAGAAACUGAACUAACAUGACAAGGAGAUGGCCGAUCGAUAUAGGUGCGACCCCGACUCAAACUGACAUGAUAAUGACCGAUCGAUUAUGGGUGCGGUCCCAGAAAUUGAACUGACAUGGCAAGGAGAUGACCGAUCGAUAUAGGUGCGGCCCCGACUCAAACUGACACGAUAAUGACCGAUCGAUAUAGGUGCAGUCCCAUAAACUGAACUGACAUGACAAGGAGAUGGCCGAUCGAUAUAGGUGCGGCCCCGACUCAAACUGAACAGAGAAGAAGAUGGCCGAUCGAUAUAGGUGCGGCCCUGACUCAAACUGAACAGAUAGGAAGAUGGCCGAUCAAUAUAGGUGCGGCCCCGACUCAAACUGACAUGACAGGGAGAUGGCCGAUCGAUAUAGGUGCGGCCCUGACUCAAACUGACACGAUAAUGACCGAUCGAUAUAGGUGCGGUCCCAUAAACUGACUGAAAUCGAAUUGAUAAGAUGAUGAAUGACCUGAUCAAGUGACCCAAAACCAAAGGAUGACUCAGAUAAUGAUGCAAACAAACUCGGCCAGAGGCGAUAUGCCUUAGUAUGACAACUCAUGAGAAUCGACAACCAGGUCGAAAGAUAAUGAAGCCUGUGAAAGGUCCGAUACUCUCGGAGAAAGGGGUAUGCCCCAAUAUGACCACUCGGAGGGGUCAACAACUAGAUCGAAAAGUGAAUGAAACCUGUGGAAGGUCCGAUGCUCUUGGAGAGGGGGUAUGCCCCAGUAUGUAAUGAUGAACAGAUAGAGAUGCAAAAUGCCUCAAAACUACUAUACUAUGAGAUUUGCUCAUCCAUCAUGUAAUGAAAAUGUCCAACCUCAAAUAAGUAAUGCCAAACAGGACCAUGUAUCGUGACACCAUGUCGACAAAACAAAACUAACUGAUGAAUAAAACAAUGAUGACCAAUGCUCAAAAUGCAAAGAGCAAACAAAAUCAACAAUCAUCGUACCAACUGUCAAAAUGAAAGCAUCAUCACUAAUAAGUCAGCAAUCUGUCAGGCCCUGCCAUCAUGGAAGAUGUUGAACCUAAAGUCCGAAAGAUGUAUGAAAGCACAACCAAGGUGAUCGAGGACCAAUCUACAUCUCCUCUUAAUCGAGAAAGGGGUGAGGUCAUGUGUCACGGUGGGAUGUGUAGGAUAAAAUAAGGUGAUGAUCAGGCUCCGGUAUGAUAGAAGGUAUGAAAGUAUCAAGGGUGAAAUGUCUGAGUAUGAAGUGAAAGGUAGGGAGAUAUCCGAGAUCAUCCAAGUAUUCCAAGAAGACUAAACCCGAGGUGUCAAGAGCUCUAUAAUCCAUCGAAAGCAGCAAUCAUAAACAAAAAGUCAAAUCUCGAUGUCGAAACAUCCAACUAGAUGGCUAUGCCCUAGUAUGCAAUGAAGACAACAUGAAACACUCCAAUAAUCUCCAUAUCAUUUGGUAGAUGCUCCAAUGUAAAGAACCAAUCUGAUCUCUCUCCAAAAGAUGGAUAUGCCCCAGUGUACAGGAUCCAAAUAAGGUGGCUAUGCUCCAAUGAAAAAUGCUCUCCAUCCCGUCUAUGCCCCAGUAUAAACCAUUUGAGGUAACUACGCUCCAAGAUAAAUCAUAGUCCAUCGCCAACUAGAGGGCUAUGUCUCAAUACGUGCAAUCUCUGAAGCAACUGUGUCUCAAAAUGAACCAUCAUCUCAAAAAUCAAUCAUCAAUUAGUGGAGUGUGUCCCAAUGCAGAAUAUCAAGUAGAGUGACUAUAUCUCCAAUAAAAACGCCCUCUGAAAUGGCUAUGCCCCAGUGUAGGGUCGUCCCACAACUCCCAAUCCAUCAUAAGCCGAGCGAAAAAAACCAACUGACUAUGCCUCAGUGCAAAGCGUCAUCCCAUUAAGAAACUGUCAUCGAUGAGCGGGGUAUGCCCCAGUCCAGAUAAUGUCACCUCUGAAAAUCCAUCACUGAUAAGAGGGGUAUGGCCCAAUGUAAACCAUCAUCUCAACUCCCCAUCCACCAUGCUCUGAGGAAUAAUCUCCGACCAAGCUCGAGUAUUGCCCACGUGGGAGCUGUCAAACACGAUGUAAAGUAAUGGCCUCAGGGUGGUCUUCAGACACAGGACGUAACGUAGGCUAAGGUAAUAGGGUGAAAGAAAUGGAAGGAAACUAGGCCCAAAGAUCCCAAUGAUAUAAUCCUCAUACCCCUCAUGCAUGAAAUGCAAUGCAUAGAAAACGUCAUGAGUCCCGAAUCUAGGGGUCCCCACACCAAAAGUGAUGAUAAAGGGAUGAACAUAUCGAAUAAGCAAGAAUAAAGUGUAGAUGCUGAACUCAAGUCAAACAUCAAGAAGAAUGAGAAAAGAAAGAAAUCAGAUGAGGUAGAGUGGAAUGGAGGAACAAAAUAAAGAUAGAAGAAGAUGAAGAGAUAGAAAAGUGAGUGAUGGUCAACCUGCAUCAAAGCAUGGAAGGUAGUCACAUCCAAAAUAGAUGGGAUGAUGGAUAGAGCAAGGAUCCAGAGAUACUAAAGAAAGGUCGCUCGCCUCUCUCAGGAAAAUCGAAUGAGCGACUCAUACUCUCACCCAAAAUAUACCAAGAUGGAAUCUUAGAAAGAAGCUCUCAUACGAACUCUCUCUAACACAUGAACUCAAUGAAGCAACCUAGCACGUCCAUACACAUGCCCAAUGGUGAAUGAUAAAAUGAAUAAUGCGCUAUCAUUUUUUUCCUUUUUUUGUUUUGUUUUUGUUUUUUUGUGCAUACUCUGAUCAAUAAUGAAUGAUCUCCCAUGAAAUAGAUAGCCAAAUGAAUAAACUAUCCCCAUGUACUAAUGUAACAUGAAUCCUCACCAACAAGACAACCUCUCAGAUAAGAUCCUUGGACCACUGCCCAUAAGGCGAACGAGGGAGGAACGUGACAAUCCUCCAUGCAGUGACGUGUGAAAAACCACCACUCAAGGUGAAACACGGAUAAUGUCGAGUAAGCAAUGAUGAAAGAAAAGACAGAGAACGAAUAUCACAAGUAGUGAUAUAUGAUAUUGGAAAAUAGUGAUGAAAUGAUGUCCAAGUGGAAAAUAUCACAAUGAAGAGUGAAGAAUGAGGCUCGAAUAUGUAUGUCAGGUCUGGAACUCAUGACGUAUCUAAACAUAGCAUGCAAGCACUACAGGGUCCCAAACCCGGUGUAAUAGGUAAAUGAGGUGAUGAAAGAAAAGGCUAUGUGCUCGUGUGAGGCUCAAAAGGGCUAGCAACGGGUAACUCUAUAUGUGAGGGUGAUAAAGUAAAUAGGCUCAUGAAAUGAUGGUUACCCAUCCUUUGACCACAACCUUGAACAUCGUGCUUUCGAGAUCUCACAUGACCAAUACUAAAGACUGGCAUCCAUCCAACAUAGUCAUAGCGACUCCUCUGAAAUCGUGCGAAAGCUCCCACUAAUGCUCUAUGAUAACCAUCAAUGUCCUUUGAAAAUCAACUCACUCCAUCAUCAUAAGUCACUCACCACCACCUCAUAACAUCACCAUCUCUAAUCAUCCCGACUCUCUGAAGUCAUGUGCAAUGGCUCAACAACAUUGUCAAGUAGUCAAACCACUCUCUCAUCAUGAUCCAUAUAUCAUCGUGUAGAGCUCACCUCAGGUCUAACCAUCUCGGACUCUACCUAGUCAGGUCAAGGAAAUGAUGGAAAUGAAAGACAAUGGCACUAUAGCAUGAUAAGGCGAACAAGGGUAGUAAAGGCGUGUAAUGGUACCAAGGGGUGGUGUCAUGGCAGGCUCAAAAUGGGUAGGUCAACAAGUCCACAGAGUCAGGGUAUGGAUAUGGAUAUGGUACUGCUCUGAUCAGAAGGUGAAAUGAGUCACAAUCUCGAACUCCCUAGGUCGAUCUCCUAAUCCUAGGUCAAUAGGCUCAAUAUCCUCCAUGAUAGGUUAGGCCAGAGUGAUCAUGACGCGCAAAUGAAUAGAUGUCCUAAGUCAAAAGUACAACACAUCAUUUGAUAUAUGGUCCUGUGAUGGCAAUCUAUAACUGGAAAUAUGACAGAAACUCUAAGGUCAUAAAGGUAUCCACUGCGAGAUGGCUACAAAAGUGACCAAAGAAUCUCCAUCAAUAAUCCGAGAUAAAAGAGGUGCGAAAAAACACACUAUCACGAGAUCGGUACUCCAUCAAUAAACAUAUAUCUUUAACUCAACUUUCGACUCGAGCUCAACUCAAGAAUUCUAAGGGAUGUGAAAGCAGUUCCAAUCCAUGCUAGAAUAUUACCCCAUAAUUUGUUGUAACUGAGAUCAAGGAUUUCCAACAUUGACAGGUUUUGGAAAGAUGAAGGCAGUUUCCCUUAAAGCUUGUUCUUGCUUAGGUGAAGAAGUGAUCGAUCUUGCUUAGGUGAAGUGAUCAAAGCCAUAUUAACUGGCCAAAAGAUUUUGGAAUAGUCCCGAAUAAAUUGUUCUCUUCGAGGCUUUGAAAUAUCAGGUAAGAGCAAUUACUUAUGGAUGAAGGAAUGCUUCUUGUCAAACUAUUCCUUGAAAGAUCAAGGAUUUCAAGACUGCUCAUAUAUCCUAUAGACUCUAGGAUGAUUCCUGUUAUUUGAUUGCCUGAAAGAAGAAGGAAUUUCAAGUUUGACAUGGAUUCACCUAUCUUGGUUGGGAUAGAACCAAAAAAUUUAUUCUUGGAUAGAUCAAGUAUGAGGCACCCAAGGUUUGGUAGAAGAAUUGAACCCUCAAAGAGGUUGGCGCUAAAAUCAAUAAAUGUCAAAGAGAUCCUACUCAACUGAUUUGGUAAGUGACCUUGUAACGGAUUGAAAGAAAGAGAUAAAAAUCUUAAUUGAGAAGAAAUAUUCCAAAACCAAUUGGGUAUGGAACCUGAGAUGCUAGCAUUUGAUAGAGCGAGAGUGUUGACCUCAUUUUGAAACUUAAGCCAAGUCGGAAAUGAAGGUCCUAAAUUGCAUGAACUCAUAUUCAGAUCAGAGAUUUGGAAGGGGAAGGGGGACCCAGGUGGAACUAACAUUCAAAACAAAAAAUGUUCUUCAGAAAGAAUUCUAGUCAAGCAAUUCCCAGUAAGUUCCAAGAUAACCAAGUUAGAAAGUUGUCCAAAACUAGUUGGGAGACUCCCAUUCAGUUCAUUCAAUCCAAGCAGCAUCUCAUUCAAAUUUUUGAAUGUCCUAUAAGAAGCAGGGAUAAUGCCUUGAAGCUUGUUGUUAGAUAGAUCCAGAUAUGUAAGUUUUUCCAGCUAACUCAAGCAUUCGUGAAUUGUACCUGCAAUCAUCAUCAAAGAGUAUAAAAAUAAUUACUAUUUUUUAUUUACUUAUUUUGUGAAAAAUAAGAAAUUUCAAGAGAAAUGUAAGAAACUUUGCUUUCUUAAUGCAUUAUCAAAUGGGUGGAGAAAAUAUAAUUUAAAAUAUUUUUAGAAACAAGUGUCUACAUGGAAUAAAUUGAGAAAAUUGUUUUUAGAAAUUAAAGUUUCCAAACAAAAUUUUGCUUCAAAAUAUAAUAUAAUAUUUGUAAAAAUUAUUAUAAAAAACUUAAAAUUUGAUUUUGAAAAAAUAUUUUUAAAAUGUUUACACGAAACAAAAUACAUUAUAAUAUUUGUAAAACUAUUAUAAAAAACUCGAAAAUUGAUUUUAGAAAACUAAUUUAAAAAUUGUUUACAACCAAAACCUAUAUUUUGUAGUGUAAUCUUUCAAAUACAUUAAAAGCCCUAAAAAUUCCCCUUUAUUGGUCAAUUGCGCAAUGAAUUUAUGACAAAUCAUGCAUCAUCAAGAGUUAAAGUAAUUUAAUUUAAAAUAAUUUUCUAAAAAAAAAAUGAAAAGAAAGAGAGAGUUUAUGAGAAAAUAAUUUAAUGAGUGGUGAGAAGAUGAUUGAAGUUGCCUUGAUGGUUUAAUGAUAAAAGUAAGAGAUUAUUGGAAAGUCAGAAUAAUUUAAUGCGAAAUAUUUUUUAAAAACAUAUUUUGAUGUAUCAAAAUAAUUAUUGGAAAGUCAGAAUAAUUAUUAGAACUACUACAUUAUUUUGAUGUAUCAAAAUCAAUAAGCAAUAAUAAUUUUUCUAAGCGAAAAAUGUACCAAGAAAUUUAUUGUAUGCCAAAUUCAGAAAUUCUAUCUUCUUCCAACUUCCACUUAACAGUUGAGAGCAACUACCUAUGAGAUUUUCAUUCUCAGAUAGAUACAAGUGCUGCAAGUUAGGUAGUUCCCCAAGGCCAGGUGAAAUAUGCCCGUAUAACUUAUUAGAGCUUGCAUCAAUGUAUACAAGGCUACUAAGGUUUAGAAGCCAUAUUAGGAACUUUGACCGAAAAGAGUUGCCACUAAUGCUUAUGACAAAUAGUGAAGUAAAAUUGAUAGAGUUUAGAGAUGAAAUUGAACCAGAGAGCCCACAAUCUUGUAGGUGCAACUCUGUUAAAAAUGAAUUCUUGUUGAAUACCUCCAUCCAGUGAGAUCCUCCCAUUGACAGGUUGACAUAGUUCAACUUGAGAUGCCUUAAAGAAACAAGAUUAGUCAUUCAUUCAAGGUCCUUAACAAAUAAUUGAGAUUCAUCGAAAGAAAGAUCAAGAAAUUGCAAAUUAGAAAGAUUUUCCAAGGUUGGAGGAAUUGCACCUUUGAAUCCACAAUUUGAUAAGUUUAGAUAUUGUAAAUUUUUCAAAGAUCCAAAGAAUUUAGGAAUUGGGAUAUGCUCAAAUGAGUUGCCACUCAAAUCUGAAGAUCUCAAAGAUUUGAGUUCUAUCAAAGAAGGUCGGAUCUCCCCGCUUAAGUUCAUUGAGCUCCAAUUUUCAUAUGCUUCUUCAGGAGAAUAUGAGUUAUGAAGAUUGAUUGAAUAAGAACUCCUGUGUUAUUUUCACAACCAAUUCCCUCCCUGUAGACCCUCAAUUUUGUCCCUUUAGCACAUGUCUUUAAAAUUCGUUUUCAAUGCUCCACAAUAGUUCCUUGGUGGCCCAUGGCUACUCAUACCACUUACCUUUUUCUGAGUCACCUCAGAGACUUUGGUUGAGGGAUUAUUUGAUCCUUUAUUGUGACCCUUGGCAGCCCUAACUUAGACUUAGGCUUUUCUUGUUUUUUUUAGGAUAGCUUUUAGAUACACUUGGCCCAUUAGGCACCACCCUAGGCCCACUUAGUCUCAUCAUAGGCUGUUUAGGCACACUUGGCCCAUUUGGACAUUUUUAGCGUGACUUGUAUGACUUGCAUGGUUACAUGGCUUUUGGGCUCGGCUUUUGUUUAUUGGUUUAUUUUUAUUUUAUUUUAUUUUAUUUUUUAGUUUUAGUUUUAUGAUUAUCAUUCACUUUUUAUUGGUUAUCUUCCUCUUUAUAUUAUUUUCCUUAACUUAUUUAUUUAUUUAUUAUUUAUUUUCGUUUAUUUAUUUAUUUAUUUUUACCGUUUCCUAGUUUAUUUACUUGCUUAUCUAUUCAUUCAAUUAUUUAACUUAAAAAAUUUCAUGUUUUUGUAAGGAAACUUACCAUUGGAGUUUAAGGAAGGUGGGACUCUCCUUGGAAGGUUUUGGUGGGGAAUUUGAAAUUGGGAAGAUUGCUUUUGAUUGGAAGAUUUAAAAAAAGAAGAGAAGAAGAAAGGAAAUAGGAGAAUUUUCCUUUUUGGAAACAAAUUUAGGUCUUGAGGGGUGAUAUAUAUAGGAGAGAAAAUGAAAAGAAUAAAGAAGGAAGCACGUAUUGGAGUUUUGGUAGGGAGAAGAAGGAAGAUAGCAUGAAAAAGGAGAUUUUUUUUUAGAAAACUUGCAGCACACGUUGAGAAAAGGAGGAGAAAGGAGUGAAGAAGCAACAAAGGAUUGGGAGGAUUUUUUGCGGAGAAGCACAGCGGAAGCAGAAAAAGAGCAAUUGCAACCAAGGCCGUUCGGGUAUGUUUCUCGAUGUUCUUGAAAUUAUUACCUAUGCUUGAUUUCUCCAUGUAUUUCGUUUCUGAAUAUUUAAUGUACUAUUGAUUGGUGUGGACGCAAAGGGCCACAAAAUUUUUUAGUCGAUAUUGGUUGCUGAUGUGUUCACCUCAAACCUGUUUGUGAUCCUCGCCACUAGCCUGAGCCCAUUGAAAAAAACAUGAGAUGUGGCUUUAUUUGAUUUCUUUUAUUAUUAUGCCUGUUUGUUCUCUCCCCGUCUUCUAUGGUUUUACACUAUACAUGCUUUGGAUCAUUCCUCUUAGUUUCCUGGUCACUAUUUGUAAGCGUUUAAUAUGAGUCGAAAUUUUGGGAGGAUAAAGAUAGAAAGGACCCUCUAUUUCAUCCAACAGAAAUCAGUUCAGAAAUGUCCUUAUAACAACUAGAAAUUGAUUCUGAAAUUGAAGUAUCGUGGUGGAGUAGAGUGGGAGAACCAGAGCCAAAGAUGACCCCUUUAUUCUCUCCCGUGUUCUAGUAAUUUUGGUUUUCCGGCGCCAGAGUUUGUCGGACUGCCUUCAUUGGGGUUAUCUUCUUUUGAGGUUCAGUGGAUUCUGAUCUCUGGCGUCAAGCUUUCUCCAAAGUGUAACUCGUCCUCAAAUUCCAGCAAGAAUGACACCGCUGAGUAUCUGAUCGAGGGAGAAGAGGGCACCAAUGAUCACAGCGUCAUUCAUAAAUGCAUUGAGAUACAAAAUGUUAUCUCUAAAGGAGCAAUAUUUUUUUCCUCUUCGCCGAAUAUCUAUAUAUUGGAAUCUUCAUGGUUGUCUAAUCUUGAUUUUCGUUUUCCUUGGCUCUGUGGAGGGUUUCAACACAAAGAGUCAGCCUCGCUCAUACAACAAAGGAGAGAUUUGCUUUUUUUUUUUUAUUGGGGAUUUACUGCUUUCUGUGACACGUUUGAUGUUUCCCCCUUGUUUCUGAGAUUGUGUAUCGAGAUAAUCUGGAAUCAUCUUAGACGAGAUGUUUUCAUUACAGAAGGCUGUAAGAGAAGCAUUCUGCAUACAGAUUAGUUUCUCCCUUGAGGAUUUUGUUUUGAAUUGUUUAUUUCUCGAUGGUGAGGCAUCAGAAUAUAAAACUUAUGGCUCUUCCCAUGCAUGCGAUUGAAGAAGAAUCACUCUAGUCUGAAGGUCUCUCUGUUUUGCACUUCUUCAUUGAGCAGUUGGCUAAAGUAUCGUCAUCCAGCACUAAACAUGUAAUUUCUCAAGCUUUUGUUGCUCUUAGCCCCUCUUGAAGAGAGAGAAAGAAAAUCUCUCCAUUCAUUUGAAUAAAAUAGUGGAGAUUCUAGAAGAACUCACGUUUGAGAACAAGGCUGUCCUAAAGUAGCAUAUCCGUUAGUUCCCUUCAUUGCCCUGCAUUCCUGCUUUAAAAAUGAGGAGAUUCUUCCAAAUUGUCGUGUUCAAGUGGCUUGUCAGCCACUUAUACACCUGCUGAGCUUGGUCACAGUGAUGUAAGUUUGUGGGUUGAUAUGGUGAUUAGAGACAACUUUUCUCGGAAUUUGAUCAUUUUAGAGUGUCUACACUGAAGAAAGGUUGAAGAGCACAAGAGAUGUUUUAAGAAAUGCCCACAAAGGGAAUUGAGAGCAAUUCUGUUCACAAAGAUUCGUCAAUGAGACCCUUGUUAUGGGAGACUCCAGUCGCCAUGCACGUGCUUUCUAGUGUGCUCAAAAGAGUGACCCCAGAAAAUAUCAUCAGUUCAAGCAAUCUGGAUUUGGAACACUAAAUCGUCUGCGAGUAGUUGUUGUAGAAAAGUUGUUCUAUAGGAAUAUCAUAAAAAGAUGUGAGAGUGCAUCUAAGAAGCGGUCCGAAGCUUGUUGUCUUUUGCAGGAUAAUAUACUGUACACAACCCAAGAAUCUGACUCUCACUCUGUAUUCAUGGAGCUUUCUUGUUUGUUAUUUGAUAGCACUUUUGAACUUUAUUUGGCAAAUUUUCUUCGUAUGAUCACAACCAUGGCAGAAUCAGGCUCCAACGAGGAGCAAACCGUUAUGUGGAAAUUAAAUGUUGCAUUUGGACCCUUGUGGCAAGAGCUGAGUGACUGAAUAAACACGACUGAGGUACAGCUUGGGAAACAACUGAACAUUCCAGCCAAACCCCAAUUCAGUCUACCAGACUGAACAUCUUUUCCUAUUUUAAAUUCGUGGGUCGAGUGGUUACAAAGGCGCUAUUUGAUGAUCAGCUUUUGGAAAUUUCUUUCACUCGGUCGUUUUACAAGCAUAUUCUUGGUGUGAAGGCGACUUUACCAUGAUAUAGAGGCUGUUGAUCCUGAUUACUACAAGAAUUUGAAGUGGAUGCUAGAGAAUGAUGUGAGUUGCAUACCUGAAAUGACAUUUAGCAUGGAUUUAGAUGAAGAAAAACACUUUCUUUAUGAGAAAACUGAGGUUACCGACUAUGGGCUUAAACCUGGAGGGAGGAAUAUAAGGGUCACAGAAGAAAUAAAGCAUGAGUAUAUAGACCUUGUUGCUGAGCAUAUCUUGACAAAUGCUAUUCGUCCUCAAAUCAAUUCCUUCCUUGAAGGCUUCAAUGAAUUGGUUCCACGAGAACUUAUUUUGAUUUUCAAUGAUGAAGAACUUGAGCUGCUUAUUAGUGGACUUUCAGAAAUUGAUUUGGAUGAUUUGAAGGCCAGCCCUGAGUACACAGCGUACACUGCAACAUCUAGUGUUGUUCAGUGGUUUUGAGAGGUGGUCAAAGCUUUCGACAAGGAAGACAUGGCUAGAAAUGCUGGAAUUUGUUAUUGGAACAUCAACAAGGUCUCCGGUGAGUCUAUUUGGAGCCCCCAUUCCACCCAAUCAAAUCAAGUAUCUUGAUCUUCUGGCACAGUAUUAUGUCUUGAAGAGGCAACAUGUAUCACCAAGAUUGGCAAAGAAGCGCUCAAUGGAUGCAGGAGAUGUCCCUACUUUAGAGCAGAGGCACCAGUACCUGAGUAAUGCAAUUCUGCAAGCAAAGAAUGCAAGCGACAGUGACAGUCUAGUAGGUUCUGUCCAGGGUACCUCUGAUAAUGGCCUGCUGGAUUUGCUUGAAGGGAAGCUUACUGUUCUCCGGUUUCAAAUAAAGAUCAAAGAGAGAACUGGAGGCUAUAGCUUCCAGGCAGUAUUGCUGAAGCUUGUUCAGCCCUGAAAGAGGGUUGAUUCCUACAUUUAUUCUGGAGAUGGAGCGAAGUCUUCUAGAAGUAUAGAAAAUCAAACUGGUUUGAUCAACAAUUUGGAAAGCCAGAGUAUCCUAAAUGAUGGAAAUUCAGAGUCUUCAAAAUUGAAGAGGAUAACAUAUGUGAAGCGCCAGUCAAACCAGUUAGUUGCUGCUUCAAAUGCACAGGAUAUGUCUGUUCAAAAUGUAGAUAAAAUCCCAGCAUUAUCCCCUGAUGGUUACUACAAGAGAAGGAAAAUUUCAAAGUGAGUGCAAUGAAAAGUAAUAUGAGGCACCUCCAUGAAUGACAAAAACUAGGAACUUUUGGGGAUUUGAAUAAUUCAUUUGAUUGUUAUGGAAAAUAUUCUCAUGGGAAUACUGAAGUUGAGGAGAAAGAGUAUGAAUCUGACCCUGAAAAUUAACGGUUAUGAAGCUGUUAGUUUGAUCAAAAUGGAAAUUAAGUACCUUAAUUACGUUUAUGUCUCCUCCAGUGCUUGUAUCACUACAGGUACAAGCAGUUCGAAGCAAUUAUGUUCUGCGGUUCCAAUUUAAAGAAGUUCAACAGUUGGGUCUGGAAUACCCGAAUUUAUUAUAUAAUUGUCUUGAUAGUCAGUUUCUUACUUUGCAAUAAGAUGAAGCACGUCGGAAAAGGAAAUUGGUGAGAAAGGUGACCUGCAGCCUGAAGUUUUCUGGUCAAUUGAACUCAAGCCACUUGAUCGCCAGAUUGCCGAAGAGCAAAUCCAGUUCAUUUCUUUCCUUCUACUGGUUUUCUGGCUCAUCCCUACCUCAUGAAUACACCCAGUUAGGUAGUAUUACUGAAGUACCAAGGGACCUUAUUGAUCCCUACAUCCUGGUCAGCAUCCUUCAACACGAGAAAUGGAAGUAUCAACUAGUUUUCAUGUAAGACAAGGUCAACGAAUAGAUCAGAUUCUGCAGUCAUUUUUUUUCUUAUCAAGAUGAUAAUAUCCAAGCAAUUUCUCUCUCAAUCCACAUACCAGUAGCCACUUCCAAUGUGCACAAAUAGAGGACCUAUAGCUAAGAAUGAAACUCUGCCCGUCAAUAACGUUGAAAGCACAAGGAAUAACCGUGUUGUGAAUAUAAUUGGACAUGUCUGGCCGAAGUGUUGAAUUAAUUCUAUGGUGAAAUUUCGGUAACGCGGAAGGAAUAAUAGCUGCAGAAACUAAAUAUGGAAGGAGUAGAGCAACAUUGUUUUUAGACCUCUUAUGAUCGUCAUGCAGAAAAACAACUCAGUAGCUGAAGUUGAGUAUAUUGACAAAUCUGAGAAUGCACCUCCAACUGAUGGAACUGAGUAGCAGCGCAGGAAAUCUGAUAUGGAAUUAAGACCUACUGCCACACUACAAGCCCUAGUUGAUGAUUCAAAUUGUGAUCUCGAGAAACUAAAGUUGAAUCCGAACGAGAUUGAUGAUGAAAUCAUGUAUCAAACCCUAUGAGCUUUGACUCUAAAAUGAAUACUAAAAUGAAUACGAACAAUUCUCUUCUGGUCAUGCCAGCAAUAUACGGAGAUCUCUUCACAUAACCACCAGCAACGCAGUCACAGCCAAACCCCCAAACCCCACUCGCCAUGACCAGUUCGGUGCACACUACUCUCUUCCCUUCGCACCCCUCUUGUUUUCUUCAUGAUUUUACGUGUUUUGAAUUGUGUUUUCAAAAUCGUUUUCAUCCAAAUAAUACUGAUUUUAGAGAAUCAUCUUUAGACCUUCUCUAGGCAAUAAAAUCCAGAUUUCAGCACCCUUUUGCUGCCAUUUUCCUUCCGGCACGCGUUUUCACUAUUUUAUUUGAUUUUCAACUGAUUUUCUUGAUUUUCAAUAAGCAUGAAUAAACUUCAUGAUUCCAAAUAAUGGAAUUCAUAGAAUCAAUUCAUGCAAAAUUAAUUAGGGCUUUGGUGGGGGCCCGACAUUCAUGAUAUUCUCAUCAACAUUGUUUGCUUGAUAUUUGAUUGAUUGUGCUUCCUCUUUAUGGUAUUGAGAUUAUUUCGCACCUGUUACUAAGCAAACUUUGUUUCCCAUAGAGGAGUAUUAGCUUGCUAUCCAGGUACACUCUUCUUGCCCUCAAACUCAAAAAUUCUAUAAAUGUGUAUGUUAUCAUGAGCCAUGUCCAUGUCUGAUGCCAUGAUUGAUUGCCUUGAUGCUUGUUUGAUCAUCUUUGAUAAAAAUGCAUAUUAUGCAUCGUAUUUUCAAACUAACCAUCGAUGUUUUAUGAUAGCGCUUGAGAAGCGAUUCAGGUACGCACUUCGAUUCUCUCUCAUGGUUUGUUUUCUUGUUAGGCAUACAAUAUUUGAAAUCACCUAACCUACUUAGGUAUCCAUAAUUAAUUGAUUAAUGGCCACACUUCCCUUAACUUUGUCAGUAGAGACCUUUAUAGGGCUUAGAGGGGUGCUACCUUUCAAAGGUACCUUCCCAAUAGGUAACCUGAUCCCCGGACUUAGACUCGGUUUUUUUCAAAGACACGCUUUUCCAAAAAUUAUGGAGUCAUUUUUUUAGGGUUUUAUUUCUUGUUUUAUUUUCCCUUCAAAAAUAAAAAUAAAAUAAGUGGCGACUCCAACUUUUUUUCAAAAAUCAAUUUUUCACAAAUAAAAAGCGAGUCUCGCCAAUCGAGUGGGGACGCACGUGAAAAAUGCGGGUCCACACUCCCAUUGACAACAAUUGCCUCAUAUCCAUGAUGAAAUUCGGCUGCUAGAAGAAUCUUUGAGACCAUUUUUGAAGUCAAGAAGAGAUUCUCGAUGAACUCUUAAGCAAUUUCCCUCAAGGGUUUCACCCUUACAAGCAAGAUCUCUUGUUAUUAAACAUAAAAUUACCAAAAGGAAACCAAGAAUUGAAAUUUUCUCCAUCUAAGAACACCUAUAAAAACAAGUAAUUAAUAUUAAGUUUUGAUAGAAGAAUCAAAAUAAUGAUGAAAUUUGGUAAGUAAUCAGAACAUCAAGUUAUUAGAUAUUAAAUAACACAUUUAUUUUAAUCAAUCAAAAGUUUAAUAAGAUUAAAACAUGUCAAGUAGAUGGAAUACUUGAACAUUCAUAUCAAAUAUGGUAUGAUGAUUGUUGCUUAUCAAAACAAUAGAAAUCACCCACAAGAGAAGCUUAGAAGCAUUAGGUAGAGGAAAACACUAGAGACAACUUGGCAUUAUUGGUAAAGUAAAACAAGACUAGUGAUCCAUUCAAGAUCAGUAACAUAUAAAUCAUAGGAUUCAAAAUUAACAAUUAAAUCAAAAGAUUGAUGGCUAGAAAGAUCGAGAAAUUUCAAAUUAGAGAGGUAUCCCAGACCAGGAGGAAUUGCACCAUUGAACCCAUAAUUUGAUAGGUUUAGAUAUUGUAAAUUCUAAAAAAUACAAAGAACUCAAGAAUUGGAAUACAUUAAAAUGAGUUGUCACUCAAAUCUAAAUAUCUCAAGGAUAUGAGUUCUAUUAAUGAAGGUCCAAUCUCUCCACACAAGUUCAUAGAGGUCCCAUUCUCAUAUUCUUCUUUGGGAGAAUAUGGCUUAAGAAGAUCAAUUGAAAUAAUAGUUCUUGUUUUAUUUUCAUAAUCAAUUCCUUCCCAUUGACAACAAUCAAGCCCUCUCCAUGAUGAAAGCCAAUUGUUAGAACUUUUGAGACCAUUUUUGAAGUAAGAGCAUCUCUAUCAGUUUUUAAGCAAUUUCCCAAAUUGGUCUCACCUUUACAAGCAAGUUCUCUUAUUAUUAAACAUAGAAUGAUCAAAAGAAACUGAUAAUUAAAAUUUUGUCCAUCUAGGAGCACAUGUAGAAACAAGUAAAAUUAAGUUCCAACACAACAAUAAAAAUAGUGACAAAAUUCAAUUAGUGAUGGAAUCAAGACAUCAGACAAUUAAUAACAUAUUUAACUUAACCACUUGUUUGUUUAGAAAGAUUAAAAAUUGCCAAGUAAACAACAUACUUGAAGGCAUGUUAAAGAAAAUAUAAUUGAAAUCAUCUCAACAAAUAUCAAAUAUGCUUUGAUGAUUUCUAUUGAUCAAAACAUUCCAACUAAAGAAAUCACAUACAAAAAAAAAAAAAAAAAAAAAAACUUGCAGCAUUAGAUAGAGAGAAACCAUGUAAAUAACUUGACAUUAUUAGUGGAGAUCUUACCAAUUAUCUUCCUUUUUUUUCUAGUGUAGUGAUUCCUUUGGAUGUAGAAACAUAUAUAGAAGAUAAUUCAACUAGAAUCCAUAUGGAUGAUAGUGAUAGGCUCUUUUUAUUUCUUUUUAGCAAUAUUUUGAAAAAUGGACUGUACCAACCAAUUGAACCAAAUCAAUUGCUAACCAAUUCACUUUCCAAUUCAAUUGACCAUUUCUAACCAUUUUGAGUUUAAAAAGAUGGGAAACCGAUUACUACUACUUGAUUAUGAUCAAAUUGUGUAUAUGAAGUAAAUAGCUAGAUUUGCAACUAUCUUUCUAAAAAAAAAUUUCCAAGAAAAAAGAUUUAGGUGAUGUUUGUCUUUUUAACUUAAUAUAAAAUGAAAUUUAAUUUCAAACUUCAAUUAUUUGUUUUUAUUUUAUUUUUCUACUUUUAACUUAUUUAUUAAUAUUUUUAAUUAAAUAGAAAAAACUAAACUAUGUAACUUUUUACUUAAUUUUAAAAGUUAACUAAUUCAUACUUCUAACCCCUCACACCUAACUCACAUUCUGAAAAAAAUAAUUAAAUUAAUACUUAAUACAUUUAAGUUGUAUUUAAAAUUGAGCUAAAUUAAGUUCUACUUAUAUUUAAGAAAAAAAGCACCAUCUUAAUCUAUUAGCUCUUAAUUUUUUUUCUUUUUAAAUGAGAGAGACUUAAUCUAUCAUGUUCACCCAAACUUUAACUUUGCUUUAUGUCAAUAAUAAUAGUAAUAAUAAUAACAAUAAUAAUAAUAAUAUGCACAUGUAGAUGAUAAAGUCAUUAGUUCUAUGAAUUGAGUCAUGGAAAAACCUUCCUCAAAAUAUCACAAUCUUCAUGUUGUCCUAUACAUAUAUAAGGAAUACCAAUAUGUUUAUAAGUAAUAUUUCACAAUCUUAUGAAAAAUUAAGGGAAAAUAAAUAAAAUAAUCAAUAAGACAUCAACAAUCUUAGCAUACCAUCCCAAAAUAAAUAAAAUCUCUUAAAAAUUUGAAAAAUUAUGUCUUGAGGUUAUCAUUUAUGAUAGAAUGACCAUGCCCAUCAAAGUUGGCUCUGCGUUAAUCUAGUCCAAUCAAUCAAAUCAACUAUUUAAAGUAAACCAAAGAUUGGGACCACUUUUUAAAGACAUUUUUGUCAUUUCAUGUCUUGGGAAAUUUAAGGACAUUAUUUUCCUCAUUCAUAUAUUCAAGGUUUAUAUCGUGUCUACCAAGGUGGCCAUUUUUCCUUCAAUAAUUUUUAAUAUAUUUUCUUUCAUGUCUUGCAACCUUAUCAAGAAAAUUUUGCAUUACCUUGACUUUGACUCCAUGUUUGGGUCAUCUAGAUUAGGGCCUUGUAACUGUUGUGACUUGUCAAUUGCGUUUUAAAUUUUAUAGGACUUUGGUGAAUAUUUACAAAUAAUAGAUAUUUUAUGUAUUUUAAUUUUUAAUUGAAAAUAAUUUUUUUUUUGGUAAAAAAAAAUUUACGCUACAAUUCAUUUCCUCACAUGGAAGUGCUAGAAGUUUUUUUUUUUUUUUUUUUUAAAUAACCUAAUCCAUUUGGUGCUUUUACAAAGUAUAUAUGAUUUAGUUGUGCGUCAAUGAAUCAAUUGCUUUAGAUUAAUUAAUUUCCAACCAACUGAAUUAUACAUCCAGAUAUAAGGUAAUUUGGGUAACUCACAUUUAAUAGCUUCAUAAUUUCUUUAUUUAAAUCUUAUAAAUUAAAUAUAUAACUUAUUAUAAACAAGUUGGAAGCAUAUAGUCAUUCAAGUCUUCAUUUUCCUUUUCGAUUUGCUAUAAAGUUGAUUUUUUUCCCUAAAGAAUAAAACAUUUGAGAAGAAAAUAAAAAAGUUACAAAUUCAAACCACAAUGAAAAAUAAUAAGAAAACAAAAACAAAAAAAACACAUGAAACACGAUUUAUGUAGUUUGCCCUAAAGCCUACAUUUAUAAAUGAAGAUAAAAAAGAACUUCCACUAUUGUUUAAGAAGAUUAUAAUCCUAUAACUCUUAAAUCCUAAAGUCUAAAUUAAUUAUACCAAGAAAAAUGAUUAUUUCUUAUUCGCUAAAAUGUCUUCUCAUAUUUUCUUGGUUGGAAUAUUUAAUAUAAGGAACUAAUUAUCUAAUUAUUAGAGAUACAUAAUAUUUGUAGAGAUAUUACUACUAGUUUUCCUUAUUUUAUAAAAGGAAUCUAAUUACAAUCACAUGAUAUGAAUUUAUGAAAUAUUUUAUAUAAGGUGGUGAGGACUAUACAUGGUAGAUAGAGAUAUGAGGAAGAGGGAGAGACACUUGGUGGAGUAAGAGGGCUCACUAGGGUGUAGAUGUGAGAAAGAGUAAAAGAUAUCUAGUCGAGCAAAAUGACUCAUGAUUCAGGGUGGGGAUAUGAAGCGUAGGGAAACUUGAGAUGUUUUGACACCCAAUAGUUGUAUCUAUUUCUAUUCUCUGUACUGUUUUAUAUGACAUAGUAGAAUGUUAUUUCUCAUCUAUUAAGGUAGACAUGGUUGGUUGAACCUUUGUGUGUGGUUUGCUUUAUUUUUGUAUUUUUUUCUUUAACAUAUCUACAUUGAAGUUAAAAUAGUUUGUUUCAUUGAUAUUUUUUAAAAUCCCAAAAACUCUAGAGAAUAUAAUCAUUCUUAAAGUUUGUAACUCCAUCUUUUGAACCUUUUAAGAUAUUUCUUGAAAGAACCUCUGUCUAUAAUAAAGGUUAAAGACUCAUACAACAAAACUUCAAUAAAGGCUUCAAGAGAUCUACUAAAGAGCACAUUAAAUAUUGCAUCAAGAAUUUGGAAAAUGAAUGUAAGUACUAUUGGUAUAAGACCCUAUAGAAUAGGUAAUGAAGUAAAAAUAUUAUAUAUACUAUUUUCUCAUAUUUAGUAGGUCAUUUAAUGGUUAAGAGACCACCCGCAGUUUUUUAUAUUUAGGCCACAGGUUGGUUUUUCCAUAUUACAUCCCGUGUUUAUUAUGUGAUUGGAAAUCUAUGGGAUUCAUUUAAUUUUACUUAAUAUCAAGAUUAUUUAAUGGUUGAGAGACCACCCACGUUUUUUAACAUUUAGCUUGCUAGUUGGUUUUUCCAUAUUAUAUCUCGUGUAUUUCUAUGGGAUUCAUGAAAUUUUACUCAAUAUUGAUAUUAUUGAUAGAGAAAACUAUAUUUAGGGUUGAUUGCUUCAACUACCUAUUAAUACCUUCAAGGUAACUUUAUAUAUUAAGACAUAACAAUUCUUUCAUUAUUAUUCAUAUGAAAGGAUGAAUCAUGCAAAAUAUAUUUGUCUCAAAAAAUAAAUAGUAGCUAUGGCUCAAAAUAGAAUAAUUCCCUCAUUUUAUAUAAUAAAUAAAUUAAUAGCUACAUUCAUGUUUGAACAAAAGUUCUAUGGUAUGAACGUUAAAUAUUUAAAAUGAAAAAUGAAAGGAAAUGAUGGUUUUCUUCUAAGCUUAGUUGCCAUGCUCCAAUCUAUGUUUUAUCAUGGACAACUUUACAAAGAGGAAACUCCAAUUCAUUUUGGGUUAGUUACCAUAAAGGUAAUAAAUAUUACACCCAAUCAUUAAGAAAAAAUAUACUAAUUUCAUAACCACGGACCUUGUAUAUGUGUGACACCUUAAAAAAAGUGUAAUUUUUCUUGAUAAAACUCUAAAAAUGAUAAUAUAUUUAUUUUUUAGGCCAUCUAAUUAUUUGGAAGAAUGACCAAUACUAUAACUAAAAUUUUUCAACUUUGUUCUAAUUAUAAUUAAUGGAAUUUAUGAAAAAAAAAAAUAGGACAAAUUACAAAAAUCACCCAUAUACUUUCACUUAUAUAUCAAUUUAGUCUUUUGAACUUUAUCUAUCUAUCUAUCUAUAUAUAUAUAUAUAUAUAUAAUAUCAAUCAUAAAUUAUAUCCAAUUGUCAAAUAGGGCCUUUUUCUAACAAUCGAAUAAAUUUUGGUAUGAGUUUUUAUAUCAUAUAUUUGAAUAUUUUCAAUUUAUCUAUGUACUUUUCAUUUUUUUUUAAACAAAAAAUCCUAAUCAAAGGGCCUAAUGUCAACAUAUAAUUUAUGAUUGAUAUUACUUAAAGAAUGAAAAUUAGAGACUAAAUUGAGAUAGAGGUAAAAAUUAGAAAAUGAUUUUUGUAAUUUUCUCUUAAAAUAUGGAUGAAGCAUCUAAAACAUAGGAUCUUAUUUGUAAUAUAACUUCCUUUAAAUAUAAGUGAUGCAUAUAAUGGCUUCAAUGUGCUUGCUAAGUCAUACACAUGGAAGCCAAGUUAUGUGGAAGAAGACCCGUCUUGUUUGUUUUGUUUCAAUGUUCCUUUUGUUUUGAAGUAUUUAUUUUUAUUGUUAAAGGUGAGAAUGUGUAAAUCGUUGGUUUUAUUUCUUUGGUAGUUUGUUUCUUAUUUGUAAGGGAAAUUAGUUAUAGAAUUAUCUAUAUUUAAGUCUUUAUUUUGAGGGAAUAAGAUGUGAAAUUGAUAUCUUAUCAAUUUUUAAGUUGUUUAAUUGGGAGGAGUUGACCCCUCAAAGUGUUAGUGAAUUUCUUUUUAUCUUUUAAUUUGUACCUUUUUCUUGAGCCACUUAUGAGUGUAUCAUGUAAACUCCAAAAAUUAAGCAAGUUGAGGAAUGAUUUAAAAUGAAAGAUGGAAGUAGUUUGAUCUUAGAGGGUCUAAGGUUUAGGCUUUUGUCAAUAACGUUUCUACCAGAAAGCUUUUAUGAUAACCCAAUUAAUAUUUAAACAUGAAAUAAAAAAUGGUUUUUGAUAAUAUUAUUUAUCAUGUAUUAUUACACAUUAAACACACACACACACACACACACACAUAUAUAUAUAUAUAUAUAUAUAUAUAUAUAUAUAUAUAUAUAUAUAUAUAUUCAGAACUUUAAGCUUUAUUUGGAUAUAUUUUUGUUUGGGUUUUUAGUAAAAAAUUUUAUAUAUAUAAAAAAACUUUUCUAUAAAAAGUAUAGACUUAUCUUAUGGCUUUAACAAUUACUUUAAAAAAAAUUAAAUUUGAGAUGGUAAAAUUUUUUUAAUACUUUAAUAUUUUUUAAUCAAUUUUUAAGAACUAUUUUAUUUUCAAUGUAACCUUUUAAGAAUUCUUGUAUAUUAUAUGGAAGAUAACAAGAAGCAUAUCCAAACAGCCCCCUAAGUUGCUUUUAAGCAUUUGGAAAUGUUCUUAAUACUCUCAAGCUAGGUUACUUUUAAAUACCCUCUUACUAUAAAAGUCUUUAAACAUAUGAAACAUGUAAGUCAUUAAAUCAAGAAGUAUACUAUCCAAUUAAAAGAAUUAACAUUCGUUAAAAUGUUUGGGCUUAAUGUUGGGCCUCCAUUAGGACAAGGUAUGGAAAACGUAAAAUAAAAAAUUUGGACCAAGACCAACAUUGAAAUGUCCUUGUGGGCAUUUAAAUGUUAUGACUUUUAAAUUAGUUUUCUAUACUACUUCUAAGGAAAUAAAGACUAAUUUACCCUUAUUUGUAAACAGAAAGAAUUUUUUUUAAUAUAGUAACUAAAUAAAUAAGAGAUGUAGUAACUAAAUAAAUAAAUAUAUAAUAACUAAAUAAAUCGCUACAAGGAAAAAGAUAUAUGGUGACAUUUAUAAUGAGUCACCCUAAACAUAGGAUGUCGCUACAAUAUAGUGUCACUUUAUCCACUGACAUCAUAAUGGAUACCAAUUGGUGAUGUAUUUGGAAGCAACACCAAAGCAGAUAAAUGGUGACGUAUUCAGAAGUGACACCAUAUAAUUUUAGUGAUGCUUAAUUUGAUAUAGAGUUGUGUGAGAUAUAUAAGGUGUCAUAUUAAAUGCAUCACCUUUGAGUUAUGGUGUCACAUCAUUGUAAAUGAUUAUAGAAGAUAUGAUUGCUUUUUGUUGAUUAACCUGUAGAUUUUUGUAAUGCUUAUUAAUAAAUAAGAUCAACUUGUGUAAAUUUUGUCCAUAAAUAUAAUAAUUAUAUUACAUUUAACAUAUAUUUUCAUAAUGCUUAUGGAUUAACCUAUAAUACAUUACAUCAUCCACUAAUAUUUGUCUAUCAAAUGUUCACAAAACGAUAGUACAUCAAACACAUCAAACCCACCAAAACUUAAAAAAAAAAAAGUGAAUACACAUUAAAACAUGAUUUAGAAAUGUUAAGCAUCCCAACAUUCAUGUAUAUCUCCAUUUCAUAUGCAUAAAACCAGUUAACCAUAAAAUGACACAAGAGUUGCAUCCAAAAACCUAAAAUUCUCAAUUCCAAAUAAAGUAACAUUUAUGUCGUAUAAUGUAUAGCAUAAGAGUCACAUCUAAAAACCUAAAUCUUGUUGUCUCUUUCUCCUUUCUUUUUAUUCUUCAUAUUGUCCUCUCAAGAGUGUAUGCCUGUAUUUCAUAGUUUAAUGAGUUUUAGAGUUCUUAUUGAACAUAAAAAUGUGAUGUUAUAAAAGAUAAACAAAUCUAAGUACUAAUGUUUUCUUUUUUCUUUUUCCCAUUUUCAUAUAAAAAUAGUUCGUAAAGAAUAAGUAAUGCUAUACAAUACCAAUAGAAAAUUCAUAUAACAACUAAGGGACUCACCAUGCAUGAUCACAAUACAUCAACAUGAUUCAUGAUUAGUUAUAACACAAAAGCAAUCCAUUCUCCCCUAAUUUCAUCAAAUUCUACUUGAGAAUACGUUUUUUUGUCAUCAAACUGAAAUCAAAUGAGAAUAACAUUAAUAUCACAAUAAUUGGAAGUAUGAAACUAUGUACAAUUCAUUAUAUGAGUAAAACCUUUAAUGCAAUAAUUGUAGAAUCAAUAAUUAUCUCUUUAAUGAAUCUCAUAACAAAGUAGUCACAUUUGAACUCAAAUAAAACAAUUCAAGAAAAUAAAAAAUAAAUCAAAACUACAAAAUCAAAAUAUAAAUCUAAAUUUUAGAAAAUACUAAUCUUCCACUUAAAAUCUACACUUUUUAAAUUUAUUUUUUAUAAUUCAUUAUGCUAUUAAAAAUAAUUUUUAACAUUAAUUUUUUUUAUAUAUAUAUUUUUUUAUUUCCUAGAAUGAUUUUCUUAAUUUCAAUAUUUUUUAAUGUUCAUUUUAUGAAAUAAAAAUGUCCAUUAAAGUUCAUCUCAAUUAUAUAAAAUAAAAUUUUAGUAAUAAAAUAUAAAAAUGUCUUCGACUACUAAUAUGAUAGGACAUGAUAUUAUAACAAACAUAAAAGUUGUGUAUAUAAGACAAAAAAACCUAAUUCAUUAUUAAGAAAUGUUAAGAGAAAAAUUAGUUUGAGAAAUAAUUAAAGAAUCUUUCAUAAAAAUUAUUGAUUUUUCAAUCAUAACAUCAAUUGAUAUAUUUUUUUUUCUAAGUAAAAUAAUUAAUAAAAAAUUUGGAUAUGAAAAAUAUGUUCAAAUAAAAAUAAUAAAAAAAUAAAAACAUCAAAGGAAAAUUUAUUCAAUAUUUUAAAUUUUUUACUUUUAAUAUUCUUUAGAUCAAUAAAUUAUCAAACAUUUUUUUUUCAAAAAAAAAAAAAGAAAAAUGAAGAAAAUGAAGAGUUUUAUGGAAGGAAUUGGAAAAUUUUUUGUAAUAAAAGGAUUUUAUAGAAAUUUCCUAACCUUGAAAGGAAAAUUUCAUCAUCAAUCUCAAAUUACUCCAAAGUUUGGUCAAUGCAUAUAAAAACAAUAAGAAAAAAAGGCAAAAAAAAGAAAAGAAAAAAAAACAUGUUUUUAGAAUCCUUUUGCGGGAGAUGACAAUAUUGAGAAUAAUUUUGUCAAAAAUUAUUUUCCAAAUAUCACCAACCAAUAUCUUUAUGAAAACCAAAAGAAAAUUAUCAAACAUCUAAAAAAAAAAAAAAAGGAAAAAAGAAGAGUUUUAUGGAAGGAAUUGAAAAAAUUAUGUAAUAAAAGGAUUUUAUAGAAAUUUUCUAACCUUGAAAGGAAAAUUUCAUCAUCAAUCUCAAAUAAAAACAUUAAGAAAAGAAGGUAAAAACAAAAAACAAAAACCACAUUUUAAGAAUAUAAAAAAUAUGAAUAGAACAAGAUGAGAUAUUAACUAUACGUAAAAUAAUAGAAAAAAAAUAUCAAAAUAUAAGAUUUGAUCAUUUUUAUAAUUAUUAAAAUUUUCAUUCCUAUUUAAAAUUUAAAAAAACAAUGCAUUUACAUGAAUAAAUGAAAAAUAAAAUUAAUUUCUCAUUGUUAAGUCCAACAUUCCAAAUUGACUCCAACAUGAUAUCGAAACUAUUUCAUUUUUACUUUUGUAGGAGAUGAUAAUAUUGAGAAUAAUUUUCUAAAAAAUUAUUUUUCAAAUAUCACCAAUCAAUAUCCUCAUCACAAUAUACUAUAAUAUUAUUUGAAAACAAACAGAAUAUCCCAUCAAAUGAAAUUUCCUACAAAAUCAAAAGAAAAUUUCAUGUUGUAAAAUGUUUGUCUCUCAUUCUAAGUAUGAAAGAUAUUAAAAAAAAUCAUUCAUUUUUCUUAUUUUCAUUCAUUUUGGGGUUUAUGGGUUUAAAAAUGAAACAGAAGAUAUGAUGGAAUGUUAAACCUAUUUUUUACUUUCCUACAACUCAAUAAAAAAACCACUAUUUACACGAUCCAUAUUACAGAUAUACUAAAUCAAUGAAUAUAAAUCAAUUGUGCUAAUAAAGAUUUUGACAUUAAUACCAAAAAAAAAUAUGAAAAUAAUAUAUCUAAGAGAUUUUGGGUUACUUGGAAGUCCACGAAGUAGAGAAGUGCAGUUGUGUGUUAAUUAUGGAUGUGAGAAGAGGUAGAAGAAAAUUUUGGUUAGGGUUAUGGAAUGAGAUUUUUUUGGAUUGUGGGUAUGUGGAAACAAUUACCUUUUUAUAUACUAUCAUUAUUCUCAAAGUUGGCCCAUUAAGUUAUAAUAUUUAAAAAAAAAAUAUUUUAUGUGGUGUCACUUUUCGAAAACUAACACUAUAAACCUAAAAUUAAAAUCAUUGAUCCUAAUUGAAAAUUUUUAUAUGAUGUGUCACCUUUGUGGAUUUUAAGUCAUAUGGUGUCAUUAUUUUAAAAGUGAAACCAUAACUUAUUUUUGCAGUAGUAGUGAAUUAAUAACUUUUAACAUCUGAAACAAAAGAAAAUUGCAUGAUUUAGCAUAUUAAGUAGUUCAAUUAUGAGUACCUUCAUUGGAUUAUCAUUGUAAUGAGCAUCUAGUGCUAUAAUCCUUAUGAUCUCUCAUAAGGAGGCAACAACUGAAACUUUCACAACCACAUUUCCAUGCUUUAAAAUUUGAUAUGUUAUCAAAUGCUUCGAUGAGAGGUAAAAGUGCCAUCAUUGUUGAGAUACAUGGCUGUUGUUCCACUUUUGGCAAAUAAAACUCAGCCCUCUAAAAGAUAUAAUGGACCAUGACAUGUAUUAAAUCAGAAAACAGUCACAAAACCUAUUACUUGAAAAAGCCAUCACUAUACAAAUCUAAAGCCUAGAAGCUAUCGAAGAUAAUGCAAACAAAGUCUUAUAUAGAAAGAACCGUAGCUUUUCGAUUUUACCCAAACAAUAAAUUUCUCUUUAAUUUAAAAUUCUGAAUUUUGGAAUAGUCGUUGCACUUGCCAGUGGGUUUCUACGUGGCUUUGCUCUGCCAUUGCUAUUAUUAAUAGAUUGUGGGCUGGCCUUCUAAGGUUUUCUGAAUUUACAUGCAUACCCCCAUGGUCACAAUUAAGAAUUGUUAUUGAUAUACAAUCGAAGAAGGUGUUAUUAUUUCCUCCUGCAAAAGCCUUCAAAACUCGUAAAACUCCUCUGGUAUUUUAUCAUGAAAUUAACCAAAAGAAAUUGAUGAGAUUGAGGGAGUUAAACCCAACCUUUAUGAAAAUAUGAAAAAUAUCCUAAAGUUCUAUAUUAUGUGGUGGAUUAUCAUCUAGCCACCCCUUAUAUCUUAGCCAACAUCGUUCAAGAUCGUCACAAUAUUUUCAACAAAUAUUUUCUAUUAAAUUCUUUGAGGAAAUUGAUUGACGUUGAUUAAAUUAUGAAGGUACAAGAUUAGCAUAAGGGUUCACUAGAUGACUCAUGAUAUAUCAACAAAAAUUUAAUUAAUGCAACCAAAUCUAAAAAUUAUACCUACAUUAACCUUAGCAACAACCCUUAUUUCUUGACUGUUAAUCUCUAUUAUAAUAUUACUAAAGCCUAAAAUACAUAGCAAUUUUGGCCAAGAAAAAUCAGAGAUAGGAUGACUAUGGUAGUGAAAGUUAAUGUUUGUCUUUAAUUAAAACAUUAAUAUUUAACUAUUAUUAGUUUAGCUUAAGUAAAAUACUAUUAUUAAUUUGAAUUAGAGUUGGAGAUGGUGUUUGAAUUAGAGUAAAAGUUUAAGUUCACCCCCUUAAUGUUAUUUGUAUAUAAAUAUUCAUUAAUUAUCAAUGAUAACAUCACACCUUAUGAAAGUGUAAUCAUUGUUUUGAGAAAUCAGGUUUAAUAAAAAGUUCUAUUUUGAUAUGCCAUUUUUAAGUAAUCAUUCUUGUUAUAAUAUUUACAAGGAAGGUCACAGAAGCUAUGUGAGAAAUUAAUCAACUUGACAACAGAAAAUAGGGAAUAUGCCCAAGUAUAGCAACUAGUGCAUCCCACCAUGCAAGUAACCAAAUGGCUCAAGCCGAUCACCUCUGUAUCAAAAAGUCAAACUAUCAACAACUCAAAAAGCACAGGCAUACUGGUUUGCCUUGGUGACUAAAGAGGAACCCAAUGAUGACCAAGAUGAUCAAACUAUACUAUCUCAUUGAGGAUCAGCGUGUGGGAGCCUAUCCGUCAUUGGCUUAAAAGUGCUCCAUGUGAGUAAAUAUCACUCAAUCAAAUAAAGAAGAUCGUAAAUACUAAGUGAGAAAUCAAUCAUCUACACAAUAGAAAAAGGGAAAAUAUGUUCCAAUAUAACAACUGAUGCAUCCCGUCAUGCAGGUAACCAAAUGGCUUAAGCCAAUCACCUCUAUAUCGAAAAGUCAAACUAUCUACAACUCAUAAAACAUAGGCAUACUGGUCUGCUCUAGUGACUCAACAAUGAUCCACUAAGGUAACCAAUGAGAGAAUUUGUCAUCAACCCAAAUGGUCCACUGGGGGUGAUGAAUGUAUGUGAGUCUGUCAUCAACUCAAGAAUGAUCUACUAGGGAAUGAAUAAGGAGUCUGUCAUCAGCUCAAAGACACUCCACUAGGGGUGAUGAAAGUGUGUGAGUUUGUCAUCAAUUUAAAAAUAUCCCACCAGAAAUGGUGACCAUGAGCCUGUCUAUCGCUGACUCAAGAAUACCUCAAUGGGGAUGUAUAGGAGAUCUGGCAUGUACUCCACUGAAAUGAUGAUAUGGGAGUCUAUGUGCCUAAGAUAACUCCAUCAGAGAAUCAUGGCAAUAUCAUAAAGUAUGAGCAUGAUUGAAUGACUCAAGAAAGGCUCCACUGGGGAAUCAUCAUAAAAUAAAAACAAAUCAUCAACUCGACAUGUAUCUCAUAAAUAUAUAGGAAGGAUCAUGCGAAUUAAUGGAGAUAUACAAAUCUCAACCAAAAGGGAAUUUGCCCUAGUACGUCAUCAGAUGUACAGUAGGUUAGAAAAUCAUAUGACAUCAAAUAAUCCAUCAUCAAUGUGUAAUCCUAGUCAUCCAUAUCCACAACUGAAUCAGAUCCAAAAAUCAAAGAGACUUCUCCCAGAAGAAGAAGCAUAAUGAUAUCUAAAUAUCAACCAAAUCUCAAAUACUUGUCCGAGUAGGGGCUGUCAAAUAUGACAUCGGAUCCCAUGGCCUCAGGGUGGUCUUAAGACACGGGAUGAAACGUAGGCUAGGGUGAUAGGAUAAUAGAAAUGAAGGGAAACUAAGCCUAAAUACCCAAUGAUCAAAACCCAUGCCCUCAUGUACAAAAUGCAACAUGUAUAGAAAAUAAUUUAAGUCGUUGACCUAAGAGUGCCCUAUGUGAGUAUAAUAGUAAUAAUGAGGCAAUGAAGAAAAUCAAACUGAUAAUGAGAUGUGUAAGAAUGAUACAAAGAAAAUAACAAAUUGGGAAUAGGUCACUAUAAGAAAAGAACAAGGGGUGAAUGAAGGGGAUGAAUCAAAAGCAAUAGUGAGGAUGAUGGUGAAACAAUGAACAUAUAAAGAAGAAUGAUGAUCAACUCAAAUCAAAAUAUGGAGUGAAGUCACAUCAUCAAUGAAUGCAAUGAUGGAAGGGACAAUGAUCUAGAGCCCUUAGGAGAAGAUUGCUCGUCUUUCAUUCUAAAAACAAAUGAAGUGAAUAUAAAGAAUGGACCCUCGAAUAUCAAUAUACAUGCUCAAUGAUGGAAAAUACUAUGCACAUACUCACAUGCGUUUAUUUUUUUAUUUUUUAUUUUUUUUAUUUACAUAUAUACAGAUGCAUAUACCCUGAACAUAAACAAAUGAGCCCCAAAGAAAUAAGAUCAAUAAUGGAUGGACAUGCUCUUAAGCGCUAAAGUAUCAUAAACUCUCUUUAAUGAGAUGACCUUCUCAAACUAAGGAUCUUUGGAUCAACGCCUGUGGGAUAAACAAUGGAAAUGAUGUGACUAUCCUCCAUGUAAUGAACUAAGGAGGAUCACCAUUCAAGGUGGAGAAAAGAUGAAAUAGAACAAGUAGCAAAUAUAACAAAGAGAAAAAAGUGAAGAACACAACCAAUGAGAUAUGAUGAAAUAUGGUAAUGUGAUGAUAGAAAAAUAAUGAGAAGAAUGCACCCAUAGGCUCAAGGCUCAUGAAAUUCCUAAACAAAGCAUGCAUACACUAAAGAGCCCCUAUCGUGUUGUAAAAGUGUAAGGAAGGUAAUAAAAAAGAAAGGUUAUGAUGCACAUGUGAGGCUCAAUGGGCUAGCAACGGUCUAUAUGUCAAAAGGGGGAUAAUAAGACAUGUGGCUAACAGAAAUGACGACCACCCAUCCUGUGAGAAUUGGAUGACUCUAAGAACUGGUUGUUGACUCUGAGAAUUGGUUCAUGUCUAGAUCCAUCAACCAUGCAACACCCACCAGGGUCAACUCUUAAUGAAAUAAGGUCCACUCCAAUUGGGUCUGAACUUUCUUCUAGGAUCUUUGAUCAAUCUUCUAAUGACCCUCAAGAUUAAGUCACCCAUCUGUAAUGGUCUAGGCUUAACCCGUUUCUUGAAAGUGCGAACCAUCUUCCACUGAUAGGCAUGAACAUGGUUUGCUACCCUCAAUCUUCUCUCAUAUAAGAGAUUGAGUUGGUCUAAUCAAGCCUGAACCCAAUCUGCCUUUGAAAUUUGCUGCUCCAAUGCUACCCUCAAUGAACUCAUCUCUAUCUCAACUAGUAGCACUAUUUUCAUACCAUAUGAUUCAUGCCCAAUUGGUGUCUCAGCUGAUUCGUGUCCAGCUGGUGCUCCUUGAUUGAGGGAGUAAUCAACAAAAUUUAUAACCUAUUACACCAUUUACUAGGGUAGCAAAGACAAAGCUACUAUAGCGUAGUGACUCUAGGAUCGUUCGCUGGGAAGGGUUUCCAAAUUACAAAUGAUACCAAUUCAAAGUGAAUUGGUAUUGUUUCAUUUCAAGGUUAGCUCAAGAAAUAAAAUACAAACUUUGAUUGGCAAAGAUUUAGAUUUAAAAUGACUACCAAGCAAGUGAUGGAAAUUACUUAGGAAGAAAACAUUCCUUGAAGGGUUAGGUCCACUGGGGAGGUUCCUCAUGCAAAAGACAUAACUCAGGUCAGUUGGUUCAUUUCCUCGCGUGAGAGAAUCAACAUAUAGUCAAUUCUCUAACCGGUGUUGUACAGAUACAUCCUUUAAUUAGAUUUCAACUUUAAUUCUCUCACUGAUGCAACUUGCAAUGGUUCAAGCCUCUCACUAAGACUUAACCAUUCAAGGUGAUCUUUAACCUUGGACUUCCCUUCUCAAGCUCGCAAGAGAUAACUAAUGGAUGUCUCCUUGGAGUCCAAAAGCUUACCAAGUGUUGGCAAUUCCAGAAAAUCCUACCUUAAAGUCACCUCCCAGAGGCUCGCAAGGGGUAAACUAGUGCAUCUCCUUGGUUGGAGAUCACUUGCCUUACCAAGUGUUGGCCCAGGUGACUCUAAGGUGUUUUAAGUUAACUAAAAACAUAGAAAUCACUAAAGGAUUUCACUUCCUCUUCAUUGAUGGAUGAAACCACAAAGCUUUGCAUUCUUGCACUUGGAACCUUCCCCGGCAACCUUAGCUCCAAGGAACUAGAGGUUUAGUUACUCAUUCUCUGGGGAAAAUUCCUCAGAGAGUGCAUAACUUAGUAAGAAAUAAAUAAUACAAAGUGAGAAGGUAAGGCAAAACAAAGGGCCUAAACUUUACUUGCUUUUCAAAACUUUACAAAGGGUCUCCUCUCUUCCGAAAAGGCUCUCGAAGAGUAUGUAUAUGAACAUAAUACAAAACUAAUUAUUACAUAGAUAUUUUCUCUUUUUACUAACUUAAAAGCUAAGGAAUCUUGUAAUUGGUGGCUUACAAGGAGUAUUUUGGGAUUUAGACAACAAAAAUCUGAUGGAAAAUAUCUCCCAAUGUCGGUAGCAAAUAUCGGGAAGCACUACGGACCAUUUCGCAAGAGAAAAUGAUGUCUGCGAGAUUUCGCAGACACACAAAAGGGUUGCGAAAUCACUUCGCAGCAAAAGGUUAUUCUCGCAGGGCUGCGAAGUUGACUUCCAUCUUGAGGUUCUCAGCUUCCAACUUGCGGCAUAUAUUGGGCAACUUCAGGAGGAAAUACACCACACUGUACAAAAAGGCUGCCAAAUCACUUCGCAACAAAAGGGUGAUUUCGCAACACUUUGCAAAAUGCUUCCUUCAACUUGGAGUGAUUGACUUGCAAUGGCUGUAACUUCUUCGUUUCAACUUCGAAUUGCACACUGUUUGAAGCAUUGGAUUGUUGACUUCCUGAGCUUUGAAAUGGUAUAUAGCAUGCAUCAAUUGGACUUCAUAAAUUUCUCCAAAAGUGGCUGCCACGACUGUCAUCAAGAAUAUGCUUCAUGGCAGAUUCUCUUUACUUUUUCUCCUUGCACUCCGGAUUUACUCUUGGCAAAUGACUUCCAAGCUUUGCCCAAGAUUCCUCAUAACUCUCCUCAAUCUUGGAUUGCUUUGGUGAUCAAAUUACUAACAAAAACACCAAAACUUACACAAAGUGAUUAAAAUUGCUUUCAAGGGUCCUUAACAUGCCAAUUGAGUUAAAAGGCCAAAACUACUACUCAAAAGUGUUUAAAAGGGUUUAAUACAAGCUACCAAAGAGCACUUUUUGAGUAGUAAUCACUCCCCCCAACCGACAUAUUGCUAGUCCCUUAGCAAUAUAGGAGAGAAAAAUAAAAAUAAAAAGCAAACUAAACUAUAAUUUACAACAUCAUGCUGAAAAAACAAUUUUCAAAAGGCAUGAUGAUCUAACUCUCACAUGAGACAUCAAAGAAAUACAAACCCAAAUUUUAACAAGAGUUAUAACACUAUACUAAACACUGUCAAUCAAGGGAAUGCAUUAUGCAAACUGAAGUUUUAAAAUCAUUUCCACUUUCAAAGAAUCAAUUUUAAUCUUCCACAAAAAUCUAUGUGUAUUGGUUCCUUAGCUUCCGAAAAUAAUAUGCUAAACUAAUCUCUCCUCCCAACCUAUCUCUUUUCAACACUUAGCAAACUGACCAAAAUCAAUAAGAAAAUAACACACUGUCUUCUCUUUUAUUGUUUUUUAUUUUUUUAUUUUUUUAUUUUUUUUUUACACAAAGGGCCUUAUUGGGGUAUUCUUUCUGAAUUGUCCAUGUAAUGGGGGUCCAUCGAUGACUCCCAACCAAUUAAGGUUUAGGGCAUCAAGCUUUAAGGAUCUUUCAACCACUAACUCCUCGGAUUUUUCCCCGGACUUUUGAGAAUGAAUUUCUAAUACCCAAGCACCUACCAUAUGCUAACUCCACCUAUCCACCCUUGUAGCGAGCAUUGAGGUCGGUGACUCCCAACCAAUUAAGGCUUAGGGCACCAGGCUUUAAAGAUUUUCACCAUAUACCCCUCAAACCUUGCUCGGGUUUCAAGGCAAGCAAACAACUUUCUUUCUUUAUUUCAAAGGCUCAUUGGCCUUUCAUAAGGUGUCUCAACUUUAUCAAAUGAGGUCAAAUGUACCAAGUCCCAAAAUUAUCCUAAGUCAAGAGGGAAAUAGCUUUUCAUCUUAUAAUCAGAAUCUAUUGUGCACAGUGUGUGGAUAGUUUAAAGUGGAAGAACUAAAUUUGAUUUCAAUAGAAGCUUCAACAAUUGAACCACUUUAGUGAGCAUAAUCCAUACUCUAAGUCAAGUGAAAAGCAACAGUUCAAUUUCUCCUGUUUUAAUUUGAAAAUUUUUCCUCAAAAUCCAUGGAGAAUAGAAUAACAAAAAUAAAAAGCAAAAACUACAAUUGAUUUAUCAACAUAAUUGCAUUACCAAAAUGACUUAGCAUACUUCCUUUAAGUUAGCAUACUUCCUUCCUCAUUUCUCCCCCCCCCCCCNNNNNNNNNNNNNNNNNNNNNNNNNNNNNNNNNNNNNNNNNNNNNNNNNNNNNNNNNNNNNNNNNNNNNNNNNNNNNNNNNNNNNNNNNNNNNNNNNNNNUUUUAAAAGGGGGUAAAAGGUCCCAAGUCCCAAAUUUUUCUUAAGUCAAGGGGAAAAUAGUUUUUUUUUUUUUAUUAAAAUUUUUUUGGGCCCGGGGUGGGGAUAUUUUAAAGGGGAAAAAUAAAUUUUGUUUUCAAUAGAGGUUUCAAAAAUUGACCCCUUUUGGGGGGCUUAUUCCUUUUUUUAAGUAAAGGAAAAAGCAACAGUUAAUUUUUUCUUUUUUUAUUUUAAAAAUUUUUCCCAAAAAUCCGGGGGGAAUAGAUUAACAAAAAAAAAAAAAAAAAACCCCAAUUUUUUUUUCAAAAAAAUUCCUUUCCCAAAAGGGUUUGGCAUCUUUCUUUAAAUUUAGCAUAUUUCUUUCCUUUUUUUCCCCCCCCCCCCCCCCCCCCCCCCCAACCGAACUGAGCAUUGUCCUCAAUGUGAUAUGAGUGAUUGCAUUUAAAGGGAUGAAGUGGUACCUCCUGAGUGAUAUCAAUUUCGAAUAUUGAUUGGAGAAACCACAUGUUUCAAAAAAAAUAAAAGCUGUGAGAAAAGGAAAUAAGAAUAAAUUAAUGCUAACGGUUAACAAGAAAUAUUAGACUUGUAUUACUUUGAAUCCAUUUGAGUACAAUGAAAAAGAAAGGCAAUACAAGCAAUCCCAAAUAUGGUACCAAAAUAAUGGGAUUUCUUACAAACUAAAAAACGAAUUACAUAAAAAACUUAAGCAGUAGAUAUAUAUAAUGAUCUGAUGAGUCGGUGGUGUUGGGGCUAGGCAGAUGGGUCUGCCUCUUCAGUUGGUGCUCCAGAUGGGGCCUGAGGCUCUGUGGGAUGAGAGUGUGGCACUGCUGUGGUGGAGGUGGAGGGCUCAACAGCUGGUGGCAGAUCGAAAUGAUGCUGGAACUGCCUUAAGAUGGCAGUGUGCUGAGCCUGGGUGGCCAACAUCUGCUCUUGGCAUGCUCGAAUGGCUGCCAUCUCAUGAGCAAGGCUGCUCUGAGAUGCUGUGAGGGUCUCCAAUGAACGACAUAACUCUCUGUAUUCAGAAAUGGGAAUGGCCAUCCUUGGUUCAGUUGAAGUGGAUGGCUGAGAUGAAGCUGGAGCAACUGGUGGAGCUUUGGGAAUGGCAGGAGCAGCAAUAGGUAUACCCUCAGGUAUGUGUCGUGGGGAUGCUCUCCUAGCAGCUGGCUGUGGGUGCUCUGGAUGGUCAACUUUAUAGGGUGUCAUGUUGUUCCAUUUGUCGAGAGUAAAUACCUCUUGGCAAAUGCGCUUGCGCUCCAACUGAGGCUCAGAAGGAUACCCCAAGUGCUCCAGAAUUUGGCACAGCAGCCUUGGAAAGAGAAGAGGAAUGGUAUCAGCUCUCUGCAGCUUCUUUUUGUGUACCUUCUCUUCGAAAUAGAGAAGGGCUGCCAUAAUUAGAUGGUGAGGGCCAAAGAAAUAUCCCUCAGACAUCUUGAACAGGGCUUCUAACAGGACUCCUCUCCUUUGAGUCCAAUGCUGCAGUGGGUAGAGGUUAUGACGCAAAAAUGCAUCAAUCAGAAACAUGAUUGGAGGAAGCUCUCCUCUCAACAGAUGCGGACGUGUGGAAGCUCCUCUGGAUAGGAUAUGCACCAUUUCCAACUCAGUAGGACUGGUCCACGCUCUAAAAUGAUCGAAAUGGCUCAGCUCGUAGGGAAUUUGCAAGGCCUCAGCUAUAUGGCGAGCUCCCAGUAUGCCAUGCCUCCCAUCAAUGGUAAAAUGAAUUAAAGUUGGAUCCCUGACCUGUUUGGUAGUCAUGGAUUGAUAAAAAUCCAUGGCUACUCUGGGGUAGAAAAAGUCUCUCGGAGUCAGCAGAUGCUCCAUGUGGUAUCUUCUCAGCAGGUUGAAUGACUAUGCAAGCUCCGACCGUAAUUUGAAUGUGGCUAUGUCAAAGCAUAGCUCGGAGUGGAAUGGUCGAGCUCUACAGUCCAAAUUUCCCUCAAUUGGAGGCUGAGUCAGCAUCGGCCGCCUGAUUAUUUCUUCCGGAGCUAUUUCAGAUGGAAUUUGAGGCUCGGGAAGUGGUGGCUGAGGCUCUUUAGGCUCUGUUGGCGGCGCCGGAGAUGGCACCGGAGAUGGAACUGGAGAUGGAACCAGCGAGGGUUCUGGGGACUGCUCCGUUAAAUCAAUGGGCUCUGAGUUUUCAACCCUUGCUCUCUUUUGCAGUGGCCGACCCCCUGACCUGGUAAGAUAACACCUCGCCGGAGGCUUUGGAGGCGCGGGCUUCACCGGAGGAGAAAUUGCUUUUGGCCGCGGAGGCUUAGAAAUGGGAUCUGGAAUGGGCUCCUCUCGCGGGACUUUCUUGCGGCUUGAAGGAGAGGAAGUCUUGGCCCCUCUGGUUUGCGCCAUUUCGGGUUGCCAAAAUUUGGCCGGAAUUGAUGACCGGAGAAGAUGACCGGAGGCUUGCGCGGUGUCGGGCUCAAGGAAGGAGAUGAACAGUCUGCGAGAAUGGCGCGCUCUAUUUUGAAACCCUUUUCGCAGCUUAAAUGACCGGUAUAAAUAAAAAUAAUAGAAGAUUAAGGGUCAUAUUGAGUUUCGCAGAAAAGGGCCAAUUUCGCAGCAAAAAGUCAUUUUCGCAGCCACUUCGCAAUUCGUUUCGCAGCUGCGAAUUGAGUGUCACUGUGCUGCGAAGUGGCACACGUGUGCCAAAAUCGCUUUCGCAAUUGCGAAAUACCCUGCGAAAUGGAACUUUGGUUGCGAAAUCAGGGAUUUUCACGCUUUAUCGCUUCGCAGCCGUUUCGCAGCUGCGAAAUGGGGGUUCCUGUGCUGCGAAGUGGCACACGUGUGCCAAAGUCGACUUCGCAGCUAUGAAAAUUCUCGUAGAGAAUUCCAAUGUGUUACGGAAUGGUUUGGCAACAAAGUGCUCUUUUCGCAGAAGUUUUCUUCAGGCUGCGAAGUCUCGCAGAGCCCUGUUUUUACUCUGUUUUUGCUCCAAUUUCGCUCCGAUUUUUUUUCUUUCAAUUUCCUUGCAAUUUCUUCCACCUGGGAUCAUUCAAAAAGAUUAAAACACACAUAAAAACAUGAUUUAAGAUAAAAAAAAAUAAGAUCAAAAGUAUGGAAAAAACUUGGAAAUUUACAAAAUUUACAAAAAUUUUGGACUAUGGUAAAACCACGUCCACCAAACCCCUUUUUGCUUAGGAUUUUUGUGGCUCAAGGAGGUUGAUUUCCUCCUUUUCUGGUUUGAAUGGCUCUAUGAAUGGCUUGAGACGAUAUCCAUUGACUCUAAAGGUGUCCUUGCCAUUGGAAUUCAAUAAUUCCACAACUCCAUUAGCAAAUACUCGGUGAAUAAUGAACGGGCCUAUCCACCUUGACUUGAGCUUCCCAGGAAAGAUAUGGAGUCUUGUGUCAUACAGUAAAACUCUUUGCCCUUUGUGAAAUUCCUUGUUGGAGAUUAGUUGAUCAUGCCACUUCUUCAUCCUCUGUUUUGCAACUUUGGAAUUGAUAUAAGCAUCAUUUCUUAAUUCCUCCAUCUCAUUAAGGUCUAGAUAUCUCUUUUCUCCGGCUCUAAUCAAGUCCAUGUUCAGCUUUUUUAUUGCCCACCAAGCUUUGUAUUCAACUUCCACAGGGAGAUGACAUGCUUUACCAUACACAAGACGAUAGGGAGACAUGCCAAGAAUAGUCUUAUAAGCUGUUCUAUACGCCCACAAUGAAUCAUGAAGCCUAAUAGACCCAUCUUUUCUGCUGGAAUCACCACUUUCAUCAAUAUAUUCUUUAUUUCCCUGUUUGCUAGCUCAACUUGCCCGGAAGUCUGAGGAUGAUAAGGUGUAGCUACCUUAUGCUUCACUCCAUACUUGGAUAACAGAGCUUCAAAAGGUUUGUUGCAAAAAUGAGCACCUCCAUCACUGAUUAUGGCUUUGGGCACCCAAAUCUCGAAAAAAUGUUCUCUUUAAGAAACUUGAGAACCACCCUGUGGUCAUUUUGUUUACAGGGGAUUGCCUCAACCCAUUUAGAAACAUAAUCCACCCCCACCAAGAUGUAAGAAUUACCAAAAGACAUUAGGAAAUGUCCUAUGAAGUCAAUGCCCCAUACAUCAAAUAGCUCAACUAUUAGAAUGGGGUUCAUAGGCAUUUGAUUUCUUUUUGUUAGUUUUCCAAGCCUUUGGCAUCUAUCACAACUCCUACACAUGAUGUGGGCAUCUUUGAAAAGAGAUGGCCAAGUAAACCCUGAUUGCAACACCUUCAUGGCUGUUUUCUGAGAGGCAAAGUGGCCUCCACAUGCAUUCUCAUGACAAUGAGAUAGAAUCCCUUGCUGCUCAUCUUCAGGAACACACUUCCUUAUGAUCUGAUCUGCACAAUACUUAAAAAGAAAGGGCUCUUCCCAAUAAUAAGCAUGAAUUUUUGCAAAGAAGUGCUUCUUGUCCUGUGCAUUCCACUCACUUGGAAUUUCACCAGUUACUAAAUAAUUAGCAAUAUGAGCAUACCAAGGAGUUUUUACUAGAAACAUGAGUGAUUCUUCAGGAAAAUCAUCAUUAAUAGGCAAGGGAUGGGAAUUAUGUGCUAUAACUAACCUUGAAAGGUGGUCAGCUACCACAUUCUCCACUCCUUUCUUAUCUUUGAUUUGGAGAUCGAAUUCUUGUAGCAAAAGAAUCCAUCUAAUCAACCUUGCUUUUGCAUCUUGCUUUGUCAAUAAAUACUUCAAGGUUGAAUGAUUAGUGAAGACAAUGAUGAAAGACCCCACUAAAUAAGCACGAAAUUUUUCCAAAGCAAAUACCACAGCUAACAAUUCUUUCUCUGUAGUUGUGUAGUUCCUUUGAGUUUCAUUCAGUGUUUUGCUCGCAUAGUAGAUCACAUAGGGCUUCCCAUCUUCUCUUUGGCCAAGCACAGCUCCUAUAACAAAGUCACUGGCAUCACACAUCAGUUCAAAAGGUAGUUGCCAGUUAGGGGCCCUCACUAUUGGAGUUGUUGUUAAAAAUUUCUUCAGUUGAUCAAAACUAUUUUGACAUCUUUCAUCCCAUAUAAACUUAGCAUCCUUAGCUAACAGCUCACAAAGAGGUUUUGAAAGACUUGAAAAACCUUUUAUAAACCUCCUAUAGAACCCUACAUGGCCAAGGAACUGUCUUACUCCUUUUACAGUUGUUGGAGAUGGUAAUUUGACAAUAAGCUCCACCUUUGCUUUAUCAACUUCAAUGCCUUUUUCAGAGAUGAUAUGGCCAAGGACAAUUCCUUGACGUACCAUAAAAUGGCAUUUCUCCCAGUUGAGCACCAGGUCUUUUUCAAUGCAUCUGUGAAGAACUGCUUCCAAAUUGAUUAAGCAUUCCUCAAAUGUACCUCCAUAUACGGUGAUGUCAUCCAUGAAAACCUCCAUAAUUCACUCCACCAUAUCACUGAAAAUACUCAACAUACAUCUUUGAAAUGUUGCAGGUGCAUUGCAUAAACCAAAAGGCAUUCUCCUGUAAGCAUAUGUUCCAAAUGGACAUGUAAAAGUGGUCUUUUCCUGAUCUGCCAUAUCAAUUUCAAUCUGAAAAUACCCUGAAUACCCGUCCAAGAAGCAAUAGAACGGAUGUCCAGAGACUCUCUCCAAAACUUGGUCAAUAAAUGGCAAUGGAAAAUGAUCUUUCCUGGUUACAACAUUCAACUUUCUAUAAUCAAUACACACCCUCCAACCUGAAAUGAGGCGUGUAGUAAUAUCUUCUCCUUUUUCAUUCUGAACUACUGUGAUCCCUGACUUCUUUGGUACCACUUGAGUAGGACUCACCCAAGGGCUAUCUGAUAUAGGGUAAAUAAUACCUGCUUGAAGUAGCUUCAUCACCUCAGCUCGCACCACCUCUUGUAAAUGAGGAUUCAAUCUUCUUUGAAGUUGACGAAUUAGCUUUGCUUCCUCCUCCAUAUAUAUAUGAUGAGUACAAACUAAAGGACUAAUGCCUUUCAAGUCGGAUAUUUUCCAUCCUAUUGCCUUCUUACACCUCUUGAGAACUUCUAUUAAACAAUUCUCUUGAUGACUGGUCAGAGAUGAAGAUAUCACAAUAGGACAUUGAUUAUUUUCUUCAAGAUAUGUAUAUUUCAGCUCCACGGGUAGAGGCUUCAGAUUGAGUUUUGGAGUCUCUUCUUCUUUAUUGAACAAAGGUAGAAUCUCUUCUAUCCUUCUCCAACUUUGUAGAGUAGCAAGCACAUUAGGGGGUUCAGACAAACCUUCCUCAGAAUCCACAAGACUUUCAUUCAGCUUGUCCUGCAUAUUUUGAUUACAGUGCUCCUCUACUAGAGUGUCAAUAAUGCACACCUCUUCUGGACCCUCUUCUUCUUCCGGAGUGGUUUGCUUUUUAGACAUAUAGAAAAUAUUGAGAUCAAGUGUCAUGUUACCAAAAGUGAGUUGCAUAAGCCCAUUCCUACAAUUGAUGAUUGCAUUUGAAGUAGCAAGAAAUGGCCUUCCAAGGAUGAUAGGAACUAAAUUAGCUUCCUUUACAGUAGGAUCUGUAUCAAGAACAAUAAAAUCUACUGGAUAGUAGAAAUUAUCCACUUGCACCAAGACAUCCUCAAUUACCCCCCUUGGAAUUUUUACUGAUCUAUCUGCUAGAGAUAGAGUGAUUGUUGUUGGCUUCAACUCUCCAAGUCCCAAUUGCUUGUAGACGAAAUAUGAAAGCAAAUUCACACUUGCUCCCAAGUCUAACAAGGCUUUCUCCACUACCUUCCCUCCAAUCAUGACUGAAAUGGUAGGACUUCCCGGGUCUUUGUACUUCAAAGGAGACUUACAUUGUAAGAUUGCACUUACUUGCUCAGUCAAGAAGGCUUUCUUGUUUACAGUCAACCCUUUUUUGAUAGUACAUAAGUCCUUUAGGAAUUUUGCAUACGUUGGAACUUGUUUAAUCAUAUCCAGCAGUGGAAUAUUGACUUUCACUUGUCUCAAUACUUCAAGGAUUUCAGCUGCAUUUCUAAUCCCCCUUUUCCCAUGUAAUGCUUGAGGAAAAUGAGGAGAAGUUGACUUCUUCAGCAUUUCUUCCUUCAGAAGUUCCUUCUCCAACUUUGCAUUCAUUGUUGAAUCAGAGUCCUUCUUCUUUUCACUGAUCUCCUUCUCUUUAUCUUCCAUUUCAUCCCCUUUCUUUAUCUCUUCUUCUUUCUCAACAUGUGGCUUGGGUGUUGGCUGCUCAAUUUUUUUACCACUCCUUAGAGUGAUCAAGGCUUUGACAUCUUUCAUCUGUGUUGAUUCUCCCUCUUGGCUUUCCACUUCAUGGACACCUUUGGGGUUUUGGUGGGGUUGAGAAGGAAAUCUUCCCUUUUCUUGCACUGUGUUCAAAUUUGUAAGCCUUGAAAUUGAAUAUUGGAUGUUAUCAAACUUUUGGGCUAUAUCAUUUUGCAUUCCAUCCAUCCUUUUAUUCAAAGUACUCUCCACUCUGUCAAUUCUUUGAUUGAUUUGAGCAUUGGUGGCUUCUUGGUUUCCAACAAAAUCUCCCACUACCUUGCUGAGAUUAGCCAUUGCUUGUUCAAGACUUGAAGAUUGUUGAGAUGGUGGAUCCGGCUGUUGGUACUGAGUUGCUCUGGCCUUCCAUGAGAAAUUUGGAUGAUUCUUCCAACUUGAGUUGUAUGUAUUUCCACAAGGCGCAUUGUUAUUGGGCUUGAAUUGUCCAACAACAUUUGCUUGAUCUCUAAACAUUUCCCUUUCAGCUGAAAUUGCAGGGCAUUCCUCCACCAAAUGUUCAUAUGAUUGACAAUUGGGACACAGCUUCACUUGCACUGGUGUUUCAGCAACAGCUUGCACUUCAUGCACUUUCUUCAGUUCCAGCUCCUCCAAUCUUCUUGUCACAACUGCCAAUUUUGCUUUCAUAUCAUCAUCUUCUUUCAAGGUAUACAUCCCAGCCUUAGCAUUAAAAACACUCAGUUGAGACUUCAUCUUCCCCACUUCUCCUUUGGUUGGUUCAUCCCAUCCCCUUGAAACAUCAGCUACAUAGCUCAAGAAAUCCAUAGCUUCCUCCGGAUUUUUGCUCAUGAAAUCUCCUCCACACAUUGUCUCGAGGAGUUGCUUCAUUGAGGAAGACAUUCCAUCAUAAAAAUAGCUCACCAAUAGCCAAGUAUCAAAGCCAUGGUGAGGGCAAGCAUUUAUAGCUUCCAUGUAUCUUUCCCAACACUCAUAGAAUUUCUCAUUCUCUUUAGCUGAGAAAUUUGAAAUUUGCCUUUUCAAGCCAUUUGUUCUAUGAGUGGGAAAAAAUUUCUUAAGGAAUUCAGCUUGUAAGUCAGUCCAAGAACGGAUACUCCUUGGCCUUAAAGAAUUAAGCCAAAUUUUGGCCUUAUCCUUUAAAGUAAAAGGAAAUAACUUAAGCCUCAUCAAAUCAAUUGAACCUCCUCCCUCUUGGAAUGUAUUACAAACAUCUUCAAAUUCCUUGAUGUGUGCAUAGGGAUUUUCACUUUCCAUCCCAUGGAAAGUUGGUAGAAGUGGAACAAGAUACGGUCUGAUCACUAGCUGCUCUGUAGGGGGCACUAUACAUGAUGGUGCACUCAUACGAGGUGGAUGCAUGCGGUCCCUCAUUGAUCUGAAUUCAUUGAGAUUGUCUUGACGACCUUGGUGACUAUGCUGAUCUUCAGGUGUAGCUUCCAUGAUAUUCAAGCUCAAUUCCAAUUCUUUGUUAUGAGGUGUAUCACACUUAACAAGCCUUCCUCCAUUGUCUCGCAUCCACUUUGGCAUACACAACUAGUAUCUAUCUGCAACUUAAAUGAAAAUAAAGGACAACAAAAGGAAACAGGGCUACAACAACAAAAUUAAACUAAGCUAAAUUUUUAAAAGAUAAACUUGGAUUAUGAAUAAAUAAAGAAAGAAUGAGAAUUAGUAAAAUGAAAGAAACGUUACCAAACUUGUGAUGAAAAUCACAAGUGCUCUGAAAUGGUAUCACUAUAAACUUGACACCUUCCCCGGCAACGGCGCCAUUUGAUUCAUGCCCAAUUGGUGUCUCACCUGAUUUGUGUCCAACUGGUGCUCCUUGAUUGAGGGAGUAAUCAACAAAAUUUAUAACCUAUUACACCAUUUACUAGGGUAGCAAAGACAAAGCUACUAUAGCAUAGUGGCUCUAGGAUCGUUCGCUGGGAAGGGUUUCCAAAUUACAAAUGAUACCAAUUCAAAGUGAAUUGGUAUUGUUUCAUUUCAAGGUUAGCUCAAGAAAUAAAAUACAAACUUUGAUUGGCAAAGAUUUAGAUUUAAAAUGACUACCAAGCAAGUGAUGGAAAUUACUUAGGAAGAAAACAUUCCUUGGAGGGUCAGGUUCACUGGGGAGGUUCCUCAUGCAAAAGACAUAGCUCAGGUCAGUUAGUUCAUUUCCUCGCGUGAGAGAAUCAACAUAUAGUCAAUUCUCUAACCGGUGUUGUACAGAUACAUCCUUUAAUUAGAUUUCAACUUUAAUUCUCUCACUGAUGCAACUUGCAAUGGUUCAAGCCUCUCACUAAGCCUUAACCAUUCAAGGUGAUCUUUAACCUUGGACUUCCCUUCUCAAGCUGGCAAGAGAUAACUAAUGGAUGUCUCCUUGGAGUCCAAAAGCUUACCAAGUGUUGGCAAUUCCAAAAAAUCCUACCUUAAAGUCACCUCCCAUAGGCUCGCAAGGGGUAAACUAGUGCAUCUCCUUGGUUGGAGAUCACUUGCCUUACCAAGUGUUGGCCCAGGUGACUCUAAGGUGUUUUAAGUUAACUAAGAACAUAGAAAUCACUAAAGGAUUUCACUUCCUCUUCAUUGAUGGCUGAAACCACAAAGCUUUGCAUUCUUGCACUUGGAACCUUCCCCGGCAACCUUAGCUCCAAGGAACUAGAGGUUUAGUUACUCAUUCUCUGGGGAAAAUUCCUCAGAGAGUGCAUAACUUAGUAAGAAAUAAACAAUACAAAGUGAGAAGGUAAGGCAAAAAAAAGGGCCUGAACUUUACUUGCUUUUCAAAACUUUACAAAGGUUCUCCUCCCGUUCGAACAGGCUCUCGAAGAGUAUAUAUAUGAACAUAAUACAAAACUAAUUAUUACAUAGAUAUUUUCUCUUUUUACUAACUUAAAAGCUAAGGAAUCUUGUAAUUGGUGGCUUACAAGGAGUAUUUUGGGAUUUAGACAAAAAAAAUCUGAUGGAAAAUAUCUCCCAAUGUCGGUAGCAAAUAUCGGGAAGCACUACGGACCAUUUCGCAAGAGAAAAUGAUGUCUGCGAGAUUUCGCAGACACACAAAAGGGCUGCGAAAUCACUUCGCAGCAAAAGGUUAUUCUCGCAGGGCUGCGAAGUUGGCUUCCAUCUUGAGGUUCUCAGCUUCCAGCUUGUGGCAUAUAUCGGUCAACUUCAGGAGGAAAUACACCACACUGUACAAAAAGGUUGUGAAAUCACUUCGCAACAAAAGGGUGAUUUCGCAACACUUUGCAAAAUGCUUCCUUCAGCUUGGAGUGAUUGGCUUGCAAUGGCUGUAAAUUCUUCGUUUCAACUCCGAAUUGCACACCGUUUGAAGCAUUGGAUUUUUGACUUCCUGAGCUUUGAAAUGGUAUAUAGAAUGUAUCAAUUGGACUUCAUAAAGUGCUCCAAAAGUGGCUGCCACGACUGUCAUCAAGAAUAUGCUUCAUGGCAGAUUCUCUUUACUUCUUCUCCUUGCACUCCGGAUUUACUCUUGGCAAAUGACUUUCAAGCUUUGCCCAAGAUUCCUCAUAACUCUCCUCAAUCUUGGAUUGCUUUGGUGAUCAAAUUACUAACAAAAACACCAAAACUUACACAAAGUGAUUAAAAUUGCUUUCAAGGGUCCUUAACAUGCAAAUUGAGUUAAAAGGCCAAAACUACUACUCAAAAGUGUUUAAAAGGGUUUAAUACAAGCUACCAAAGAGCACUUUUUGAGUAGUAAUCACCAUACACAAAGGAAUAGGGUGUGGCUGAUUACUAACAAAAAGUGCUAUUUUGUAGACCUAAUUAUAAUGGUUUUAAGCACCUUUGAGUAGUAAUCAUAUUCAUUUAACCCAAUUAAUUCAUUAAGGUCCUUAGUAAUUGGUUUUAACCAUUUUGUGGCAAGUUUACAUGUUUUUAUCAGCUUGUGAAUCAAUUCAAGCAUGCCAAAUGAUGGAGGAGCUACUUGGACAAGUUAAAGCAAGCUUUUAGCUACACCAAAGCAAGCCAACAAAAGGAGAAAAGCAAAGAGAAGCAAAGAAAAGCAAAAAGAAGCAAAGAGGAAAACAGAGGGCAGCAGCUACAGUCUUAUUUGGCACUUUUGGAGCACUUUCCGAAGUCCAUUUUCUACAUGCUAUAUACCAUUUCAAAGCUCAGGAAGUCAAGAAUCCAACGCUUCAAACCGUGUACGAUUUGGAGCUGAAAUGAGGAAGAUAUGGCCUUCGGAAGACAACUGCUCCAGGGGUGUGCGAAAUUUUCGCACACCCCCUUGCAUGGUGCGAAUUUUCCCCUGUUUCUGCCGACUCCACACGAGAUCUUUUCUUUUGGAUAUUUUUGUAUAAACUUCCAUUAUUCUCCUUGUAAUCCACCACUCAUGUAAUUUCUUAGCUAGGAAGGUUGGAAAAACUUCUCUAUAUAUAUUCCCUUGCAUCCAUUGUAAUAGAUAUCGAUCAAUAUAUAGAAUAUACAGAGCCUUGCUCUGUUUUUCUCUCUUCUCCUGUUCUUCCCCAUUUCUAUUUUCUUAGUAGCCAAACAGCCUCUGAGGGCUUUUCCUCAAAGGAUGAUUGGCUAAAACUUUUAGUUUCUCAAAGUAUGGAUGUUAUGUGAUGGCUUGGAUGCAAUCCCAUGGAAAUUUCUCGCACCCGGAAGGUAAGGUAGACGUUUUUCAUUAAAGGUUCAUUAAUGCAAAGUUUGGUUUUAUUUCCUUUGGACAACUUCCAACGGCCAAUACUUGAUAAGCUUUUGGAUUUCUAUCCAUUAGUUAUCUCCUACGAGCUAUUGGAAUGUGAGGUUUUCAAUUCCAAGUUUUGCAUUAAUCCGUUAGAACCAAUUUCAAUGGCCAUUGAAAGGUGAGUUUAUCACCUGGAAUGACUUUGAGUUGCCAAUAUUUGGUAAGCUUUUGGCUUUAGACCAUUAGUUAUCUCUUACGAGCCAUUCAAAGGAAGUCUAAGGUGAAUAACCAUUGAUGAAAUUCACUACCAUCUGUUUUGCCAUUUUAAAGGAUUAAAACUUGAUUUGCUAAAUCCAUACCGGUUUGGGAAGCAAGCAUCACCAUAGUUGCAACCCCAACGCGAGGAGCCUAUCCUGAGAUUUCCAAUUUGCAUAAGAGCCAGAGCAUAGCUAUCCUAUCUUUGAGAAACUUGUUUUUACACCCUUUCACUUUAGUCUUUAAUGUUAGCUUAGAUUAGUUUAAAUCUUUCAAAAACAUUUACAUCUUCUUUUAAAGCUAACAUCCAUAGGAAAAUCACCUAUUUUCCUAAUUUGAAUAUCACUUGUGUUUGCGAAAACCCUUCCCAGUGAACGAUCCUAGAACCACUAUGCUAUAGUAGCUUGACUACUUUAGUAAUAGUAUUCAAGGUAUAAAUUUUGUUGAUACACCUUUAAAGCUAAGCUACCAUGAGUCGAAUCAGUGGCUCCUGUAGAAGCACAAAAAUAAGUGUAAUAAGCCCACAAUGAAAAAUAGAGCUUCUCUGACCAAUCCUAAGAAGUCUCAACCAUCCUCCAUAAGAUUCUCUUAAUAUUCUUAUUUGCAACCUCUACCGCUCCAUUAGUCUAUGGCCUAUAUGCGGACGACUUAAGAUGUUGGAUACCAUAUCUUUAUGAUAAGGUGUCAACCUUUGCCUUGAAAUGCACUAUUCUAUCCAAAAUCAACUCAUGAGGGACUCCAUAAUGAUAGAUAACGUGUGAUCUAAUGAAACUAGCGACCUUAGAUGAUGUCAAUCUCACAUAUGAGGUAGCCUCCACCCAUUUAGUGAAGUAAUCAAUGGCAACCAAGAUAAACUCAUGACCAUUGGAAGACUUUGGCCAAAUCUUCUCAAUGAUGUCUAUACCCUAUACUAAGAAUGGCUAUGGUGAAGUUUGUGCAUGUAACUCGGAAGGUGGCACAUGAAUGAGGUUCCCAUGCAUCUGGCACUCUGGACAUCUCUGAACAAUCUGGAAAUAGUCUUUCUCCAUGGUCAAUCAAAAAUAGCAAGUCCUCAUGAUCUUACGAGCUAACAUAUGUCAUUCCAUAUAUGGUUCACAGACUCCCGCAUGAACCUCUUUCAUCACUCAAUCGACAGAGGUGCAAUCCAAGCACAAUAGUAACAUCCCAUUAGCUUAUCAUCUGUACAAUGUCUCCUCACAAAUCACAAACUAGGUGGCUAACUGUCUCAAUGCUCUCUUAUCUCUAGCCGUGGUGACCUCAGGAUAUGUACCAAAUCUUAGAAACUGGCAUAUGUCAUGAUACAAAUGCAAAGCAUAAUCUAACUCUGCCUCGUCAAUCAAGCAACAAUAGGCAGGAACAGAUCUUGACUCAAAUAGUAAAGGAAGAACAAUGGUAUCAACAGGAAUAUCAAUCAUGGAAGCUUGAGUAGCUAAGGCAUCAACAAACUGGUUAUUCUCUCUAGGUAGAUGUGUAUAUCUCAAAUCAUCAAAUUUCCCAACCAGUAGCUCCAAGUAUGUAUGGUAAAGCUUAAGCUUCACAUCUCUAGUCUUCUAGUCGCCCUGAAUCUACCUCAAUACCAAAUUGGAGUCACCAAACACCUUCAUCUAUCUAAUCCCGAGCUCAAGGGUUGUCUCUAAUCCCAAGAUACAAGCCUCAUACUCAACGAUAUUGUUCUUGGUAGGUUGUUGAUCGAAGAAUGCCAAACGAAUAGAUUUAGGAAUGUGGUCGCCAUGAGGGGAUAUCAACAUAACACCUAUCUCGUAUCCAAAAUGGUUGGUUGCGCCAACCUAACAAACUAGUCACAGUAGUGAUAUCCUCAUAUGGGAAGUCAUCAUCAAUAGUUCUACCAUUAGAAAUUGGUAAUGAGGCUAAGUGAUUCACAAUAAUGCUUCAUCUAAUAGACUUCUAAGUAACAUAAUGAAUAUCGAAAUUAGUCAAGAGUACCAACCAUCUUGAGUCAACCAAUCAAAGCAGGCCUAUCAAACAAAUAUCUUAGGGAAUCUAGACAGGAUAUCAAGUGCACUGAAUACUCUAUCAUGUAAUGUCUCAGUCUUCGAGUAGCCCAAACUAGUGCCAAACAAAAGCGCUCAAUCAUGACAUAUCCCAUCUCAUAAUCUAGCAUCCUCUUACUUAAAUAAUAAAUAGCUUGCUUCUUUUUCGAAUCAUCGAGCAGAGCUAACAUGCAUCCUAAGGCUAUGUCCGAGACUGAUAAGUAUAGGAGUAAGGGAUAGCCUAGUGUAGGAGACACCAAAACUAGAGGUGACAAUAAAUACUCCCUGAUCCUCUCAAAUGUGCGCUGGCACUGAUCAUCCCAAACAAUAGGCUGAAUCUUCCUCAAGAGUCUAAAAAUGGGCUCACAAAUGUCUGUCAAUCUGGCAAUGAAUCUACUGAUGUACUACAAUAUACCCAAGAAACCCCUAAUAUCUUUCUCAAUCCUUGGCAUAAGCAUGUUAAGGAUGAGUUUGAUCUUAUUUGGAUCCACUUCUAUGCCUCUCUUAUUGACCAUGUAUCCUAAUAGCUUCCCAGAAGUUACUCCAAAAGUGCUCGUCUUGGGAUUCGGUCUCAUUGAACUGUUUAAUCAUCUCAAAGAAUCUCUUAAAAGAUGCCAGUUAAUCUGCUCUAUCUUGGGAUUUCACUAUCAUGUCGUUUACAUAAACCUCGACAUCUUGAUGCAUCAUGUCAUGUAAAAGGGUGGUCACUCUCCCAACUAGGCCAAUAGUACCCUCAAAUAAAUCAUCAAUAACCAUAGCAUCCUUUGAAAGCUUCGGAGUAGGAGUAGUCUAGAUCUCCUCAGCAACCUUGAUAGAAGACACCCUGAAGAGAUCAACUGGUGAAAAAAGCUCAGGUCAAAUUAUUCCAUCAAUCUGACUCAUACCCAUCGCGAGCAUCUCAUCAAUGUACUCGUCGUGUGGAACAACUCCAUCUACUUUGUCCCCAUACUCAACGACCUCUUCCAUGAAAUAGAGUGUCAAGAGGGUCAUAUGAUCUAGAGAUGUCAGGACGGCCAAUGCAGACGUGGAAAUGCCAGGAGCUCCAUCACUUAACUGAAGCUGAUGUACAAUAUGUUGAACCUCAGCUUCUUGAACAACAUUGAGUCCACUAACAAUCCCCUCUGAAUGUGUCUAUAGCUCUAGUGGCCUCACAUAGUCUGCCAAACUCAUGUUAUAUAGCGAACAGGAUAGUCAAAUGGUGUGUGAGACAAUCGGGCCCUCAUCCUUUCCUUGUGUAGUCACACCAUGUAUCGAUAAUCAACCUCAGUGGGAAUGAACCCAAGUCCAAAUGGUACAUCAUGAUCAACGACAUCUAUAAACUCACUAGGCCCAUACUAACAUCACCCUAACCCCAUCAUGUCAAGUACCAUUGUACUGUUGUGCUAAUCAAAUGACAUAGCCACGAAGUCUAUACAAAAAUCCUCAAUCUUAAGAGUUGCACCUCAUCAAAUGUGAACCUAGUAAAAAAUAGGUCAUCCUUACUAUGGCUGAUCUGAAGCACUGGCUCGAAGAGGCAAACAUAUCUCCAAUGGAGUGUACUGUGAUGACCUUUCCAUCAUGAAUGAACUUCCCAUUUUGAUGAAGGAAAGAAGAAAUGGCUCCAGCCUUAUGAAUCCAAGGUUGACCUAGUAGUUGGUUAAAGGAUGUGAGAAUCCUCAUAACCUAGAACAUAGUAGGUAAUGUGGUCGAACCUAUCAAUAACUCAAUCUCCAAAGUGCCUAUAACCUUUCUCUUAGUGUUAUCGUACUCUCUGACCUUCUGAGUAGAGGGAACAAAGUCUGAAAGUGCAUAACCGAUGGCAAUAGAAGUAGCUAAGGGGUAGAUGUUCAGGGUUGAGCCAUUGUCUAAAAGAACAAAUGGGACUCAGUAGCCUGAACAACCAAUCGAGAUGUACAGCGGACAUGUAUGGUUUGAACUCUUGAGUGGCAAGUCAUCAUCUGAAAACACAAUGCAAGUGGCUCUACCAGCUAUCAUCAUGUGAAUCAACCCCUCGGGAGUAGUGGUAGUCUUGACCCUGAUCUGACUCCAAGAUUGAAUCAAAGCAUCUCUAUGGGUGCUAGAAGAUGCCAAUAGGCUCCAAAUAGAUAUACAAGCCUGAGUGCUCUACAAUUGUCUCAUAAUUUCAUCGUCCUCACUCCUAACCUCCUCAUCAGAGGUUGUACUCUCCAAAGAUCUAGCAGCUAUGAGGGGUUGUUAUCAUACUACCCUACUCUCGCGAAUAACGUACUCUACAUUUGGAGUAUGAACCUCAACAAUAGCUGAGAUAAAAACAAAUGGAGUUUGAACAUUGUAACAUGGGAAAAUUAAUGGCUCAAUAGUCUUCGACUGUACUGAUGUAACAUUGGGGACCAAUCUAAAUACUAUGGGCAUUCAUUGGCCCAAAGUCACUCCAUCUACCUCAUUAAUCCCAUCCACUACUAUGGGCUCCAACUCUAACUUGUCACAACUUAGCAUGUGAAUAUGAUCAUCAAACUCAACAAGGUCAAUGAAAUGUAUGCCAUCGACCGGAGGAGCAACUAUGUGGGUAGUAUGGGUUGGUAAUGGGUUCUUGGUUACACUCGGCUAACCCAAGUGAACCAAACCAUGAUCAAUCAAGGCCUAGAUGGAUGUCUCAAAGCAGUACACUGGUCAGUCCCAUGCUCUGGCCCUUGAUGACAUACACAAUGUAAAUCCAUCAUGAAUUGUGGCAGGAUAGGUUGAGACAAUGACUUAGGAGCAAAAGCACUCAAAAGAGCGUCACUCCUAAAUUGAAAUGGCAACUAUUAAUUAGUUAGUCCGUAGCAAUCACUAGCAAUAGGAAAAUGUACAAAAUUAGUUAUAUAUAUUUCUUUAUGGAAAUAUUAAUGUAUACGACAACCCUAUAACUAGCUUCACAACCCAUUAUUGUCAGUUUCUGAAGUUGAGUUGCAAAAAGUGGAUAUUUUUCAUUCUAUUAAGAGAUAUAUCUAGUACUUUGUAUACUAGUGCUUUUAUAUUCAUUUGUACAACAAACUAACUAACUAACCUCCUACCUGAAGACGUUUUUAACUGAAUUUGGUUUGUUGCAGCUAAUCUUGGUUUGUUGAAGCUGAUACUAGGCAGUUAGCUUCUUAUGGCUUGGGUCUUCUUCUUAUUGGUCAGCUAGGUGUGGUCUAUCAGUUAUAUAUAAAGGAAUAUCAAUGGUUAUAACCCAAACGUAAAACUUAGUAGUACUAUAUACUGAUUGUGUAGUUUAUUGUGACGAUAGAAUGGUGAGUAUUCCUCUAAUGACAUUAGUGCAACUAAAUUUUAAAUGUUUGGAGGAAUACUAGAAUCCUUACAAGUGGGAAUAUAUUAAUGGCUUAUGCAUGAAGGAUCAAUUUUUUUUUUUUUUUUUUAUGCAUGGUAACAUUAUCUAGCUUCAGCAGUACUACAAAUGCAAGCUCGCCUUAUUUUGAUGUGAUGAAUUAUGAAGCUGUUGGUAACGGAAAAACCGAUGAUUCAGGGGUAACUAUCCCUUUCUCUUCAUGCAGGUAUUGAGAAUUCAACUAGAAGACGAUGGUAAUUGAUUCCUUUAAUUAGAAAUAUCAUCAUAUUUUUAUGCCCAUUGGUACUACAUGCACAUAAAUUGUAUUAUAAAAUGAAUAGAAAAGAUAUCUUUUAUGUGUGAUGCAUGUACAGGCAUUUCUGAAGGCGUGGAAUGAAACCUGCAAAGUUCAACAACAGCGUGCUAUCCUUAAUAUACCAACAAAGACAUUCUUAUUGAAUCCUAUCCAAUUUUUGGGUCCAUGUGUGCCCAUAAGUAUCAAUGUUCAGGUGAUUAAUUUGUUGAAACUAUGGAGGACUAAGCAAUCUUUUAUUCAAAUUAAUAUAACCUUCAACAAAAUUCAAAUGGACUUGAAGUUUAAUAUUUGAAGAUAUAUAGUCUACUGGAUGUAAAAGAUGCUUGAAGUCAUAAAAAUCAUUUGAAACCAAUGAGUUAGUAUACAAAAGUGAAACUGAGAUAAACAAAAGUUAUGGCAUAAGGUUUUCAGAGCAUACCUUGCAUCGAUUUGUAAAAUUAUUUGCAUCACUUUAAUUUUCUUAAACAAAUCUUUACUUUAUAAACAUGUUUAACUAUAUUUAAUUUCAAUAUUUUUACUCAUACAUAUGGUAAAUUCCUCAAUCAUUUUGAACAUUUUUUUAAUGAUAAUGUAUCAUAAUCAUAAAAUAUUAUUAGUUGCCCUUGUACAUACACAAAUUAAACAAAUAACCUUAGUAGAGAAACAACUUGAAAAGUAACUCUUAAAGAGGUAUAUGUACCUAAAAAGUAAAGAGAUCUCUAUCAAUCAUGUAAAUAUUGACAUAAAGAUAUUAUCAAAUAAUGUAGUCAUAGACAAUAUAUCUUCUUUGUAGAUGAAAGGAAUGGUGAAGAUUUCAAAUCAUGAAUUGUGCAAGUACACUAAUAUAGAAAUUGUUAGCAAAAUAUAGAAAGAAGCAAUUAAGGCAAAAACUAAAUUUUUCAAUAAAAGUAUCACUACCUAAAGUUUGAUUCUUAAAAAUCUAAGCUUAAUUGGAUACAAAUGCACUUGAAGUUUAAUAUCUAAAGAUAUAAAGUCUUUUGGAUAUAAAUGAUACUUGAAGUCAUAAAAACCAUUUGAUACCAAUGAGUUAUCAUACAAAAGUGAAAUUGAGACAAACAAAAGUUAUAGCAUAAGGUUUUUUUAGCAUACCUCACAUCAAUUCUAAUAAUGAUUCAAUCAUAUAAUUGAUAAUUCUCAAAGGAUUUGAUAUAUAUGCUUUAUGAUAUCGUGACAACAUAUUUUCAUAAAUAUGUUAAAAUCCUUGAAGUAUUUAAAAAUGCUUGAAGCAACCAAUUCCUUGAAGAGUUAAAAUGUUUACAGCAAAUAAUUAUUUGAAUUUAAAAUACAUGAUGCAACCAAUUCCUUGAAGGAUUAAAAUGAUUGAAGCAAUAUUGAUUGAAAAAUCAGAUAUCACAUUCUAGAUCAAGUCAUGAUGAUCAUCUACUUAAUCGAAUUAUGUUAUUGUAUAGAUUAAAUGGGAGGUUUUUGAUUGUUGCGAUCUCAUUGGAACUCCUUAAGAGUUUAUAAGAAUAAUUCAUUAUCAAACGAAAUAAUUUAGAAUGAAUGAUCUUGAAAAACCAAAAUUUUGUGUUGACCUAUGGAUUGAGUGUUUUUAAGUGGAUUGUUAGUCUAUCAAUUGACAUAUAUGAUGAAAAUCUUGAAGUUCUUUCAUAUGGAUAAAUCAUACACAUUUAACUCCCUUAUGGUUUUUUGUUUACUUGAAGUAAGAAAAGAUAAGUUUAAUCUAAAAGAAGAAAUAAAGAACCACUUGAUCUAAAAAUACCAUAUCUUAUUGCAAUUACAACAUGCAUCAUAUUACUAUAUUUGUGUGUGUGUGUGUGUAUAUAUAACUAAAGGAUUAACAAAUAUUUAGAAUUGGCAUUGAUAUAAUAGAAUACAAGUCAUGGAUUGACAUUGAUAUAAUUUGCCCACAUCACUUGAACAAUUUGAUUUGUAAAGGUGCUAUACCAGUUGCAAUCUCAUGAUAAUCGAUUGAGUGACUUGUGUUAUCUAUUGUCUCUUCUUCACCUUAGAAUGAAAGGUCUUCUACCUCAAAAUCCCUUAACAAUUGAUUAUUUCAUGUUAUAGUCGAAUCCAAUUAUGAAGGAUACAACAUGUCAUAACAAUUAAUGAUUAUCUACUUGGCUUAUAGCAAAUUAUCAUCCUUAAGAUUGGAAACCGUGUUUUUAAAACAUCAAAGCACACUUCAAAAAUAUUUUGAAAGGAUGAAUGUCUAUAAUUUAAAAGUUCUUUAUACCUUUUAGAUUGAUUGUGUCUACCCUAAUAUUCUUGUAAAUGAUAUCAUUCGCUUCAAUAUGGUGAUAGAAAUGCAAAUGUACAAAGAUAAAAUUGACCAAAUAAUAUUUUUCUUCACUUGGCUAGGAAAAAUGGACUUUGGGUCUAGUUAGUGCAUCCAAAAAAGUAGGCACAUCAUUCAUAUUUCCUUUCCAACUAGCAUAAAAAAAUGUGAAUAUUAUUUCAAAAUCACAUGUGCACAUAGCAUUUUGUGUUAUAACUGUUUUUUGACCCCUAAAACUAUUUUGUUUAUUAAUAGGAAAGUUGGAACCCAUGCACUAAUAUGGGUGUCAUAAAUUGCACUAAUGUAGUCUUACAACAGAAGGAUAUUUAUUAUUAUUAGGGAAAGAAAAGAAUUAAAAGGAAAGUUUUUAUUUAUUGUUUCAAUCUAAUGGGAACUCCUUAAGAUUUCAAAAGAAUGGUUAAUUAUUUAACAAAAGAAUUUUGAAUGAAAGAUCUUUGAAAAAUCAAAAUUUGGUCUUGACUUUCAAAUCGAGUGUUUUUAAGUGACUUGUUAGCCUACUAGUUGAUGUAUAUGGUGAAAGCUUUGAAGUGCUUUCAUAUGGAUGAAUCACACCUGUCUAACUCCUCUAUGGUUGUUCAUUCCCUUAAAGUGAACAAAGAUAGGUUUCAUCUCAAAGAAGAAAUAAGGAAUUAUUUGGUCCAAAAAUAUUAUAUAUGAGUGUGAGUAAUGGAAAUAUAUCUUAAAAAUCAUACAUAAUUAAAUAUAAAAUGUUGUAUCAAAUUGCAAGCAAGAUAUAGUUUUUCACCAAUAUAAAGAUAAUGGAAUAAGAUCAAACAUUUAUUGAACAACCGACAUGAUUGAUAUCUUCUAGAAUAACAUAGUAGAAGAUAGACAUAAAAGGCAAUUUUCUGGACGCCUCCUACGUACACAAUUAAACUUAACAUAGUAGAAGAUAUCUUCUAGAUAUAUAUCAGUAGUAUUUUAAAUAGCCAGUGAUAGGAUCAGCAAAGAGUUAAGACUAGCACUUAUUACACCCUCGGUCUUCUCAAUAAGACUGGUAGCUGUAAUUUGAUCUUCUGAAAAGUUGUGUAUAAUAACAAUAAAAUAUUACAAAAAUAAAUAACUUAAUAUUUAAUAUUAUUAUAUACUAUUUAAUUUUAAAUUCUAUUUAAAAUUAAGUAAAAAAUAAAUAAAUAAACUCCACCUCAAAUAAUAUUUAAAGUUUCAAAAAAUGGAAAUGAAGGAUAUUUUCUCAAAGUGGGAAGACUCUUUUUCUUCCCAAUAUCAUAUUUUUAAAUAUUUGCAAAGGUCAAUGUAAAAAAAAAAAUCGAAAAUUUAUUAUAUAAAUGUAUUGUACAUUAAUAGUUAAUUUUUUGAAUUUAUUGUUUAGUUUAAAUUUCGUUUCUUUUUAUUCUAUAAAACUUUGAACUUUCACAAUAUUUCCUCUAAUCAAAAUUAAUUUUUCCUCUUUGUAGGCUUCGAAAAUUAAUUGUCAAGCUUAAGAACGUUGGAGGUCUUGAACAUCAGUAGUAAUGAGUUUGACAACAAUAUAAUAGGAUCGUUGAAGGCGAUAACAUCCCUAUUUUAGCAAUCAACUAGUUUACCAUACUUUGAAAAGCAUUCAAAUGAUUUAUCAUUGGAGUUCUUUCCUUUAACUUCAUGUUUAUUAACUUCAACAAAAAUAUUUUAAUCAUAGCACUUUUUUUUAAAAAAAUAAAAUAAAAUAUUAACUCGUAUUUCAUGAGAUCAUAUGAAUUUAUUUUAUUUGCUACAUGAUUACAUGAGGGUUUAUCAAUCCAUUGCCUAAUAUAUGUUAUUGCCUUUUUGUUCAUCUUCUUCCCCUUCAAGUUAAAAUAUUCAUUGGCUUAGCUUCUUUACCCUUAAGAGUAUCUAAUAAAUCUUUGAUGAUGACAAAAUCUUCCAUUGUGGACUUCCAUAUAUCCAACCUAAUUUUCCAUCCUUUUCAAAACCAAUUACUCCUGUAACCAAGCUCUAAUACCACUUAUGAGAGGUAGAUGAUAAUUGAAGAACAACUUGGUCAAGUGGGAAUAGCUAACAAAUGAGAAUGAUGAAUAUUUCACAUGCAUAGAUUCAAAAUUCUUCCAAAAUUAUAACCUAGCGAGAAAGUAUAACCAUAAUAAUAAUAAUAUAUAUAAGUAAGAUGAUAUCGGUUAUAACGUGGAGAAACCCUCCUAAAGGAGAUCAAAAUCCAUAGAAGAUUUCUUUCAUUUCAAUAAAAAUAUGAAUACAACUCCUCAUGAGUUUCUUCUCUUUGAAAACAAUGAAAAUAUAUAUCAGUACCUAGGAAGUUCAUCAUCUUAAAAAUAUAAAAAAUAGGAAGAGGCAAUUUUUUAAAAAAGGUUAAAGGAAAGAACCUUCAUAUUCAUCCUUGAGCCCUAGAAUAGUGUUAAAAAAAAUAUAUAAAUAAAAAUAAAAAUAAAAAAAGUAAGAAAAAAACAACUAUUAAUUUUUUCUCUUUUUCUCUCUUCCAUGAUCCGUUACUUCCAAUUAUUUCACCAUCCCCAAAACAAAUCCAGAUGUUGCCCAUAUUUAAGCUUAGAAACACCAAAAAAAAAAAAAAAGGAGAUACCUAAAUAAAACUGUUAGGCACUUGAGGAAGAUAAAGACUUUAAACGAUUUACAUCUGUAGAUCAAGUAAACUUAAAAAAUCAUUGUAACUAGGAAUACGUAAUUGAUAAUAUUCUAAAUUUCUAUAACUUGGUAACCCACUUGUUGGUUAGUGUUUUUUAUAUUAUGGGGGUCCAAAAUUUAGUUUAUUUCUUAAAUAACUUUGACAACUUUUUGAAAAUAAUUUAGAUAACAAUCGGAAUCCUGAAUACAUUAAUUAUAUUUGCCUACUGGGCCUUUAGGUCAUAUGAUUGUGGGUGGCAAGGGCUUAACUAUUUGUUUCUUUCAGGUUAUGAAAGUUUGUCGACAUUGGGAAAGCUAGAAACCUUGAACCUUGGCUAUAACAGUUUCAACCAGACAAUCAUACGACAACUGAGCACAUUGACAUCUCUUAAAAAUCUUAUUCUAGAUAAUAAUAUCAAUUUUGAAGGAUCUUUUCCAGCUCAAGGUAUGUCUUCUUUUCUUUUUUUUUUUCUUUUUUUUUUUACCUUAUUUUUUUAAAUCCUAAAAAGUUGGUCAUUGGAUUUCUUUCUUUUCUCUUUUUUCUUUGUUAAUUAUUUUGCAGAAUUAUCCGCUUUGAAAAACUUGGUGACGCUAGAUUUGAGUUGGGAUAAACUUAAUACCUUGAAAAUUGAAGGUAGGUGUACCAAUCGAAUUUUUUCUUACAUAGGGUAUGGAAAUUUACUUGGAUUAAUUUUCUCAAUCCCCUAAUACUGCAACUGAUCACUUUUUUGUUUUCUUUUCCCUUCUGAAGACAUGUCUGGAUAUAUGCUGCUUGGACAUUCAACAUAAAAUACUAAACCUUAAGUUCAUCCAAAUAAUGAUUACGAUUAAGUUUUGGGUUUUCAGACUUUUUCCCCCGUUGUUAGUCAUCUCUGAAUAUUGACUAAAUAAAAAAUCAUUAAAAUACUUACUAGGAAUGCUUUCCUUGAACAUAUAUAAUAGGAAGAUCUAUGGGAAAAUGACCUAUUUUGUAGGCACAAUGGCCAUGAAGUCUCAAAUUAUCUUACUAAGAGUGCGUUUAAUAGUGAUUUUAAAAGGUGUUUUUAAUCUUUCUAAUACUUGAAUGAUAAAAAUUUUUAAAUGCUAGAAAUGUUAGAAACGGUUUCUAGAAUCAUUGUCAAACAAACUCUAAGCCUACUAGUGCCAAAAGGGGAUAAGUGUCAUUGAUAUUGGUUCACAUGUAUGUGAUGGAUUACCUUUAGAUUUUCAGUACUUAAAUGUUUUUUCUUUUGUAAUAUAAUGAUGAGAUACAUAUCAAAAAAGAGAAAAGAUGAAAAAGGAAAGAAAAAAUACAUUAUAUAUGUCAAGGGUUAUCCCAUGAUUAAUAAAAUUAUUCAGGGAAGACAAUCACACUAAUAAAUUAGGCAGUUACUAAAUUCUUAAUAAAUUUUAUUAAUAUAUUUAAAGGAUUAGGUAGAUUUACAUGGGCUUGUCGAAUUCAUUUUUUUAAUAAGACUGUAAUUCUAAUCAUUUCCUAGGAAUAUUACCCAUUUCUUUUAAUUAAAUAUAAACUAAGACAACUAUUAAAGUUCACUAAAACAAACUAUUAAAGUCAUUAAUUUCUAAUGAAAUAAAAAAACAUAUUCCAUCUAUAAGAUGAAAUGUUAAAAUUACUAAUUGAAAGUCUUUGUGUUGAAUUUUUGCUCUUGUUUUUUUUAUUUCAUUAGUCUUCAAAGGGAAUUCUCUGUAUUCCCUUAUCAACAAGACUAGUCCCUAAGGUUAUGUUUAGCUUGGCUUGAUAGGAUAAAUGGGAGAAAAGAAUUUAUAAUUCUUGACAUAUAUACAUUCCAUCUUAUUCUAUUCCCCUUUAUCUUAUUCUAUUGUCAAUUAAAUAUGAGAUAAGAAAUGAGGUAAGGUAUUCUUAUAUUCUAUUGUCAACUAAAUACUAAAUACCUAAUUAAGAUUAGGUUUGAUUGAUUAGAUAGGACAUAAUAACAUGAGAUAUAUAUAUAUAUAUAUAUAUAAUAGAUGCUGUACAUGUUUAGUUUGUAGAAAGAGUGACAAAUAAGAUGAAAAAUAUAUUGCAUUUCGGUAUUUACUACUAAAAAAAAAAUUAUGAAACCCAUCUUUAUGUCUCGUAUUAUUUGGAAAUCAUUUUACAAUUUAUAAUUUAGUAACUUUUAUUUCCUUGUUAAUAAUAUUUAUAAUUAAAAAUAUUUAAAAUAUUAUAUUAUGUUGUUUAAAUCUAUAAAAAUAUUUUGUUUAUAUCAAUAUUCUUGUAUAAUAGUAUUAAUUUAGGUUGUAUUAUAACCAUACUUUUUCAAAAUAUUUGUACUAGAAAUUUUAUUUUUUAACCAAUUUUUUUCUAUUUUGCAAAAUGAGUAAUUGAGAAAAACUGAAAAAUAAAUAGUAAAGAAAAUGAAUAAUAAAAAUAAAUUUAAGAUUUUUAUGAUAUUUGUAUUCCAUAUUUCAAUUUAGUAUCAUUAUAUGAAAAAGUUAAAUUAUUCCAUCAAUUAUUUUUUCCAUUCUCAAUUUAAUAUGAGAUAUCAUAAAUUAACUAAAUAUGAAACAAAAUAUAAUAUCACACAUUUUUUUUAAUUUCAUACUAUAUCCAGCCAAUUAAACAUGGUGUCGUCUGUGAAAAUAAAUUAAUAUAGUAAAUAACAAAAAGUUGCUCAAAUAUGUUAGCAAGGCCUGUCAAAGACAUAAACUUGGUUUUGAGCAUCUUAAGUUUUGACACACAAUGAAAGCCAAUUUCAAUGUAGAUACCUUGACACUUAAAUAAUCUUUUGAUGACCACUUCCAGCUUAAUCCAGACCUAAAGCCUCUAAGCAAAGCUCCUGCGCUCAGGCCUCAGCCUAAGCCCAUUAAACUAUUUUGGGUAACUUUUAGAUAGCUUAAUGAAGUUGUAAUAAGAUAAAUAACAGAGUGAUUUGCCUAUGUUAUGUGGCACUUUGUGAGUAUGCUUCAAAUAUAUGUACAUUAACACCAACAAAAAAAGCAGGAGGCAUUGUUCUUAUGCUAUUUUCAUGCAUUAUGGCUUCAAAUAUACUUCAGGUGGUAAAGGACUGGUGAAGUUGAACAAGCUGGAGCAUCUAGAUCUAAGCUCCAACAAUUUAACCGACACGCAUAUCUUAGAGUUUUUGGCUACCCUGCCAGCCCUCAAAUCUCUAUCCCUGGCCGACAACUACAUGGAACAACCACUUUCCGACCAAGGUAUGUGAAAAUAGAAAACAAUGGAUUGGUAAACAUUCAUAGUAUAAUGCAAGAUGGUUUGGGUUCAUACAAAUUCAUUUGAAUCAAUUAGGCUUUGUUUGGAUAAUUGCAUAAGGUUAUACUUUUUAACUUGAAGCAUCCAUUCAAUAAGUAAAAUGAGAACAAAGCUAGGAAACAAUGGAGGAAUGGCUAUACUAACUUGUUUUUUUUUUUUUUUUUAUCUCUAAUUUGCAUCCUUCUUUCCUUUUCCAUUGUUUUAUCCUUCCCCUCACCAUUGCGGGGAUGCAACCAUGACCUUGAAAGAAAGGAUAAAAGCAUUAAACUGUCGUGUUUUCUUUCGGAAGCUAGAUUUGGAAGCUUUCAGAAAUUUGGAGAUCUUAGAUUUGAGGCUGAAUGGUUUGACUGGGAGUGUUCCUUCAUCUAUACGGCCUCAUCUUCUCUCAAGGUUUUAUCAUUAUCUAAUAAUCGGCUCAACAGCUCCUUAUCCAUUCAAGGUAGAUGUUUAUAUGUGCUAUACUUUUUUGUAGGCUUAUGUGAACUGAAGAAGCUUGAAGAGUUAGAUCUCAGUCGAAACUCCUUUGAAGGAAUACUUCCACCAUGUUUGAACAAUUUGACAUCUCUGAGAUUAUUGGAUCUCUCUCAAAACCUACUCACAGGAAGCAUCUCUUCUUCUCUGAUCGCUGGCCUCUCAUCCCUUGUAUAUAUCGAUUUGAGUCAUAAUUAUUUUGAAGGUUCAUUCUCAUUCAGCUCAUUUGCUAAUCACUCUAAGCUAGAGGUGGUUGAAUUUACAAAUGACAACAACAAAUUUGAGAUUGAAACUGAACAUUCAACUUGGGUUCCUAUGUUUCAAUUGAAGGUUCUGAUAAUAUCAAACUGUAACCUUAAUAAGCUCACUGGUGGUAUUCCUAAGUUCCUUCAGUACCAAUACAGUCUGACAGUAGUCGAUCUCUCUCUCAAUAACUUGUCUGGAAGCUUCCCCUAUUGGUUGGUUGAGAACAAUAGACUUAAAGUUUCUAAACCUAAGGCAUAACUCUUUCAUGGGUCAAAUUCACCUGACAUGUUGCCCCCAUAUCUAUUUGGAUUGGAUGGAUAUCUCAGAUAAUCUGUUCAAUGGGCAGCUUCAAGAAAAUAUAGCGCAGAUGAUUCCUCAGUUAAGCCAUCUAAAUCUAUCAAAGAAUGGCUUUGAAGGUAAUAUCCUAUCAUUGAUAGUUCAAAUGAGUAACUUAAAGGAAUUGGAUGUGUCUGGUAAUGAUUUCUCAGGAGAAGUACCAAAGCAAUUUUUUGGUGGUUGUCAUAAUCUGAAGGUUUUGAAAUUGUCGAAUAAUGGAUUUCGGGGCCAAAUAUUUUCAGAAUACUUUAACUUGACAGGAUUAGAGUAUUUGCAUUUGGACAAUAAUGAGUUUUCAGGGACUCUAUCAGAUGUAAUCACCAGAAGCCCUUUAAGUUUGCUGGACAUCUGCAACAACUACAUGUCUGGUGAGAUGCCAAACUGGAUACGUAACAUGACUUUGAGCCCUUUAAAGGUCAGUUACCAUGUGAAGUAGUUGCACUCAAGUUUUUUGACAUAUCUCAUAAUGCUCUUUCAGGUUCUCUUCCUUCUUGUGAGAACCCACAGUUUUUAGAGCAUAUACAUUUGCAAGGAAACAGGUUUACAGGAACAAUACUGGAAGAUUUUCUCAACUCCUUAUGUCUAUUGACCUUGGACAUUAGAGAUAACAGCUUGAAUUGAAGCAUUCCCAAGUCAAUUGUGGCACUUUCCAACCUAAGAAUUCUUCUGCUUGGAGGAAACCAUUUAAGUGGCCUGAUUCCAAAUCACCUAUGCCAAUUGACCAAAAUAAGUUUGAUGGAUCUAUCGAACAACUCUUUUUCUGGGUCAUUCCCUAGGUGUUUGGGGCAUUUCCAAUUUGGGGAGACAACCACCAGUGAUAAUGUGUUUGCGCCAUCAACUCAGUUUGGUUUCGGGAAUGGAAUUCAUAUAUAUGCAGGUUACCUAGACAGAUAUUUCUACAUCAAUGGUGAUAUAUAUGAUGAACAAGAUGAAGUUGAGUUUCUACAUCAAGGUCUGGCUCCUAUAAAGGUGACAUUCUUAACUUCAUGUCUGGAUUGGAUUUGUCAUGCAACAACUUAACCGGUGAAAUCCCUCGUGAACUGGGAAACCUAAGUUCGCUUCAUGCACUAAACUUGUCUCACAAUGAGUUGCAUGGCAUCAUCCCGAAAGGGUUUUCAAACCUCUCUCAAAUAGAGAGCUUAGAUCUUUCUUACAAUAGAUUGAGUGGUGAAAUUCCUUCAGAAUUGACCCUACUAAAUUUUUAAGCAGUGUUCACUGUAGUUCACAAUAACUUCUCUGGUAGAGUCCCAGAUCUGAAACAACAAUUUGGAACAUUCGAUGAGACUAGCUAUGAUGGCUAUCCUUUUCUUUGUGGGCCACUUUUGAAGAAAAAAUGCAGCAUUAAUCCUGAGUUACCAUAUUCACCUGUGGCACUUUCAGACAUGAAAGAAGUAAAAUGGUAUGAUAUUGAUCGGGUUGUCUUCUUUGCAAGUUUUGCUGCAGCAUAUAUUACGAUCUUGCUGGCAUUUGCUACUGCUCUUAUGUUAACCCCCAUUGGCGUUGGAGGUGGUUUAAUUUUAUCGAGGACUGUAUAUAUUUAUGCUACUAUUUUCCCUUUGAUGCCUUCAACAAGAUAUUAGCUUAUUUACAUAAGUAGUCAUACUUGUUUCUAUUACCCAUGAACAAUCGGUAGUGGAUUCAUACUUGAGACAUCGCGUUUUCUCUCAAAUAUAUAUUGUAUCGCUCAUUGCACCUUUUAUUAUAUAUCUUUCAUGUCUCAUGCUUGGCAUUCAAAAUUUUUAUAUAACCAUAAAAAUUCAGUAUUUAAUCUAUAAUAUGUGUAGUUCAUUCUACAUUGGAAUUAGAGCAUUUUAGUAUAUUCAUGUGAUUUUAUUUUAUUUUAUUAUUUAUUAUUAUUCUUUUUUUCCCUUUUUUUUUUUUUUUGGAUUUCAUGUCAAAUUCUUCUAUAUAUAUAUAUAUAUAUAUAAAUUUUUUUUUCCCAAAAGUUUGCUUGUUUUCAUGCAUUUUUGAAAUCUAUAUCAAAUGUACUUCAUUGUGUGUGUGCUUUAUAUAUUAUUGAAAAUGAGGAAGGAAAGGGGAAUACAACUCAUGUAUGGUAGCUAGCUCAAUUUCCCCCACUAUUUCUAUUAUCCUUGCAACCCAAAAAGAAAGAGCUGAACGGUGUAACCAUUGAUGUUUUCAAGCAAGCCAAAGUAAACACUAUUUUACUUAGGGGUUUAGUAAAUCAACUUAAUGACUUUAUAUGAUUUAAUAACUUACUUUAAGUCCUUAAGUAGAUUAAGCAUAUUUGAUAAAAUAACUUAAUGUAUUACAACUUAUUUUUAAUUUUAGGUAAUUCAAAAUAGUCAACUUAUUCUCAAUCUCAAAUCACUUUUCCUUAUUUAUCCAUACUAGUGAGAGUAUAUUUUAGAAUUAUGAUUUUACAUUCAUAACUUAUUUUUUAUAAUAAAUAGUUUUUGGUUAUCUUAUGUGUGAGUAUUUUAGAUAGGUUGGCUAUUCCAAACAAAAAUUCCCUAAUAUCUCCUAACUUAAGUCUUCCAAAUCCUUCCUCAAACUACUUUCCUGAUGAAGAUUAAGAUGUUGAAAAAUAUUUAGAGGGUAGGGUAUAUAGUUGAGGUCGUAGAUUGAUGAAACUGGAUCAAGUUACUAUUUUUCUUGGAAAUGUUUUUGAGAAGCUUAGGAAGGCUUGGGUAGUAGCCUUUUUGUUAAGUUUUUUUGUGCCUUGUUUCAAGAUCUAUCCAAAUUUUUUUUGGAUUGAUCAAUUUCCAACCAUUGCAUUAAGGGUUUUCCUUCCUAUUUAAACCUAAAAUUUUCAUUCUAAAGGCUAUGGAGAACACUAACAACUAACCCUCUCACUCCCUUUCAGCUCUUUCUUCAAUCCAUAGUAGGUGUGUUUGGUUGCCAAGAAAAUCCUUCUCACUUUGAUUUCCAAAUUAGUUUUUUGAUUAAUUUUUCUAUGAAAUGGGCCUUACUUAUUUCUUUCAUUCAUCUUUGGUUUUCUCAUUGGUUUGAAUUUAGUUGAAAACUUGUUUUCUUCUUAUGUAGAUUCAAGAAUAGGUCUUGAUUGAGCUUGGUGUGGACUCCAAGUGUGCUUCAAAAGAAGGUGUGCAACUGAAGUUGGAAGGUGCUAGUCAAGUAAUCUGAGAAGGAUUGGUAUACUUGAGCUAAGUAAAACCUUGUACUUAGAUGGUUUUUAUUCAUUAUGGAUGCUCUUAGUCACUUGUAAGCCUAUGUUUUUUUUUUCUUUUUUCUAUUCAGAGGUUUUCCAUGUCAAAGCGUGGUGUAAUUUCCUUACUCUCUCUAUCUCUUCAUUAGUUAAAUUUUUUUUAAUGAUUAUCUUGGCUAAAGAAAUUGCCUUGUUUCGAUGAGCAGAUUAGUAAAUAAUUUGAGCUAAAAUUUGAUUGCACAAUCCUUGAAACUGUUUAAUUUCUUCCAACUUGUUUUUUGUUCAAAGUAAAGGUUUAUUUAUUUAUUUAUUUGUGUUUAAAUUAGUUGAAAGUUGAUGAAAAUUUUGAUUGGAAAGUGUUGUUACAUUUGCAUGUGAAUUGUAUUAGUUUACUUAUUGGAGACAUGAAUCAAUUCUUGCAUGUGAGUUGGCUUGUUUGUUCAUCAAUAAUUGAAGGAAAAAAAAGUAUAAAAACAUGUUUCAUAUUCACAUGGAGUUCACUCCUAGAACUAUAGUAAUCCCUAGCUCCUCCUGUGAAUCCCACAUCUCUCUUAUCCAUGAUUACAAUGAGGGAGCAAAUCAAAACAAACGAAACUCACAUUGGGUUUAGGGAUCAUUCAACAUCACGAGUCUACAAGCUCCAUGCCUACCUAUAGUCUAGUAGUGAGUAACAUAAUAUCAGUUCAAUUAGUGAAGUUCCUCAAACUUAAUCAAUAUCAACAUGUCGUGAUGAGCCAAAAAAUGUGAUUGCCUUGUGCAAGCUGCAAUCAAACUAAAGAAAAUUUUAAGGAGAGAAAAUCAUUAUUACAGAUUCUUUUCAAAUUGUUAAAAAUGCAUAUUCACCCACCCUAGGUGUAAUCCAUCAUUGAGAUUCUUUCAUAUUUAUAUCUAUAAUAUUUUAAAUAUGGAUUUUUUAUAAAUAAUUUUAAAUUAAUGAAAAUAAAAAAGAGUUAAAAUAAUUAAGGAUAAAUUUUAGUUAAAAUUAAUGAGGACCAAUGUAUCAAUUUGAUUAUUAGAAUACAUUUUAAGUUAAUUUUAUCGAACAACCUUAAUACUCAAAGUAAAAGAUAAGUAAUAGGUAUUGUUAACAACUUAAGAACUAUUUAACUUAAAGACAAUUUAAGUUAUUAAGUAAUAAACAUUAAGUUUUACUAAACACACAUUUGACAUCAGAAAACAAAUUCCCUCACAUUUGACAACUUAAGUUAUUAAGUAAUAAACAUUAAGUUUUUACAAUUAAGAGAAGGAAGAAUGUACACAAGAAGGCUUUAAGGCUCAACAAGUGAGUGCAAUAAUAAAAUAAAAAUCCCCCAUGAAGUAUAAAGAUCCUAGCAGCCCAAUUAUUUUAGUUUCUAUAAGAAAUGAUAGCACUAGGAAGACUUAACUUAGGAUAAGUGUAAAUUUGAUUCUCUUUUCAUUUUAUCAAAUAUUAGGAUUAGGUGAGUUAAACCCUACUUCAACUACCUUGUGUUUAGUUGAUAAAUCUAUCGAAGUGCCCAAGGGAGUGGUUGAAGAUGUCCUAAUCUAUAUGGAUAUUAUACUAUUGGAUAAAGAAUGAAAUGAUGAAGCUAAUCCUAUCCCUAUCAUCCUUGGUAGGCCUUUCGUAGCAACUUCUAAUGCAUGAAUAAUGAGAGGAAUGACCAUAUGCAAUUCUCCUUUAAUAUGACAUUAGAGCUAAUCAUUUUCAAUUUUUGAAAAAUCUAAGUGAGUAAGGUGAACAAUCUAAUGAAGAAGUAGAGUGUCUGGACAACAUGGCUAAAACUAAAAUUGAAAUUCUAAAGGAUGAGGGAGAAAAUGUGAAGUUUAAAGUAACCACAAACUUGGUUGCUUUGUAAGGACCAUCUUACUAGCCUAAGUUUGAUACUUUGGAGGAGGUGAAAGAAAAGCAAAAAUCUAAAAUCGAGACUAAAAAGCCAAAGACAUAAUUAAAGUGGUUACCAGUUAAGUGUUUUCUUAAAAGAAAGUCAGGAAAAAGACAUGGCAGUAUCUUUUGCCUUGACUGAACGAUUAUGAUCAUAGGGUAUAAAUAAAUUUUGCAAUAAAAGAUGGUGUCAAGUCCCUAAAGUGCAUGGUCUUUAAUUUUAGUAACCUAGGAUUACUAGUUAUCGUCUCCAUAGGGAUUCUAGUUGGAAGUGAUUUUCAAAGGAAGGGAUGCUUAGGAUUGUAGACCCUCAUUUUUCACGUGCAUCCCUACUCAAUGGCAAGGCUCCUUUUCUUAAUGAAAAAUACUGAUUUUCAUAAAAUUGGAGUUGUUACUUAUUUUCGUUUUUAUUUUUUAAAGAAAAAAUAAAAUAAGAAACAAAAACUCUAAGAGUGACUCCUUAUUUUUUGGAAAAGCAUGUUUUUGAAAAUCCGAGUAUAAGUCUAGGGGUCAGGUUACCUAUUGGGAAGGUACCAUAAAGGUACCACCCCUCUAAGCCCUAAAAUCAGGUCUCUAUUAACUAGGUUGAAAUUAAUAUGAUAAUUAAUCAAUAAAUCAUAGACACCAAAGCAAUUAAGGUGAUUAUGUCUAAAGCCUAACAAGAUGCUAUUCACACCAAAAUAAACAUACUAAGGAAAUCAAGUACAUAGGAAAAGAAUAUAGGUGUACCUUAGUUGCAACCCAAAGUGCUUUCAUGAAAACACUAAAGUUGGUUUAGAUAAUAUAACGUAUAGCAUACAUUUCAUCCCAUUCAAGAAAUCACGCAAUAAUCAAAGCAUAACAAAGUGAUAUCAUACAUGAGGGUGUUCACACACAAAGCUUGCAUGUUAAUAAAGUUAAAGAGAUAAAAGGUGCAAGGGACGUACCUUGAUAGCAUUUAUAGCUUACAAUACGCUUGUAUAAAGCAAGAGAGGGUUAGAAUAAUUGUGAUAACAACUAUAAUAUUGAUCCUUAAUAUAGAUGACAUAUGUACAACUUAAAUGAAAUGGCAAUAACUCAAUAAGAUUGAAUAACAAGAAUGUCUAAAUUCAAAGAUGCAUGCAGUCACAUAAAAAGUUCUCACGAACCAUCACAAGUUAGUUUGAGGUUUAAAGAAACAUUGAAUAUCACUUAUGACACAUAAAACUCAUUGUUAAGGCUAGCUUAGUACACAAGAGAAAUAGAGAGAACAAAAUUAGUGACUUAGUCCAAGUAUGCAACAAAGGAUCAAAAUAGUUAAAUUCAUUAGAAAAAAUCUAAAUAAAUACCUAGAAGCAUUAUUUCAUCAUAAUAAAAAUUAGGUAACAUACUCAUUAUGUCAAUAUCACAACAUAAAAUCCAAAAUCAAGUGAUAAGAUUCCAACUAUCUCUAGAUUAAACAGAAAAUUAAACACUACACAAGAUUACCAACAUUCAGUUGGAACAGGAAGCCUCAUAAAAUAAAUCCUAAAAAAUAUCUAGAAGGGGAAUUUUAUUACAAAAAUAAAAAAUAAAAAAUUAGGGAACCUCUCCUACAUUUUGAAUAAUUUAUUAAAGCCCUAUUCAAUCCCAGUUUACAAAACUCUCCAAAUGGAUUAAAACAUGAUAGAAUUCUAAGGCAUGCACAAACUAAUUUUUUUAACCAACCUAGAGGUAUGAUAAAAUCCUACAAAAAAUCAUACAACAUGGUCAAAGUUCUAUUUUACAUGAAAAAUAAUGGUAAGGCAAGUAUGCACACAAAUCAUUUUUAAAAUAAAACAAGCAAGCCCUUUGUUCAAAACCAAAUUAGUGCAAUAGGUACAACAAGGGAAAAAUAUUUCUCUUAAUUGUUUAGUCAGUUUUUAGUAUUUUAUGUGUUAAAAUCAACUUCAAAAGUCUAUGAAAAGGUGAAUCUCAAUAAUGGACUACACCUAGAGAGGGGGUGAAUAGGUGAUGUAGAACAAUUUAAAAAUUCUCCCAACAAAGACUACCUAACCUUAGACUUUCUCAAUGUUAAGAAACUUCUCUUCCAACAAUUAUUCAACAAAGCAUAACAUCCAUAAGAAAGAAUGUAAGUACCAAGACUCUCCCAACAAUUUAUAAAUGCAAUACACAUGCAAAUGCUUCAAAAAUCCUCAAAAAUAAAUCAAAAUAACAAAUAUCUCCUCAACUCAUAUCAAUUUACUUCAUGUUAUCAUUAACCAAAAUGAGCAAAAAAAUUAUUAAGGAUAUUCCAUGGAUCAUCACACUUAUAUCACCUCAUAUUUCUUCCAUUCAACAUGUUUGCCCAAGUAAUCAAUGAUAUCAAAAACAAAAAUUAAAUCAGAGUGUAGAGUGAGAAAAAGAGACAAUUAACACUGGAUUUUAACAUGGAAAACCUCCAAAGAGAUAAAAAUCCACGGGCCUACCAUCGAUUGAAAAACUCCACUAUGAAGAAUAAAAACCUUGUAUUCGGUUUUACCUAGCUCAAGUCAAUCAAUCCUUCCCGGACCACUUGACUAGUACCUUCACGUUCAGCUUCUCACCUUCAUCUUCCGGAGCACACUUGGAGUCCGCACCAAGCUCAAUCUCGGCCUCUUCUUGAAUCCACACAAGAAGAAAAUGGGUUUUUACACAAACCUAAAUAGAAUGAGAGAUUGAGAUAUGAAUGAAGGAAUUAAUCAACCCAUUUAUUGCUCAAGAAAAUCCAUUAAAAACUAGUUUGGAAAACAUUAAGAAAAGUGAAUUUUCUUUGCAAUAAAAAACCCCCAAAUUAGGAAAAGAGGUGAGAAAAUGAAGAACACAUGGAGUGGUUGCAACUCUCUCCACGUUUUGUAGUCUUUGUCCAAAAAUGAGAGAAGAUUGCUUUUUAAAGUGUAAAAAGAAGCCCUUAAUCUAAUGGCUGAGAUUUGAUUUGGUUGGAUUGAUUUACCCCUGAACCUGGAUCGAUCCAAAAAUAGAGGAAUAAAAACCUUGCACCAAAAACCAUUUCUCCCAGAUUUUUAACACAUUUAAAGAUUAAAAACAGGGUUGAUUCACAUUCAAUCGCCACACACUCAACUACAUACCUCGACCUCUUAGCAAAGUCUUAAUCUUCAAAGUCAAGUAGUCCGAAGAUGAAUUGGAAAGCUGAGUUAGGGGACACUUAAGAAUUUUGUUUGGAAUUGCCAACCUAGCUAAACACUCAUAGUCUAGAAUCAAGGAAAGAUAUUUACAAAAACUUUAUGAAGUCACCAAAUAAUUCAAAAACACAAACAUUCUAAGUGUCUAGAACUAGGUGAAAACCGAUAAGAGAGACUAGAAACAAAUUGUGAUGGAGACUGAAGUCAUCAAACCUAUUGUGGGAGUCUAGCUAAUAAGUUAAUAAAAUACAAGUUAAGGUUGGAGCCUUGUAAACCUCAUUUGUGCUUUGUGUAUUGUUGCCAUCUUGUAGGGGAAGGUAUAAGUUGGCUUAGAGGGCUUCUAAGUGUUACAUAGACGUGAACACUUGUGUGAAAAUUUUUCACCAGAAACAAUAACCUUAAUGAUGGUGUGUUGCCCAUAAUCCAUGGGUCCACAUUGUCCUAAGUAGUUAUGACUUAGUGUCAGGUGUUGCACAAAUGAGCCUUGACUUGAAUAAUUGUGUAAUGUAUUCUUCUUGAUUUAAUGGUAAGUUGGGGUCAAACUUUUAUAGGCUUAUCUACUUAUGACCCUUCAAGAUGAAGUUUGUUCAAUAGUGGUAAUGUUGUAGAAAGCUUUUGGAGUUAGUUCUUAGAUAUAAUUCUUUAAUUUGCAUAAGAGUAUCUAGAACACUCCAUGUACACUAUAAAUAUUAGUGUAUAAUUUGAUUAAGCUUCUAAAGAGUGUCUAGAGUCCACAAGGUUCUAGAACAUUCUUUAGGUGUUGAUAAAUAAGUCAUCAUUUAGAUUUGAAAACCCAUAUUUGGCCAUGGAAGCAUUGUUAAGCUUUCAUUAUGCAAUAAAGCCUCCAUUCAUUGAAACUCUUAAAGUUUUCCUUUCAUUUAGUUAUCUCUAAUUUCAACUUGCUUAGCAUUUCUUAUCCUCUAAAUUGAGAAACCCACAGAUUUGCAGUGUAAAGCAUCUUGAGUCCUUUAAGUGCCACAUAGGUGCUUAAGAAAACAUAAGACUAUGACAAGAGGCGUUGAACCCAAUUCACAUUUUGGGCUUGUAAUAAAGAAAGGAAAGAAGCAUUGGAAGGUCAAGGAGGGAGGAAACUACCAUUAAUAAACUCAUUAGGUGAGAAUUGCCCAUCUGACAUGUGAGGGAAAAAUUAAGGCACUACAAGAAAAAGAGUCAUUAUUGACAUAUAUUAUCUUUACUUAAAGUAGUAUAUGUCAAUAUUUCUUAUUUAAAUGGGCAACUAUGACAUAUAAAACUUAGUUAAAAGAAAUAAUGACAUAUAUGAAUUCCAGUUAUUAUUCCAUGACUUAUAACGAUGCAACCUUGACAGAGAAUUUAUAAGUCAAUAUAAAAUUAAUAUAUUUGUAUGUCAAGGUAGCUAAAUAAAGGCAAUAAUGACAUAUAUGGAAUUUGCUAAAAUUUUCUUUAAUUUAUAGUAAUACAAUGUUGAUAGAAAAAUUAUAAGUCAAUAUAUAUAGUUAAAAUAUUUGUAUGUCAAGGUUGGUAAAAGCUAUCUUGACAAAUAAUUUAUAAGUCAAUGUAAUUUCAUUUAUAAAUCUAUUAAGGUUAUAUUAGUAAAUAUUGAAAAUCUCACUUCUCAUUUUUUUUUUCUUUUAAUUCUAUCUAGACCCAUUCCCAUCUAGAAGCAACUUGAAAGAAAAUCCUAAGAGGCCACCAUUAAAAAUUUUGUGAAAAGUUAAAAUAUUUUUCAUGAAAAUUUAUUGGAUUAGAUAUUUAUUCUCCUUGCAAAUAUAUAUCCUUUAUAAGGUUUAAAUUUUUGUUUUUUUUUUGUUUUUUUUUUUUUUUUUUUGCAUUUUUUAUGACAUUUAUUAAAUGAUGUAACAUGACUUCCUUUUAUUUGGUUUAUUAUUGCAACCAUAAUAAUUAUGAAAAAAAUUCAUUAUAGUAUUUUAGGAAAAUUUGGAACUUAAAAAAAAGUGGUCCUUAAUUAUUUUAGGAAACUAUUGUACUGUUUAGAAGUACCAUUAUAUAAUUCAUUUGGACAACAAGAGAAGACAUAAAAAUUGUAUAUCAAAUUUCAUUAAUUAUAAUUUUAAGAUAAUGAAAUUGUUUUAUAUUUAUGCAUAAAAAGUUGGAAAUAAAAUAUGUAAUAUUUUUAAUUCUCUCUUAUCUAAGUCCUAAGGAUGCUUUGAUCUCAUAAUAUGAUAUAGACCACUGGCAUGAGGUUGUCCAUAAUCUAACCUUAAAUAUGAAUGAAAAUUUCUUUGAUCUUGAGCUCGGGUUGUGCAAGGAAUGCUUACUCAAGGUUCAAGAACAUUAAUCAAAGGAACAUGAAAUUAAAGCCAAGUGAAAGGCCCAUGAAAUCUCCGUCUUUGAUCUUGCAGCAAUUCAGCUGCGCACUCUCUGUUUUUGCUCCUCAUGGCAUGUUCUGCUGGUACACACCCCAUUGGUCCAGUGCCCGUCACAAAAACCCUUCGUGCUCCAAGCUUAUAUAGCCUUUGCAACCAUAAGUUUAGACCAUACAUAUAAGUCACUAAAAUAUAUAACAUUAAUACAUUGUAUUUUGUUAGAAAAUGGGACAACCCAACGCACAAAAUAGUAAUAGUGCUUAUUUAUAAAGUUUACAUGCAUUGGAAAAGGCUCUAAUGUAACAAGUGUCUCUACCUACCAAAACAAGUCUCUUGUGAUAGACUAUCAUAUAUGCAAUACCAUAAUGCAUUUGCCCUCAACUCAUCCCCAAUUCCUCAUUAGAUUCAAUAGUGAAUAUUUUAUGCAGAUUAGGCCAAAAUGUAACACAUGCUGGGGAGAAUUACCAUUAGAUUUUUUCGGCACUUGGAGAUGAGAUAGCAAACAUAAUUGGGAAGAGUAAAUUGGCGAGAUCUUGUAGAGUUGGGCACCAAGUAGUAGUUGUUGACAAAGUCGUUUCUGCCUAGAGUGAUGAGGACGAGUGCUUUAAACAAAAGGAAACAAGACAUGUUGGCCACAUAUUAUUAAAGAACACCUGGGAGAAGUGGAAUGUACAAGUUGCACCAUGUAUGGAAGGCUAAUAAAAAGUUAUUUCUAAAUCGUAAUUAUUUUUUUAGAUUUUAAACAAAAGGAAACAAUACAUGUUGACCACAGAUUAUUGAAGAACACAUGGGAGAAGUGGAAUAUAAGGAUGCAGCACAUACCAAAGGCUACUGCCUGAAAAUGAUGACAGACCAAGCUUGAAAAAGAAAGUGAAGCACAGGGUUGUCUCUGAAGAAAUUAUUAGUUGGAAAAACGAACUCAAAAUCUCGUUAGUAAUAGGAUAUCACCCUUGAGAUUGUGGACCAAAAGCGAGAUGGAUGGACUCUCCCUAUGUCCUCAUCUUCCCUUUUCCGGUUCAAGGUGGCCACCUCAACGCCAUGCUUAAACUCACCCAAAUACUGCGUGUUGAGCCUCCAGCUCAAAUACCAUUGCCACAGUUUUUUUAAUCCAUACAACUUACAAGAAAAACAGAAGCAUUCCAAAUUCUAGUAAAUGACAUGCAAAAAAUAAGUAAAGAAAACAACAUAAAAUCACAAACGCAUAAACAAAAUGAUUCAAAUGGUUCACCCAAUAAAGCUGUAUUGAUAGGCAAGGGCAGUGAACAAACUUCACCAAUUAUAUAAAAAAAAUUUCCCAACCAUAAAAAAAAUUAUGUCUAAUAUAAUAACUUAAUAUUAUAAAUUAAAAUAAAAUUAAUUUUGAUAAAUCAAAUUAAUGACUUAAAGCUUAAACAUAAUUUAACUUAAUAUUAAGUUUUAACAAAUAAAGUUUUAAUUAAAAAAAAAAAGUUUCAUUUGAAAUGAUUUUACUAUAUCUUGGGUUUUUUUUUUGGAAAUUUUCAUUAGGAUUGCAAUAUGAGUAGGCCCAAGCCAUCCAAUCUAGAGCCCAGGUUGACCUAGAAAAAAUUUAAAGAGCCUCGUCAUUGUCAUUCUACUGUAUAUCAUCCUAAUCCUUGACUGACUUAGAUUUAGAAAAAGGAAUGAGAAAAUCAAAACCACACACAAAAACAAAAGGGAAGAAAGACUAUGCAUUGAGCGAGUGGGAGGAGAUGUAUUCUAUCGUGGGAAAAGAAUCCGAGUCCACGUCUCUCAAAGUCCACUCUCCACAGCGUGGUCUCUGGUGUAAGAAAAGGGAGACGAGGACCAAAGAAAAAGCCGAAGGAAAAUUGCAGCUGGGUUUGAUGCCAACCCAACAAGUCACGGACUCGGCCCACACCUAAUCCCACAGUCCUCACUCCUCACCCCCGAAACGGCUGAUUCCACCGCUAUUCUCGCCGUCUAACUUCCUCGCAAUUUCUACAUCCUCUAUCAUACAAAUAUGCUCAUCUUAUAAAAGAAGUAUGCACCAUACUGUGAUAUUUCACGUCACAUUUUGAUGAUUAUAUUCCAAGGGCAAUACACAUACUACUGCAUAAACAAAGGGGCAAAUUUCAAGGAACAAUUUUUAGUUUCACAACAAACAUUUUCUUGACCAUACAAAAAAUAAGGGGAAAUUAUUGAAAGCUAAAAUGGUACUGGUAGAAGAGAGGAAACCAUGGUUUUAAAAACCGGACCGGACCGGCCGGUCCGACCGGUUCAACCGUCGACCGGAGAACUUUCCGGUUCGGUCCGUUUCAAUGAACCGUUUGUGGUCGAACCGGCAUUGAACCAGUCAAACCGACGGUUGAACCGUCGAACCGGACAAACCGUCCGGUUUUUUGCAAACCGGUUACACCUUAGAAAAAAUUUUUUGCUUAAGGUAAAAGGCCCAUUCCAGGCCCAAUCUAAGGUCUUCCUUUUUCCAGGUUCCUAGACCUUAUCCAAAGAUAAAAUUAAAACUCCAUAUGGGCCAUGCCCCACAGAAGCCCAAAUUGCUGCCACUUUUUAUUGUAAAAUAAUACUUCUACUUGGGCCAUGCUUCUGGGCCAUGCUAGGCCCAGCUUGCUGGCUUGUUGGGAUAGAAGGCAAGUGGGAAGCUAUUUAUAGUGCAUAUGGAGCACAUAAAAUGCACAUGCUUCCGAUGUGGGAUUGGGAAUGAGACUCUAAGAGGAAAACAUUUCCUCUUGAGGGUUGAACGCACGGAAUUUGAUUUUAUUUCAAAUUUUUAUCCUAUAAAAUCUCUAAAAAAAAUGUAAAUAUUUAAAUUCAUGUUUAUUUUUAUAAUAAUAAUUAUAAAAAAUAAUAUAAAUUAAUUAAUAUAAUAAUUUUAAAACAAUAAAAUACAAAGACAAAAAGAUAAAAUUAAAUAUUAUAAUUUUUUUUAUCUUAAAUAUAUAUUCUUUCUUAAAUAUUACAUAUUUCUAUUUAAUCAAAUUUAAAAUAUUAAACUUUAUCAUUUAAUUUAAUUUAAUAUACCAAAUAUAAAAAUCAAACAUUAUUAAAAAUUUUAAUUUUAUAUAUUUUUAAUUUUAUAUAAUAUAUAAAUUAUAUAUUUAAUUAUUUAUUACAUCACCGGUUAAAUAGCGGUUCGACCGCCGGUCCGAUCAGUGAACCGUGAACCGGUAACUUUUCCGGUUCGAUCACCAGUCCGGUUUUUAAAACAUUGGAAGAAACAAAGAGAUGUAAGCAGGGCAACUCUCUUUUGUUAACAUCUCUAACAUUAUUACAAGCGCUUUUCCAAAAGGCCAAUCCCCACCCCCCACCAACCACUAAUCGUACCUAAAUCAUCAUCAUUCCUAAUGAUAACCCUUAUAGACUCUCUACUUUUCCCUCCCAGACAACUUUUAUUCCUUUCCUUUUUCCAAAUUCUCACCCUUGAAAUCCUGAAAAACCAAAGAAGAAAAAUCUCAGCAAUAUUUUGCUUUUGAUCAUUGUCUAUCCUUUUUUUCCUUUUCCUUUUUUCUAUGUGACUUGAGCAUUUCAUCAUAAGAUUAGAGGGGCUUCAUCAAGUGUCAGUGAGUCCAUCCCCGAGGAACAUCCAUCUCCUGGUGCUUCAUUGCAGGAGGCGCCGGCCAGUGCUGCUUCUGCGGUGGAUACAGACUGUUCCUUCGCCCUGGUGCCGCAUCUACAGUGAUUAUCAACAAGAUGUUUAUUGAAAAAAAAGAUCAAUUAUCAAAGGGAAGUUUGUAUAGUACCAUGUUGCAGAGAGAAACGCCCCAGUGAUGGUGAUACAACACCCAUUUCAUCAAAGUUGAGUUUCAGGGCCUGGGCUACUCUGGCUGGUAUAAGGGCAGUGGAGCAUCCUGAUUAAACCACAGGACACAACAAUUAGAACAACUCCCAAGUGCCCAUUAGAAAAAGGAAAAAUGAGAACAUGGGAAAGCAAACGGCAAAGAUGCAAGAAGAAAAUCUGUGAAAAGACCCGGCAAGUGGUCCCAAAAGAACUAUUCCGGUUCACAUUGUCAGGUUAUAUCCAAGAAAUAAAAAAAAUAGAAACCAGAAGAUUAAUCAGAAUCUUUGAAAUCAAACCAUGCCAUGAAAAGAAUCAAAAUUCAAAGCAAGUUGUGGAUAUUUAAUGCAGUGGAGGUGUAUUUUNNNNNNNNNNNNNNNNNNNNNNNNNNNNNNNNNNNNNNNNNNNNNNNNNNNNNNNNNNNNNNNNNNNNNNNNNNNNNNNNNNNNNNNNNNNNNNNNNNNNUACUUUUCCUCCCAGACAACUUUUAUUCCUUUCCUUUUUCCAAAUUCUCACCCUUGAAAUCCUGAAAAACCAAAGAAGAAAAAUCUCAGCAAUAUUUUGCUUUUGAUCAUUGUCUAUCAUUUUUUUCCUUUUCCUUUUUUCUAUGUGACUUGAGCAUUUCAUCAUAAGAUUAGAGGGGCUUCAUCAAGUGUCAGUGAGUCCAUCCCCGAGGAACAUCCAUCUCCUGGUGCUUCAUUGCAGGAGGCGCCGGCCAGUGCUGCUUCUGCGGUGGAUACAGGCUGUUCCUUCGCCCUGGUGCCGCAUCUACAGUGAUUAUCAACAAGAUGUUUAUUGAAAAAAAAGAUCAAUUAUCAAAGGGAAGUUUGUAUAGUACCAUGUUGCAGAGAGAAACGGCCACCCAGUGAUGGUGAUACAACACCCAUUUCAUCAAAGUUGAGUUUCAGGGCCUGGGCUACUCUGGCUGGUAUAAGGGCAGUGGAGCAUCCUGAUUAAACCACAGGACACAACAAUUAGAACAACUCCCAAGUGCCCAUUAGAAAAAGGAAAAAUGAGAACAUGGGAAAGCAAACGGCAAAGAUGCAAGAAGAAAAUCUGUGAAAAGACCCGGCAAGUGGUCCCAAAAGAACUAUUCCGGUUCACAUUGUCAGGUUAUAUCCAAGAAAUAAAAAAAAUAGAAACCAGAAGAUUAAUCAGAAUCUUUGAAAUCAAACCAUGCCAUGAAAAGAAUCAAAAUUCAAAGCAAGUUGUGGAUAUUUAAUGCAGUGGAGGUGUAUUUUUAAAUGAAUAGUAACAGAUCAGACAGAGAGAGAAGACAAUAAGCAGGUUAAGAAAAGGCUCAAACGACCCAAAUGGGCGAAAAUGGUACCCUGUUUCUUGCGUGAAUCUAAAGGGUUGCCGGUUCCACGAGGGAAGAAAACACCGGUGCCACAAGACCCACUUCUGGAAUCAGACCCAGGAAGGAAAAUGGCCCUCAGACCAUAAAGCUUGAAACAAAAACUGUUUUAAUUCAAUUGAUUUACCCCAAAGUCCACAAAAAUUAAUAUCUAAAACAAGAGCUGAACACUUGUUGCAUGUCGGAUUCCCCACGGUGAGUUCCGAUGGAGUUGACAACCGAGUUCUACAUGAUGAGCUAAAAAAACGUUUGGGUCGAGCCAUCCCCUCCACCUCUUCACGAAUCAUUUGCUGCAUAUUGAAACUGCUAUGGUGUUUAGUUUGAAGGAAAGAAGAAGACGACAUCACAGUGAGAGUAGGUGCUGCUGAUCUAAAUGUGCAUGCGUGGAGGGAUAAAGAGGGAGAAUUAAUGGACGGGAAGCAUGGAUAUCAUUAUGACAAAUGGGUUUUGGGCAGCCCAAAGCAUGGGCUGUGUCAGAAGAAAGAGGCGUGAUGUCUGAUGAAGGUGGUAGGGAUAGGCUUUUUUUGAUUGCCUAAAGAAUAGGUUGUUGCAGGGUAUGGCAUGGUCUGAAGCACUUGUCUUGAGCAACUAAAAAUAAGCUUUAAAGAGAGUGGUAUGGCAGAUACGUUUUAAGCCAUCUGAAAUAUGAGCAGUAACAAGUAGCAACAAAGCACAAUUGAUGGGUGAGAGAAAUGGGAAGCUANNNNNNNNNNNNNNNNNNNNNNNNNNNNNNNNNNNNNNNNNNNNNNNNNNNNNNNNNNNNNNNNNNNNNNNNNNNNNNNNNNNNNNNNNNNNNNNNNNNNNNNNNNNNNNNNNNNNNNNNNNNNNNNNNNNNNNNNNNNNNNNNNNNNNNNNNNNNNNNNNNNNNNNNNNNNNNNNNNNNNNNNNNNNNNNNNNNNNNNNNNNNNNNNNNNNNNNNNNNNNNNNNNNNNNNNNNNNNNNNNNNNNNNNNNNNNNNNNNNNNNNNNNNNNNNNNNNNNNNNNNNNNNNNNNNNNNNNNNNNNNNNNNNNNNNNNNNNNNNNNNNNNNNNNNNNNNNNNNNNNNNNNNNNNNNNNNNNNNNNNNNNNNNNNNNNNNNNNNNNNNNNNNNNNNNNNNNNNNNNNNNNNNNNNNNNNNNNNNNNNNNNNNNNNNNNNNNNNNNNNNNNNNNNNNNNNNNNNNNNNNNNNNNNNNNNNNNNNNNNNNNNNNNNNNNNNNNNNNNNCUCGGACAAAGUGGUCUUGACACUAGAAAACGCAAUUAGAGGACGUGACUGGGUAGUGGAGAGUGGCCAUUCAUACACACCAUCCUUAGUUCGACCCUGCAAAAGAAUUGCCCCCGUGUGCAGAUCCUUCACAUGAAAAGAAGAGGGUAAGAACUCAAUGGAAGUAUUGUUAGACUUGCAAAAUUGAGAAAUAGAAAUAAGAUUACGUUUCAUGGUAGGAACACAUAAAACAUUAGAUAGAGUAAAGGAAUGAGAGGGAGUGGUAAGAGAGGUGGAACCAGUGUGAGAUAUGGGGAGACCAGAGCCAUCGCCGAUCAUAAUUUCAUUUGUGCCAUCAAAAGGACUGUGGAGAGCAAGAUUGUGUAGGUCAGUGGUGACAUGAUGUGAGGCUCCACUAUCAAGUAGCCAUGUGGUGUUGGGGGGAAUGGUGGUUGUAACAUUUGCUUGAGCUUGCCAGGGAGCUGGUGGUCGAGAUUGUGAUGAAUUGCCGGGACGAGAAGGUGGCUGCACCUACGGAAACUGUUGUCGGAAAAGAGGACAGCGGGAGACUACAUGACCUUGAGUACUGCACCAUUGGCAGUGACCAAGGAAUGGACGAGCAGGAGAACGGUUGUCGCGGGUGUUGGUGGGAGAAUUUCUUAUGAUACCUUGAGUGGGUGCGGAUGUGGACCCAAGGAGCCGAGGAGUGCGAUUGGUGACAGACCAUGGAGUGAAGCGAACAUUGGUGGCAUGAGCAGAUGCCGGUAGGGGUGAGGGGCUUAUCUUGUUGUGGAGAGACAAUUCUUUGUUGAUGAGUUUUUCAUGGAGUUCAUCAAAAGAGAUGGUGGAAUCACGACCGUUGACAGCAUCAAUGAUGGACUGAUAAUUUUCAUCAAGGCCUUCAAGUACUUUUUCAAUCAGAUCUUCUUGGUUAAGAGGCUUACCAAGAGCAGCAAGUUCAUCGGCCCGGGUUUUAAUGGACUGCAUGUAGUCUGUAAUGGACUGAGAACCUUUGGUGAUGUUUUUAAGAUGGUCUUUGAGUUGCUUGAUAUGGCCACGAGAUGGGCGAGCAUAGGUGUUGGCCAAUAUUUGCCAGGCUUCAUAAGAGGUUUUUGAUUGGGUGAUGAGAGGAACUAGAGUAGAUGAGAGAGUGCCGACAAGGGCUCCAAAUAAUAGUUUGUCUUGACGUAGCCAUGUUUGGUAUGCAGGGUUAGUAGAGACAACAUUAUUGGUGGUGAUGGUGGUUGGAGGAGCAGGGUGGGAUCCAUCAAUGAAUUUUUGUAGAUCAUAGCCGAUGAGAAUGGCUUCCAUUUGGGUUUUCCAAGAAAGAUAGUUGGUGGGUGUGAGUUUAAUGGAGUUAUGGAUAGUAAUCAUGGUUAGUGGUUUUGUGGGUUUUUGGGCAUUAGGAAUGAUGAGUUGAGAAUUCUCAGUGGCCAUUGGAAUGAGGUGGAUGAAAGGCUUGCUGAAGAUUGAAGAACGUGGCUGGGAAAAAAAAAUUAAAGAACAAACCUUUGCUCUGAUACCAUAAAGGAUUUUUGGAAGAGAGAAAUUGAAGAAUUAUUACUUGUGAUUCUCAUUGAUAUGGUUAGUAUAUUUACAGAUUGCAUGAGCACGAAAAUAGGAAACUGAUUACAAAGAAAUAGGAAACAAAAUAAAUUGAGUAACUAUACAAAUAAAUGGUAUAACUACAAAUAUUCCAAAAUAUUCAAAACUUGGAAAUCCCUUGAUUUUCUCAACUUGAUUGUAUAUCCUUAUCAUAUUCAUGCUAUAAAAAGCAUUGAACAAUUGGAGGUAAUCUUCAAUCCCCCGAGCCCCGUCUUACAGAGGAUUCAUUCCUUGUCAUUACAUUUCUUCAGUGGGAGGAUUGAGGAAGGUACUUUAAGGCAACUGCUCUCGGGUUGUCAUCAUGAUCUUUGUAGACUGUAUCUCGCUGCAGGCAUCACCAGGUUACCAGAGCACAAUGCUUUCCCUUAAGGCCUCACCAAGCUAUUUUGUGGGGCUCUAAUCUUGAGGAAGACCCAAUGGUAACGUUGGAGAAGCUACCUCACUUAAAAUUUCUCUCACUAUCGAAAACAUUCAUUGGCAUGAAAACGGUUUGCUCAAAAAAUGGCUUUCCACAGCUCAAAUAUUUGUCUCUUUCUCUCUUCCCCAAUGUGGAGAAGUGGAGAGUGAAUGAAGGAACCACGCAUAGUCUCUGCAAUUUGAGGAUCAUGAAGUGUCAACAACUGAAGGAAGAUCCUGAUGGAUUGAGGUUCAUUGCCACACUCCAGAAAAUGGAGGUAAGUGGGAUGCCAGAGACAAUCCUAGUCGACAGACUCAGAGGAGGAGAGGAUUUUCCUAAAGUUCAGCACAUUCCUUCCAUUGAAUUCAUGGAGUAAGUGUUGGAAAAUUGGUGAAUGAAAAGAAUAUGAAUUGUGUGUUAAUGGUGUAAUGAGAAACAAAUGUGGGACAAGUAUCCCACAUUGAAAACUCAUUAAAAGUUUUCACUUUAAAGACUAGUUUAUAAAGGAAUGAAACUAGUAUCCCACAUUGGACACUUAUAGAAAGUUUCAAUAGCUUAUAAGAGCUAUACCUGCACCUAAGGUUGGGCCCUGAAGGGCACCAAAGUUUUUAGAGGGGUAAGGACCUAGGUCCGAUAACACAUGCCCUCGAGCCUAUUCUUUUUGCACUAAAAAGUCCAACAACUUCAUUUUUGGAAGCUUGAAACUCAAAUAAGAACAGGCUGCACAGUGGCAUUUCUGAUAGAGCAAAUGGAGCUCAGACCGGUCGACCGUUUCUUGGACAAAAUUAGAAUCGAUUGGCCAGUGUCACUACUGGUCGAGCAAAUGGGUGCCCGACCGGUCGACCGGUCCUGUAACAUUCACAAUUUUUCAGUUUUCUGGUUUAGUUUCAAAUGUUAUAACAGUCAAAAUUUCAAAUUUUUUAGUGUUAGAAAAUCAAAAAACAUAUGUAAUGAAGGAGACACAACCUUUGGAGGGGACAUAACACUUGGUUUGUAAGGAUAUAAAUAGGAGAUUGUCCUCUUUAUAUCAGUUUUUUUAGAGUUGUAUCCUGAAAGACAGACACCAUUUACUGUUGCAAUUAUCAAGAACAGUGUGUCAAAAUUCUGUCUUUAAGACAUUGCAAUUUGCAAAUCUCUAAACAAACGAAUCUCUUUUUAUUUCCAUUCGAAUUUUUCUUGUUUCCUCUUUUGAAUUACUGCAGAUUUGUUCCAUCAUCACCCAACAGUAAGAAUCAUGAAUAUUUGACAAAUUUUUAAUAAAAAUAAAAUUGUAAAAUAAAUUUUAGUUAUCUAUUAUAUUAUAGGGUAUUUGAAGAAAGUAGUAUCUCUAUGAAGAAUAUUAAUAUUUUGCAUCCAGAUUGAAGUGCUUCCAUUUCUAACUUCUUAUCUUGCUUUCCUUUACGGGUCGUCCAUCAUCAUAUAUUUAAUAUUUUUUUCACAACGAUGCCUAGAAGGUAUACCCUUGUGGUCUAAAUUAAUAUAUCAAUAUAAGAAAAUGUUAAGGUAUUGGGCCGGUACUUCAUAAAAGAAAAUCUAGAUUGCUGAAUAAUGACAUAAGUUAUAAGAAUAUGAGCAAUGAGACAAAAAAAUAUGUAUGUUGUACCACCUUAUUAGUAUAACCUUUUUAAUUGAUAUCGAAAAAGUACACUUCUGUAUUAUAGUCAGAACAUCAACAUAUGAUUCGGUAUUAUGAUUGGUUUGAUGAACUGACAUGAUUGAGAAGAAGUGAUGUACAAAAUGGCACAAAAAAAUGUGAGAGAUUUUGAUCAUUAAACUUCAAUUCACCAAUUCUCAUCCUUAGAGGCGACAUGGACUAAUAACGAGAAAAAGCGGGGGGAAACAAUGGUAUAACAAUCCAUUUAAGUUUUGAGAAAUUGUGAAGGGAAAUGAAGAAUUAGUAUCCUUCACUUACCAAAGUUGAAUCGAAUGAAUAAGAUUCUAACUUCUUGUUUCUUUUCCUUCUGUUCCCACCAUUUCUUAGCCACCAAACAAACAUAGGGGAAAAUAAAGAAUGACAAAAUGAACUAUUUUAAUGAUCAUCUUUGUAGUUCUGGGAAUUUUGGGGCAGUGUAAUUAGGUAUGAUAGCUACUAUCUACGAAGAGGGAAUGAGCAUUAUAUGAAAGAAGAAAAGGAAGGAUUAGGGAAUGAAUAAACCCUAGCAUGACGAGAAGGGGUCAAAGUAAAGUCAAUUGGACCACAACCAUGUGGGCUCUCUUGGCAUGAUUUUAUUUGGAGGCGCUUUGAUCAUUUUCCCACCCUCAAGAUACCGAUAUGGCAAGAUUGUGGCAUACUAAAAUCUUGGAAAAUAAAGUAUAAAAAUAAUGCUUAAUUAUCAUCAAUAUUUAUAUUUAUAUCACCUAAAAUUAGGUUCAUCUUGUAAAACAUUUUACACUCACAAACCCCAAUGACAAAUUUAAUUUAUUUUCUAUUACAUAUAUAAUAUAAUAAAACUAUAUGUAAAAGUACAAUCACCUGGUAAAACAUUUUAUACUUCAAGAAGCUCUUAAACAAAUUUUAUUCCUUAUAAUAUCAAAUAAAUAUAAAUAUUAUUAUAAUAAAAAUGAAUCUAUUACUAAUUAUUUAUUAUAAAAGAUAAUUAAUUAAUUUAUUUAUCAUCAAAGUUAUAUAAAUAUGAAUAUGAUUUACUAUUAAUUCAUUUAUUAUCAACAAUACAUGACAUGAAUUUAUUAAUAUCAAGAUAAACCUUUUUUUUGUCAAAUUUUUUCUUUAUAAAAUAUUAAAAAAAAUAUUUUGCAUAUAAAUUUAUUAUUAAUUUAUCUGUUAUCAAAGAUACACGAAUGUGAAUUUGUUAUUAAUUUAUUAAUCUCUAUUCUUUCAAACAUAUAUUAAUAUUAUGUAAUCAAAUGUAAAUAAACGAAAAGUCAUAAGAAAUAUUAAACCCGAAAAGCACUUCUAAGAAAUUUUCUUUUCUUUUAUAUCAAACAAGUAUUGAAAAUUUUGUUUAUUUGAAGAACACUCUUGAUAGCUUUGAUUCUCGCUUACUCGCCUCUGCCUGGUGAUGAAGUGAAAUUUUUUUAUUUUUUUUAUUUUUUUGAAUCAAUAAGUAAACCUAGACAUAAUUUUUAGCAAGAAACAAUCAAUUCAUUGAUAUGAAUUACAAAAAACAUUGAAGGAUGAGUGAUCUUUCGAACGGUCGAGAAUCUUGCUAAAAGAAUAAGUGCAGCUAUGGAAUAAUGCUCCAGUGCAACACAAAGGAGCAUUCCAACUCCAUAGCCAAGCUUAAAACCAUCUUCUUAUUAAAGCAAUGCAAGAAACCACCGAAAAAUCUGACUACUCGUGUACAUUGGAGCAUUUAUGAACUCAUAGAGCACCCCUCUCUCUCUCCUGCUUAAACACACAACAGAAAACUAUUAUGUGUUACAGAGCAGUCCCGGUCUUGUGCAUCUUGUCAUCCUGUGAGGAUGGAGAAGGCAACCGACGAGAUGUGACCACUGCAUGAUAAGAAGAGGCGAGUUGGGCUACAGCUGGAACUGCAAAAUGCUUUAUAAAAACAAUAUGAAAAAUAUAUGCAACAAAUUAGGACGACAAUUCCCAUUUUCUACUAGUUUUUCAAAUUUAGGAAACCUUUUGAAAGAAUUACAACAUUAACCUCAAAAGAAACAAUAGAAAAUUCUCCACAUAAUAAAAAAUAUCAAAUCAACAAAGUUCAAACCAAGAAAAGUCAAAUGAAAUAAAAUUUAAUCAAAUUUUAUUUUCUUCCCCGGGAGAGGUGGAGGAAAAGGUAGAGAAAACAUCAAAAUAAAUAAUUAAAGGUGAAACAAGUGGUGACAAAAGUUAAAAAAUAAAAAAUCGUGACAUGUGAACUAAAACAAAUAAAAGAAAAAAAUAAGGAUAUAAGUGUGGUAGGAGAAACAUCAACGUCAACAAACAAAUUGAUAGACAAAAUAAUUCAAAACAUUGAAAAUAGUGAAAAAGUUAAGAUAGGUAAAAUAUCAAAAUUUGAAAAGGAAGAAACAAACAAAAUAGAAAACAAUAACUCAACAUAAAUAAAUAAAAAUAAAAAUAAAACAAUAAAUGUAAUUUCUUCAAAAGUGGAUAAACAAAUUUUUUUGAUGUCAUAGACAAAAUAAAUGUCAGGAGACAGAAAGAAAAUAUUACAAAACUUAAAAAAUUUAAUUCUCACAGAAACCCCAAAUAAAACUCAAUAAAUUUGACCUACACAAUACUGUAUGGAUGAAAUUUUUAAUAGAUUCAAAAAGACUCAAAACAUCAUAACUAUUCAAGAUUUGAAAGAUGAAAUACAAGAAAUAAAAAAGAAAAUAAAUCAACUAAAACAAUAAAAUGAACAAAUAAAACAAGAAAAUGAACAAGUAAGAAAUUUAAUACAAUAUAAACAAGAAAAUUUUGCUGAAACAUCUGAUAAUCAAAAUCUAGGAACAAUAAUCCCCAAUAAACAAACUCUCAUAGAAACAUUUAUAAAUACAAUAUUUAAAAUAGAUUUUCAAAUAUGGUAUACAAAUAUAAGAGUAAUAGUUGAAGACUUUGAAGUAAAAAUGGAAACAUUAGUAGAUUCAAGAGCUAAUAUGAAUUGUAUACAAGAAGGAUUAAUCCUUACUAAAUAUUAUGAAAAAGCAGGAUAAGAACCUUUCGAUACAAAUAAAGAUAAAUUAGACAUAGAAUACAAACUUCAAAAUGUUCAUAUAUGUCAAAAUAAUUAUUGUUUUAUAACUCAAUUUAUGCUCGUAUAAAAUAUGAUUGAAUCUUUAAUUUUAGGAAUCUCUUUUAUUACACUACUUGUGGACCCGCAUUUUUCACAUGCGCCCUCACUCAAUCGACGAGACUCACUUUUAUUGGUGAAAAAUUAGUUUUGGAAAAGUCGGAGUCGCCACUUAUUUUAUUUUAUUUUUAAAAGGGAAAAUAAAACAAUAAAGAAAACCCUAAAGAAGUGACUCCAUAGUUUUUGGAAAAAUGUGUCUUUGAAAAACCUAAGUCUAGGUCCAGGGAUUAGGUUACCUAUUGGGAAGGUACCUCUAAAAGGUAGCACCACUCUAAGCCCUACAAAGGUCUCUACUGAUUAAGUUGAGGGAAAUGAGACAAUUAAUUGGUUGAUUAAGGGUACCUAGGUAGACUAAGGUAAUUUCAGAAUUAACAUAUCAAGCCAAAAAAUCCCAUCAUGAUCAUAAAAGAGAGUCAAAGUGUGUAUUUGAACUGUUUUUCAAGCGCUAUCAUAAAACAUCAAAGCUAGUAUAGAAAUAUAGUACAUAACAUUUGUUUUAUCCAAGCAAAUCAAGCACACAUCUAAACACCCAAGAAUCACAUCAAGUAUGGAUAUAGUCAUCAAUAGCAUACGUGUUCAUAGAACUCUCAAAAGUAAGAGUGGAGGAGCAUACCUUUUUCAAGAUUUUUCUGUGUGAUGAGACUAUAAGGCUUCUCAAUGGAUGGUGCAGAUGCAAGACUUCUUAAUUGAUGGCGCGGCUGCAAGACUCCUCAAUGGAUGGUGUGGAUGAAGCGGUUGCAAGACUCCUUAAUGGAUGGUGCGGAUGGAGCGUCUACAAGGCUUAAGGAUGAAUGGCGGCUAUGUGCUCCUACCUUGGCAACCGAAUGGAGUCCCCUGCUGCCCUCCAAAAUCUGUGCGUUCCUGCUCUCUAUGGAGCCGUGUGGAUGGAAGACUUGAUGGGUGGUUUACUUGAAGAUUUCCUCAAGGAUACAGGCCGUGUCUUGAAUGGUAAGUGAUCAAAUCCUGGCCUCGCAUCAGGAAAGUCGCUUGGGCUGUAACAAGUUGUUUCGUUGUCCAACAAAUUCGGUUUAGAAAUAGAAUCUUCAUGAAGGUCUUGAUUGGGUACAAAAGCAUCUUCGAAAUGCCUUUUUCUGAUCUCCAGAAAUGAAUCAACCAAUGUCUUCGCAAAUUUGAGGUCAUUAAUAUGGUAAGGAUACACCUCUACCUGUCGAUCUUCAUUUGUCUGAAUUAGCUUCUGUAGUUCGUUUAUUAGAGUAACGGUAGCCUCAGGAUCAUAAAAGGGCUUCCCUGGUGCAUCUAAAGCAGAGAUACCUUUCUGCUCAUUAUGUACAUGAAUAUUUCAUUUUAGUAAAUGAGAAGGUAUGGUAGUCUUGGCUCCAAAAUUCACCAUAUCCAAUGUUCCCACACUCACAACUGAAGGAAUCUUCUUCUCUAUCAUGGCGUCAAAGCGGGAACACUCACAAGGCAUGACACCUCCAACUACAUAAUCCGCAACCUCUGUUGUUGUGAUGUCCAAAACACCCUGUAUAAAUCCCCCUCUGACAAGAUCCUCCAUAGCCCUUCCACCUGGUCCAGUGGCAUGAAAAACCAGAGUCUCAUAUCCGUCUUUAACCAAUCUUUCUUUGACAGCAUUUACACAUGGAGUUGUAACUCCAAACAUGGUUGCGCCAACAGUAAACUUUUCAUUACUACUUAAAGAAUCUCUGGACGCUUGGAGCCUUCCAAUCACCAUUCCAGCAAAAGCAGCACCAGCAUUUGAUAAAACAACCCUACUUACAUUGUUAAUCCCACAUACAUCCACUACUGAUGGAAAUAAUAUUAAAUCUGAGGUGCCAACAUAAGGUUCAGUUUGACCACUAGCUACAGUUGAUACAAUAAUCUUAGGCAUUCCAAUGGGAACAGAUUUAAAAGCUGAUCAUAUAAUAGAUGUGCCUCCACUUCCUCCAAUACCAAUUGCUCCAGCAAGAACAUGAUCCUCAUGAGCUUCCUUAAGGUAAUGUUCAAGUGCUUUACUCAUUAUGCCAACAGCUUUGCCUCUGUCCUCUGGCAGUGGGCCAGGUGUUUGUUCCAUAGACCCAAAAUAGCAAGAGAGGAUAUCCUUUCUGGGUAUAAAUAUAAAAUCCCCCACUGUCCAUCUUGUUUUGGUGGUUAGAUACAUCAAAAACUGUCACUUGUACCUUGGUAGUAGAAUAAGUGUUAGAGAUAUUGUUCAAAUUGGAUCGAACAGACUCGGCCAAGAAUCGGAUCUCCUCCAGCUACGUGUCGGCAGUUCCAAUGUGGAAAACUCGGGGAGCGCCAUCAUUGUGGAUUCAAAUUCACCAAAUCCCAAGUUUCUGGGAGUCCCACCAUUUGGGUGUUGGGAUUACCAGCUAAAACUCUUUGUCUACAAUACAAAGAAACGUUUUUGAUAUCAAGGCUGGAAUCAUUCUAAAUAGAAAAAUUGAGUUCUUAUCACAUGGGUGUUAGGCAAAGAGAGAUUUCCCAACAAUCAAACAGGUCUGGAACAAACAAACAGAAAGAUAAAAAGCAUCAAAUAGACACCGUACCACAAAGACGGUGGUUUCAGAAUGAAUCAAUGAGGGGAAAAUUGGUACUUGGAUCUUUCAAUACACAGCAUGAAUUGCAUUAGAAUGGAGUUGAAUGAGAAAAUGACUGAUCAAAGAGAGAUGGUGUGGUCAGGGAAAGAAAGGGAGAGGGAUGGCGGGCAGAUGCAGGUGGCCGAUGAUUCAUGCCCAAUUGGUGUCUCAGCUGAUUCGUGUCCAGCUGGUGCUCCUUGAUUGAGGGAGUAAUCAACAAAAUUUAUAACCUAUUACACCAUAUACUAGGGUAGCAAAGACAAAGCUACUAUAGCAUAGUGGCUCUAGGAUCGUUCACUGGGAUGGGUUUUCACUUUGCAAAUGAUAUUAAUUCAAAGCUGAAUUGGUGCCUUUUCAUUUCAAGGUUAGCUUUAAAAGAAAGCAUAAAGAUGAGUUGGAAAAGGUUUGGUUUUAAACUAACCACAAAUAGUAACUGAUUUUACUUACAAAGAAAAGUGUUUCUUGGAGUUCAGAUCACUAGGCUCAGGUUCCUCAUACAAAAAGGAGAGUUCCGGUCACUUGUUUCUUUUCCUCGCAUUAGAGAAUUAACAUAUAGUUAAUUCUCUAACCGGUGUUGUACAGAUGUUUCCCAUUAAUGGGUUCAAACACUAAAUCCCUCUCACUGAUGCACCUUGCAAUGGCUCAUACCUCUCACCUAGCACUUGCCAUUCAAGGUGAUCUUUAACCUUGGAUUACCCGUCAAAAGCUCGCAAGAGAUAACUAAUGGAUGUCUCCUUGGAGUCCAAAAGCUUACCAAGUGUUGGCUAUUCUAGAAAAUCCUACCUUCAAGUCACCUCCCAGAGGCUCGCAAGGGGUAAACUAGUGCAUCUCCAUGGACGGAGAUCACUUGCCUUACCAAGUAUUGGCCCAGGUGAUUUAAAGGUGUUUUAAGUUAACUAAAAAGAUAAAAACCAUUAACGGGUUACACUUUCUCUUUAUUAAAAACUAAAACAACAAAACUUCCAAAUUAUACAUGUGGAAACUUACCCAGCUUUCCUUACUCCAAGAGACAAAAAGCUUACCCUCUCAUCCUCUGAGGAAAAAUCCUCGGAGUUUGGUUGGCUAGAAAGAAAACUAACGAGAAAACAAGAAUAUAUAUGAAAAACAGAGCAAGUGCUCUGUUCGUUGAUUCUAUAUAUGAUAUAUCUAUAUAUUGAUCGAUCUAUAUCUCUCUCUGAGAGUCCCCUUUUUAGUGUUUACAAGAGAGUUUAUAUAGGAAGGUAAUUUACCCUUCCUUGGAUACUUCCUAGCUAAGGAAUUACAUGAGUGGCUGAAUACAAGGAGAAAAUGGAAAUUUAUACAAAAAUAUCUGAAGAAAAAUAUCCAAAAGAGUCGGUGGAAAAUAUCGGGAAGCUCCAGGAACCAUUUCGCAAGAGAAAAUGGUGUCUGCGAGAUUUCGCAAACACUCAAGAGGGCUGCGAAAUAUUUUCGCAUCAACAAGCUGAACUCGCACCGCUGUGAAGUUGGCUUUCAUCUUGUGGUGUUUGUCUUCCAUCGCGGCGUGAAACUUCAAGGGAAAUCCAAAGCACUGUACAAAAAGGCUGCGAAAUUCUCGCAACAAAAGGCUAAUUCCGCAACACUUUAGAGUGAUUGACUUGCAGUGGCUGUAACUUCUUCGUUUCAACUCUGAAUCGCGCACCGCUUGAAGCAUUGGAUUCUUGACUUCAUGAGCUUUGAAAUGGUAUAUAGAAUGUAGAAAAUGAACUUCGGGAAGUGCUCCAAAAGUGCAAAAGAAGACUGCAGAUGGCUUUCCUCUGUUUUCUUCACUCUGUUUUUCCUUUCUCCUUGCUCUUUCCUUGCAUACUUUGAACGACUAAGGCAAAGGACUAUGAGGAUCCAAAGCUUGGUUCUUCAUGAAUUUGAGCUCUUCAUUGCUUUGCCAUGGAUUCCAAAUAACUCUCCUCAAUCUUGGAUUGUUUUGGUGAUCAAAUUACUAACAAAAACACCAAAACUUACACAAUUUGAUUAGAAAUGAUUGCAAGGGUCCUUAACAUGUUAAUUGGGUUAAAAGGCAAUAAUUACUACUCAAAAGUGUUUAAAAGAGUUAAUUACAAGCUAUCAAAUAGCACUUUUUGAGUAGUAAUCAUCUAGGACACCUUCUUGCAUAUCCUUGAGUCCUAGUUGUCUUCCUAUGUUCCUAACUUUAAUCAAGUUGAUGUCUUUUUGUUUUGGUUCAAUCCUUUCUUCAUUUUUCAUAAAUUUUCAACAUUUGUUGAGUUCAUGAGAGUGACAUGCUUACACUUUUGUUUAAGAGUUAAAUUGACUCUUAAUGAUCUUAAAAGCUUCAAGAUGUUUUUAUCUCCAUGGCUUGAUUGAUAAACAUGAUAUUGAAUCUUUGCUAUUUUGAUUUGAUUAGAUAAACCUCAAAGGGUUAGCUUCAUUUCUUUUAAGUGAGUAACAGCUCAUGGUUGAACCUUGUGAUUACAUAAAUUGUGAGUAAUGUUCUUUAUAGUCUAAAUGCAAACUUAUGUUUUUCUAAUGAGCAUUAAAAAGUGAGUAAAGUCAUCCAAAAUAUCCUUGAGUGUUUAAGAUUAUUCUUCCUUGAUUGUUUGCCCUCUCUUUGAAAUUUAAAAAAAAAAAAAAAGGAAAAGGAAGAAAAGAAAAAUAUUAAGUUUCCCAUAAUGGUUAUGGCUCCUUGGCAAUGUUUCAAGAGUUAAAAAGCCUCCAUUGCAAGAGUGGGACAUCCCUUAUGUUAUUAUGUUGUAAAGGCCACCUUAGUGAUCCUCAAAUUAAAAAAAAAAAAAAAAAUGAUCCUAAGAGUGAAGCUCAUGUUUGUGAAAUCAUUUCAAUGCUCAAUGUGAAAAACAAAUGUUGUAUGAAUUUUUUUUGGGAUGUGAAUAAGCCGUGUUAAACAGAAAUCCGGCCAAGAGAAGUGCAAAUUGACUUCUUGGAAUAUUAUCUUGAAUUUCUCUAGGAAGGAAGUGUGUCUUGAAAAUGAUUUUUUGCUUUAUGGGUGGAUAUAGGUUUAUAAGUGGAAAGAAAUUAACAUACUCACUAUUUUAUGGUGUCAUGAGUAAGUCUUCUUUAAGCUUAAACAUACUUGUUAGAAUGUUGAUAAUCAUUUGUUUUUUACCUAUUCAUUUAAUAAAUUUGAAAGGUUCUUCAAUCUUUAUGUUUAUUAAUUUUGUCUAAAGUUAAGCUCUUGGUAGCAUUCUUGUUCAAUAUGAAUCAAGUCUAACUCAUUGAUUGAAAGAUAAGUAUGUCAUCCUAUUGAAUCUUAGCUAUGGUGAAUCAAAUUUUCAAUGUUUGGAAAGCUUGUUGGUUUUCUUGUGUUUUUAUUGUAAAUUUUUUUCCUAAGUCAUUUUUCAGUAGGGUGUCGAUCGAUCUACUGAAUUUGUGGAUCAAUCCACUGUGGGCACAGUCUUGUGACCGAGAGCCCUUGAACGAUGUGUGGAUCGAUCCACCAAGAUCGAUACCACUUGACUCCAACACUUAGAAAUUUUUUUGUGAAAAGUUUCCUGCAGUUGCACAAUUUUGUUCCUUCACCGAGAGCUCUUGAAUGAUGUGUGGAUCGAUCCACCAAGAUCGAUACCACUUAUGCAUUUGUGUCAAAUUCCAUUUUUGCCCUCAUCUGGUUCAACUCCUUUGGUUUAAUGAAUCAGGGGUAUUUUCAUAAUUUUUUAUAUAAUUAAAAAAAACCUCAAAAUCCCUAAACAUUUUUUCUUUGUUUUGUGUGAAAAUUUUCAAUUAUGUCCCCAACUGGUUAUACUCAUGGGUUAAAUGGAUGAGGGGCAUUUUGGUAAUUUGAAAUGUCAAAAACCCCAAAUCUUGUUACUCUUCUCAUUUAUUUCCAAGCCCUAGGGCUUUCAUUCCAGAGAAGAACCCUUCGUCUUACCUAUCACUAUCAUUUGGUUCGAUCCGGCCAUUGUCACUGGAAAUCUUCGCCGUGCACAGCUCUCAUUCUCAUUUCUGUCUGCUGCCAGUGUUUCGGUGUACAAUCAGCUCGUCUCGUCUUUUUUUUUUUUUUCUUGUUCUCUGUUUGUCAUCGGCCUGCAUUUCCAUUUCCAUUAGUCGACAUUCGUUCCAGCUUUUCUCGUGGGAUCACUGAUCUGGUAUCUUCCUCGUCAUAGGAUUGCUGAUCUGGUAGCCCCUAGUCUUCUGUGUACAGGUUGGUUUUUCUUCCAUUGGUGUUGUUGGUUAGUUUUUGUGUGAGAUUUUCUCGCACUAGGCUAUUUGAGUGGAUUAUUUGGGAAAUAUGCCUCCAAAAGGUCGUAAAAGCAAAGACCCUGUUAAAGGGUCAUCCUCUAGAACCUCAAAAGGUGCUCGAGAUGAAAAUUUACCCAUCAUUCCUUCUAUCCAGCCUCUCAGUAUCCCCAAGGCUCCUGUAAAAACUUCCAUGGAUGGAAUUCCUUUCAAUGCUUUCUUAGCAAAGUUCUGUAGAGACCAGUACAUCAAGGUUUAUCGUCAGAGGUCUCUUGUUCUUGAGAGACAACUUCAUUUAGAAUCUUUUCUCGACACACCAAUUCCAGACUUAUUUGUAGAACUACGAUGGCUUCCUCUAGCAAACUUCACGGGUCUGCUUGUGCUUCUAUUGUCUGAAUGUUUUAUUCGAACAUUAUUGAACAUGACUUGGAUGAGUCCUACCUCCAGUCAAGUCUUUUUGGAAUUGUUGUUAAAGUCACCCCUAAGAUAAUUGCUGAAGUCUUAGGCAUCCCGUUGGUUCAAGCACCCUCUGUGAGUGAUUUGGAAAUCACCUCUGACCUGUUGGAUAGAGUGUCUAUUGAUUUAUGGGGAGAGGUCCGAGGUCAGCUAGGCUCAGUGGUACACACUGGUAGCCUAUCUCGUCCUGCUUGGGUGUUAGCUACUUUUCUAUCAUUCUCAGUUUAUCCCUCCUCUCAUCGGGCAAACAUUUGUAAGAAUGGUUGCAUUAUCUUGUCUCGAAUCCUUCAUCAGGAACCCAUCAACCUAGCAUCUUGCAUCUUAGAUGAGAUGAUUUUUCAAGGAGAUUCUACAGUGUCUAAGAAGAAGGUUCUUCCCUAUGGCAUUUUAAUCACACAAAUCUGCCAAAGGGUUGGAGUUGUAUUUCCUGUAAAUUCUUCUUUUCUUAUGCCAAUGGGUCCCAUUGAUACCUCUUUUUGGAAUCGACGUCAAGCACAAAUUAAGGGUGCCCUUGGUUCUAAGAAGAAGGUGUGCCAUAGUAGAGCCAAGAGAAAAUUUGGUGAAAGUGACGUAGAUUCAGAUGUAGAUUCCAGUGUCCUAGCUCAACUUUGUGCUAGGUUUGAUGCUUUGGAUGAGAAAAUUUUUGCUCAAUCCACCUUAUUGUCUGAGCAGAUUUCUCAACUCCAAUCUCAUAUGGAGAGAGGCUUCUCACUAAUUGAUGGACAAAUGCUUUGCAACAUGGAUCAGCUGCACGCUCUUGAAGAUUUUGUCCAUAAGCAUCUCUCUUAGCCAAGUAGCAGCUAGUUUUUUUUUUUUUUUUUACAGCUCUUUGUCUUGUGUACUUUGCUUAUCAUGUUCAUUUUGAUCGACUUAUGUACAUGGCUUAUUUUGGACAACUCUUUGUCUCGUUCUGGGACAAAAAGGGGGAGACAUUUUACACUUAACAUGUAGUUGUGAUCAUGACAUUGUGUUUUGUGCUUUGGAUAUUUGAUAUGUUGAUCAUGAUCAUUUUGUUUUGUAUUUGUGGAUAUUGGACAUGGUUAUUUUGACUCAUGAAUGCAUAUUGACUAUCUUUAGGCAAAUGAUCUUUGUGGAUAUAUGUGGAUAUCUAUGUGUUAAUUUAUUCAAAUCUUGUGGAAGUGCCUUGGAAUAUGUACAGGUGCUACUAAUGCUUUUCUUGAGAUUUAUUUGCAGGUAUUGUAGUACCUAGGUUGUGGUUUUGAGUGAGUGAGGGGCCUUGUAUGAGAGUUGGGUGGGGCUUGCUUACUUACUUGUACUCAUUCGUGUUGUAAAGAGUUUUGUCCCAGAAUUGCCAAAGGGGGAGAUUGUGAGUGUUUAGCUAGGUUGGCAAUUCCGAACAAAAUUCCUAAGUGUCCCCUAACUCGGCUUUGCUAUUCCUAUUCGGACUACUUGACUUUGAAGACUAAGACUUUACUAAGAGGCCGAGGUAUGUAGCCGAGUGUGGAGUGACUGGAUGUGAAUCAACCCGGUUUUUAAUCUUUAAAUGUGUUAGAAAGUUGGGAAAAAUGGUUUUUGGUGCAAGGCUUUCAUUCCUCUGUUUCUGGAUCGAUCCAGGUGUAGGGUGGAUCGAUCUAACUAAUGUUUUUUUUAUCAAAUCUCAGCCAUUAGAUUAAGGGCUUCUUUUUACACUUUAAAAACCAAUCUUCUCUCAUUUUCUGGUUAGAGAGACUGCAGAAAACGUGGGAAGAGCAGCCACACUCCGAGUGUUCUUCAUUUUCUCAUUUUUGUUUUCCUAAUUUGGGGUUUUUGAUUGCAAAGAAAAUCCACUUCUCUUAAUGUUUUCCAAACUAGUUUUUAAUGGAUUUUCUUGAGCAAUAAAUGGGUUGAUUCAUUCCUUCAUUUACAUCUCAAUCUAUCAUUCUAUUUGGGUUUGGGUACAUACCCAUUUUUCUUCUUGUGUGGAUUCAAGAAGAGGCCGGGAUUGAGCUUGGUGCGGACUCUAAGUGUGCUCCGAAAGAAGAAGAGAGAAGCUGAAAAUGAAGGUACUAGUCAAGUAGUCUAAGAAGGAUUCGUUGGCUUGAGCUAGGUAAAACCUUGUACUUAGUUUUUAUUCUUCAUAGUGAAGUUUUUCAAUCGAUGAUAGGCUCGUGGUUUUUGAUCUCUUUGGAGGUUUUCCACAUUAAAAUCCGGUGUUCAUUGUCUCUUUCUCUCACUCUAUAUUUUGAUUUAUUUUUUAGGAGUGUUGAAGUAUUUGCAUGUGUUUUACAUUGAUAAAUUGUUGGGAGAGUGUUGAUGCAUACAUUCUUGCUUGUGGAUGUUAUGAUUUGUUGAAAAGUUGUUGGAAGAAAAGUUUCUUGACAUUAAGAUAGUCUAAGGUUAGGUAAUAUUUGUUGGGAGAAUUUCAAAAUUGUUAUAAAACACCUAUUCACCCCCCCUCUAGGUGUAUUCCAUUAUUGAGAUUCACAUUUUCACUUUCCUUUCCAUAAAUAAUCUGUGAAUCUUCCCAAAACAGGCUUUCAACCUGCCUUUUUCUCUCAAGUGGCGAUUCCCUUUGGAUGAGUUUUCCUGGGACGUGAAUAUUUACACUCCAUCUGCAGCUGUAGACUUUUCUUUGUCAAUAAUUUCGGUGAUCCUCUUUCCAAAUUGUCGACUUCCUCAUGCAAGAAAUAAAAUAAAGAUAAAAUAAAAUAAAAAUAAAAUAAAGAUUAAAAUCAAUGAAUAUCAUGAAAUUGAAAAUCAAAAGGAAUUUAAAUCAAGUAGCUAAAAAAAUAAAAUAAAAAAUAAAAAACCAACCACAUGCAAGUCAUACAAGCCAUGCAACCAUAACAAAAAUACUAGCCAUGCAACCAUGCAAAAGUACGAGCCAUGUGACUAUGCAAAAAUACGAGCCACGCAACCAUGCAAAUCAUGUAAAAACGCCUAAAGGUGACCUAAGCAAGACCAGGUAAACCUAAGUGGGUUAAGGCAUGCCAAAAUGGGCCUAGGUGGGCCUAGGCGAGCCUAAGUGGGCCCAGUGAACCUAGAUGGGUUCGAGGUGUCUAAAUGGGCCUAAGGUGGUGCCUAAUGGGUCGAGUAUACCUAUACGGGCCUAGGGUGAGACUAGGUGGGCCUACAUAAGUCUAACCUAAAGUGCACCUAAGUGAAGCCUAAUCUAAACUUGAAAGGCAAUCAAGGUCAUAAUGUGGAUCCAGAUAAACCCCCAUAACCAAAGUCUCCAAAGUUUUUAGAAAGAUAAGCUACAUGAGUAGUAAUGGGCCACCAGGGAAUUAUUGUAAAGUACCAAACGAACUCAUAAUAGGACAUGUGCUAGAAUGACAAAAUGGAGGGUCUACACUACUUUACCCAUUUCAAGUAAGUGAUGAAGGUGUCAAAAUUACAAUAUUAGGAAAUACUAUAUUUUUCCCUUUUAUAUAUCCAUUAACUAAAAAAAAAGAUACAUCAAGUUCAAAGUGAUUCAAUAAAUAAAAAUUAUUUUGACAUAUAUGAACAUUUUGAAGUUUGUAUUCUAUAUCUAAUUUACCUUUAUUUGCAGGAAAAAGUUCUUGUCUUGUUUUUUCAUACUAUUGAGUAGGGAUUAAUCCUUCAUGUAUACAAUUCAUAUCAGGUCCGGCUUGAAUCUACUAAUGCUACUAUUUCUACUUCAAAGUCUUCAACUAUUACUCUUACAUUUGUAUACUAUCUUUGAAAAUCUAUUUUAGAUAUUGUAUUUAUAAAUGCUCCUAUGAGAGUUUGUUUAUUGAGAAUUAUUAUUCGUGGAAUUUGAUUAUCAAAUGUUUCAAGAAAAUUUUCUUGUUUGGAUUGUAUUAAAUUUCUUAUUUGUUCAUUUUCUUUUUUUAUUUGUUCAUUUUCUUGUUUUAGUUGAUUUAUUUACUUUUUUGUUUCUUGUAAACAUCUUUCAAAUAUUCAAUAGUUAUGGGCUUUUGAGCCUUUUGAAUCUAUUAAAAAUUUCAUCCAUAGAGUAUUGUGUAGUCUAAUUUCUUGAGUUUUAUUUGGGGUUUCGAUGAGAAUUAAAUUUUUUUAAGUUUUGUAAAUAUUUUAUUUUUGUCUCCUCAUCAUCUAUUUUGUCUAUAACAUCAAAAAAUAUUUGUUUAUCCACUUUUGAAGAAAUAUUGUUUUAUUUUUAUUUUUAUUUAUUUAUGUUGAGUUGUUGUUUUCUAUUUUGUUUGUUUCUUCCUUGUCGACUUUAGAUAUUUUACCUAUCUCAACUUUUUCACUCUUUUCAAUGUCUUGAAUUAUUUUGUUUAUUGAUUUGUUUGUUGAUGUUGAUGUUUCUCCUACCACAUUUAUAUCCCUAUAUUUUUCUUUUGUUUGUUUUAGUUCACAUGUCACAUCUUUUUUACUUUUGUCACCACUUGUUUCACCUUUAAUUAUUUCUUUUGCUGUUUUCUCUACCUUUUCCUCCAUCUCUUCCACUCUAGAAGAAAAUAAAAUUUGAUUAAAUUUUAUUUCACUUGACUCUUCUUGAUUUAAACUUUGUAGAUCUAACAUUUUUUAUUACAUGGAGAAUUUUCUAUUGCUUCUUUUGAGGUUAAUGUUGCAAUUCUUUUAAAAGGUUUCCUAAAUUUGAAAAACCAAUGGAAAAAGGGAAUUGUCAUCUUAAUUUGUUACAUAUAUUUUUCAUAUUGUUUUUGUAAAGCAUUUCUAACUUGAUGGGGAAGCUGUUUAAAAUAAUUUCUUCUAAUAGUAUUAUAAGGAGAAAACUUAUCUAAUUUAAUUCAUUCUAUAUCUAGAACAAAAUGAGGAGUUUUUCUUUUAAUGUAUCUUUUCCUAAUGUUAUUUAUAUUUAAAGGAGGGCUAUUAGAAUGAGUAAAAAGUGUUGAUUCAUAUUCUUCUUCAAAAAUAGGAAUUUUUGAAACAUAGUUUGACAAUUUUGACAAAAUUUUCAAUUAAUUUUCAAUUUGAAUCAUUUCUUCAUCUAAUUUUAAAUUAUUAAACUUUAUGUGAUGAGAUGAUGAAUCUAAAAUUUUAUCAACUAAUUAUAUGAUUCAGCUAAUGAAUCUUUAGUAUUUACAGAUUUGUCUAACAUGGAUGAGUUAUUGUUUAAUUUUGCAAAUCUAUUUAACUCAUAUGAAGAAUUGGCUAAAGUGUAUGCACUAUCUAAAUUGUAUGUAGAAUUAUAUGAUGCAAAACUAUCUAUCAAGAUCUAGAUGAACUAGCUCUACUUAAUUCCUUCAUAAUACUACUCAUUGUCACAUAAAAUAAUCAUAAUCUUAUCCUUAAUCAAUUCAAAUAAUUUUCUAAAUAGAGACCACUACAAGCGGAUCCCAUGAGACUUAUGCUCCUUCUGCCUUUAAACACCGCUAUCUAGGCUAACCAAGCGAUUCAUAGAAAAUUCAAUUUGAACUAACUGGGGACUAAAUUAAUGAUUACAGAUGGUUCCAAAUCGUAAUAUCACUUAGUUCUUAAGUAAAGACUACCUUUGAUACCAUUCACACCCAAAACAUAGAACAUUUCAUAAAUCAAAAGAUAAAUUCUAUCUAUGAAUAAAAAUAGUUCAUAAAUCAAAAGAUUAAUUUUGUCUAUGAAUCCAAACAUAAAUUCUAUAAAAAUAGAAAUUGAACACAAGAACACAAAAAUUGAAUCUAAAAUAAAACUUUGUGUUGAACUAAAAUUUCUUAUAAAUUUAUAUUCAUUAAAUACCCACUAAAGUGAUGCGUGUACAGAAUUAUCAGAUGAAGAUACAGAACUAUCAUUAAACCUAAGAGAUUUGGACGAACUAGAUCUACUUAAUCUCCUUAUAAUAUUAUUGAUUGUCACAGAAAAUAAUCACAAUCUUAUCCUUAAUCAAUUCAAAUAAUUUUCUAAACAGGGACCAUCACAAGCGGAUCAACACAGGACUUAUGCUCCUUUUGCCCUUAAACACUGCUAUCUAAGCUGACCAAACCAUUCACAGAAAAUUCAAUUUGAACUAAUUCAAGAUUAAAUCAGUGAUUAAAAAUUAUUCCAAAUUGUAAUAUCACUUAGUUCUUAAGUAUAAUGUGGCUCUAAUACCAUUUACACCCAGGACAUAAAAACAGUUCAUAAAUCAAAAGAUAGAUUUUGUUUAUAAAAACAGUUCAUAAAUCAAAAGACAAAUUAUGUCUAUGAAUUAAAACAAGAAUUCUGUCUAUAAAAGCAUAAAAUUGAACACAGAAAAUUGGUUCUAAACUAAAACUUUGUAUUGAAAAUUAUACCUUGAUUACAAAGUUGAAACUUGAUACAAGCUCGUUGACAACAGAGGGAUUUGAUUACAAAUGAAAGGUUUUUAAAAGGAAAUGGAUUGCAAAAUCUAAGAGAAAAUUUUGGAGAACACUCUUGAUAGCUCUAAUUCUCAUUUGCUCGCCUCUACCUUGUGAUGAACUUGAUGUCUUCUAUUUAUAGAGAAAUUUGUCAGACUUGAAGCUUGUUGAAAUCCAUGGAAAAAUUAAUUGGAGUAGACAACUAGCUUGCCACUUUCUUGUUUUAGAUGGAGGAAAAUUCUUCUUGUAAGAGAUUCUUCAGGUGAGUAAGCCACGUUUCUUUAUUUUAUUUAUUUACUUUUUUAAAAAAAUAAAUGAGAAGACAAAAUUUACCAUUGAGGAGACAAAUUUUACUAUUAAAGACUAUUUGAAUCAUGCAAUUUUUUUUAUUAAUGAAAAGUCAUAACAAAUCUUAAACCUGAAAAGCACUUAUAAGAAAUUUUCUUUUAUAUAUAUAUAUAUAUAUAUAUAUAUCAAACAAGUAUUAAUAUUAUUUAAUGAAUAUAAAUUUAUUAUUAAUUUAUCAAUCUAUUUUAUAUCAAAUAAAUAUUAAUAUUAUGUAAAAAAAAAAAUGAGUCAUUGAUUUAAAAUAGAACCUAUAUUUUUAAAUACAUGAAUACAAAAUUAUUAAUAAAAUACAAGAUAACAAAUAUUAAUAUUUUGUAAUCAAGUAAGAAAAUACAAAGAAUUACUUAUUAUCAAAGAUACAUGCAUAUAUUUAUAUAUUUACAAAAUUUCUUUAUUCUUAAAAAAAAAUACUUUGAGAUUUCAUUCUAAUUAAUUUAUUCAAUAAAAAUUAAAAUAUAGCAAAUUGAUUUAGUUGAGAGGAAUCAUCAUUCUAGUAAGGAUAGUAAGUGGAUAUCAGUUUAAUCUAGGACUAUAGCAUGGGAUAACAGUCAAGCAUAUACUCAAAUAUCUUAGGAGAAUGAGGGUUUAUAUGUUUGUGUUCCAUAGCAAUGAGUUGGCACCUACUGGGUAUAGAUAUUUAAACUUUCGAUUUGAUAAAGACUCUCAUAGGUUUAGUCAAAGUUUGUGUUCACUCUAGGUGGUAUUGUUGUUAAUUAGAGAAAUGUGAAAUAAUAUUGCAUUACUUACUCUACCAUGAAUAUUGAUUAUGUCACAACUUCUAAAGUUACAAAGAAAGUCAUUUGGCUUAAGAAGUUCCUAAUGGGACUUGAGGGAGUUCUCUUGGUUGUACUACCCAUACUACUAUUUUGUGAUAAUAGUAAGAUAGUGACACAAUUUUAAAAACUAAGAAAUUAUAGAAAAAAUAAUACAUUGAAAGGAAGUACCACUUAAUUUAUGAGAUAAACCAUAGGAAUGAUGUACUUCUGGAGAAGAUACCUUCUAUGGAGAACUUGGCGAAUCUAGCUUUUACCAAAAUUUUAUCGAGUAGUCUUUGAUGGUUAUAAGGAUAAUAUAGGUGUUAGAUACAUUUCUCAAUAUGCUUUGAGGGCUAGUAAGAGAUUGUUAGGAUAGAACCCUUAAAAACAUGACAUGAUGCAGUAACAAAUGUUUUUUAUUGUUAUUUAUAAUAUGAUUAUUGUUCUCUUUUAUCUAUCUUAUUUGUGCAUUAUACUAUUAGAGCAUUCAAGCCUAACAUCUUUCAUUGUACAUGACUUAAAUGUAUUAGGAGUAGCACAAAAUAUCUAAGUUCUAAAUUUCUUGUAAGUACAUGAAUUGUUCACAACUAAUUUAUGAACUUAGACAAUUCAUUUGAAGUUGAAGUGCACUAUCUUCUAAUUAAAAAAAUAAAUCAUUUUAAUCAUAGAGAUAAGGUUCUCAUGAUGAGUGUCCAAUAUAUGGUUAUACAUUAGAUGGUUAUACGUACAUUAGAUAAGACUUACGUGAGUCAUGAUAUUGGCUCAUGUGACGUCUUUCUUUCUUUCUUCCUAAGGAUAAUUUCUACCAUCACUAGAUUUGGGUGAUGAUAUAGUGGAAGGGCCUCAUCAAACCUCGUAAUAUAAGGAACAUAAUGAGUUGAAGAAUUCGAAUAUCUUGUAUUGCUGGAAGGAGCUGAGCCUUGAUGCUGUGGAUCCUUCUCAGAAAUAGCAAACUUUUAUGCCUGUUCUCAUGCUCCAGAGACGGCUUCCCUAAAAAGUGCUUUUCUAGGACAACGUUUUCGAGCCUUUACAAUCUCUCUCUCUACAGCAGCAUGUUCUGCCCUAAGUUUAGCUUCCACAGAAGCAAUUUCAGGUAAUGAUUUAGCUCCUAGAGAAGCUUUCCACAAUCAUCACUUGUUGUCAGGCUCCAACAAUUGCUCUUUUUGUAACAUAUUCAGGUGGGCAACUAUGUAUAAAACUAACAGUCUUCAUCAUCUCCAUCUUUCCCCUUCAAGAAUGCUCAAAUCUGAAUUAGCACAAUCUACUGCAACAAUAGUCCAGGGGUUUUCUCUAUUCUUCUUUUAAAGGUUUUUGUGGAGAAGCAAAGGGUAUACAUGAAGCAUGCUUCUUUGAANNNNNNNNNNNNNNNNNNNNNNNNNNNNNNNNNNNNNNNNNNNNNNNNNNNNNNNNNNNNNNNNNNNNNNNNNNNNNNNNNNNNNNNNNNNNNNNNNNNNUUAUAUUUCUUGACGACAUUUGGACUAAACAUGUUUGGGAAAGCCUAAUUGUAGACCCUCAUUUUUGGUCUAGAGGAGGGGAUAUUCUGCAGAGGAUUCCUUUUUUGGGUUAGUUAGGGAGAGAGAAUGUAGGCGAUGGAGAGGGUGACAUGUGGAGAGGUUUUUGGAAGAUCGUUUCUUUAGAGAGAGAGGGGGUGAGGUGCAGAAGAAGGGGAGGACAUCAGUGAGUAUGGAAAGGGUGAUUUUUGCUGAGGCCAGGGAAGAGAUAAGAAGGGGAGAUUCUCAUUUUUGGGGGGACUGUGUGAAGAAGGGAGUGUUGCGAGCAGAGCAGAGGGGGGGCUGAUCUUUUUUUUCUGGAUUCUUGGAGAGGUGAGCGAGAACAAAACAUUGAAGAGAGGAGAAGAAAACGAGCUUGGGGAAGAAAAACAGAGAGCUCUAUAGAGCAGAGGAAGAAGCCGGAGCAGAGAGUAAGGAAUGGGGGAUUCAUUAGCUUGCAUCUUCUGGGAGGUAAGUUCUUCACUGUAAAAUAUCUGCUCCCUUCUACAUUUCUUUUAUUUGCUACUGUCGAGGCUUGUUGGAUGCUUUGGUAUGGCCAUCAAAGGCCUAUAUUGCCUGUGGUUGAUUUUGGGUAUGGAUAUCAGGUCAUACAUUUGAGCCUUUUCGCUGAUCUUUGGUUUGUUUGGGCUGGGUUAUAGUGUGUUCAUGUUUCAUUUUCGUUUGGUUUUGUUGAGAUUGGUUUGAACUCUGUUUUAAGCCUCAUGAUAAAAUCUGGAAAUCCUUCCCACCCAUCCUUCAUGCAAGUCUGUUGCCUAUCUGUUUAUGGAACAUGGCUUGCUCAUUACUCUGCAUUUUUCUCGUUUUCUCCUUGUUUGCGUUUACUCUGUUUUUGUUUCAACUCUUGUCUGGUCUUCCCUAUGUCCUGUGUCUUUGGUUCUUCACACCACGUAUGCAGAUUUCUCAUGCUCGACUAGAAUCAUAAGGGCAAGCAAGACACCACAGCACCAUUGCCUGAUCCAGUGAGCAUUUUUGUACCCCUGAAGAAGGGUUUUGUCGGCAUUGCCAUUGGUUUUCUUAUGGGUAUAAUUUCUGAGUUUUGGUUGCUGCUGUUUCAUUGUUCAUGGAGAUGCUGAGCUCUUCUUCUACCCAGAAGAGGUGACAGCCAUCCUGGUGUGUUAAUGUUACUUUAUGUCUGUUGAUGGUUCAUUCAUCUAUGCUACUGGAACUGAAUGGGGUGAUCACCAAAACGGAUUAUAGUUUAGGAAAUCGAAUGGGGAACUUCUUCCUGGUAAUACCCUUCGAGUUGAGCAAGCUACAAACGCAUAUUGCCAGAAUGAUGAGUAUUCCUUUUCAUUUCGGGAAGAUGAAACUUCUGAGGACUCACUUCAAGCCCUAAUUGCAAGGUUCAUAAACUUAUGAAAGGGGUUUUGAAGCUGGAACUAGAAAAGCUCCAGGCCGGCCAUGCUGAUUCAGAAAAUGCUUCAGAAUAUGGUAACGUGGCCAAUGAUAUCAUUGCCUUACGGACAGCAUUGCUGAUUCCAUUUUUUCAAAAUGUCACGGUAAUGGCUCUAAUGAGCCUCGGAAUAGCAUUUCCAAGUGGAAUCUCUUGGAUGGAAAAGAAGUUCCAAGAAAUGGAUCAAAAGCAUUUGAAUUUUCAGAUUUCGAUGUUGAUAAUUUCUAACCUUUCGACCACUACGGACAACUUUUUGACUGAGUGGCAAUUAAUCCCAGCUUAUCAUUGUCAGCUUGCAGUCCACCACUUGAAGGAAAAGGAGUCUUGCUCAACUCCAUGCAUAAAGCCUUAGGACCAGCUCACCAUCUCCCCAACCUUCAUACCCACCAAACUCAUCACCAUACCCACCAUCUUCAACUUAUCUCUAACACCAUACCCACCACUAUCAGCUUAUCCCAUACAAACUCACCUCCAGUCCAUAGCGUCAUCAUUCAUAUUCAUUCCCGUAUCCUCGCAAGAGCAGCAGGAACAUCAUCUGCCACCUCAUGGACUCAACAAAAACCCUCAAAUAAAUGCCAAUGGAUUGACCAAUCAAAUGUGGAAGCCAAAGCCACCUCCUCCCAUGUCCACCUAUCACUCCGAAAUAUGGCGAUUUGUGUGAUGGUGGGAACACUUUGGGACCAGUUCCACACUUCCCCACCCCAGCUGAUUUGGAGCACACAAGACUUGCCCUCCCACUCCUCAACAUGGUGCAGGAAGGUUUGGACCAACACCAGAUGUUUGUGCAGAAUUCUUUUCAACUGGUAUACUUCGCGUGGACAUAGGCAUCAAUGAGAAGGUUCUUUCAUCCGAGUUUAAGAACAUGAAGACAGAAAUAGUGGCUCCCAUGGUUUUCCUAGAGCGCAUCAGAGAUGACUUCGUGUUGAUAUGGGGAUAAGAAAGCUGCAACAGCUCCAACAAACAACUUUAACAGGGAUUCUAGUUCAGAAUUGAAGAAACACACGCAGUGCAGUUGUUCCAAACAGCUGAAGAUGAGUCUCAUUCCCUAACCACUCCAUGCUUUCUGUGCCCCAACUAUUCAAUGAUAAGCAACAAAUGGUACCCACCCGAUAUGAAUGAAGCUUCAAAUUUCUGUACUGCGACGCGCUGAGAAUAAUUCAUUGCUUUCCUCAUCUGAAUAUGGAAAAACCAAACGAACCCAGGGAAAGCUUUGAGCCAUCAAGCGGAAAUAGACAGAUGUCGAAAAGCAUGCGCCAAAGCUUAAGAAAAAAAAAAAACGGGUACAUGAAGUGUAAUAAAAUUCUGGUUUGCUUCCACGGGGAAUGCUUCCUAUGGGUUGUGUCAACGAGAAAAAGAUGAAUGGAAAAUUAUUCGGCAGGGAUUUCGGAAUUUUGUCGGUUAACCUAUGGAGAUCGGCCGAUGUGUGGAUGUGGAGUUCAUUUGGUGAAAUAUUUGGUUCUGCCACUCUCUCAGUUAAAGAAGACUUUCAGGGGUGGCCCCAAAUGGAGCUGAAACGGACCACAUUUCCCCAUUGAAGCUUCUCAGACAGCAUACUUGGGCAAAGAUUAUAAGAUGAAUGAGGCAAAUGUAUACUCGGGAAGGCACCCACAUUGACAAUAGCAACAGCUUCAGCACAAGCAAUCCACUCUCGGUUACACUCUUGAAUGGCCACCCUAUGCAUGCAACCGCCAAGCACUCAACCUGCCUGAAGCUCCUUUCCAACCCGGGCCCAUGCGCAUGUUAUUCCAUUUUGCAUGGCCCCUUCCAGUGCACCAUUUGGACCCGCAGUAGUCACCUCUGUUCUCUCUGUUGUUGGCACCCCAUAUUUGACUACCAGUGCAAACGAUCCCUUGCAUGGCAUCUCUCGUGGGUCAUUCUUAAAACCUACGUGUCUCACCCCCUAUAUUUUCAUGUAUGCCUCAUGCAUGUCUUCAAAAUCUGAUUUUCAAAAAUCCUGUUUUCAAAUAAUUUUAAUCCCACAACUUCUCAUUUUUCCUUAGAGUUUUAGGUCACCAAAAAUGCAAUUUUAAUAAAAGUCAAAUUUUAAUAAAUUUUACUGCCAUUUUUCUCUUUGGUAAAUAUUUUUUACAAACUUCCUUGAUUUUUAAUAAUUUUUGGAUUUUCAUGUGUUUUUUAAAGCAUGAAUAAAAUUCUAUAAUUCCAAAUAAUGGAACUUAUGAGAUUAAUUUUGGCAAAGCUUUGGUGGGGCUCAAUAUAUGUUUGAUUGACUUGCUCUACUGACAUGCAUAUUAUUCUAUACUUGUCCAUUAAUCUUGUUUCUAUGAUAGCGCGUUAUUGAUUCAUUGCUAAGAUAUGCAUCUUAUUUCCUCUUUUUUGUUUGCUCACUUUCAGUUGUGCAAUUUGACCAUAUUACUUUUUUUUUUUUUUUUUUUUACCAUUUUCAUUAGUAGAGACCCAUUUUUUUUAAGGGCUUAGAGAGGUAUUACGACUUAUCACCGUACCUUCCUCAUAAGUAACUUAAUACUCGAACCUAAUUCGGUUUUUUUCGCAAACCUGUUGCUCUUUUAUGAGUCACAUUUAGGUUUUUCUUUCUUAUUUUUUUUUCCUUUUAAAAAUAAAAUAAAAGUAAGUGGUGACUCUAAAAAUAAAUUUUCAAAAAAAAAAAUCAAAAUCAAAAUUUUCAAAUAAAAAGCAAAUCUUACCAUCGAGUGGAAAAACAUGCGGAGAAAUACGGGAUGCACACUAAUAUGCCAACAUUUGAAGGUGGUGCCAAAAUAUUGCUCUCACUACUUGAAAUGAAAUGAAGUGAAAGGAAUGAUGGACACAAAAAUUUUGUCGAGGGGAAAGAAAGCAAUUAUAAAUCAUAAAAUAUAUAGAUAAGUACAAUCAAUAAAAAUAAUUAUUGUUAUUAAAUUAUAAAUCAUAAAAUAUAUAGAUAAGUACAAUCAAUAAAAAUAAUUAUUGUUAUUAAUCAGGAAAGGAAAAAAAAUAUUAUAAGUCAAAUUUAAAAAUAAAAUAUUAAAAAUAUUGGUUAAAAAGUUUGAGAUUUUAUUCAAAAUUAUUAAAAUAUUAAUGUUAUGUUUGAUUUCUAUAAAGUAAUAAGAAAAAAAUACUAAGCAAAAUUAUUUUUUUUUAUAUUUGGUUUUAACAUAUAAAAAAAAAAGGAAAAAAAUCAAAUAUAAUUAAAAUCAAUUAAAAAUUUAUAUAUUUUUAAAUUAUUUAAUCUUUAUAUAAAAGAGGAUGAGUGAAAUGAGUUUGAAGUUAUUGAUUUUAAAAAUAUUUUUUAUUUUAUUUUAUUUUUACUUUUUCUUUCCUUUCACUUUUCCUCUUCAUUUCUUUUCCUCAUGUUUCCCUCAUAUUUUCCAAGAAACAAACAUAACCUAAAGGAAUUUUAAAAAAUAACCAUUUAAUAAUUUUAAUGAAUACUACUACCAAAAAUUUAGAAAAACUCAAUAAUUUCAUUUUUUUUUUUUUACAAAUAACUAAAUGAAAAUCAUUUUGGUAUAAUUUUUUUUAUUUAAGAGUGUUAUAAUAUUAUAAUAUAAGCGUUUCACAUCAUUUAAUGAUUAGAAAUUUGAUAGAAUUCCAAAUAUUCUCAAAUGAAACAUAAAUGAAAAUAAAAAUUUAAUUAUUAUUGUCAACGACUCCAAGUGAAUCACUAAAUAAAUUAAACUCUGCUAAUAGUUCAACAAUGUAUAUAUUUAUAUUAAUUAUAAGUGAAUCUAAAAAUCUAAAUAUUUAAAAAUCCUCAAAAUCAACCAAAAACCCAAUAUUAAAAUAAUAUUACAUAAAUAUUAAAUUAAAAAUUAAAAAAAUAAUAAUUUAUUAAAAUAUGUUUUAUGAUGUAUAAUAGAAUUUAAAUAAAAAUUAAUUUUGUAAAUUUUAAAUAAAAUGAUUUACUUCAAUCACUUCCUUUGUGAUUUGAUUAAAUACACCUAACUCAAAUUUUGAAAUUUCAUCAAAUAUAAUUCUUAUUUUGAGUUAGAGAAGAGGAAAGUGAAAAUAACUGUUAGUGAUUUGAGGCUAAUCCAAACUAUGGUAAUCACCCUAGAGGAGGGGGUAAAUAGGGUGAUGGUCUCUUUUUCACAAAUUUAAACUCUACAAAAAUAAGAAACAAUUAUAUGCAAGUAUAUAAUAAACAAAAUAAAGACAAUUACAUAUAAUUUAAGAAAGUUAGGGAAGAGAGAGUGCAAACACGAGAGUUUAUAGUGGUUCGGUACUUCCUUGCCUACGUCCACUCUCCUCAACCUCCUAACCGAGUGAGGGUUCUACUAUUUUGAAGUUUCAACCAAGCUUCCAAUCUCUUUACAAUUGGAUUAUGGUCUCAAUUCACCCUCUUGGACUUUUGGCUCCAAGUACCCUUUACACUUCUCAAGAGUUAUCCCACUCUUGAACAACCUCUCAAGUAAUACCCCUCACUUGAGAAAAUUCCUCUCAAAGAUAUACAAAGAUUGAUCUCACAAAAAUCCUAGUAAUUGAACUUUAGGCUCAAAGAUACAAGAAAAAUUAGGAUUGAAUGGUGCACUAAAGAUAUGCAAGUUAUGAAACAAUGGUGCACUCAAAAACACUCUUCCAAGACUCAAAUAUAUUCAAGAAUGAUUUGGGAAGGUUAAGCUUAUGAAACAAUGAAGAUUGAAGCCUUUUUAUAGAAGAAAAAAGCCAAACUAGCCGUUGGGGGUUCCACCAGUCGAGUUAGGGGUCAACCGGUUGACUAGCCAUUAGGGAAAGUGACCGUUGGGCUUCAACCGGACCUCGACCGGACCUCAACCGGACUUCGACCAGACCUCAACCGGUUGAGGUUCAACCUUGACCGGGAAGAGAAGGCCACUGGGAGAGAGAAACUUUUUGGCCUCCCUCAACUGAUCCUCGACCGGACGAGCACAACCGGUCGAUCGGUUGAAUCGGUUAAGCCAUUUUUUGGCUCAACACCCAACUUUUUUCAACUUAAAACCUUUUAACACAAGUUUGAAAAUCAUUUAACGCAAGGUUUUAGUUGAAAAUAUGAAAUCAUCAAAUUCUUAAGAUAUUUAAAACAAUAUUACUCUUGGAUGAUUUUGGUGCAUAAAUAAAUAAUGAAAUGCAUGAAAGUCCUAGUGUACCAACAACCUUACAAAGAGAUCUUAUGAAACUUUGGUCUUGAAAAACUUUUCUCUUUGAGGUGAUCUUCUUCUUUAUGAUUUCUCCUUUGGCUUGAUUUGUCUUUGUGAUUGCCACUUUGGAAAUCGUCUUGCCUAAUCACACUUGAAAUAUGAUAAUUAGUUCUAAACCUUGUUUUAUUAUCAUCAAAAUCAAGAUUAACCAAACCUUGGUUUCACAAUAACAAAUAAAUUAUUUGAAAAAUUUUCAAAAUAAGGAACAUUACAGUGUGUUUGUUUUUUUACUUAAUUUUAAAUAGAACCUUAAUGCUUAAUAAUAUUAAAUAUUAAGUUGUUUGUUUUUGUAAUAUUUUAUUUCUAUUAAGUAUUAAAAAGUAAAUAAAACUAAUAUGUUAUUUUUUCAAUUUAGAAAAAACUACAUAUUAUGGUUUUUUUUCUAUUUAAUAAAAAAAUUAUAAUAAGUCAAAAUAGAAAAACAAACACCACUUUUAAUCAAAAUUUUAGAAGAUACGGGGAAAAUUAACCUUUUAAAUAAAAUAAAAUAAAUAAAAAAAAAGUGAAUAAUAGCACAAUAAAAAAAUAGAAAUUAAAAUUAAAAGUGCAAUUUUGUUUCUAUAAUAAUAUAUUUUUAACGUUUAAAAAAAUAAUCUAACCAUAUUUAGAGUCCACUUAACAGUAUUUAAAAUCAAAUUAGGUAUUUGAUAAAAUUUAUUAAAUACUUUUAAAAAAUUUUAAAUUAUUUAUAAUCUUAAAAAGUCAUUUAUAAUAUUUUCUAAAAAAAUACUCAUAAUUCUUAAAAAAAAAAAAAAAAAAAAACACAUUUCCACACUCUCAAUAAAAUUCCCAUUUCUUUCUGAAUUGACCUUACUUUAAUUUCUUUGCCUUAAUCGUGAAGUGGUAUUAAAUUUGUUAGUCCUUGAAAUUGGAUUAGAUUCCAUUCUCAAGUUGAAUUGAACCCACUACAAGUGUGGCGCAAAUGUCCUAUGACAGCUUUUGCCACAUGGAGGGCCCUCGAAUAAAAGAGAAUCUUCAUCCUUCACUGUCAUAGUCAUGUGAUGGAUAUAUUUUUUAAAUAUUAUUUUUGAAAAAUAUAAUAAAAUUUUGUAAAAAAUAAAAAAUAAUAUAUUAAAAGAGAUGAAACAAUAGGGUAUUCAUAAAUUUAAUCACCCUGCUUUUUUCUUUUUUUUUUCAUUUCAAAUAUUUAUAUAUAAUUUUAAAAGAAAGAAUUAUUUUUAUAAAAAAAUAUUGAUAUUCUUAUUAAAAUAAGGUUAAAAAAAUGAAAAAUUAAUAUUUAUAUAUAAGUUUUUAAUGAUUUUUAUAAUCAAAUGACUCAAAAAUAAAUAAUAUAUAUAUAUAUUAUCCCUAUGCUACGUGUGUUUUGUUAUAUAACUUUUCUUUUUAAAAUAUAUGGGUUUACUUUUUACCCUAACUCAAUUUUUUUUUUUAUGUUAGAAUUAAUAUUUUCAAAAAACAAAUUCCUUGAAAUGCAUUUUACCUUUCAAUUUUUUGUUUAUUUUAUAUUUUAGUUCUUCAAAAUCUACUUUGCACUUUAUUUUUCUUCAUAUUUAGAAUUGAAAAAACCAAAUUUGAGUUGAUAAAUUUAAAGUGAAAAUUUUCAAACGUCUUCCCAACUUAUGAAUAAUGGCAACGAACUAUUUGUCGUCAUUCUAAAAAUCAUUCAACCUUUUUACUUUAUUAUAUUUAUCAUUAUCCCAAUCAAUGAUAGGAAAAUAAUAAGAUGAAAUAAUUUAUUUCGAAUUGGUUUAAGGUCAUAAAUUUGAAAAAUUUUAGAUCGAGUAAAAAAUUCUAAAAAUUCAUUUGAACGGGUUAUUUUCCAUUGUGUUUCUUGUUGAGGGAUAAAUGAUUCCUUAUUAUGUUUUUUAUAAACAUGAUGAUAGAUUAACACUAUUGAUCCAUCAAUUUUGAAUAAAAGUGGAAUGAUUUUAAAAUAAAUAUCAAUUUGAUUUUUGGUUUUAAAAAAAUAGAUAAAAAUAUUUUUUAAUUUUUUCAAAAGGCUUUUAAGGAUUUGAAAUCCAUGAUUUAUAAAAAUAAUAAUGCCUAAAAACGUACAAAAGAGAAAAAUAAAAAUAAAAAAACAAAAGUUAAGGGCCAAUAAGAGGAAAAGACGAGAAAGGGAUAUAAUUGGAAUUUUGAAAGGAUCAACUUUUUCAAUUAUUACUUGAGAACUUGACAAAAGUUUGUAAAGGAAAUUAUGGCUCUGGCCCACACUUUUUUAUUACUCCCCCUUGUAUAGUCACGAGCCAUACCGCACAGUACAUUAGACAUGGAUGGAAAGAUAAACGGACUAGCAAGAUAAAAACAUCCAUUAAAUAGUCACAAACCUCAAAAUAUUAGUAGUUGAAUUUUAUUGAAAUAUAAAAAUAUUAAAUAAGAAGUAUCGGUAGUAUAAAAAUUAAUUACAACUUAAAAAAAUGAUAAAAUAAAUAAUAAUAUACAUAUUAACAUUAUUUUAAUUAAUAUUUAUGAUAUUGAAUAAUAAUUUAUCUCGUUUGAUAUUAUAUUUAAUACUAAAAUAUCGAUCCAUUUGGUUUAAAUAAAUUGAUAAUUAAAAUUAAUUAAUUUAUUCAAAUUUUAUUUUAAUAUUUAAUAGACGUCCAAACUCCAAUGUUUCUUAAAUGUAGCAUAUCAAAAUAUUAGAAAUAAUAAGGGCAACUAAUGGGGCGGCAAAAAAUGCAAUUUUUUUUGACCGGAGAUCACGAUAAGGUGUCCAACUAUGGGGUUCACCGUAUAUAAAUUUGGUGUCUUGAAACAUUGAAAUUUGGCGGAAAUAUUGAGCAAAAAGGACACAGGAAAGCAAUGAGGUAGAUGGCGACGUGGGCGUAGACCUGGGUCUUGCGUUGACGAAGAAGAAGUGCAAGCUUACAUAUAGGGCGGGGUAUGAUAGGGCAAAGACGCUGAAAAAUCGAAGGAAGGAGGCGGAGAGAUAUAGCCAUAGCUGUCCUGCUUUGCUGUUUAGGGAAACAACUGAAGCUGUCGCACCAGUUGUUUCCUUCGCAAUCUCUUCUUGAGACGCUAAUCGUAAGCCCCUCUAAGGCUCUCUCGUUUCUCUGUUCCAACGUUUCCUGUUUGUUUGAUUUACAAAUUAAAAAGAAAACCUCUUCGGAGGAGCUUUACUUUAUUUGGAAUCAUCGAUUAAUUUUUUAAGUCAAAUCUGGAAAACGGUGAAGAAUUGGCAGUUAAGAUUAAGAAUUUUCGGAUAAUUGUGUUGUGAUUAAUCAGAUCGAACAAUUUAGGGCUUGUGAUUACUGGAAUUAUUAAGUACUUUGUAGAAUUUUGGUUUUCUUGCAGAGUCGAGGAUAAUUUAUAUGUUGAUAUAUUGAUCGCUGCUGUGAUUUCAAGCUUGUAAUCUUCCGAUAAAUCUUAGAUUUUUCAUAAGGCAGUACCCAUAUGCAGUUUUCCCCCUUUUCCUUUUUCCCUUUUCUCUUGGGCAUUUUUGUUACACUGGACUUUUCUCAUCCAUUCCCAUCUCGGACAGCUCAAGUAAGAUCAGAAGGAAAUAAAAAAAUGAUUAUAAUAGAAAUGAAAAAUAGUGGAAUUUCAAUUGAUUUCUAAGAGGAGAUAUUUUGAUUCGUGCAAGAAAUGAUAUCCAACAUGUUAAAAUUAUUAUUUUAUCCAUUCAUUUCUAUUUCUAUCAGGUGUAAAAUCUUUUUAUGGUUAAUUUUUUAUUUGUUGAGUAAAUAUUAUUUUUCUUUGCCGACCUGUGUUAUGAUGCUUUAUAAUACUUAUUUUUAUGUUAAAGAAUAAACAAUAUAUUUUUUUAGAACCCGUUUGAUAGUGAUUCUAGAAAGCGCUUUUAAUAUUUUUUAUACUUAAAAGUAAAGGUAUUUGAUAAGUUGUUUUCUAGAAACACUUUUUAAAGAAUAAAAAACCAAAAUUUCGUGUGAAUAAGAUGUUUUUAAAAAUAUUUUUUAUUUAUUUUGAUUUUGUUCAAAAAUUGUAAAUUUAAUUUAAUUCAAAUCUUAUUAAAAAUAAUUAUAAAUAAAUUUAAAAAUAUGAAUAACACUGUUAUAAUAAAUAAGAAUAAUUUAAUUAUAAAUAAUAUUUUAUUUAAAAUGAAUUUGAAAAUAAAUCAAAUUAAAUUUUAAAGUGUAACUGAACCAAAUUUUUCAUUACAUACAUGUACACAUUUAAUGCUCAAUUAUGAACAAAGCAUUCUAAAACUUUUAAUUUAGUCGAUAAUUAAUCAAUCAGGUUUUUGAAUUCCAAAUUAUUCUUAAAAGUUAGAAAAUUCAUUAAAGAAUUUAAAGUAUUGAUGAUGUCUCAUUUAAUUUAGAAUUUAUUUACCCAGUGAAGAACUUUACGAAAUGCAAUUGUGUGUAUAAGAUAAGCAAUAAAGUGAUUCAUAAUGUAUUAGUUCUGAUAUAUUUUUUUUAGUGAUCAUAUCUAUUUUUUGAAAUUUAAAUUAUUUUAAAAAAUUAAAAACUUAUUUAUAAAUUCAAUACAAAGCCUCGUUUGAUUUGACAUUUAUUUCUUUAAUGAGAAAAUUUAUAAAAAAAUAUAGUUAUAUGUAUAAGAUAAACGCUAAAGUUAUUCUAAACCAAUUUUAUACAUCAAGUUCUAAUAUUAAUUGGAUUAUUAUUUGAGCUUCAACAUAUGUUUUAAAAUUAUUAGACUUGUUAAUGAAUCCUACACAUUCAAUCUUGCUUGAUUUGAAGUCUAUUUGUCUAGUGAAUUUUUUUUGAAAAAUAUGGUUUUAUGUAGAAGAGAAACAAUAGUCAUUCUAAACCGAUUUUAAUUCAUAAAUUUUUUGUAUUUAUUGGGUUACUAUUUGAAACAAGAUUGAAGUUUAUUUGUAAAGUGAAAAAAAAAUCUGAAAAAUAUGGUUAUAUGUAGAAGAGAAACAAUAGUAAUUCUAAACCAAUUUUAGUUCACAAUUUUUUUUUGUAUUUAUUGAGUUACUAAUUGAGUUUCAAAUUAUUUUUUAAAAUUACUAGACUUGUUAAUGAAUCCAACGUAUUAAGUUUUGCUUAAUUGGGAGUUUAUUUACGUAGUGAAAAAAUUUGUAAAAUUAUGAUUAUAUGUGAAAAAAAAACUAGCAAAUUCAUUGAAAAUGAAUUUUGGUUUAUGACUUUCUAUUGUUAAUUUGAUUGGUUUUGAGUUUGAUGACUUUUUAAUACUUAUUGAAUUAGUUUUUGAGCUUUAAAUUAUUGCUAAAAAUAAUUUUUUUGUAUCAAGUGUUGCUUGAUUUAAAAUCUAUUUGCUUAAUAAAACAAUUUAGAGAAGUUCAAAGAAAUUUAAAUAAGCGCAUGUGUUUUAAAGGAAUUUCAUGUUUGAAUAUUUUUAGUAUUAGUAUUAGGUGGUGGAGAAAGAGAAUGAAAGAGGCAACAUAGUGUUAUACUUCAUUUGCUUUUUAUAGUUUUUAUUUAUUUUUAUUUCUUUAUAUUUUCCUUUUUGUUUUUAGAAACCGGUGAAAACAAUCUCUACUUGUUCUCUAUUUCAAUUUGUUUUUAAAAAAUGUUUCUUGAGAAUAAGGACCAAACAAUACUAUAAAUUUUUAAAAACAAUUUUUUGUUUUUAAAAACAUAACAUUAUUUUUGAAUCCCAUUACCAAACACACUCUUAUUAUUAUUAUUUUUUUUUUAAAAACUCUCAAAAGAUGUUUUUUAAAAUAAACAAUGUGUAUGGAUGUUAUUACCAAUUUAUUUCUUUUUCCAUUCUCAUUCUCAUUUACCUAACAUUGAAAUGGAAAUACAUAAUCAUUUGAAUCUUAUAUUUCUAUGUGUAUUCACACACAAGAAUUGGAAUCACUAAAUAAGAUAUAGGAAUGAAAUAAAAUAUUCAUUCUCAUUCUUCAUUCCCCAUUUUUAUGUACCAAACAUGACCUUAUGCCAUGUUUACUAACUUCAAAAGGAAUGGGAAUGGGGGAAAGGAAUGAAUGAAAGGAAAGACUAUGUUUAGUUUUUGGAAACUUUGGAGAAACUGUGAGGUAAAGAAAAUAAAGAGGAAAAGUAGGAAGGAAAGAAAAUGGAGAGGAAAAGUAGAAAGAAAUAAAAAAUGAAGCAAAAUAAAAGAAUAGAUUUAAAGUCAAUAAAUUAUUUGUAUAUACAUCUUCAAAUUUAUUUAACUUGUUUUAAUUCUUAUAUAUAAACAAUAAAUAAUUUGAAAAUAUAUAAGUUUCUAAUUAAUUUUCUUUUGUAUUUUCCAUAAAAACCAAAUAUGAAAAAAAUCAUUUUCUUUAACAUUUUUUUUCCCCUUUUCUUAGCACUUUCUUGGAAUCAUAGCCAAAGAGAAUUAGAAUCAUGAAUUCCAUUGAAGCAUUUACUUGAAGUGAAGGAAAUGGAAUCAAAAAACAGAAUCAGAAUCAGAAAAACUGAAUCAGAACUAGAAUGCAAUUAAUUGCUUCUGAAGUGUUUAAUGUGGAGGAAAUAGAAUGAAAUUGGUUCUUUGAACGUUGGGUUGAACUUUUAGCCAUGCUGAAUUGGUUCUUUGAGGAUACAGAGACCAUAAGUACUCCUAAUUUUAUCAAAAACAAAAAGGAAAAAGAAAUUACAGUCCUUAUUACACAAUCAAAUUGAAGCAAUUUGGAGAGGCAAAACAAAAAAUUCAACCAUUUUUUGUUUUGUUUUCUUUUUAAGCAUGCUUUUUCACAAGGGUCGUUCUGUUCCACCCAUUCUCAUUUCAAAUAUUGAGGUUCUUGUUGGGAACAUUUUUGAAAGCAGUUAUUAAAAAAUAAUUUAAAAUUUUUUUUUUUAGGAAUAAUUCUUGAAAAUAGUUCCUUCUUUUUUUCCACUUAAAGCUAAUAACACAGCUUCUCCUUGACUUUCUUUUUGUUGCAGUGAAUUAAAAAUGGCCGAGUCAGUUGUUGGCUUUGCUGUGGAAAGACUUGCCUACUUACUAAUUCACAAGGCAAGUUUCUUAUUGGAGGUGAAGGAUCAAGUUGAGCAGAUGCAAACUGAGCUGAGAAGGAUGCAAUGUUUCUUAGAAGAUGCUGAUGCAAAACAAGAAGAAGACAAGAAAGUCCGCAACUGGAUUGCAGAGAUAAGAGAAGUUGCUUAUGAUGCCGAGGAUGUUGUAGAAAAUUUUAUUCUUCAUGUUGAAAAGGAAGAAAAAUCCGAGGGAUGGUGAGGCAGAUGGACUUUUCUGUUGGAUCCAGAUCAGAAAUCCAAAAGAAGANNNNNNNNNNNNNNNNNNNNNNNNNNNNNNNNNNNNNNNNNNNNNNNNNNNNNNNNNNNNNNNNNNNNNNNNNNNNNNNNNNNNNNNNNNNNNNNNNNNNNNNNNNNNNNNNNNNNNNNNNNNNNNNNNNNNNNNNNNNNNNNNNNNNNNNNNNNNNNNNNNNNNNNNNNNNNNNNNNNNNNNNNNNNNNNNNNNNNNNNNNNNNNNNNNNNNNNNNNNNNNNNNNNNNNNNNNNNNNNNNNNNNNNNNNNNNNAACCUCUGAGGAUGUUUUCUCAGAGGAUGAGAGGCUAAACUUUUAGUUUCUUGGAGUGAUGGAAGCUAGGUGAAAAGUCCAGAUGCAAGGUGGAAAACGAUCGUGCCUUAAAUACAGGUAGUUGAAGUUCAUAAAUGGCUUUUAAAUCCAAAGUUUUGCUUUAAAUCCCUUAGAAUCACUUUGAAUGGCCAAUACAUGGUAAGCUUCAGGUCUCUGUGGAUGCUUAUUGCUAGAUCCAUAUCAGUCCAUUAGUUAUCAUGUACGAGCCAUUGGAAAGUGGUUCAAGGUGAAGACCCAUAGUGUCUAAAGCCAUUAAUGGACCUUGACUACCAUUUCUAUUGAUUUUUAUGGAUUAAAUCUUCAUUGUUAAACCUAUACCGGUUUGGGAAAUAACUAUAGGUUAAAUCCCCAAUGCGAGGAGAAAAAUCCGGAAUUUUCCACUUUGCAUUCUAAACUUGAUCCUAGCAAUCCUGAGCUCCGGGAGACUUUCUUUCUUCCAUUUUUAAUUAGUUUAUGUUAAUUUAGUUUCAAACACUUUCAAAACAAAUUUUAUUUUCUUUUAAACUCUAAGUUUUUGAUAAAGGAAAUCAUUAAAUUCAAUUCCUAAUCAUAUCACUGGUAGAAUGAAAACCCAUCCUAGAGUUUGACCCUAGAGCCACUAUACUAUAGUAGCUUUGCUACACUAGUAUGAGGUCAUAGGUUUUAUAAAUGUUUUUGAUUAAAUGACCCGACUGGAUUUACAUGCGCGAAUCAGAAGGGUAUUUUACAAAUGAGGUAUGAAGAGCUUGCCAGUAGUCUCUAUGAAUUCCAAAAAAAAAACAGAAAUCCCUAGUGAUUCUCGAUGACAUUUGGACUAAGCAAGCAUGGGACAGUCUGAAACCUGCCUUUCCAAUUGGAAAUGGCGGGAGCAAAAUAAUCAUCACUACACGCAAUAAAGAUGUAGCUAUCCAUGUAGAUACACAAGGCUUGGUCCAUGAACCUCAGUGUCUAAAUCUAGAUCAGAGUUGGGAGCUGUUAAAAAAGAAAGCAAUGUUUCCAGAAAGAGGUCCAGGUAGUUUCUCAUUCCAUUCCUACUGCUAUAUUGUUAUUUGGGUUAAACUUCAGUGGGUUAAAAUCCAUGUUAACCCUAAUAAUAGUUGCUCUAUUAAUUUUUUUUUUGUUUUAUUUUUUUGCACAUAUAUUGCUAUUUAAGUUUUAAGCUAUAGUGGGUUUGGAUCUGAUCCAUGGAUGUUUUGUUGUUUAUUGUAUCAAAACAAAAUUUAUAAUCUAAUUCAACUAUCUAAAGGUAACUUUUGUCCAAUAAAAAAUGGCUUUUAAUGGAAAUUACGGUAGUAUAUCGGUUUAGGUAUCAUCCAUGAGGAUGAUGAAUGUGUUAGGCAAUCAAGAGGAAAAAUGGUGAGAAUUGAGAUGAUGAUGAUGAUGAAAAUGAGAUAGUGAAGAAUUAACAAUGAAAUUUGAGAAAAUUUGAUUGUAAAUGAAAACAUAAAAUUGACCAAAAUUAGAGAAAAUUCCAUCAAUAAAAAAGUUCUCAGAUUACGAAUUGAUUAGAAAUCAAUUUCUAUGGUAAAAAGGUCAUCAAGAUCUAUUUUUGAUCAAGUUAGAUUGAAGAUCUUAAAAUCUCACCUAAACCAAUAUUUGAUUUAGCUUUAAAUCUAGAUCCAUUGAAAUCUCAAAUUAGGAAUUCUAAUUUCACUAAUUAAUUAUUCACAAGUAAGCUUAAUUUAUCUUAAAUCAUCUUCCAAUGAUUCACACAAUGCAACUAUUCAAUCUCAUUAAAUUUAGAUUUUAGAAUUUGAUGAAUUUACCUAAUUUGCACUCAUUCAAGACAAUUUGAAGAGAAAAACUCCCAAAUUUCAGUCAAUGAAUAAACUCAAUCAAAAUUACCUUUUAAUCUUAGCUUCAAGUGACUAAUCCACCAUAGAUUUUGACUCUAGAUCCUUCUUUUUCCAAGAAAAAUGAAAUCUAGCUACUCAUGCUUGGAGAUUUGGUCUCAUAAGGCAUGUUUGGCUAGUGAGAAAAUGAAAUAAAAUAAAACUUCUAUUAAGAGAGAUAAAGAGAAAAAUCUGUAAAAUAGUUUCAAAUCCAAAAGUGCAACAAGUAAAAGUCCCAAAUGAGAGUUUUAAACUUCUAUUUAUAGGAAGAUUACAUUAAUGGAGACUUGGCAUCAUCUUAGAGGUCUUUCGGAAUCUUCCAAAUUCAAAAAAAUUUGAGAUUUGUGCCAAAAUCACAAUUUUGCACGAGAACUGGCAAUUUUGCAUGAGAACUAAUAGUUUUGCACAAGCAUGCGAAACGGAAGUUAGUCACAUGUUCAUGCGAAAUUAGUUCACAUAUACUCCUUAACUCCCUACAACCAUUAUGCUCCUCUCUAUCCCAAUUCACACGAUUGUGCCAAAUUUCACAUGUACGUGUGAAAUUCUCACCUCUCUCUUUUUCAAUGCUUUUCAAUCUUCUUUCUUCCAUGAUCAAUUAAAUGCAUCAUUUACACCUUAAAAUCAAUUCACAACUCAAAAUAUGGUUAGUAACCAUUGCAAGAGAAACAAUAUGUUAAUCGAGUAUUUUAAGUAGAAUUACUAUUCAAAAGAUGUGAAAUUCAUGAGAAUUAUUAUUUAAAAUAUGUUUUUUUUUAAGUAAUAAUUAGGAUCCAUCUUUAACUCUAAUAUCAAUAGCAUCAUUUCAUUUUUAGGGUAGCUAUCAUGCUUUGACUUCAGUUAGCUAGUCUCUUCCUACAGCAUUGCAAAUUAUCUACCAAAAAUACACUAUAGCAGAACUGAAGAAGCAAAUCCUUCAGGGUGCAUGAUAGAUAAGAGGUAGAGGGCAGUAGGGGACUGUCUGAAUGGACUACCUUGCCUUUCUUUUCAAGGUGGCAUGCCACUUUUGAAUAUCUGGUGUGAGCAAAAUGCCAAAAGGAAAAAAAAAAAUCAUCAUUAUAGGAUUGUGCAUGAAAUUCUAUAUCUAAUUGUUGGAGGGCUAUAUGUUUGGUAACAAAGCUUAGUCAUGCAUUUAGGAAUGAAAUGGAGCAUAUCAUUAUGGUGCUGUUUGGAUACCUUUCUGUUUCCCGGUUUUUAUUUGUUUAAAAAUUAUUUUAGAAACAUGUUUCCUUCUUGUAUUUUUUCAUGCUUUUAUAUAUAAUAAUAAUAUUUCAUUAAUAUGAGUAAACUGAAAAAAUCUGGUUGAUAUUCAUGAACAGUUUUUUCCUUUUAAUUUAAUUUUUAAGAGAAUGAACUUUAAGAAAAUGGCUACCUCUUUUUUUUUUUUUUUUUGGAUAUUUCUACUUAGGAGGUCAAUGUUUGAAGCUAGAUGAUCAUUUUGUGUAUUUCCUUUUAUUUUAUGAUCAGUGAAUAGUAAAUAGAUUUCUGUUUUUUUCCUGUUGAAAUAGGUAAGAAAAUGUUUGUGUUCUUUGCUUCUAAAAAUAACAAAAUAUAUAUAUAUAUAUAUAUAUAUAUAUUCAAAUUAUACCCCAACUCAAUUUAAUAUUUCUCAUGUUUGGUUGGUUGAAUGUAUUAUAGGAUAGAUAAGAGAUAGGAUGAUACAUGUUAUGUCAUCUUUGAAUGGUGAUGAAAUAGGAUAAGUUAUCUUAUCAUUAUCAUAUCUCAUGUUUAAUAAGAAAAGAAUUAAAAAAAUGUGAAUAUUGGACCUAUAUUAUUUAACAUAAUAUUUUUUGAUUAGUAAAAGCAAUUGUAUUAAGAAAGCCUAAAGUACACUUGAAAGUAUACAUGAUGUAUACAAGGCAACAAAGCCAAAAGGAAAAGGAAGAGCAAAAAAUCACCCCCUUACUUAUAUCCCAACGAAUCAAUGAAAUCGAAAAUGGACCAAGAUUUACAACCUACAUGCAACCUAACCCAAUCUAAAAACAUGUACUAAAAAGACUGUAAAAUAGCUUGAUCUGCUAGUUUGGUAUCUUCCAAGACUCUUUUGUUUCUUUCCUUCCAUAAGGUCCAAAAUAAACAUAUAGGGGCUACAUUUCAUGCCUUUUUUCUUUUCUUUCCAACAAAGGAGCCGUUCUAACUAAGUAUGGUUUCCUUGAUAGAAUUGGGCAUAACCCACUGAACACCAAAAAGAGCAAAAAUAAGGUGCUAAAUCAUAGUUGCCUUAAGACAGUGAAUAAGCACAUGAUUUGCUAAUUCUUCUUCCGCUUUACAUAAAAAGCAGCUGCUUGGUAAAAUCCAAACCCUCAUUUUUAAUUGAUCCAUAGUUAGAAUUCUCCUUUAAAUAGCUUCCUAAGCAAAAAAGCUAACCCUCUUCGGAACCAAAGGGUUCCAAACUAUGCUUGAAGGGAACUCUCUACCGUUGCAAGGAACUAGGGAUGAGUAAAAGGACUUAACUGUAAAGAGGUUUUUCUUUAAAACUCGUCAAGACAUGACAUCCUCAUUGUCCCUUCUAAGCGAUUGUCCGUGUAACCUUCUGAAAAAAGCUUCCACCUCUUCCAGUUCCUAAUCAUUGUUAAGUCUUGUGAAUACAUGGUUCUAGUGACCCACUUCCCCAGAUUGAUCCCACAAUUGAGCUACCCAAGCAUCUUUGGAGGAGACAAGAGAGUACAAGUUUGGAAAAGACUCUUCCAAGGAAUCCUCUUCGCACCACCUAUCCUUUUAGAACCACACUCUUCUACCAUUCCCCACCUUAAAAGCCACCCUUUUGCUAAACUCCAUCCAUCCACCCAUUGCUAAUCGCCUUCCAAAGCCCAACUCCGCAACCUUCCCUUGAAGCACCAGAACACCAAUCUCCCAUUUCUUCUCCAUAUUUCCCUACAAUCACUUGUUUCCAUGAAGGCUCAUUCUCAGAUGCAAAUUUCCAACGCCUUUUUCCAAGAAGAGCCUUAUUCAACAUAGAUAGAUUUUUGAUACCUAAGCCCCCAUCCUUUUUUUCCACAUAGAAAAUAAACCAAUUCACUAAAUGUGACCUACUUUGGGAGACUCCUCUCCCCCAAAGGAAAUCUUUUUGAAUUUUCUCUAACCUUAAGCACACCUUGUGACGAAUGACAACCAACGACAUAAAGUAGAUUGGGAGGUUAGAGAGAGUGCUCUUUACCAAAGUCAACCUCCCUCCUUUGGACAAGUACCGUCCUUUCCAUAAAGUGACCGUUUUCGAAAUCUCUCCUCCACUGCAUCCCCAACACAUGGGGAUUUGAAAGUGGCUUCCAAAAGAAUGUCCAAAUAACAAGAGGGAAGAGAGCUCACCUUGUAGCCUAACACCCUAGCCAACUCCUCAAAAUUAGGAACCACCCCUAUUGGAAUCAACUUGCUUUUGUGAAGAUUGAUUUUUAAUCCGAACAUCGCUUCAAACCACGUGAAAGCCCAACUCAAGACCUCCACAUGUUCCUUGCUUAAAUCACAAAAAAGUAGGGUAUUAUCAACAAAUAAAAGAUGAGACACUGCCAUCACUUCCUCUCCAACUAGCCAUGAACUCAAGAUAGCCUCCUUGUAAAGCCCUCUUCAAUAUACAAGACAUCGCCUCCAUUGCCAAAAUGAAGAGGAAAGGAGAAAGAGGAUUUGCCUGUUUUAGGCUUCUAGAACUUUGGAAAAAGCUUAGUGGGGAACCAUUAAACAAGAUUGAGAAAUGAGUUGAAGAAAUAUGCCACCUCAUCCAACUAACCCACUUAGCCCCAAACCCCAUCUUUUCCAUGAUAUUUAACAUAAGAUUUAAUAUGUAUAAAAUGCUUUUAUAUAUUUAAUAAUAUUUUUAAAUAUUUUAAUCAUGAAUGUUAAUAACAAACAAAUAAAAAAUAAAAAUAAAAUACUAAAUUAGCAAUUGUAAUAAGGUUAAACAUGAGAAAGAUUUCAUAAUUUUUUUUAAUAACAAAUAUUAGGAUUCAAUAUAUUUUUUAUUGUAAAAAAUCGAACAUUGAAACGUGACAUUUAUGUUUUUAAUUUCAUUAUUUUCUACAAACCAAACAUAAGCAUAUUAUGACACAUUCCAUUGGAUAUAAUAUCUUAGAAUAUCAUUUUCGUUGGAUAUAAUAUCAAUGGAUUUCAUAUCCUAUUGAAAAUGAUAUCGUAUAUGCAUCGUUUGUUCUUUCUUAUCCAUCAAUCAAGAAUAGGCUAAGGGGUGCCAAAGGUAUAAGGAACUUCUUAGGAUAUUAGUGGUAGGAUUAUCAUUAAUGAUAUUUGCCAUAAUUUUUCAUCUAAUGAUACAAAAAAAUCCAAUUCUAAUUAUGGUUAGUUUCUUAUAGAACUUGGUUUACAAGAGUAAAGAACAAGUUUCCUAUAGGACUUGGUUUACAUUACUCAAGAAUUGAGAAAUCUCUAGCAUGCAGCCUUCUCAUUCACUUAAUCAUUAUAGUCUUAUAACCUAUUCCACAAAUUUUGGGAAAUGAAAUAUUGGUCAUUGUUUAGAUACUCAACAUUUUGGGAAAUUGGCUUUUUUGUUUCCUUUUCCAAUUUUAUUUUUAGAACUCAAUCAAGCUUCUUUGAUUUAAGUCUAAAUUUUGCUAUUGAAAUAAAAUUUGGGAUACUCAUUAUCAAUGAUGUUCCUAGAUCCUAAAUUUCCAAAUCAAAGCAUUUUGCAUUGUGGAUCCAUUAUAUUUAAUGUAUUAUAGUUAUAACAUGCAAACUAUACUAGUUUUGGCAUUGACUUGCAGUAUGGUUAAUUUCAAUGCCAUUUUUCGUUGAAAAAGUUUAUUUAUUUUAUCUUCUUUUUUAUUUUUAUUUUUAAUUUUUUUUAAUGUAGGCAUUAAGAACUUGUUCAUCCGAAUAUUGAACUAUAUUUCACCACAUGGAGUUUCACUAAUCACAAUUUGUUAUUUUAGUUUCCUUGAUUAAAAAAAAUUUAAUUACUUUAUUGUUAGCUCCAAAAGUAGAACUUGUUAGAAAUUAUUAAUAUAUUUAGUUACUAUAUUGGAAUGACUUUUUUUUCAUUAUAAAGUAAAGGUAAAUUAGUCUUUAUUUUUUUUAUUAUGCCUAUUUAAAUUCUAAUGGUGUUGUACCUAUUUUCAGAGAUUUCAUGAUAAAAAUCCUAGAUUUCUUUCUUUUCUCCCCUUUCCCUUGAUUUUUUGGAUUCACAUUGUAUCAGAGCAAAAUGAUUUUUUNNNNNNNNNNNNNNNNNNNNNNNNNNNNNNNNNNNNNNNNNNNNNNNNNNNNNNNNNNNNNNNNNNNNNNNNNNNNNNNNNNNNNNNNNNNNNNNNNNNNAUACUAAAUGAUACUGCUAGAAUAUUUCUUUUACCCGAAGUACAAAUGAUGAAAUUUUAGAUGAGCAGUGCAAAGGUAGAAUAAAACUAUGAAACCUAUGAACUUAGAAGGAAACAUUUUUAAAAGUGAACUUAUUGGGUAAAUUUGUUGUGUAACUUAUUUGUUCUCACAAGUCUAGGUAGGGCUUACAAGCUCAUAAGUACAUUACACUUAUUUUCAAGCUAAUGGUAUUCAAACAACUUGAUUCAGGAAGUCUGAAAAUUGUUGUUCAUUGUUGGAAAGUGUUCCAAAUUCCUAAUUAGUGUAGAUUCCUUUUUGUAAAGAAAUAUUAUAUAGAAUAUUUCCUAAGUUGAUAUAUUAUUGUAAUAUUAGGUUUUCUUAUAUAAUAAUGAAGGUUGUUGGAAAUAUCUCUAUAUAUAUUAUAGGUUAUAAGGAGAAAAAAUCAUGAGAUGAAGAUGAGCUUGUAGAUAUUAUACGAGGUGGAUAGAGAUGUGAGGAAGAACAGGAGAUACUCGGUAGAGUGAGGGAGCUCAUGGUAGGGUACGAAUAUAAGGAGUGGGGAAAUAUGGGAUGUUUUGAUAACCCAAUAGUUGUAUUUGGCUUUUUCCUCUGUAAUAUUCUCUAUUGUAUGGUCGAAUGAUUCUCUCUCAUCCGAUAAUGUAGGCAUAGUUGGUCGAACCACGUUAAAACCCCAAACACAUUUGUAUUGAUUAUUUUAUCUUUGUGUUGAUUAUUUUAUCUUUGUGUUCUUAAACUAAUAUGUUUGCAUUAACUUUCCUGGCGCAACAUUUAUUUUAUUUGAAACAUUCCUUAUUUGAACCUGUUCUUAGAAAUUGGUUACAUCUACUUCUCAAUUAUGUGAUUUGAAUUGAUUGGCUAACUUUUAAUUAUGUAUUAAUUUGGUCUUUUGUUGUUCUUUAGACUUUGCAUGGGAGAAUUUGGGGAAGCAAAUGGUUGGUAUAUGCGGGGGAUUGCCACUAGCCAUUAUUACUCUUCGAGGACUUUUGCCGAAAAAAAUAAGAUUGAAAGAGUGGGAAAUGAUGUGUAGAAAUAUCAAUUUAUAUCUACGAAGUGGUAAAGGACAUGGUGAAGAAAAUGGAUUAAUAUCGGAGGUGUUAGCUUUAAGCUAUUAUGAUUUGCCAUAUCAAUUAAAACCAUGCUUUCUUUAUCUAGGUCUUUUCCCAAAGGAUACUGAAGUAUCCACCAAGAAAUUGAUACAAAUGUGGGUGGCUGAAGGAAUAGUUACAUCUAUGAAUGAAGAAAAGGCAGAGGAUAUUGCAGAGCGUUACUUGGGUGAACUGAUUGAUAGGUGUAUGGUUGAAGUAGGGGCAAGGAGCCUAACUGGAAGAGUCAAAACUUGUCGACUCCAUGAUCUCAUGCGAGAUUUAUGCUUGUUAAAGGCGAAAGAGCAAUCCUUCCUUCAAGGUAUUCAUCUUGGGCAUGAGAAGGAGCCAAUAACAGUUUUUUCUUCUUCCAUGGUACCUGUAAUGCCAACGGGUAAACUUCGCAGAUUAUCCAUAUUUUUAGGUGAACAUGUUGAUGGAUUUGUCCCACCUAAAAAUGAAAAUUUUUCGCGCCUUCGAUCACUUUUAUUUUUCAAUGCAAAAGAUUGUAGGAUAAGAGAUUGGCAGUGGGCGAAACCCGUGCUUGAGGAAUUCAAAUUACUUAGAGUUUUACAUCUUGAAGGAUUUAAAACUGAAGGAGAGUUGCCUAAGACAAUAGGGAGUCUCAUCCACUUAAGAUACUUGAGUUUAAAGAAUAGUAGCAUACGAUCCUUGCCAUCAUCCAUAGGGAAUUUGGGAUGUUUGCAUACCCUUGAUUUAUCAUUUGCUUUAGAAGGAUAUGUGCCAAAAAUCCCAAAUGUGAUGUUGAAGAUGCUACAGUUGAGACAUCUAUAUCUUCCUUCAAAAUUUACAGUAACCGGUGCUACCAAGUUGCGAUUAUCUGAUUUGUGUCACCUAGAGACUUUGAGCUUGCUUGAUGCAAGAAAAUCUAAUGUAAAAGAGCUUGUCAAAUUAACUAGUCUCCGCAAAUUAGAGAUUGUUUCAUUGGAAAGCUUUGAAGAGUUGGAGGUGAUUUUCAAUUCUCCAAGUCCCAUCUUGAACAGCCUUCGGUCCUUGUCUGUGGAGAUCUUGGAUGAUAGAGUUGAAGAAGGAAAUUUGACACAAUUUCUGCAGGCUUGUCACAAUGACUUUUAUAGAUUGUCUAUAGAUGGUGCACUAAGCAAGUUACCAGAUCCCAGCAAAUUUAAGCCAAACCUAUCCAAGUUAAGAUUAUCCAGAUCUAAACUUUUGAAUGAUCCAAUGGCAACAUUGGGGAAGCUACCUCACCUAAAAGUUCUUGAACUAUGGGAUGCAUAUGAUGGAAAGAAAAUGGUUUGCAGCUGUGAAGACUUUCCUCAACUUAA